rnacentral:lncRNA from 1 species
GAUCGACAUCCACACAAUGUCAAUAUGAACAUUGUCUUGAUACAACUUUAUUUGUAUUUUAUUUCAGAAUUUAAACAACUAGUUUGGGCGGGUCACACACGACGUUGUGUGACACUUUAUUUGUCACCGCUGCAUCGACAUAUCCAUCGACUAAACAACGGUGAUCCAACUAUAUAUUACUAGAGACCUUUCCUUAUCAGUAGGCACCAACUCCGGUGCCAACGCUGAAUGGCACACUAGUGGUGGUUCUAUACAAGGGCACAUUGACACGGCACAUCGUUGGCAGGGUACGGAGCGCAAUGGAAGUCAUCACCUCAAGCUGAGCUAUCUGGUGUGGAUGCAAAAAGGUACCCUGUGCCAAUUGUUGUUGUUGAGGUUGUUGCCCGAGUUGCUGCUGCGACUGCUGUUGGGGUUGGGAAACGCAUUGGCCCAACUAUUGCGGUUGCUGCUGCUGAGUUUGGAUGGAACCCUGAACCUGUUGUUGUUCUUGCAGGACGAUGGAGUAGAUGAUAGCACGGAUUGCCUCAUAGCGGGAUUGCUGGGGGAUUUGCGGCAACUGCUGGCAACAUUGUUGUUGCAUCACAUGGCAACUGCUCUGCUGCAACAUUUGCGACCUAGCAAGACUUUGUGGCAUUGCCACAGGGCUGCAUUGCUGCUGGAGGAAUACCUUGCAUGGGUUUAGUUGCUGCAAGAUAGAUGGAUGAACAAAUGGUAUUUGUUGUUGCGGUAGAACUGAUUGUUGUUGUUGCGAAAAUGGUGGUUGUUGCGGUAGUACUGGUUGUUGUUGUUGCGAAAAUGGUGGUUGUUGCUGUGAAAAUGGUGGUAGUUGUUGCUGCGAAAAUGAUGGUUGUUGCGGUAGAACUGGUUGUUGUUGCUGCAAAAAUGGUGGUUGUUGCUAUGAAAAUGGUGGUUGUUGCGAUAGAACUGGUUGUUGUUGCUGUGAAAAUGGUGGUUGUUGCUGUGAAAAUGGUGGUUGUUGUUGCUGUGAAUAUGGUGGUUGUUGUUGCUGCGAAAAUGGUGGUUGUUGUUGCUGCGAUAAUGGUGGUUGUUGUUGUUGCUGUGAACAUGGUUGCUGUUGUGGAAAUGGUUGUGGUUGUUGUUGGAUAGGUUGUUCUUGUUGUUGGUGCCAUAAUGUUUGUUGUGGUGGUAAUGGUUGUUGCUGCGAUGGUCUCUCCAAACCAGGGAUGUGGCUAUUCUCCAUUUGUGCAAUGGCACUUGUCGCCGCAACGGCGAGGAGGGCAAAGAUGAGGAAGGUCUUCAUGGUGGAUUGGUGUUAACUAGUGUUGCUUGGUUUUGAUGCUUGUGCUUGUGACGAUCUUUAUACUUCAUGCCUAUUUAUAGUAGCCCGGGCACCACCUUUUUCUUCUUUGCAUUAGCUUUAAUAAUUUUGUUUGGAUGCAAAAAUGAUUUUUGGUACAAUGUGUUAGGUUGCACUAGCUACACGCGUACUUUUGGAUUGAUCAUCAAAGUUGCUUUUUAGUUGUGCAUAUGAUCACACAUAAAGUACAGAAACCUUGAUGUUUGGUAUAUAUGACUCACCUUAUUCACUUUACAUGUCACACACUUAUCUGGAUAGUAUCACUUUUGCAACCGAGUUUGGAACCUUGUAUAGGCUGUCAUCCAUAAACAAGAAAGGCAAAACUUGUGUAGGACUAAGUGUAGAACUAACUUUGUAUUUUUCCUCUAAAAUGAUUAGAUGAACCGACGCCUAUAGAGCAUGACAUGACUCAUCGAAUUCCCUUUACAUGUAAAGGAUGGUAAUUGCUUACAAGCUACUCCUACUAGCAUAUAUCCGGUCCUAACUCUUGACACGUCAUCAUCAGUUUCGCCUAUUUUUUUAGAUAAAUCAUCAGUUUCAUCUAUUUGUGAAGGGUUUUUUUGGGGGAAAUGAUAGUUUUUUUAUGCUAGGGGGAUUUUUUUGGGGGGGGGGGAUGACGCUAGGGGGAAAUGAUAGAUGGGGCUGGAACAGAGGCCCCCAGCCUGGAGCGAGAGAUUAGGCCCAACAUAAGUGCCGUGUGUUAGGGCACCAAUUCGAUUUGGGCUAUAGUUCUCGUAGGCCCCAACGACACAAGCCCAGCCCACACUCCGCGGAUCUGCGUCCCUCCCUUCCUCGUCCUCCUCGCCGGCCGGACCGCUCGCCGUCGCAGCCUCUCCCGGACGCCCACCGCUCGCGGCCCCUCCACGUACCUCCGCGGCAGCGGAGACGUCAGCCUCCCUCCCACCCUCAACAUCCGGCCCCCCACCACCACCACCACCGCUCGACAAAAAAGGUCACUUUUGAAGCUCCUCCGUCGAUUGUGGGCCGUACGUCGACGGCAGCCACUCCGACCUCCCCAUCAACACAAGGUAUCGAUUUGUUUCGUCUGUCUCUUCCAACGAUUCAAUGCACAUAAAUCCGAGAGGCAGACCCAUCUCCAUGCUAGCUGCACGGAUUAGGAGGGUCAGGCAUCAGAAUUCAGCUGGGAAGCCUGACAGUAAUGUACAUUUGUGGCUUUAGUAGCUGAAUAUAACUAUGUGCUUUCUGAGAAUUUCACUUCAAAAGUUCCAAUAAUCAUCAAAUUUCCCCCUAUGCGCGCUAAGCAGGUGGACCAUAUAUUUCUCAUGUCGACGAACGAAAAAACAAAACUCCACAACUAGAAGUCUAUGAUAUUGACACGGAACCGUGCUGUAGGGUCGCAAGUAAAAAUAUGAAAAGCAUGCCUAAUAAGCGAGAUGACGCAGUUCCUGACCGCCCCGCUACGACUAUUGGUUCCAGCGUGGCGUUUGAAUUAUGCCGCGCUAGAUGUCUUUUGUCCGGCGAGGAACAAGUGGGGUCAAGCGUGCUUCGGCAAUUCCCGCCGUCAGAAGACUUCCUUGUAGUCCGGUGUAGAGGUGAGGUUGUGGGGAGAUACAUCGACUAGCACUACUAGGGAAAAGGCUAGCAGCAGCGCGGGUUUUAGAUGUAUCAGUAGUGCGGGUACCCGCGCUACUAAUACGGCGCUACAGCUAACUCAUAGCAGUAACGCGUGAGCACCCGCGCUACUGCUACACAAGUGUAGCAGCAGCGCGGUUAUGAGAAGCUCGCUACCGCUAGUAGCGCUAGCGCUCUUUGGCCGGACGCUCUACUGCUAUUGAGGCGCUGCUGCUAACUUUUGUACACUCGCUACUGGUAAUUUAAGUAGUUUUUUGGCAUAUUUGUUUUGUAUUUGAACCGGCUUUGUAGAAGAAUCUUUAGCACAUAGAAAUGUCAUCAUGAUACACAUACAAAUGCCUGCGAGACCACAAAUGUAAUCAUAGCAUGUACAUACAAAUAGUCUCUUCAUAAUCAUCAUCCAACACAAAGUGAUAUCUUGUCAUCAUCUCGAAAAUAGCAAUACAUGCAAGUCUCGAAUACUUGCAACUACAACAACGUCAUCCAUCUAAACAAAGGUAUACGCAAGAAGUGCUAUCACUAUGAGUGAGAGCGGAACCAUGCAGUACAUGAGGUGGCGGUUAUGAGUCCUCUCUUGCGCUAGCGUGAACCUCAAGUAACUAGCUUCUCCUUCUUGUCUGCUUUUGAAGCCUUUAUGGCUGGCGCCCGUGAACCCAUUCACUUGCGCCUGACACUCAUGCCACUCGUUGUACACCCCCGGAACCUUCCCUUUGUACACGACAUAGCAUUUCCAUCUCGCCAUCAAGAAACUAGGUACCUGUUAGAGAUGCAUGUUCAUGAAGAGGAUGUACAAUCAUAUAUAUGCAACAAAAUAUACUAGAGCAACACUAAGAAAGAAAGGUUAGCAACUAGAUGCAACAUAUACAUUACGCAAAUUAAUUAACUAGAGGUACGCAGGUCAUCGUACGCAAACUAACAAAGUAGCGUUACGCAAGUUUGGCAGGGACCAUGGACAUCACAAAGUUUCAUCGCUACAAAAAGUAUACAAGUUCAACCGACACAUAUCAUCAUCAUCGGCAUCAUAAAUCACUAGAAGUUCCAUCCUUCCAUAUCAUCGAGGACGAACCCUAGCUGCUUGAACGGCGUGAGGUCUAGACGUUGCAUGCCUAUGCGAGUUCGGACGUCAGCUCGCGAUAUAGGGCCGUGGUGGAACAUCCCCUUCUCAUCGACGACUUCUUUCAUGAUGAUCAUCGCAAUGUCGCUUUGGAUGCGAAAGAAGUCAUCUCUAAGUUUAUAAUUCGCUUCUCCAUGAGAUUCUAGCCACUUGUGGAUAUGAUCAUCAUUUCUGCUGUUAAUGCGAAGCUUUUGGUGAUCCGUGUUGAACUGAAUCAUGAGAUGGACGAUGUAGAAUCCAUCCUUCUUGCUUGGUUUUGGGACGUGGAUGCAGGAGAAGUUAGUUUUAUGCGCGAAACCCAUCUUCUUGUUCCUUUGUUUCCUGAUAUGCACGUGGCCACCUCUAAAGUUGAAGCCUUGGAGAGCAUCAUCUAGAAUAUUCAUUAUGUGGGUGUAGUCCUUUUUCUCGUAGUCUCUAGAAGGGUCAAAAUACACGGCGUGGGAGACUUGCGGGUAAAGAAUGAUAAGGACGGCGCGCCCGUUGCUGCGGGGAAAAGACACCUCAAAUUAUUCCCCAUAUGAGAGAGAAGGAAUGAUUGAAAUGUACGAAAGGGUUGUCCGGAACUGACUUACUUUGGAUGAUAAGGCACGAGGACAAUUUCCCGGUCCUUAUUCUGUACCAUGAAGUUUUGGAGGUACUCCCUAGCAGUUUCACGCUCAAAGUCGCCGAGACUCAAGAAAGACUCGUGCAUGUAGUACGGAUCCGCCACACAGAUUUGCGAGACUUCUUCACUCUUCACGACGGAGCUCAUAUGUAGCGCAAAAAGGCGGACGAUAGUAAAAUCAAGCCGCCUUGUUAGAAACAUCUCAAAGAUAUGGUCAAACCGCAGGAAGAACACCUCCGUGGGCCGUGUGUCGACGUAGCACUUCCCCUCAGGCACACGAGCUGCGUAUGUCGGAUAUCCUGGAUCCUUUGAGGCUAGUAGGCUUUUCUCAGUCGACAGCACGUGGUCGUGCAGUCUCCUGAGAUUCCCUGAUAGUGCCUCCAGCGGUUUCGGCGGUAGCAUCGGCUCGCCCGUGAGAUGGAACAUGACCGCACCUUUCACGGGUACACGCUCUUCAGAAUGCAUCGUCUGGCUGCUGUGUGCUCUGGCUUGUUUGGAGGCAGUUACCUUCCCCAAUCUCUUCCUCUCCUUUUUCUUGGGCACACCUUCCAGACCCUUCCUUAACCCCUGCCCAAGUGUUCCCGGGCUAAGUAUUGUACGACCCUCACGCCCGGCUAGUUGAGCCUGUGUUGAGGCGGCAUCUUCAGGCGUGUCCUGUGAGGAUUUCAUGAAGAGAGACUUUUUGCAUUCCAUGGUACGGCCCUGCCCGGGCAUAUCAUCCAUAUCCUCAUUAGCAAGCUGAUAGCCCGAUUCGUCAUAUGGUUGACUCAUCAUAUCUAUGUCACAGUCAUACGCGUUUGUAUUGAGGUAAUCCAUCGGGUCGACCUCCGUCUCAUCAUCCAUUCUCUGUUCUACAGGAGAAAUUACAUCAGCCAGUACUAUUGCACCCCCUUCAUCAUGUCGUCCGCCGCUCUCACACGGCACUACUACAGGAGCUGGUAAUUGCGUAGGUGGGGUGGUGGUCUCCGCACAUGCUUGCUGAUGUGUGGUAGUUAUUGGUGUGCUCUCGGCCGGCUCCAGACGAAUAAGAUUCUUCGGCCAUAGCAGCACCCAACCCUUGCAGCGUCCAAUCCGCGGCGGGGUCUCGUCGUCCGCUCCCACCUGCUGUACUGGAGGAGGCAAAUCCUCGUGCCCCGAUUUCACACUGGUCAAGCUAACCCUGAAGUGCCCAGCGGGGAUCGGCUGGUUGUGGAAUGUGCGUUGAGAGGGGUCCAUUAUCAUCCCCUUUCCCACGUCCACCUUCUGGCCUUUGAUCAAGUAGAGUAUGGUGCAUGGGGUUUCUUUCGCCUGCAAACACAUAUGUCUGUGGUGUAAAACAACCGAAAGGCAACAAAAAUGGAAUAUUAUAUAUAUAUAUAUGUUGGUGCGACAUGUAAUUACCGUGACGGCGUCGAGCUCAGCCAAAGACGAAGGCCCACCUAGCGCGCCUGAGACUGAGGACGGGCUGCUAUGAGCUGGAGCGGCUGCGAGAGGAGGCCCGGUUGCUUGAGCAAGUGAUGGUGCGAUGGUGUUGUUCAUGGAGUUGCUCGCGACGAAACUGGGCAUUGGGAAAUCAUGUACCGUCUUGUCUGGAUUUUCCUUCGCCCAGUUGAUGAUAACUGGAACCAAGUUAGUAGCGAAAUCAUUUCUGCAGGCAUUUACAGCUGCAUUGACUGCCUGCUGUAGCAACUCAUAUUUGUCCUUGGCUGCUUUUUUCGCGUCCUCGGCUGCUUUUUUCUCGACCGCAAGCUUCACCUUUGCGUCGAUGUCCGCCUAACUAAACUUCUUUUUCUGCUUCUUGGCCUCCGGGCCGUCGUUGUAAAACACCUUCCACGUGGCGCCGUCUCCAGCGCCGUGCACACGACCAUAUUGCGGCCGCUGGUCCAACGGGAGUCCCUUAAGUUCGUUCAAGGCCCAGUUGAGAGGUGUGUCCCACUUGGGCCUCAUCGGAGAAGUAGGGCUUUCGGCUGCAAGCCGGUGUUGCUUCUCCAGUAGUCUAAUCAAUUUCCUCGUGAUCUUGUCCGUGUAAAAAACCUUUUUCUCCUUGUCCCACUUGUAGCGGGCCCUGAUGAAGUCAUGCUCCAAGGGGUUGGUGAACUUCGCGAAGGGGUCUGGGAGACCCGCGGCUUCACGUUCCGCGUCCUCCUUAUCCCAUAUGGGCCUUUUACCGAGGUAGCCACGGCUUCCGAGGCGAUGCUUCCCCAUGUUCCGGAGCUGAAGGCUUUUGAAUUUCGCAGCCUUAGCCUUGGCUGCCUUGGUAGCGCAAGUGUCCUUGAACUUUUCGAACUCCUCUUCCGUAAGUGUCGGAUUUUCCUCCAGAAUCUUGGACAGGGGUUCAUCAGCCUCAAUAGCUCGUUUCACCCUCCCUUUCCAGGAGGCCAAAUCAUUGCUGAACAUGCCCAUGGCGUGAUUGUUAAUCUUUUUCAUCUUCGGAUCAUCCCACGGUUGUUCUAUGUUAUCAUCCCGGUCGGGGAACUUGAAUCUCUUCUGCAACUUCGUUAGGAGCAACUGCGUCAAAUGUUCUUUACUCCUUAAGUCAUCAUCGUUGAUGCUCGCGCAUUCCCGUAGGAUGCAUCCUACUUGGUUCCCAUAGCACUUGCGAGGUUCUUCCGGCUCUAACGGCUCAAACUUUCCAGGUGCCAUCUUUGUGAUCACAAGUCGUCCAAUCCCUAGUUUGUUAGGUUUUCGUAUCCUCUGCUUCUUAUGCUUCCUCUUUUCGGUAUCGGCAUCGGGGCCGGUACCUUCCCCGCCGGUCUCGGCGCCGCCAUCGGUGCCGGCGCCGUCGGUGCCGGCACCGUAGGUGUCGAUGUCGGCGUCAGUACCAUCAUCGAGGCCGACCUGCAAACCUUGCUUAGCAGUCAAAUAGUCGAGGUACUCUUGUUCACCCUCAUAAUCCAUCUCGUCUGCAUCUUGGUCAGAAGGCCCAGUUUCUUCGUUGUUCGACAUGUUUCCUAUGAUUAAGUGGCCUCAUUUAUUUCUAAAAGUAUGAAUAAAUGAGAAAUGACAUAAAAAGAAAUCUAUGUGCCAACACUCGAUAUGCCAACUAUGUAGCACAAAUCAUGCCUUUAUUCACGGGAAAUUUCGGCAUGACCUUUGCUAAAAAAUGGACAUAUCGAGCGCCUGAAAUUCACCGAAACGGAAAUGAAUCAACAUUCCUGCGCAACAUAGGCCACUCGGAUCAUUUUCCAAACAUGACAUGUCCAAAACAUGACAUAUGCACAUAUCACAUGUCCAGUUCAAAUUUCCAUAUAAAUUCAGCUAAUUCAUAACUAAAUAGAUAACCUAAUUAAUUAACAUGAAGANNNNNNNNNNNNNNNNNNNNNNNNNNNNNNNNNNNNNNNNNNNNNNNNNNNNNNNNNNNNNNNNNNNNNNNNNNNNNNNNNNNNNNNNNNNNNNNNNNNNNNNNNNNNNNNNNNNNNNNNNNNNNNNNNNNNNNNNNNNNNNNNNNNNNNNNNNNNNNNNNNNNNNNNNNNNNNNNNNNNNNNNNNNNNNNNNNNNNNNNNNNNNNNNNNNNNNNNNNNNNNNNNNNNNNNNNNGGGGGCGAGCGACAUGGUCGGGGGCGAGCACGCCGGAGUCGGGGUCGAGAGCGGGACAGGGGCGAGCGCCGGGGCUGGCACCGGCGCCGGCAGGGUCGGGGGCGAGCGCCGGGGCCGGGUCGGGCACGGCGGAGCGACGGGGGCCGGAGAGAGAGUGGGGAUUUGGGGGGAAAUGGCGGGAUGAAGCUGGGCGAGUGCGAAUUUUGGGUUAAGUGGACGUAGCAGUAGCGGGUUAUGUCAAAACGCGCUGCUACUAUAUUCUGUAGCGGCAGCGGUUUAUGAGAAACACGCUACUACUAUGGUGCGUAGCUGCAGCGCUUUAUGGGAAACUCGCUACUACUAUGGUGCGUAGCGGCAGCGGUUUAUGAGAAACACGCUACUACUAAGAUCUAGCAGCAGCGGUUUUGUGGAAACGCGCUGCUACUGCCGUCGCUACUGCCAGGUUUCCUUUUUCUUUUCCUUUAUUUUAUCCCACUUUUAUUUCCCGAGGGCAAUGAACGAAGGGAGGGCGAUAUAUAUUGCAUCAUUUGACGGUUAAAUAUGUAUGCAAAAUAGGAACAUAUAUAUUACACAUCAUUGGACCCAUGCAUAAUAAUGACUAAGUGUGUAUACAAAUUAAAUAGGAACAUAUAUAUAUUACACAUCAUUGGACCCAUAACAUACGUUUCCUCAGUGCUGACGUUUUCGUUUUUGAGUCAGCUUCUUUCCCUUCUUGUUCGUCGAAGAAUAAUUGAGCCCCUCAUUGUGACUUUGCCUUUUCCAUGGAGUACGAUUUUUCUUAGGUAAUGUAGUAUUGAUUCUUCUUUUGACGUAUACUUCAUCAUCAUCAUCAUCUUCCCUCAUUGGGUUGCUGUACUGAUCAUAGUCUUCCUCGUUGGCGACUCCAUCCAUUCCAAUGAUGUUCCUUUUGCCUCUCCUCACGACAACACGGCUGGGAUUGCGCGGGUCAGUUAUGAAGAAACAUUGUGUCACGUGCUUAGCGUGUACCCAUGGCUCGUUUUUUGCGAUAGCGUUCAUGGUAGCGCUCUUGGCGUCGGGUAUAGUCAUGGUAGUGAACAUCCGGCUUUCUCUUUCGACAUUCUUAGCCCAUCUGACACGGAACAUCAUCGUGCUGUGCAGUCCAGAGUAGUCAAGCUCCCAGAUCUCCUCGACCCUUCCAUAAAAUCGUUCAGUUGUGCCGUUGUCGCUGCCGGUCAUGCAUUCCAUCGUCACCCCUGAGUUCUGAUCAUCACUGUCCAUAUCUUUUGCCUCUGUGUAGAAUGUGUAUCCGUUGAUAUCAUAUGCCUGAUAGGUUACGAGGUUGGGCGAGGGGCCAUGUGCUAAGGCGUAUAUGAGCAAUCCGUCCUUAGAGCCCUCCUCCGGUGGAUUAGCAAUAAUAUGCUCUUUGAACCAAUGCAGGAAAGUGGAGUUGUGCUCUCUAGUAACUUCGGCGUCCGUCCUGCAUACCCCCCGGUCACGAUACUUCUUUGUGAUAAUUUCUUUGUGCAGUGCCACGAAAGGAUCUACCUCGUCUAGGUGUUGUAGCACUACCAAGUUUGCUCUGUCAAAGUCGCUGCGUCGAUCUGAGUAUGCCACGUGCAGUUCCCUGCGACCGUUGCAGUGACCAUCUCCUUUGAGCCUCCCAUCGUGCUUGUUAACGGGCAAACCAACACUAACACCAGGCGGCUGGUCUGCGCCAUAUAAAAAAUUCUCACAGAAAGAGAUGCACUCUUGUGCCAAAUAGCCCUGGACGAUGCUUCCAUCCGGACGGGACAUGUUACGAACGAAUCCUUUGAUGAUCCCAUUCAUCCACUCAAACGGGAUCAUGUUGUGCAGGAAUGACGGCCCCAGGUCUAUUAUGUCAUCCACAAUAUGGACACACAGAUGCACCAUCACGUCGAAGAACGCGGGCGGGAAGUACAUCUCAAGCUCAUUCAGUAUCACAACGAUCUCUUCCUGUAGCCUUUGGAGCUGCUUCACACUGAUCGACUUUCGAGAGAUGACAUCGAAAAAGUUGCAGAGACCAAUAAGCGUGUCACGGACGUGCUUGUCCAUUAUCCCUCUAAGGGCAACAGGUAGUAUCUGCGUCAUCAUCACAUGACAGUCAUGAGACUUCAUCCCGCUGAACCUUUUCUUGUCCGUGUCUAGAUAUCUGCUUAUCUUGCCACAGUAACCGGAACUAACUUUCACUCCGGUAAGGCACUUAAAGAAUUGAUUGAUCUCAGCCUGACUUAAGGUGAAGCAAGAGGGGGGGCAAUAAUCUUCUUUCUUUAAUUUCUUGCCCUUCUUCUCCCGUGCCUCUGUCUUCGUCUCUGUCUCGUCUGACAUUUUACGGGGCGGCAUCUGCAGAUCUUCCCUGAUUUUCAAAUCUUGCAAGUCUUUUCUUGCCUUCGGCCCAUCCUUGGUCUUAUCCGGCAUGUUCAUCAGUGUUGCGAGCAAGCUCUCAAGGACAUUCUUACAGAUAUGCAUUUGAUCAAGGCAAUGAGGUGUAUCGAGUUUGUGCCAGUACUCCAAGUCCCAGAACACGACCUCGUCUUCCAUACCUUCAGCAGCGGCUCCGGCGCCUUUCUCAUCGUCUUUCCCGGCGCGGGGCACUCAUUCCAGUUUUUCAAUAGCUCAUCGAUUUCGGCACCGCUCCGCUUACGUGGAGGUCCUCGAUGCUCAGCGUGACCAUUGAAUAGAUCUCCACGGUUUCUCCACGGGUCGUCCUGUUCAAGCCAUCUUCGAUGCCCCAUGUACAUGAUUUUCGCAGACCCGCCAUCUUUCCUUGACGUUAGCUGCUGAGACGUUGUAUCAUCCAUGCACCGCGUGCAUCCGCAAUAUCCAUGGCACACCUGGCCUGCCACAUAUCCGUAACCGAGAUAGUCCUGCACUGUCGUGAUCAGCGCGGCUCUCAUGUUGAAAUACUCACCUUUGCUGGCGUCCCAUGUCUUGGCCGGUGUUUUCCAUAACGUGUCUAACUCCUCUUGAAGUAGCCCCAGAUACAAAUUAAUAUUAUUUCCUGGUUGUUUCGGCCCUUGAAUAAGCAUGCUCAUGUGAAUGUACUUCGAUUUCAUACACAACCAGGGGGGGAGGUUGUACAUCCAUACAAACACGGGCCAUGUACUAUGGUUGGUGUUCUAGUUGCCAAAUGGAUUCAUGCCAUCGGUACACGCGCCGAGCACGAUGUUCCUUGCAUCACAUUCAAAAUACCGUUAGAAGCUGUUCAACGCUCUCCACUGGCUUCCAUCCUUCACGUGUCUCAGCUUCGGAUCAUCUCCAUCGUCGGGCUUCUUCCUCUCCGCGUGCCAGCGCAUUAGCUUUGCUUCCUUGGGAUCUACAAAAUACCUCUGAAGACGGGGAGUGAUCGGUAAGUACCAUACAACUUUCUGGGGACAUUUCUUCCCGGCCUUCUUGUAUCGAGAAGCAUUGCACACCGGACAGCUUGUUUUUUCCGCGUGCUCCUUCCGAUAAAUUAUGCAAUCGUUGAUGCAUGCAUGGUAUCUAACGUGUGGCAGAUCAAGAGGGCACACGAUCUUCUUGGCCUCAUCAACACUAGUAGGACAUAGAUUACCCGCGGGAAGAAUAUCCUUUAGGUACUUGAGAUGGUCAUCGAGGCUAGUGUCGGUCCAUUUGUUUUUAGCCUUCGUCUUCAGGAGUUGGAGCGUGAAACUCAACCGGGUCACCUCAGGAUUGCAACCAUCAUACAAUGGAGUGUUCGAGUCUACCACCAGUUGCUCCAGCUUAGCCUCCUCUCUAGAAGCAGCUCUCUCAGUACUCGUCUCCUUGCGAAGCAAUGCUUGAACAUGAGGGUCCCGCACAAUUGAACUUAGUACCGACGAACUCUGCUGCGUGGAGUCCAUGUCGUUCUCUCCGCCGCCAUGUCCGGCCCCUUCUCCUCCGCCAUGUCCGGCCACUUCUCCGCUGCCAUGUCCGGCCUCUUCCCCGCCGCCAUUAUCGAUCAUCUCUUCGUCUUGCCCCGUGUCAUCAUUGCCUGCCCCGUCGGCAUCCUCAACAUCUUCAUCCUCAUCUUCAAUUAUCCACCGAGUAUAGCCAUCCAUGAAACCAGUCAUGAGCAGGUGCGCUUCGACACGACCAUCGUCAUGGGGGUCGAGCCAAACUAUUCCUUUGCAUUUUCAACACGGACAUAAAACCUCUGUCCGGUUAUUUUCUUUCAUGUCUUGCACCGCCGACCGCAACCACCUGUCCACCAUUGUUCCACUGACCAUCGUCAACUCUGCACGGUAAUAAUAAAAAAAUUGAUUGUAAAAAUGCAUGCAUGCAUCAAAGUCAUAAAAAAAUUUGGCAUGACCUUCCCUAAAAAUAGGACAUAUAUGGAUCUAGAGUUUGCCCGAAAUUCGCCGAAACGAAAAUAAAUCGACAUUUCGGCAAAACAUAGGCAACUCAAAAGCACAAUUUGGCGGCGUCAACUCAUGCCACAGACACAAUUUCCACAAACAUAUCACACAUACACAUAAACACAUUUCCAUUUUGCAAAAGCAUGAAAUUUUCAUCACCUCUAUCUCGAUGGCCGGAGAUGAUGUUGUAGGGAGAUCAAAAGUGCACAAAGCUAUUCUUGACAAAGAUAGAUCUAGUUAGGGGGCAAAUAGGUCACUUAACUAAAUCCUACAUCUACCUAGCUACCUAAUUUGGAAGGAGACAACUUCAACUAGUGGAGGGGGAGGAAAAAGAGAAAGAAGAUGCAUUAAUUAAUGGAGGUGGUGUAGUUAUGUAGGAGUAAUGAAGAGAGAGAAGGUGGAUAGAGAANNNNNNNNNNNNNNNNNNNNNNNNNNNNNNNNNNNNNNNNNNNNNNNNNNNNNNNNNNNNNNNNNNNNNNNNNNNNNNNNNNNNNNNNNNNNNNNNNNNNNNNNNNNNNNNNNNNNNNNNNNNNNNNNNNNNNNNNNNNNNNNNNNNNNNNNNNNNNNNNNNNNNNNNNNNNNNNNNNNNNNNNNNNNNNNNNNNNNNNNNNNNNNNNNNNNNNNNNNNNNNNNNNNNNNNNNNNNNNNNNNNNNNNNNNNNNNNNNNNNNNNNNNNNNNNNNNNUGUGGUGGAGGGAAGAGAGGAGAGGGGGAGGUAGGGGGGAAGGGAAAAAAGGAAGGGGGAGGGGAGGGACGGGUUGGGGGUUGGUGGGGUUAGCAGUAGCGCGGGAGAUAAAACGCGCUGCUGCUAAGAACUUAGCAGCUGCGCGCUUUGCGGUAAGGCGCUACUGCUAACUGGGACAAAAAAUUGUGGCAAUUUGAAACUUACCAGCAGCGAUCUCGAGGAAACCGCGCUACUACUACGUACUUAGCAGUAGCGCUGUUAUUGCGACCGCGCUACUGCUACUUAGAGUUGGGGGAACACCGCCGGUCGAUAUUUGUAGCAGCGCGUUUCUUGUCGAGCGCGCUACUGCUAAAUCUUUAUCAGUAGCGAGUUUACGUAACCCGCGCUACAACUACUUAGCAGCAGCGCUCUAUUUUGAACCGCGCUGCUGCUAAGAUUCUGUGUAUAGGCUUUUCCCUAGUAGUGUAGGAAGGAAUGACCACAUGAAUGAGCAUACGUAUGAUGUGAUUAAGUCUCUCGAUUGGGUAUCUGGUGCCUUAUGUACGGUGUCUUCUUUUUGUCAAGCUAUGACAUCUUUCAGUUUGAGUGUCUGAUAUUAGGGUUGCAUACGUUUUGUUAUUCAGUUGCCUGUUGUGAACUCUACGGUUAUAUCAUCUCGAUGUGUGAGUCAAUGUGUUUGAACCAAUGUAGAGUUUCAUGUGAAUGUUACAAGUGUGAUUGAUAUGUUCAUGUUAUCCGCGGUUGCCUUGGUAAGAAACUGAAAGAGCAAACCGUUAUCGUGCUAGGACAAAAGUCAUCACUCAAUAUAAGUGCUUCUCUAGAACAGCCACACCUUGUGAAAGAAGAUGGCAAACACCCAAUCAUGUCUGGUUCGAUAUGGGCGUGGCUAUGGGUAGCUUAUAGCGACAUGGAAGCCAGCAUCGCUGGAAGAAACGCCCGGGUGGGCCGGCCUAGAGACAUUUCUUGAUAUCUACCCUUAGUUUUGUUUUUCUGCCCUUCUUUCUUUAUAUUUAUAUUUUUCCCGACAUGUUCACUACUUGAUGCUCAACUGGGAUCUCAUCCUUCACAAAUACGGAGAGCCAUUAUUGUUAGAGUUAAUCUUGACAUGUGUGUAUGUGCAUGUGUGCAUUGCAUGUUAGUGGUCUAGAGAUGGCCGGGUCGAUGCGUCUGUUCUGUGCUGGAGUGAGUCCAGCAGUUUGUUUUGGUCAGGUCGUGGUGGCUAGAGCCAUUCUAGGAGAGGAUCAAGUCAAGUUGUUAGCUGAACUCGGCUGGGUAGUGUUUGGCCGUUGAGGAUAGGCUGUACUAGUGGUGGGCAUGGCCGUGCAUAUAGCUAGCGAUUAGUUACACUAGUAGAAAACCACCCAUUAGUCCCGGUUCGUAAGGGCCUUUAGUCUCGGUUCAGGAACCGGGACUAAUGGGUCGUUACUAAUACCUCCACCCAUUAGCCCCGGUUCAAACACGAACCGGGACCAAUGUGCCUCCACGUGGCCCUGUGCGGCGAGCCCAGUCAGGGGGCCUUUGGUCCCGGCUGGUGGCUCCAACCGGGACCAAAAGGCAUCCACGCGUCUGCAUUCUAGUGGUUUCUGGUUUUUGUUUUUUUUUUGAAAGGAGGGGGGUUGGGGGUUUUGGGGAGUUAAUUUAGGUGUUUCGUAUAUUGUGUUAACUAGCUAAUUAAUAGAGAGAAGUGUCCUCUCUUAUGUCCGUGCUUGGUCGACGCUACGUAGUAUAUAUACAUAAGUAAUCGAGAGAACCAUUCAGUACAGAAGUUCGUCAUGCAUACCGAGAGAAGUGAUCGAUCGACCUCUCCUUCUCCGAGAGAUUGGUCGAACAACAAGUUUUUUACUGGCUACAUACAUGUACAAUAUGUAUAAGAUCUCUUAAUUACAAACCCAUAGCAUUUGAAAUCAACUUCCACAUGGUAUUCUCCGGCUUUACUGAUGACGUGUUCAAGAAAGAAUCCCGCUAAUUCCUCUUGAAUUGCUUUCAUGCGAUCUGGUUCUAGGAGUUCACCCCGCAUCUGCCACGUCUAAUUAAUUUGAAGAAGGGGGUUAAUUAAUACAUAUAUAUGAAUGAAACUCAACAGAAAAUGAUGGUGUAAUAAAAUGAAAUUGUGAAUAUUAUUGCUUACGCACUUCAUAUUGUCUUCUAGAGUAGCCCCGCUUGUUUCUCAAAGUUGCGUUGUGGAUGAACUCGCACACGUAGUAUCCACAAAAAUCAUUCCCUUCCUCCUGUCACAAGCACUUUACGAGAAACAGAGGUCAAUCAAACUGAUAAUGAAGCAUUAUAAAUGGCAUUGAUGAAAGUAUAGCUAUAGAAUCAACGGGAGAUGCACGCAACUAGCUAGCCAGUAGUACUUACUUUCGGGUAUACAUAUCGCAGCUCCUUCGGCAGUCCCGGAGCUUGUGCGGUGAACUGUUUCCGAACCCUGCAAGACAAAGAAAAUAAUUAUUAUUACUUGAGAUAUCAGGAAAUGAACAAAAAGUUGCCGAUAUGGUGCGAUAAUGAUCGAUUGAACUUACUUGCUGAGCAUUUCAGUCAUGUCCACAUAGGUGCUGGGAUCUUUCCGUCUCGAGUCUAAGACGGUUACUAGUCCACGCUCAAGCUUAAUCUCCAGAAGAAUAUAGUGGUACCUGCGCACGCGUGCAUAACUCAUCAAUUACAUUAACCUCGCUCGAGUAAUAAGGGAAACCGAAUAUGCACACGACAGUAACACUCACGGGCCGUUGUAAGGAAAGAGUAUGGUAUCUUUGUUUUGAUUUUUGAUCAACGAUUGUAGCAAGUUGUCCUCGGCCUCUUCGACGUUCUUUUCAACCAGAAAUACAUCUAUGAUAUUUGUGUUAAUGAACCCAAUAUCAUAAAUUUUUUGUUUUUUGCACUCGACGAUCUUCAAUCUGCAUAAUAUAUUGAGGAUAAUUAAUUAUAAAUACAUGCAAUGAAAGAUCCGAGCUAUAUAUAGAGACUUAAUGUCAGAAAUAGUACUUACAUGCAGUAGCAAAAGACCAUUAAUUUAUCGAGGGCCUUUUGAUUGAAGAACUCAAAGAACUCCUCAAAUGGAACACACAACAGAUCAUUUGAAAUGAGGUCGUGCUCCUCUUUAAUAUUCAAAUACAAACUGUUCGUCCCCUCAGACUCUCUGCAGGUUUUCAUGUACCAAUUAUGGAAUCUUCGCAUCAUUAUUGUCAGAGAUUUUUCAUCUUUGACGAGAGGCUUCCCGUACUCGUAUCUGAAUACGUCCACCUCCAUGAAAUCAGGAAGUGCAUCGUCAGGCAGGUAAUCUUCAAGAUUGCCAUAACCGGCCACCGUCCCCGGAGGAUUAGACACAUUGAGCGGGGGGCACGAUUGCUGUGCUUGUUCGCCGAGCUGGGCAAUUUUUUUCCCCUUUGCUCGUUGUUCUUUUGACCUUUUAUCAUUGACAGUAGUUCCCGACCGCUUGGCUUGGAGAUAUGUCUGUUCAGUAAUGCGCUCAUAGUUGGUUCUCGGCGGAGACUUUGGUGGUUUCCUCAGGGCAUCGAGAGUGCGCUUUGCUUUCACCGGAUCUACCUUCUCCUCCGGAGGUGGAUGUCUCUUUGCUUUCACCCCUUCAAAGAACUCCUUCACGUGGGCCUGCACGAUCGUAUUGUUUUCCUCCUUGGUCCUCUCGUACGGUAACUUCUCUAGAGGCUUUAGAGGUGGACCGUAUCUGUAUUGCCUCUCUCUUCUUGUGCUGCUAGACGCCGGAGCAGACGGAGCGGCUGUGGCGUCUGUCUUCUUCCGUGCUUGCUUAUGAGGCGGAGGAGAAGGACUACGACGCGCCGGAGCAGCCGGGGCGGCGGCGGGUCUCUUCCGCCCUUGCUGGCGAGGCGGAGAGGAGGAGGCGGAGUGCCGCCACAUGCCGGAGAAGGAGGCGGAGUGCCGCCAUGCGUGCCCUGAUCGUCACUCGCCGGAGGAGGAGGCGGUGGAGGAGGCGGAGUGCCGCCACGCGUGCCCUGAUCGUCACUCGCCGGAGGAGGACGCGGUGGAGGAGGCGGAGUGCCCUGACUCGCUGAAAGAGGAGGAGGAGGCGGAGGCGUCCAGUUCAGAAGGUUGAUGAGCUCCUUCUGCCAUAGGCAUGGAGUCUUCAGAGCAGAACCCAGCCUAGUCUCCCCUUCACCGGUAGUGUGCUCAAGCACGAGGUCCUCAAAUCCCUCCGUUAUUUCAUCCACCAUCACCUUAGCAAAUCCUUCUGGAAUUGGCUGGCAGUGAUAAGUUGUGCCGGGUCCACUAGGAUAAACUUGGCCAACAGCCGCCUUGACCUUCAAAUUCAUCCAUCACACAAUAAUGUGGCAAUUUUGAGACUCCGUGAUACCAUCCACGGGAUAGCUGGCAGGAGCCGUCAAGACAUGCUCCGGCUGAAGCAGCUCAGUGGAAGCCACGCUGCUUCUCUGCUGAGAUGGCGGGGUAGCUUCGGGGGAAGCUUCGGCAGGUCGUUUGUUGUGAUCUGCUGCUUCUUGUUCCUCUAGCCCCAUUACCCUUUCGUGCAGCGCCUGCAUUUGGUCCUGCUCCAGUUUCUUCCUCCUCUCGUAGGCUUUGUAAACGCCUGCGUCCAGAAAACCAACCUUCCACGGAAUGGAGCCUGGCGUGCCUCGUGUCCGUCCAGGGUGCUCGGGAUUCCCAAGGGCCAUUGUGAGCUCGUCCUUCUCCCUGUUUGGAAGGAACGUCCCUCGUUGUGCUGCAUCGAUAUAGUGUCGAAGGUUCUUGACUGGUGUUUGCAGUUGCUCGUCCGUCCACUGACGCUUCCCUGUUACAGGGUCCAAGGUUCCGCCAGCCCCGAAGACCCAAGUCCGGCAACGGUCUGGCCAGCGCAUUGUCUCUGGUUCGAUUCCUUUUUCAAGCAGAUCAUGCUCAGCCUUGGACCACUUAGGCCGGGCUUUGAGGUAGCCACCUGACUCCGUGCGAUGGUGAAGCUUCUUCUUCGCAGCAUUUUUCUUGUUUGUCUCCGACAUCGUCUUACUCUUUUCCGAUGUCUUGUGGGCCACAAAUGCGGGCCAGUGAUCUUUGAUCUUCUCAUAUUUGCUGAUGAAUUCUGGUGUCUUUUUUUUCUCGAGAAACUGGUUCAGCUCUUUCCUCCACCUCCUCAUUAGGCUUGCCAUCUUCUUAAGAGCACAAGACUUGAUUAAUUGCUCUUUAACUGGCUUCUCCGGAUCCUCCUCUGGCGGUAGGGUGAAAUUUGCCUUCAGCUCAGUCCAAAGAUCUUCUUUCUGCAUAUCAUUGACAUAAGACACCUCAGGGUCUUCAUCCUUAGCAGGCUUAUACCAUUGCUGGAUGCUGAUCGGGAUCUUGUCCCUAACAAGAACCCCGCACUGAGCAGAAAAUGCCUUCCUUGUCCGGAUGGGUUCAAUCGGUUCGCCGUCGGGCGCGAUUUCUAUGAUCUCAAACUUUUCAUCCGAGAUCAACUUUUUCUUCGGGCCUCGUCUCCUUACCGAAGUUGUGCUCGAUCCGGAGGGCUAGAAAUUAUAAGGAAGAAAGACGACAGUAAUUAAUAUGUGUACAUAUACCAAAACAAUGGAUGCAUCAAUUAACUAGUCAGCACGGGCUUAACUAAUAUAUAUAUACCUGGCCGGACUCGGUUCGGUGACCGGAGCAGUCAGCACGGUCUCCUUGUACCUCCAUUGUGUCACCGGAGCCAUCAUGAACAUAGUCCUCCUCUUGUACCGGCAUUAAUGGGUCGAAGCCAUCAUAAACAUAGCCCUCUUCUUCAUCCAGUCCUUCCAGCUGACCAUCGGUGUCGAUGAGAAAUGACGCAACAUCAUCACUUCCAUUUGCGAUUAUGUCCCCCAACAUCGCUUCUGUUUCUUCGUCUCGGGAGUGCUCCAUAGUUUCUGCAAAUAUUUACAACAUGUCAAUUAUUAUUCAAACAUGGUACAAAUGGAUAUAUAUAUAUAUAUAUAUAUAUAUAUAUAUAUAUAUAUAUGAAAAUGGAUUGGUACUCCUAGGAGUACAUACUCUCACCUACACCCGUCAUCGUUGGAAACAUUCAUCCCGCUAACUACUAAAAAAAGAGCUAACUAACUACGGAUAAAGCCUUUGGAUUUAAAAAUUAGUUGAACCGCUUCCUUUUUUUUCAGCUCUCGUAGGCGUGCCUUCCAGGGAUUCCAUUUGAAACGGCGUUCUCAUCUCUUGCCAGCACCCAUGAACAUAAAAAAACAGAGCAUCGGCUCGCCUCCGCCCCGCCGACUGACCGGAAGACUUGGUCGACAUGGCCGACGAUGAUCCCCGUGCUUCUUCCCUCGCAAACUAGGCUUCAACCACCACGUCCAUCAAUCAGAGGAAGAUUGAUUCAUCAUCUGUAGUUUGCGAGGGUACGUGCAAUUGAUGUUUCCCGAUUUUUCUGUUCGGCUACCACAACCGUGUUCAUGUUCCCGCUGACCCCUUGAUCCAUUCCUGUCCAGUAUGUCAUCGUCCGAGAAGAAAAUAGGACGGAGAUGAUUGAUCGGCCAGAUUGAUCGGCCAAGUCUACUAGUACCACUGGUGGAAAAAAGGCCUUUGGUCGCGGUUCGCAACUGCCAUUAGUCGCGGUUGCGCAACCGCGACCAAAUAAGCGCGACUAAAGCCCCCCACCUUUAGUCGCGGCUGCUUAAGAACCGCGACUAAAGGCCCGUCCAUGUGGGCGCCAGGCGGCCGUCGGGACGGAGGACCUUUAGUCGCGGUUCUUCUGGCCAACCGCGACUAAAGGCCGCCACAGGUUUAGGGUUUUAGCCCCCCCCCUAAACCUGUUUUCUGUUUAAUUUGUAUUGUUUUAUUUCUUUUGUGCUUUAUUUUAAUUUUGAAGGAGUUUCAUAUAUUCUACGGUACUACAUACAUGCAUAUGAAUGUACAAUUUCAAAUAAAUUUGAAAUUAGAACCAAAAAGAAUUCAAGAGGAAUAUACAAUAUAUAUUCAAUAUCAUCGGAUGACCAUAUACAAUUUUGAACAAGUUUCCAUACAUGAUUUAAUGCAUAUAAAGUUCUACGUCCUCGUAAUAGUGUUCUCCUUUAGGAUGGAGGACUUCCCUGCUGAACCAUCCAGCUAGUUCCUCUUGAAGUGGUCGGAAGCGAGCUUCUGGACUAAGCAUCCACCGGAGGUUAUUCCUCUGAGCAUUGGUAUCACUCGGAACCCGCUCAGAGGUGUAUCUCCGGAUCAUCUCACAGACAUAGUAUCCACAUAGAUUGGUCUCCGGUGGCUGAAUAUCCCCAGCAUUCUUAGCCACUGACCUUUUGAAUUCUAGCUCUUUUUUGAAUUCACCGACCUUUGUAUCUACGAACCGUCUCCAAACCCUACGAGGCAAAGAAAAUUAAAUGAACAAGAGAGUUAUUAGUUACUUGAUAUUAGGAAAUGAACGAAAUAGGCCGAUUGAUAUAGAGCGCAAAUGAAUGAAAAUAAUUACUUCUGCAGCAUUCUUCUCAUGCCGCCCCAAAGCUUUGGAUCCAUAUUCACAGAGUCGUGGACGAGACAUUCUGAGGUGUUAACUUUAAUUACUAGCAGAAUCCAGUGGAACCUGCGGACACGAUACAUGCACAGUACGUCAUGCAUAACUCAUCGAUUAGCCGGCCACAUACCAUGCAUGGAGUAAACAAAAGAGAAUGUGCUCAAGACACAAACACUCACCCAAAAUGGUAAGGAAAUAGAAUAUCACUUUUGAGUUCCUGCUUUGUAAGAAACUGCCACAGGUCUACCUCCACGUCGGCGGGGUGACGCUCCAACACAUGUCCAUUAACGAUGUGUGGGUCAAUGAACCCAACAUCAUGGAUGUUCCUUACUCUGCAUUCCUUAAUCUUCAUUCUGCAUGUAUAAUAGCGGACACAACAAUAUAGUUAGGACAUAUAUAUAGUGCAGGCAAUAUGAACGAGAUGGGGUAGAAAUUAAUAAAUCACUUACAGAACGUAGCAACUGAUGAUAGAUUUAUCGAGCUCGCGCAGAUUGAAAAGCUGGAACAAUUCACUCAGUUCAAUUUGUACAUAGUAAUGUUUGAAGUGAUGCUCAUGUCUAACUUCCGCAUAAAUAUAUUCUUUGGCGUUUUUAUUUUUUAUGUAACCCUUGUACCAUUUCAGCAGACCUUUCAUUUGUGGAGGUAGAUCCUUUUCCUGCGCAGGCUCGACGAGAGGCCCAUUCUUGACAUAUGUAAUUACUACCUCCUUCACUGGCGCCUCAUCAAGGCCUAACAGUUCACGAAGAGUAAUACCUAAGUUGGCCGCUUGUUCUAUGGCACUCGUUACAGUCAAUCCCUGUGCUGCCGCAGCUUGUAUGAUCUCGGGGGCAUCCGGACAGAAGGCUUCCACUAUAAGCGGGGCAAUCGAUUGUUUACUUUGUUCCCCGAGCUGGGCAACUUGUUUCCCGCUUUUUUUACUUUCGGCCUUCUCCCGCUCUUUGUUCUCCUUGAACAUGAGUGCCUGCCUGCGAAGUUCACGUGCAUAGUCGUUAGGCAGAUUCUUCGCGGCUUGGGACGGUGUGCUCAAAAAUGACUUAGCCCACUUGUUUUGCUCAUCAGAAAAUACUGGCUUGGGCUCGAGCUCUCUUUUCUUCUUGCAGUCCGCCUUCCAUUUCUCCAAAUCAGCAGCCGCGGCCGCGUCGACUUCCUCGGCACUACGUUCCCAAGGCCUUGUGGGGAGAGGCUUCAGUGAUGGCUCCGGUACCUUUGUGGUCUUAGGUACAUAAGGGUCCGGGUUAAUAAUCCAGGACUGCUUCUGCUUCUUUGCCGGAGGUGGAUUGGGGGGCGGCGUCUGAUCACCCGCCGGACGAGGACUGGGGGGCGGCGGCUGAUCACCCGCCGGACGUUGUGGACUGGGGGGCGGCGUCGGCUGACGUGACGGAGGUGUAGGUGAACCGCCACCACCACCACCACCACCACCACCGCCACCGCCACCACCACCACCGUAGGGGGGUGGACUUGUUGUCCUUGGCGCCUCGCCUGGAAACUUGAUAAACUUCUUUUGCCAUAGAAUGAAAUGGCGCUUGACAUCUCCAAGUCUUUUCUCCCCUUCAGGUGUAGCAAUGUCAAUCUCCAGGUCCUCAAACCCUUGGACUAUGUCCUCCACCGUGACACGAGCAUAGCCAUCUUGAAUGGGGUUGUUGUGGUGGAGUGCUCCAGGUAAACAUGGUAAAGCACUGCCGAUGGCUACCUUCAUGGACAUGUUCCCGAUAGGAUAAUACAGAUGACAUUCUUCUCCGCUGCUGGCUUCCGAGAUCUGCUGGAUGAUCUUCAUGCUGCACCCGAGCUGCAUCUCUUUCGGCUACUAGUACACUCAUGGUUUUCUUCAUCACAUCCAUUUCCGAUGCCAACCGCGCCACAACAUCUGCUUCCCGAUCCACCUUUCUCUUACGGCUUCUGUAACCGUACGGGUCAUCGUUCUGGGGGAACCCUAUUUUCCACGGAAUGUGCCCCAUGCCUCGUACACGUCCUCCGUGUUCAGGAUUCCCGAGGGAUUUUGUCAGCGCGUCGUUCUCUCUGUUGAACUUGAUCUUCCCCUGUUGAGCAUCCCUCAUUGCGUUAAUAAGGGCUUGGGUGGGUUUAAUUAAUUUGCCCCGGUAAACACACUCCCCUGUCUCCGGGUUCAGCGUUCCCCCAUGCCCGUACCACCAACUUUUGGCCCUUGGGUCCCAUCCCUCCGUACCUGCACGGAUUCCUCGCGCCCUCAGCUCGUUCUCCAUCUUCUCCAACCUAGGCACCCAAAUGCGAUACCCUCCUGGCCCCAUAACAUGAUUGUACUCCUUCUUAGCCGCAUUUUCCUUAUUUUUUCGAUAUUUGAAUGAACUGCUCCGAUUUCUUUUGCUUCACAAAUUCUGGCCAAUCAUGUUUCAGUUUCUCAUAUUGUCCUUUGAAAUCCGGAGUCUUGUUCUGCUUGACAAAGUCAUGGGCUAGAUUUUGCUUGAAUUUCCGGAAUGCGUCGGCCAUCUUAUGAAGAGCGAACUGUUUGACUAGCCUCCUCCUCUCCUUGUUUUCUUCAAUCUUGUUACCCUCCUCAUCGAAUUUGUUGUAUUCCGGAGGUAGAACGAAAUGUUCCAUAAGCUUCUUGAAGCAAUCUUUUUUUGUUCUCUUAUCGACAAAAGUGAAACCAUCAAUUCGUGCCUUCUUUGGCUCAUUCCACUCCUGGACGGUGAUCGAGACGUUGUCUCUAACAAUGGCUCCGCAUUGGCUGACAAACUUGGUGGCGUUCUUGCGGGGCUCCAGCGGCCUGCCGGUUGCACUGUCGACAACCUCGAUGGUGCAUGUUUCUCCUUGUUUCAUCGUCUUGGUUGCGCCACGCUUUGACGACGUACUCGAUUGUUUCGACGAUCCGGCCGAGGGCUAAAAUAAGAAAGAGUCGCGCGCGUUAGUACACACAUAUUUAUUCAAAUCAGUUAGUUUGUAUCACCAGAGGCUCAAUGUAUAUAUAUACCUCGGCGCCGGAGGUGGUUGCUACAUCCAUUUGAAGAUCGUCGUUUAUCGACGUUUGUUCGGCAUCAUCUUGCUGACGGCGCCCUUCAUCUUCACCGUCAAGGUUCAGAUAAGAAGAGAUAUCAUCUUCUUCUUCUCCGGUCGGCACAUAUAGAAUAUCGCCGUUUAUGAUGCCGAACAUAUGUGCUUCACCGUCCGGAUCAUAGUUGUCCAUAAUCGGGUCAGCUCUAUCGUCCGCCAUUAUGUCAGUCCUGAAAACAUGUAGUAAAAACAAAUUAAUUAAGUGAAGAAGGGGGGCGGUGGCGGUGGCGGUGGCGAAAGGGUGGUGGCAAAAGGAGGGGGCGAGGAAGGGGUGGGAGAGGGUGUCGCGGUAGAGCGCGAGACGGGGCGGCACGAACGUCAUUUUGUGAAGAAACUUUGCAAGCAAUUAAACAUUUGUCAAUGUUUGGUAAAAAAAAUACAGGUAGCGUCUGUUGCUCCUAAUGAUUGGAAACGGUUUCCAAUUGCCAACGAGGAUUUAGAUCGACUACUACUACUAGUUGCAUUGCUCCCCAUCGGGACGAUGUUGCUCCUAAUCCCCUCCUUUGGAAUCUAUAGUACUAGUGCAUACUAGCUGGCCGUUGACCGUUGUUGCUCAUCGCGUUUUCUCAAAGUCCACUGAUUUUGCUCAGGGCCAGUUCGGAGAUUUUGCUGGUCCACUGAUUUUGGAUCAACGCCGGGAUGGCAUGGGCGCUCGGCGAUGAUGCGAAGUAGACUUGCACAGGCAACGUGAUGUACAUGGAUGUGUCAGUACGGUACGCUCGGCGAUGCCACGGUAUGGAUGACUUCUCGAGUGGAGAUUGGAGAACCAAGUUCGCCGGUGAAACGUCGGCUCCUGAUCAGAUCUGGGGGUCGCGAACUAGCGAUUGGAUCUCGGAAGGGAGUUAGGAAAGCGAACAGACGUGCGUUCAAGGCUACAACUUUUUUUUUCAGGAUCUUGAAAACAGCUACGCGUUCAAGGCCCGGUCCUGAUUUUGCUCAUCUACCCGGGGCGGCGUUCGCACUGCGCGAGGGCCGACUCCGCGGGGUGCUGCCGCGUCGCCUCGUCGACGCUGAGCGAGUUGGCGAGGACCGUGUACAUGGUCGGCACGUCGCCGGCGGAGAGGGUCAUGCUGUCCCCGACCAGCGGCGGCCACGGACGGGGAGGGCGGCGGCGGUGACUGGGAAGGAAUGAUAGGAGAGGAAGGAAGGUCGCGUGGGGUUGAGGGCGGNNNNNNNNNNGGCGAGGAGGGACUCCUUGGCGGAGAGGCGCUCCGUCUCGCGGGCGUAGCUGGCAGCGGGCUCCCACGCCUGCGCGUACACGUCGUCCCGCCGUGCGUUCAAGGCUACAACUUUUUUUUUUAGGAUCUUGAAAACAACUACGCGUUCAAGGCCGGCCCGGUCCUGAUUUUGCUCAUCUACCCGGGGCGGCGUUCGCACUGCGCGAGGGCCGACUCCGCGGGGUGCUGCCGCGUCGCCUCGUCGACGCUGAGCGAGUUGGCGAGCACCGUGUACAUGGUCGGCACGUCGCCGGCGGAGAGGGUCAUGCUGUCCCCGACCAGCGGCGGCCACGGACGGGGAGGGCGGCGGCGGUGACUGGGAAGGAAUGAUCGGAGAGGAAGGAAGGUCGCGUGGGGUUGAGGGCGGGCGAGCGAGGCGGCAGUACCGAGGCUGGCCGGCGGCGCGCGCGCGGUGGGCGAGGGCGACGGCGGGCGGCGUCGAGGGCGAGGGCGACGGCGGGCGGCGUCGAGGGCGCGGCAGAGACGAACAGGCGAGAAACGGCGGGCGGCGUCGAGGGAGCCUUGUAUUUAUAGCCCCCCCNNNNNNNNNNNNNNNNNNNNNNNNNNNNNNNNNNNNNNNNNNNNNNNNNNNNNNNNNNNNNNNNNNNNNNNNNNNNNNNNNNNNNNNNNNNNNNNNNNNNNNNNNNNNNNNNNNNNNNNNNNNNNNNNNNNNNNNNNNNNNNNNNNNNNNNNNNNNNNNNNNNNNNNNNNNNNNNNNNNNNNNNNNNNNNNNNNNNNNNNNNNNNNNNNNNNNNNNNNNNNNNNNNNNNNNNNNNNNNNNNNNNNNNNNNNNNNNNNNNNNNNNNNNNNNNNNNNNNNNNNNNNNNNNNNNNNNNNNNNNNNNNNNNNNNNNNNNNNNNNNNNNNNNNNNNNNNNNNNNNNNNNNNNNNNNNNNNNNNNNNNNNNNNNNNNNNNNNNNNNNNNNNNNNNNNNNNNNNNNNNNNNNNNNNNNNNNNNNNNNNNNNNNNNNNNNNNNNNNNNNNNNNNNNNNNNNNNNNNNNNNNNNNNNNNNNNNNNNNNNNNNNNNNNNNNNNNNNNNNNNNNNNNNNNNNNNNNNNNNNNNNNNNNNNNNNNNNNNNNNNNNNNNNNNNNNNNNNNNNNNNNNNNNNNNNNNNNNNNNNNNNNNNNNNNNNNNNNNNNNNNNNNNNNNNNNNNNNNNNNNNNNNNNNNNNNNNNNNNNNNNNNNNNNNNNNNNNNNNNNNNNNNNNNNNNNNNNNNNNNNNNNNNNNNNNNNNNNNNNNNNNNNNNNNNNNNNNNNNNNNNNNNNNNNNNNNNNNNNNNNNNNNNNNNNNNNNNNNNNNNNNNNNNNNNNNNNNNNNNNNNNNNNNNNNNNNNNNNNNNNNNNNNNNNNNNNNNNNNNNNNNNNNNNNNNNNNNNNNNNNNNNNNNNNNNNNNNNNNNNNNNNNNNNNNNNNNNNNNNNNNNNNNNNNNNNNNNNNNNNNNNNNNNNNNNNNNNNNNNNNNNNNNNNNNNNNNNNNNNNNNNNNNNNNNNNNNNNNNNNNNNNNNNNNNNNNNNNNNNNNNNNNNNNNNNNNNNNNNNNNNNNNNNNNNNNNNNNNNNNNNNNNNNNNNNNNNNNNNNNNNNNNNNNNCGAGGAAGACCAAUCGGCUUAAGGUCAGGAACAAAGUCAACACAAAACUCAAUUACCUCCUCAUUUCCAUAGCCCUUGGCGAUGCUUCCUUCUGGCCUAGCACGGUUACGAACAUAUUUCUUUAAUACUCCCAUGAACCUCUCGAAGGGGAACAUAUUGUGUAGAAAUACAGGACCGAGAACGAAAAUCUCUUCGACUAGGUGAACCAGGAGGUGCGUCAUAAUAUUGAAGAAGGAUGGCGGGAACACCAACUCGAAACUGACAAGACAUUGGAUCACAUCGUUCUGUAACCAUGGUAGAACUUCUGGAUUGAUUACCUUCUGAGAGAUUGCAUUGAGGAAUGCACAUAGCUUCACAAUGGCUACUCGAACAUUUUCCGGCAGGAGCCCCCUCAAAGCAAUCGGAAGCAAUUGCGUCAUAAUCACGUGGCAGUCGUGAGACUUCAGGUUUUGGAACUUUUUCUCCGCCAUGUUUAUUAUUCCUUUUAUAUUGGACGAGAAUCCAGACGGGACCUUCAUACUGCUCAGGCAUUCAAAAAAGAUGACCUUCUCUUCUUUGGUCAGAGCGUAGCUGGCACGACCUUGAAACCAUUCCGGAUGCCGGUCAUCAGGGUCUUUCAAACGUUGCUGGUCCUGCCGUGCUUCCUUUGUAUCAUUUGUCUUCCCAUACACGCCCAAGAAGCUUAGGAGGUUCACGCAAAUAUUCUUCGUAACGUGCAUCACGUCGAUUGCAGAGCGGACAUCUAGGACUUUCCAAUAUUCUAGCUCCCAGAAUAUAGAUUUCUUCUUCCACAUGGCUGCGUUCCCGUCUGCUCCCUUCGGAACUGAUUGUCCGCCAGGACCCUUUCCAAAGAUGACUUUCAAAUCCUUGACCAUAUCAAAUACCUCAGCACCAGUGCAUUCCGCAGGCUUCGGCCGGUGAUCUGCCUUGCCGUUGUAAUGCUUGCCUUUCUUUCUUACUGGAUGAAUUUUCGGAAGAAAUCGAUGAUGCCCAAGGUACACGUUCUUCUUACAAUUUGGCAAAUGUACACUUUCAGUCUCAUGUAAGCAGUGCGUGCAUGCAUUGUAUCCCUUAUUUGACAGUCCCGAAAGGUUACUAAGAGCAGGCCAAUCGUUGAUGGUUACGAAAAGCAACGCUCGUAGGUCAAAUUCCUCUUGUUUGUGCUCAUCCCACACACGGACACCACCCCACAGCUGUAAAAGUUCAUCAACUAAUGGCCUUAGGUACACAUCGAUGUCGUUGCCGGGUUGCUUCGGACCUUGGAUGAGCACUGGCAUCAUAAUGAACUUCCGCUUCAUGCACAACCAAGAAGGAAGGUUGUAGAUGCAUAGAGUCACGGGCCAGGUGCUAUGGCUGGAGCUCUGCUCGCCAAAAGGAUUCAUGCCAUCCGUACUUAGAGCAAAUCUUAUGUUCCUUGCGUCAGCUGCAAAAUCUUUGAACCAUCUGUCGAUCUUUCUCCAUUGCGUUCCAUCUGCGGUGUGUCUCAACUCCCCGUCCGACUUACGGUCCUCUUUGUGCCAUCGCAACAACUUGGCAUGCUCUUUGUUCCUGAACAGACGUUUCAACCGUGGUAUUAUAGGAGCAUACCACAUCACCUUGGCGGGAACCCUCUUCCUGGGUUUCUGGCCCUCAACAUCGUCACCAGGGUCAUCGCCUCUGAUCUUAUAACGCAAUGCAGUGCAUAUCGGGCAUUCAUUCAAAUUCUCGUAUUCACCGCGGUAGAGGAUGCAGUCGUUGAUGCAUGCAUGUAUCUUCAGAACCUCUAAACCUAGAGGGCAGACAACCUUCUUUGCUUCGUACGUACUGGCGGGCAACUCGUUAUCCUUUGGAAACAUACUCUUCAACAUUUUCAGCAAGUUUUCAAAUGCCGAGUCAGCUACACCUGCCUCUGCCUUCCAUUUCAGCAAAUCCAGUGUGCAGCCCAGCUUUUUCAGACCAUCAUCGCAUCCGGGGUACAGCGCCUUUCUGUGAUCCUCUAACAUGCGAUCCAAAUUCUCCCUCUCCUUUUCAGUUUCGCAGCGUCUCCGUGCAUCAGCAAUGGUCCGACCAAGAUCAUCAACGGGAUCAUCACGUGCCUCUUCUUCACCUUCCCCUUCACCUUCAGCAUCCUCCAUGAAAGUAUCACCGAGAUGAGCAAGAUAGCUUUCAUCGAUGAAAUCAUCCCCUUCUUCAUCUUCUUCCAUUAUAACCCCUCUUUCUCCAUGCUUGGUCCAACAAUUAUAGCUUGGCAUGAAACCGUGCCGAAGCAGAUGCAUGUGAACAUCUCUUGAGGAAGAGUAACCCUUCUGAUUCUUACAGAUAACACAUGGACAGAUAACAAAAAACCCCUGCUUGUUCGCAUUAGCCACUACGAGGAAAUCUUUCAAACCCGUAGUGAACUCGCCGGAGAGUCGGUUACCGUACAUCCAUUGCCGAUUCAUCUGCAUUAUUAUAAUAUAAAAUAUAUAAUUAACCAUCAUGCAUUUGUUAAACUAACUAGCUACAAACAAUAUAAAUUAAACAAUGAACUGCACACAUGCAUAUUUUAUCAAUGACACAUCAAAGGUUCAUCAAGUUGCUAACCGCGAUCGAGGAGUGUGGCUCCAACACUUCAUGUCAUGUUUGUUUCAUGCUCUUGGGGCAUUUCAUCAAACACCUUAUGUGCAUAAGAGGAACCAAAAGCAAACCUACACCCACUUGUGAAGAGAAUGGCUCCAAAUGGCUAAGUGUUGGCUGCUGGAUGGGUAUAUAUAGGGGAGGGGCUUUAGUUGCGGUUGGCUUGGCAAACCGUGACUAAAGGUGCCCGAAGGCCUUUAGUCGCGGUUGUCCUGGCCAACCGCGACUAAAGACCCUCACGUGCGCCAGCUGGCCACCGAGCGCCCUGAGCCCAGGCCUUUGGUCGCGGUUCACCUCCAGAACCGCGACUAAAGGUCCCAUUAGUCGCGGUUCCUACAGCUUCGCGACUUAUGGGGCUGGACGGAAGCUUGUUUUUCCACCAGUGUACUAGGUAAGGUGUCGUUCCAGUCAAAUUGAUGAAUUCAUCUUUUGUUACCUUUGUUAUAGGAAUAUAGGCUGCAUUUAUUAGUCAUAUCGAGCUCUCAAGGAGUCAAGAUCUUGUUAACUUACUAAUAAUUUCUAUAUACCUGCAGCGUUAUGGCCUAUGGUGCAGGGCAAAGACAACAAGGACGACAUGCGGCGGCGACGUGGCCAUGGUGAAGCUACUUCGUCCGGCUACCCCAUGGUUGGCGUGUCUGCCGUCCUCUCAAUCUAUCACACGUACGUCCGGUGCAUGCAUGGUGUCGGGCCGAAGAGCACACAAAUCUACAUCCAGGCCCUGGGCACUAGCAACCGCUGAUGCACUUAGCCACUUACCAAUGUAUUCCUAUUGUACGUAUAUAAUAAAGUGGUUAGUACGUCGACGUAGAAAUAGUUAGUAGCUUGCUUUGCACUCACACAAUCGAGUCAUGAUUGUUACUGAUGAUCAAAAUUUUAUGUAUUUUUUAUGCCGGAUGGGUUUACUACUUCUUCUUCGGUUGUAUAUAAAGCUUCCAAAAAAUUAGUAUAUAAUCCUCCAGAAUAAAUCAGUAUAUAGUCCUCCAAAAAAAUGAGUAUAUACACUUUGUAACGCAGCAUAUACCCCAUAAAAAAUGUAGUAUAACGCUGCAGAAAUAAGACAUACUCCUUUUCUAGUUGCAUAUACCCAAUCACAAAACUACACUGAAAUAAUUAGUAGUACAUACUCCUUUUCUAUUUUGGAAAGGAACGUCCAUUUCCCUCUUCAACAAGUGCUUUAUUUUUCUAGGGGUAGCCUUGUGUUUUUACUGCCAUGCGACGACAUUACAAAAUGUAUUACACCCAUUAUUCAUCUAAUUUUUUAUAUACCCUUUUAUGCAUACUUUGAAUUUAUCACUCAUUUGGGCGACCAGCCCGCUCUCUCAUUGCAGCGACUCGACUCUCACAUAAAGCCAGUAUAUACUCACGUAAAAAAAAGCAGUAUAGACUCCCUUACUGAAAAAGAACUAUAUACUCCCCUACCAAAAAAAGUAGUAUAUGCUCCAUUACCAAAAAGGCAGUAUAUACUCAUAUACAAAAGGUGGUAUAUACUGUCUUCCCAAAGUAGUAUAUAUCUUUUUCCUUGCGUUAGAGAAGUAGUAUAACCAGAACAGAUAGUUCAUACUUGUGUGCUGAAAAAAGUAGUAUAUAAAUAUAUAUGUAAGAGUGAGUAUGGUAGAUAUGUAUCGGUCCUUACAAAAAAAAUCAACCACUGUUAUUGUUUAUUUGCACCGAACUAACCUUAUCUGUAUGCUAGGAUCCUUGAAUCUCUCAAUCUGUUGAUGCACAUGCAUGCGUCGGCCGGUGGAGCAAUUAGCAACUAGAUCUAAUAACUGCCAACCUGUUCAGUCCAUGGGAGUACAUACUCCUGGGAGUAUAAAAGAGGAGUCUAUAUAUAUAUAUAUAUAUAUAUAUAUAUACGGUGGCGCUAUUGUGUGCGUGAGCGCAGAUUUACUUAUCGUGCGCGCCGGUCAUUGCGUGCGCCACUCGUAUUCCUAAUGAUGGUAAAAUUCCUGGCAGAAAUAGUAAUAUAAUUUAAUUGGUUACUGCCUGCCACCACCACGGUAGCGAUUUAAUUGGUUAGGUCUACUAGUAAAAAUGCAUAGCAGAAAAAGUAAAAGAGCUAAAAGUAUUACUGUUGGAUGCAUCGGUCCCCGCUUCGACUGCCUACUAGUAAAACACCUCAUAAAAGUAGUAAUAGGAUUACCCUACACGCAUCAGCCCCUUGCCAUACUUGUGAACAGGUAAACUUCAUGUGAAGAAUAGUACUGGAUGGUAACUGUGUUACCAUAGAACGGACACUUGCUAUUAGCUAGCUACAUGGUAAUUUUAUUACCGCUAACUUUCAUCGGUUUAAUACCUAAUCAUGUUACCACUUAUUUUCUUAGUAGUAUUGGAUGGUAACUAUGUUACCACAUGACGAAAAAAUUGCUAUUAGCUAAUAGCUACACGGUAAUUGCAUUACCACUCAUGUGUAGAAGCAUGAUACACGGUCUUUUUUCCAAUUACGUUUGGUCGAAGACGCAAGGGUUUGCUAAUCGCUAAAGUGGGGUCGAAGCAGUAAUAAGUUUCCAACCGUUACCAUGUUUCUUAAGGUAUGUUACGUAUGGGCGCAAGACAUGUUCUUUAAUAGGAGCGGGACAACGGUUGCUUAGACGGAGAAUGGCGCGCAGUCUGGCCGGAGCGUAGAAUUAGACUUCUGCGCUCAGGCUUAGUUUAGCACGUCUAUAUAUAUAUAUAUAUAUAUAUAUAUAUAUAUACAUACAUGUUAGUGGCCUCGACGCUGCUUCUCUAGGGUUUGGGGUCGCCUCGACACAACGCUUCAAGGGUUUGGGGUGGCCUCGACGACAACGUUUUUUUAACUUGAUAAAUUUGGGUGGCCUCGAGAGAGUUAAUUUGUCGGGUAGGGGCGCGGCGGGAGGGGGUAGGAGACCAACAUCGUUUUCUCUCUAGGGUUUGGGUGUCCUCGAGAGUUAUCGGGGAGGGGGUAUCGGUACCACCCCCUAGCUCGUGUUGAAGUUUCUUCUUUCUCCUCUAUUCCUUUCUUUCUUCUUCUCCUCUUCUUUUUCUUCUUCUCCCUCGAGAAAGGAAAAUANNNNNNNNNNNNNNNNNNNNNNNNNNNNNNNNNNNNNNNNNNNNNNNNNNNNNNNNNNNNNNNNNNNNNNNNNNNNNNNNNNNNNNNNNNNNNNNNNNNNNNNNNNNNNNNNNNNNNNNNNNNNNNNNNNNNNNNNNNNNNNNNNNNNNNNNNNNNNNNNNNNNNNNNNNNNNNNNNNNNNNNNNNNNNNNNNNNNNNNNNNNNNNNNNNNNNNNNNNNNNNNNNNNNNNNNNNNNNNNNNNNNNNNNNNNNNNNNNNNNNNNNNNNNNNNNNNNNNNNNNNNNNNNNNNNNNNNNNNNNNNNNNNNNNNNNNNNNNNNNNNNNNNNNNNNNNNNNNNNNNNNNNNNNNNNNNNNNNNNNNNNNNNNNNNNNNNNNNNNNNNNNNNNNNNNNNNNNNNNNNNNNNNNNNNNNNNNNNNNNNNNNNNNNNNNNNNNNNNNNNNNNNNNNNNNNNNNNNNNNNNNNNNNNNNNNNNNNNNNNNNNNNNNNNNNNNNNNNNNNNNNNNNNNNNNNNNNNNNNNNNNNNNNNNNNNNNNNNNNNNNNNNNNNNNNNNNNNNNNNNNNNNNNNNNNNNNNNNNNNNNNNNNNNNNNNNNNNNNNNNNNNNNNNNNNNNNNNNNNNNNNNNNNNNNNNNNNNNNNNNNNNNNNNNNNNNNNNNNNNNNNNNNNNNNNNNNNNNNNNNNNNNNNNNNNNNNNNNNNNNNNNNNNNNNNNNNNNNNNNNNNNNNNNNNNNNNNNNNNNNNNNNNNNNNNNNNNNNNNNNNNNNNNNNNNNNNNNNNNNNNNNNNNNNNNNNNNNNNNNNNNNNNNNNNNNNNNNNNNNNNNNNNNNNNNNNNNNNNNNNNNNNNNNNNNNNNNNNNNNNNNNNNNNNNNNNNNNNNNNNNNNNNNNNNNNNNNNNNNNNNNNNNNNNNNNNNNNNNNNNNNNNNNNNNNNNNNNNNNNNNNNNNNNNNNNNNNNNNNNNNNNNNNNNNNNNNNNNNNNNNNNNNNNNNNNNNNNNNNNNNNNNNNNNNNNNNNNNNNNNNNNNNNNNNNNNNNNNNNNNNNNNNNNNNNNNNNNNNNNNNNNNNNNNNNNNNNUGAAAACACUUUUUUUUGUUUUCUUUCUUGCUUUAUUUAUUUUAUUUUGUUUCUACUUGCAAUAAAAUACUUAUUGUUGUUUUUUUGUUUUGUUUUCUGCAUUAUUUAUUUUCUUUUGUUUUUUGCUUUAUUUUUUAAUUCUUUUUGCUUUUAGUUUUAGGAAAAUUAUAAACUUUCUAUUAGUGCCAUUACUUUUCAAAUUUGAAAACACUUUUUUGUUUUUUAGUUUUCUUUCUUGCUUUAUUUAUUUUAUUUUGUUUCUACUUACAACAAAAUACUUAUUGUUGCUAUUUUUAAUUAUUACGAAGGCCAAACCAUAAGACAUUAAAGCAUUUCAAAUGAACUCUGAAAAAGUUGAAAGUUGGCAUGGUAUCAUAAAUUGACCCACACAUAGCAUGUGCAUGUACAAAACGGACAAUGUUAUCAUACUCGUCAGUUACAAAGUUGGCAUGGUAUCAUCAUAAUAGUUGCGGGAGAAAGUCUUCACUUUUUCUUCGCUUGUGUCAUUUGCUUAUUGCGCCGUAACCAUGGAUAAUCUUCAUCGUUUAUCAGGAUGCUGGGGUCAGCCUUGACUUUAAAGGGAGGAAUUUCAUGAAACUUUUCAUAAUCUUCAGACAUGUCUGUCUUGUCCUCCUCUCCCACGAUGUCCCUUUUUCCUGAAAGAACUAUGUGGCGCUUUGGCUCAUCGUAUGAUGUAUUCGCUUCCUUAUCUUUUCUCUUUCUUGGUCUGGUAGACAUGUCCAUCACAUAGAUAACCUGUGCCACAUCAUUGGCUAGGACGAACGGUUCGUCAGUGUACCCAAGAUUUUUCGGAUCCACUGUUGUCGUUCCGUACUGUGGGUCUACAUGUACCCCGCCUCCUGACAGAUUGACCCAUUUGCACUUAAACAAAGGGACCUUAAAAUCAUGUCCUUAGUCAAGUUCCCAUAUGUCCACUAUGUAACCAUAAUAUGUGUCCUUUCCCCUCUCGGUUGUUGCAUCAAAGCGGACACCGCUGUUUUGGUUGGUGCUCUUUUGAUCUUGGUUAAUCGUGUAAAAUGUCUUCCCAUUUAUCUCAUAUCCUUUCCAAAUCGUAACAGUCGAAGAUGGUCCCCUGGAUAACAAGUACAUCUCAUCACAAACAGCGUUGUCACCUCUGAUACGUGCUUCCAACCAACUGCUGAAAGUCCUGAUGUGUUCACAUGUAAUUCAGUCGUCGCACUGCUCCGGGUGUUUGGAGCGCAGACUGUUCUUGUGUUCAUCCACAUACGGGGUCACCAAGGUAGAGUUCUGUAGAACUGUGUAGUGUGCUUGAGACCAAGAAUAUCUGUCCCUGCAUAUUAUUGAGUCCCUUCCAAGCAUGCCUUUUCCAGUCAGUCUCCCCUCAUACCGCGAUUUAGGGAGACCUAUCUUCUUAUGGCCAGGAAUGAAGUCAACACAAAACCCGAUGACAUCCUCUGUUUGAUGGCCCAUGGAGAUGCUUCCUUCUGGCCUAGCGCGAUGAGGGACAUAUUUCUUUAGGACUCCCAUGAACCUCUCAAAGGGGUACAUAUUGUGUAGAAAUACGGGGCCCAAAAUGACAAUCUCGUCAACUAGAUGAACUAGGACGUGCGUCAUGAUAUUGAAGAAGGAUGGUGGGAACACCAGCUCGAAACUGACAAGACAUUGCACCACAUCACUCCUUAGCCUUGGUAUGAUUUCUGGAUCGAUCACCUUCUGAGAGAUUGCAUUGAGGAAUGCACAUAGCUUCACAAUGGCUAAUCGGACGUUUUCCGGUAGAAGCCCCCUCAAUGCAACCGGAAGCAGUUGUGUCAUAAUCACGUGGCAGUCAUGAGACUUUAGGUUCUGAAACUUUUUCUUUGCCAUAUUUAUUAUUCCUUUUAUAUUCGACGAGAAGCCAGUCGGGACCUUCAUACUAAGCAGGCAUUCAAAGAAGAUUUCCUUCUCUUCUUUGGUAAGAGCAUAGCUGGCAGGACCUUCAUACUGCUUUGGAGGCAUGCCGUCUUUUUCGUGCAAAUGUUGCAGGUCCUCCCGUGCCUCAGCUGUAUCUUUUGUCUUCCCAUACACGCCCAAGAAGCCUAGCAGGUUCACGCAAAGGUUCUUCGUCACGUGCAUCACGUCGAUCGAAGAGCGGACCUCUAGGUCUUUCUAGUAGGGUAGGUCCCAAAAUAUAGAUUUCUUCUUCCACAUGGGUGCGUGUCCCCCAACGUCACUCGGAACAGCUAGUCUGCCGGGACCCUUUCCAAAGAUUACGUGUAAAUCAUUGACCAUAGCAAGUACGUGACCACCGGUACGCAUGGCGGGCUUCUUCCGGUGAUCUGCCUCGCCUUUGAAAUGCUUGCCUUUCUUUCGACAUUGAUGGUUGGUCGGAAGAAAUCGACGAUGGCCCAGGUACACAUUCUUCCUACAGCUUGCCAGGUAUAUACUAACGGUGUCAAGUAAACAGUGCGUGCAUGCGUGGUAUCCCUUGUUUGUCUGUCCUAAAAGGUUACUGAGAGCAGGCCAAUCGUUGAUGGUCACGAACAGCAACGCCUUUAGGUUAAAUUUCUCCUGUUUGUGCUCAUCCCACGUACGUACACCGUUUCCAUUCCACAGCUGUAAAAGUUCUUCAACUAAUGGCCUUAGGUACACAUCAAUGUCAUUGCCGGGUUGCUUAGGGCCUUGGAUGAGAACUGGCAUCAUAAUGAACUUCCGCUUCAUGCACAUCCAAGGAGGAAGGUUAUACAUACAUAGAGUCACGGGCCAGGUGCUGUGAUUGCUGCUCUGCUCCCCGAAAGGAUUAAUGCCAUCCGCACUUAAAGCAAACCAUACGUUCCUUGGCUCACUUGCAAACUCAUCCCAGUACUUUCUCUCAUUUUUCUCCAUUGCGACCCGUCAGCGGGUGCUCUCAACUUCCCGUCUUUCUUACGGUCCUCACUAUGCCAUCGCAUCAACUUGGCAUGCUCUCCGUUUCUGAACAGACGUUUCAACCGUGGUAUUAUAGGAGCAUACCACAUCACCACUACUAGGGAAAAGCCUAUACAUAGAAUCUUACCAGCAGCGCUCUUCAAAAUACAACGCUACUGCUACUUAGCAGCAGCGCGUGUCUGCCAAACACGCUGCUGACUUGGAAGUAGCAGUAGCGGGUGCAUCGCAUACAGCGCUACUGCUAUAGUUGCCAUGACCUUGCCCCCCCCCCCCCNNNNNNNNNNNNNNNNNNNNNNNNNNNNNNNNNNNNNNNNNNNNNNNNNNNNNNNNNNNNNNNNNNNNNNNNNNNNNNNNNNNNNNNNNNNNNNNNNNNNNNNNNNNNNNNNNNNNNNNNNNNNNNNNNNNNNNNNNNNNNNNNNNNNNNNNNNNNNNNNNNNNNNNNNNNNNNNNNNNNNNNNNNNNNNNNNNNNNNNNNNNNNNNNNNNNNNNNNNNNNNNNNNNNNNNNNNNNGCAAACGCGCUACAACUAUCCCUACCUUAUCCCCAUGCGCACGACCGGCCCUCUCACUCACACUCUCACUCUCGCCCACGUCAACCGUCGUCGUCCGUCGCCGCCGCCGCCGCCUUCGUCCGUCCGCCGCCGAGGUACUCCCCUCCUUCCGUCCCUCCUCCAUCCUCCUUGCACAUCCUCCCUCCGCCUGUGGCCGCCCCUCCUUCCUCCGCCGCUGCCCUCCUCCCUCCGCCUGCGGCCGCCCCUCCUCCCUCCUCCGACGGCAGCCCUCCUCCCACCGCCCUCGACCUCGCUGCCCCUAGCUACCUCUCCGUCGCCCCCCACCCCUGCCACUAGUUAGUACUAGAUUUAGUAGUAGUAGAUGUUAAUUUAGGGUUAGCUAGUACUAGAUGUUGCUUAGUUAGUACUAGAUUUUUAGUAGUAGUAGUGGUAGUUGAACUACUUUAGUUGUAGUUGAACUAGUUUAGUAAGUAAAUUAAUAAACGAGUUGAACUAGUUGAAUUAAUAGAACUAAUCUAUUUUUAGUAAGAUAAUUAAUAUAACUAGUUGAACUACUUUAUUUUUAGAAAGAACUAAUUUUUUUCUAUUUAUAUUAAGUUUAUAUUUAGUAAGAACUAGUUGAAUUAAUAAAACUAGUUGAACAUGUCAUGUUUGUUGUUAGUGAUAACUUAUAUGGUUUCAGGUGACCUCCGUCGUCCCCGUCACCGACCCCCUCCGACAUCCCCGUCGUCGUCCCAGUCACCGACCCCCUCCGACAUCGAGGUGAGACCAGCCAAAUAUCCUUGUAUAUCUUGUGUUGUUGCUCAAAUUGGAUAUGUGGUUGCCCAAGUGGCCGUUCAUGUAGUUUACAUCUCCGAGUGGCCUAUGUUUUGCCGGAGUGUUGAUUAAUUUCCGUUCCGACAAAUUUCAGGCGCUCGAUAUGUCCUUUUUUAGCAAAGGUCAUGCCGGAUUUUGUCGUGAAUUCUGGUAUGACUUGUGCUAGAAUAUGUACAAGUUUAAUCUUUGAAUUAUGAUUGUAGGAAAUGUCGUACUCGGACGACGAAGGUCUCCCGGGGGAGUGUAGCUGGUGCCACGACGAUCGAGGUAUGUGCGAUAGGUUCGUUCGGCUGGACGAAGAUCGGCGCUUCAACAUUAAGCUCGAGGAGACCUUCGAUUGUGAAAUGGUACGCAACAACGACAAGUGUUUUUUCUCCAUUAAGCAUGACUUCAACUAUUUCAACGUCUAAUUUUCAUAUUUUACAAUUCGACUAGCUUAUCCCAUGCCAUGCAAGACGCUAUGUCUUGGAGAGGAUGGGUUUUGAAGACCAUGAAAAUUUCAAAACAAAGAAAAUACACCUAAGGACCCAUCAUGAUAUGGAUUUUGAAGUAAACCUGUGCAAUGCUCAGAGCGCAACCCAUUUUGGUUGCCAAAAUUGGGAAGCACUUUGCAAAAUGUAUGGUUUUUAUGAGGGUAUGAUUGUCACCAUGGAUCUUGGUGAUCCUGACAGUGAGGAAGACAAUAUGGACAUUUGGGUCCUUGUUGAUACGCUUCCGAUUGUACCGCUAUGUGACUUUCUCAAACAUAGUUAUUAACUAAUUUAUAUUGUUUAUUUCAAAAUAGUUGAUAGCUUAUUUCCAUUGACAGCUUAUUUUGAUUCUUCAAAGACUGUGCGGAAGAUGGUAGAUAAAACCCACUACACCGAAGGCACCCAAUUAACGUAUAAGGAGAAAAAUCAUCUGAUCGCAUUUUGUACUCUUCUUGAGAAUUACAAUGACUAUAAUCGAACUCCUCCAGAUUAUGGUGAAUAUGUGCCACUAGUGCAUGUGUUGAACAACGAUAACUUAUCUGGAGAUACCCUGGUAAGAUUUUUUACUAUUACGACAUCCGUGUAUUUUUUGCAUACUUCUAAAACUAGUACAUCAUUGCUAACUACGAAGUUAUUAUUAUGUUUUUCAACAGAAACUCCCGAUGGAUUGUGUGCCUCAUCUGAUGUCUCUGCAUGGUCGCCUCUCAGUUCUGAACAUACUGCCAGGUAAAUCUACAGAGCUCACCUAUGCAUAUCAGAUUUCUAAAACCCGUGAACACAUGAUCAUCAGAGAAUGGAAGAAAUGUAUGGACAUUCGCAAGGAGGUUCUUGGAAGUAACAUUCAGCGAAACGUAAGAAUGGGAGACAGGCUAAUCUCCAUUCUCCAUAAUGGAGAGUCAGGGGCUAUCUUGUUUUUUGUUAUUUUACCUUAGAAAAUGUAGUAGGUCUUAAUCGAAUGUAAUAGGUCCUAUGAGGUACAAUAUGUUUAUUAUGUGGUAAUGUGUUAGAGUUGAUAAUGAUGAUCUUGAGGAGGUGUUAUGUGAUGUCAAUGAUGAAAACGAUGAUAUUGAGGAGGUGUUAUAUGACAAUGAUGUAUUAUGAUGCUAAGUUGUUAAUGAUAUGAUGAUGAUGAUGAUAUUAUUAUAUCAUUGGGUGAAAGAACCGUGGAUUAGUUUCAAGUGGAUGGACAUCCACUUGAAACUAGUCCACGGUUCUUUCACCCCAUGAUGUAAUAACUCAUUAUGAUGUAAAAACAAUCUCUAAAUUCCUGUUGUAUGAAAACUUGUGUAAGGGUGUAUGAAUACAACAUGAAAAAGAAAAGAAAUAAAAUACUAAAUAAUAGUAGUAGCGCGGGUAAGGAGAAGCGCUACUACUAAUUACCAGUAGCGAUGUUCUAAAGAACCGCUGCUACUAAGUCAAUUUAGCAGUAGCGCGUGUCAAGACGCGCUAUUGCUAAGCAUUAGCUGUAGCGCCUUAUCAGUAGCGCUCCUGCCCGCGCUACUGAUAGGCCCAAAACCCGCGCUGCUGCUAGGCUUUUCCCUAGUAGUGCACCUUCGCAGGAACCCUCUUCCUGGGGGGCUCGCCGUCAACAUCACCAGGGUCAUCUCGUCUGAUCUUAUACCAUAAUGCACCGCAUACCAGGCAUGCGUUCAGAUCCUUAUAUGCACCGCGGUAGAGGAUGCAGUCAUUAGGGCAUGCAGGUAUCUUCUGCACCUCCAAUCCUAGAGGGCAUACGACCUUCUUUGCUGCGUAUGUACUGUCGGGCAAUUCGUUAUCCUUUGGAAGCUUCUUCUUCAAUAUUUUCAGUAGCUUCUCAAAUCCUUUGUCAGGCACAGCAUUCUCUUAAAGGAAAUAUGCCCUAGAGGCAAUAAUAAAGUUAUUAUUUAUUUCCUCAUAUCAUGAUAAAUGUUUAUUAUUCAUGCUAGAAUUGUAUUAACCGGAAACAUGAUACAUGUGUGAAUACAUAGACAAAACUAUAGUCACUAGUAUGCCUCUACUUGACUAGCUCAUUAAUCAAAGAUGGUUAUGUUUCCUGACCAUAGACAUGUGUUGUCAUUUGAUUAGUGGGAUCACAUCAUUAAGAGAAUGAUGUGAUUGACAUGACCCAUUCUGUUAGCCCAGCACUUGAUCGUUUAGUAUACUGCUAUUGCUUUCUUCAUGACUUAUACAAAGUUCCUGCAACUAUGAGAUUGUGCAACUCCCGUUUACCGGAAGAACACUUUGUGUGCUACCAAACAUCACAACGUAACUGGGUGAUUAUAAAGGUGCUCUACAGGUGUUUCCGAAGGUACAUGUUGGGUUGGCAUAAUUCGAGAUUAGGAUUUGUCACUCCGAUUGUCGGAGAGGUAUCUCUGGGCCCUCUCGGAAAUACUCAUCACAUAAGCCUUGCAAGCAUGUAACUAAUGAGUUAGUUAUGAGAUGACGUAUUACGAAACGAGUAAAGAGACUUGCCGGUAACGAGAUUGAACUAGGUAUUGGAUACCGACGAUCAAAUCUCGGGCAAGUAACAUACCGAUGACAAAGGGAACAAAGUAUGUUGUUAUGCGGUUUGACCGAUAAAGAUCUUCGUAGAAUAUGUAGGAACCAAUAUGGGCAUCCAGGUCCCGCUAUUGGUUAUUGACCGAGAAUGGUUUUAGGUCAUGACUACAUAGUUCUCAAACCCGUAGGGUCCGCACGCUUAACUUUUUGAUGAUAGUUUUAUUAUGAGUUUAUAAGUUUUGAUGUACCAAAGUUUGUUCGGAGUUCCGGAUGUGAUCACGGAUAUGAUGAGGAGUCUCGGAAUGCUUGAGCCAUAAAGAUUGAUAUAUUGGACGACUAUAUUCGGACACCGGAAAGGUUCCGGGAGUUUUCGGAGAAAACCGGAGUGCCCGGGGGGUUACCGAAACCCCCCGGGAGAGUUAAUGGGCCACAUGGGCCUAGGUGGGAAGAGAAAGGGGCGGCCAGGGUGAGCCGCGCGCCCCCUCUCCCUCUAGUCCGAAUUGGACUAGGAGGGGGGGCGGCGCCCCCUUUCCUUCCCCCCCUCUCUUCCUUCCUUCCCCCUCCUAGUAGGAGUAGGAAAGGAGGAAUCCUACUCCUACUAGGAGGAGGAUUCCUCCUCCCUUGCGCGCCCCAAGGGGCCGGCCGGCCUCCCCCUCCCUCCUUUAUAUACGGGGGCAGGGGGCACCCCAUAGACACACAAGUUGAUCUACGGAUCGUUCCUUAGCCGUGUGCGGUGCCCCCUUCCACCAUAUUCCACCUCGGUCAUAUCGUCGCGAAGCUUAGGCGAAGUCCUGCGCCGGUAGAACAUCAAGAUCGUCACCACGCCGUCGUGCUGACGGAACUCUCCCUCGACACUCGGCUGGAUCGGAGUUCGAGGGACGUCAUCGAGCUGAAUGUGUGCUGAACUCGGAGGCUCCGUACGUUCGGUUCUUGGAUCGGUCGGAUCGUGAAGACGUAUGACUACAUCAACCGCGUUGUCAUAACGCUUCCGCUUACGGUCUACGAGGGUACAUGGACAUACACUCUCCCCUCUCGUUGCUAUGUCAUCACCAUGAUCUUGCGUGUGCGUAGGAAAAUUUUGAAAUUACUACGUUCCCCGACAGUGGUAUCAGAGCCUAGGUUUUAUGCGUUGAUGUUAUAUGCACGAGUAGAACACAAGUGAGUUGUGGACGAUAUAAGUCAUACUGCCUACCAGUGUGUCAUACUUUGGUUCAGCGGUAUUGUGAGAUGAAGCGGCCCGGACCGACAUUACGGGUACGCUUACGCGAGACUAGUUUCACCGUUAUGAGCACUCGUGCUUAAAGGUGGCUGGCGGGUGUCUGUCUCUCUCACUUUAGUUGAACCGAGUGUGGCUACGCCCGGCCCUUGUGAAGGUUAAAACGGAGUCUAUUUGACAAACUAUCGUUGUGGUUUUGAUGCGUAGGUAAGAACGGUUCUUGCUAAGCCCGUAGCAUCCACGUAAAAUUUGCAACAACAAAGUAGAGGACGUCUAACUUGUUUUUGCAGGGCAUGUUGUGAUAUGAUAUGGUCAAGACGUGAUGCUAUAUUUUAUUGUAUGAGAUGAUCAUGUUUUGUAACCGAAGUUAUCGGCAACUGGCUGGAGCCAUAUGGUUGUCGCUUUAUUGUAUGAAAUGCAAACGCCCUGUAAUUGCUUUACUUUAUCUCUAAGCGGUAGCGAUAGUCGUAGAAGCAAUAGAUGGCGUAAACGACAACGAUGCUACGAUGGAGAUCAAGGUGUCGCGCCGGUGACGAUGGUGAUCAUGACGGUGCUUCGAAGAUGGAGAUCACAAGCACAAGAUGAUGAUGGCCAUAUCAUAUCACUUAUAUUGAUUGCAUGUGAUGUUUAUCCUUUAUGCAUCUUAUCUUGCUUUGAUUGACGGUAGCAUUUUAAGAUGAUCUCUCACUAAAAUUAUCAAGUAGUGUUCUCCCUGAGUAUGCACCGUUGCCAAAGUUCAUCGUGCCGAGACACCACGUGAUGAUCGGGUGUGAUAAGCUCUACGUCCAUCUACAACGGGUGCAAGCCAGUUUUGCACACGCAGAAUACUCAGGUUAAACUUGACGAGCCUAGCAUAUGCAGAUAUGGCCUCGGAACACAGAGACCGAAAGGUCGAGCGUGAAUCAUAUAGUAGAUAUGAUCAACAUAAUGAUGUUCACCAUUGAAAACUACUCCAUCUCACGUGAUGAUCGGUUAUGGUUUAGUUGAUUUGGAUCACGUGAUCACUUAGAUGACUAGAGAGAUGUCUGUCUAUGUGGGAGUUCUUAAGUAAUAUGAUUAAUUGAACUUAAAUUUAUCAUGAACUUAGUACCUGAUAGUAUCUUGCUUGUCUAUGUUUGUUUGUAGAUAGAUGGCUCGUGCUGUUGUUCCGUUGAAUUUUAAUGCGUUCCUUGAGAAAGCAAAGUUGAAAGAUGAUGGUAGCAAUUACACGGACUGGGUCCGUAACCUGAGGAUUAUCCUCAUUGUUGCACAGAAGAGUUACGUCCUGGAAGCACCGCUGGGUGCCAGGCCUGCUGCUGAUGCAACUGACGACGUUAAGAACGUCUGGCAGAGCAAAGCUGAUGACUACUCUAUAGUUCAGUGUGCCAUGCUUUACGGCUUAGAACCGGGUCUUCAACGACGUUUUGAACGUCAUGGAGCAUAUGAGAUGUUCCAGGAGUUGAAGUUAAUAUUUCAAGCAAAUGCCCGGAUUGAGAGAUAUGAAGUCUCCAAUAAGUUCUAUAGCUGCAAGAUGGAGGAGAAUAGUUCUGUCAGUGAACAUAUACUCAGAAUGUCUGGGUAUAACAAUCACUUGAUUCAACUGGGAGUUAAUCUUCCUGAUGAUAGUGUCAUUGACAGAAUUCUUCAAUCACUGCCACCAAGCUACAAGAGCUUUGUGAUGAACUAUAAUAUGCAAGGGAUGAACAAGACUAUUCCCGAGCUCUUCGCGAUGCUGAAAGCCGCAGAGGUAGAAAUCAAGAAGGAGCAUCAAGUGUUGAUGGUCAACAAGACCACUAGUUUCAAGAAGAAGGGCAAAGGAAAGAAGAAGGGGAACUUCAAAAAGAACGGCAAGCAAGUUGCUGCUCAAGAGAAGAAACCCAAGUCUGGACCUAAGCCUGAAACUGAGUGCUUCUACUGCAAGCAGACUGGUCACUGGAAGCGGAACUGCCCCAAGUAUUUGGCGGAUAAGAAGGAUGGCAAAGUAAACAAAGGUAUAUGUGAUAUACAUGUUAUUGAUGUGUACCUAACUAGAGCUCGUAGUAGCACCUGGGUAUUUGAUACUGGUUCUGUUGCUAAUAUUUGCAACUCGAAACAGGGACUACGGAAUAAGCGAGCACUGGCCAAGGACGAGGUGACGAUGCGCGUGGAAAACGGUUCCAAAGUCGAUGUGAUCGCGGUCGGCACGCUACCUCUACAUCUACCAUCGGGAUUAGUUUUAGACCUAAAUAAUUGUUAUUUGGUGCCAGCGUUGAGCAUGAACAUUAUAUCUGGAUCUUGUUUGAUGCAAGACGGUUAUUCAUUUAAAUCAGAGAAUAAUGGUUGUUCUAUUUAUAUGAGUAAUAUCUUUUAUGGUCAUGCACCCUUGAAGAGUGGUCUAUUUUUAUUGAAUCUCGAUAGUAGUGAUACACAUAUUCAUAUUGUAGAAGCCAAAAGAUGCAGAGUUGAUAAUGAUAGUGCAACUUAUUUGUGGCACUGCCGUUUGGGUCAUAUCGGUGUACAACGCAUGAAGAAACUCCAUACUGAUGGACUUCUGGAAUCACUUGAUUAUGAAUCACUUGGUACUUGCGAACCGUGCCUUAUGGGCAAGAUGACUAAAACACCGUUCUCCGGAACUAUGGAGAGAGCAACAGAUUUGUUGGAAAUCAUACAUACAGAUGUAUGUGGUCCGAUGAAUGUUGAGGCUCGUGGCGGAUAUCAUUAUUUUCUCACCUUCACUGAUGAUUUAAGCAGAUAUGGGUAUAUCUACUUAAUGAAGUACAAGUCUGAAACAUUUGAAAAGUUCAAAGAAUUUCAGAGUGAAGUAGAAAAUCAUCGUAACAAGAAAAUAAAGUUUCUACGAUCUGACCGUGGAGGAGAAUAUUUGAGUUACGAGUUUGGUUUACAUUUGAAACAAUGCGGAAUAGUUUCGCAACUCACGCCACCUGGAACACCACAACGAAAUGGUGUGUCCAAACGUCGUACUCGUACUUUACUUGAUAUGGUGCGAUCUAUGAUGUCUCUUACCGAUUUACCGCUAUCGUUUUGGGGUUAUGCUUUAGAGACGGCCGCAUUCACGUUAAAUAGGGCACCAUCAAAAUCCGUUGAGAUGACGCCUUAUGAACUGUGGUUUGGCAAGAAACCAAAGUUGUCGUUUCUUAAAGUUUGGGGCUGCGGUACUUAUGUGAAGAAACUUCAACCAGAUAAGCUCGAACCCAAAUCGGAGAAAUGUGUCUUCGUAGGAUACCCAAAGGAGACUAUUGGGUACACCUUCUAUCACAGAUCUGAAGGCAAGAUUUUCGUUGCUAAAUUCGGAUCCUUUCUAGAGAAGGAAUUUCUCUCGAAAGAAGUGAGUGGGAGGAAAGUAGAACUUGAUGAGAUAACUGUAUCUACUCCCUUAUUGGAAGGUAGUUCAUCACGAGAACUGGUUCCCAUGACAACUACACCAAUUAUUGAGGAAGCUAAUAAUAUUGAUCAUGAAACUUCAGAUCAAGUUUCUGCUGAACCUCGUAGGUCUACCAGAGUAAGAUCCGCACCAGAGUGGUACGGUAAUCCUAUUCUGGAAGUCAUGUUACUUGACCAUGAUGAACCUACGAACUAUGAGGAACCGAUGAUGAGCCCAGAUUCCGCAAAAUGGCUAGAGGCCAUGAAAUCUGAGAUGGGAUCCAUGGAUGAAAACAAAGUAUGGACUUUGGUUGACUUGCCCGAUGAUCGGCAAGCCAUUGAGAAUAAAUGGAUCUUUAAGAAGAAGACUGACGCUGAUGGUAAUGUUACUGUCUAUAAAGCUCGACUUGUUGCGAAAGGUUUUCGACAAGUUCAAGGGGUUGACUAUGAUGAGACUUUCUCACCCGUAGCGAUGCUUAAGUCUGUCCGAAUCAUGUUGGCUAUUGCUGCAUUUCAUGAUUAUGAAAUUUGGCAAAUGGAUGUCAAAACUGCAUUCUUGAAUGGAUUUCUAGAAGAAGAGUUGUAUAUGAUGCAGCCGGAAGGUUUUGUUGAUCCAAAAGGUGCUGACAAAGUGUGUAAGCUCCAAUGUUCCAUUUAUGGACUGGUGCAAGCAUCUCGGAGUUGGAAUAAACGUUUUGACAGUGUGAUCAAGGCAUAUGGUUUUAUACAGACUUUUGGAGAAGCCUGUAUUUACAAGAAAGUGAGUGGGAGCUCUGUAGCAUUUCUAGUUUUAUAUGUUGAUGACAUAUUAUUAAUUGGAAAUGAUAUAGAAUUUCUGGAGAGCAUAAAGGGAUACUUGAAUAAAAGUUUUUCAAUGAAAGACCUCGGUGAAGCUGCUUACAUAUUGGGCAUCAAGAUCUAUAGAGAUAGAUCAAGACGCUUAAUAGGACUUUCACAAAGCACAUACCUUGACAAAAUUUUGAAAAAGUUCAAAAUGGAUCAGGCAAAGAAAGGAUUCUUGCCUGUGCUACAAGGUGUGAAGUUGAGUCAAACUCAAUGCCCGACCACAUCAGAAGAUAGAGAGAAAAUGAAAAAUGUUCCCUAUGCUUCAGCCAUAGGCUCUAUCAUGUAUGCAAUGCUGUGUACCAGACUUGACGUAUGCUUAGCAAUAAGCUUGGCAGGAAGGUACCAAAGUAAUCCAGGAGUGGAUCACUGGACAGCGGUCAAGAACAUCCUUAAAUACCUGAAAAGGACUAAGGAUAUAUUUCUCGUAUAUGUAGGUGACAAAGAGCUCGUCGUAAAUGGUUACGUCGAUGCAAGCUUUGACACUGAUCCAGACGAUUCUAAAUCGCAAACCGGAUACGUGUUUAUAUUAAACGGUGGAGCUGUAAGUUGGUGCAGUUCUAAACAAAGCGUCGUGGCGGGAUCUACAUGUGAAGCGGAGUACAUAGCUGCUUCUGAAGCAGCAAAUGAAGGAGUCUGGAUGAAGGAGUUCAUUUCCGAUCUAGGUGUCAUACCUAGUGCAUCGGGACCAAUGAAGAUCUUCUGUGACAAUACAGGUGCAAUUGCUUUGGCAAAGGAAUCCAGAUUUCACAAGAGGACCAAGCACAUCACGAGACGCUUAAAUUCCAUUCGGGACCAAGUCCAAGUGGGAGACAUACAGAUUUGCAAGAUACAUACGGAUCUGAAUAUUGCAGACCCGUUGACUAAGCAUCUCUCACGAGCAAAACAUGAUCAGCACCAAGACUCCAUGGGUGUUAGAAUCAUUAUUGUGUAAUCUAGAUUAUUGACUCUAGUGCAAGUGGGAGACUAAAGGAAAUAUGCCCUAGAGGCAAUAAUAAAGUUAUUAUUUAUUUCCUCAUAUCAUGAUAAAUGUUUAUUAUUCAUGCUAGAAUUGUAUUAACCGGAAACAUGAUACAUGUGUGAAUACAUAGACAAAACUAUAGUCACUAGUAUGCCUCUACUUGACUAGCUCAUUAAUCAAAGAUGGUUAUGUUUCCUGACCAUAGACAUGUGUUGUCAUUUGAUUAGUGGGAUCACAUCAUUAAGAGAAUGAUGUGAUUGACAUGACCCAUUCUGUUAGCCUAGCACUUGAUCGUUUAGUAUACUGCUAUUGCUUUCUUCAUGACUUAUACAAAGUUCCUGCAACUAUGAGAUUGUGCAACUCCCGUUUACCAAAAGAACACUUUGUGUGCUACCAAACGUCACAACGUAACUGGGUGAUUAUAAAGGUUCUCUACAGGUGUUUCCGAAGGUACAUGUUGGGUUGGCAUAAUUCGAGAUUAGGAUUUGUCACUCCGAUUGUCGGAGAGGUAUCUUUGGGCCCUCUCGGUAAUACUCAUCACAUAAGCCUUGCAAGCAUGUAACUAAUGAGUUAGUUAUGAGAUGACGUAUUACGGAACGAGUAAAGAGACUUGCCGGUAACGAGAUUGAACUAGGUAUUGGAUACCAACGAUCAAAUCUCGGGCAAGUAACAUACCGAUGACAAAGGGAACAAAGUAUGUUGUUAUGCGGUUUGACCGAUAAAGAUCUUCAUAGAAUAUGUAGGAACCAAUAUGGGCAUCCAGGUCCCGCUAUUGGUUAUUGACCGAGAAUGGUUUUAGGUCAUGACUACAUAGUUCUCGAACCCGUAGGGUCCGCACGCUUAACGUUUCGAUGAUAGUUUUAUUAUGAGUUUAUAAGUUUUGAUGUACCGAAGUUUGUUCGGAGUCCCAGAUGUGAUCACAGACAUGACGAGGAGUCUUGGAAUGGUCGAGACAUAAAGAUUGAUAUAUUGGACGACUAUAUUCGGACACCGGAAAGGUUCCGGGAGUUUUCGGAGAAAACCGGAGUGCCGGGGGGGUUACCGGAACCCCCCGGGAGAGUUAAUGGGCCACAUGGGCCUAGGUGGGAAGAGAGAGGUGCGGCCAGGGUGGGCCGCGCGCCCCCUCUCCCUCUAGUUCGAAUUGGACUAGGAGGGGGGGCGGCGCCCCCCUUUCCUUCCCCCCCUCUCUUCCUUCCUUCCCCCUCCUAGUAGGAGUAGGAAAGGAGGAAUCCUACUCCUACUAGGAGGAGGAUUCCUCCUCCCUUGGAGCGCCCCAAGGGGCUGGCCGGCCUCCCCCUCCCUCCUUUAUAUACGAGGGCAGGGGGCACCCCAUAGACACACAAGUUGAACUACGGAUCGUUCCUUAGCCGUGUGCGGUGCCCCCUUCCACCAUAUUCCACCUCGGUCAUAUUGUCGCGAAGCUUAGGCGAAGCCCUGCGCCGGUAGAACAUCAAGAUCGUCACCACGCCGUCGUGCUGACGGAACUCUCCCUCGACACUCGGCUGGAUCGGAGUUCGAGGGACGUCAUCGAGCUGAACAUCUGCUGAACUCGGAGGCUCCGUACGUUAGGUGCUUGGAUCGGUCGGAUCGUGAAGACGUACGACUACAUCAACCGCGUUGUCAUAACGCUUCCGCUUACGGUCUACGAGGGUACGUGGACAUACACUCUCCCCUCUCGUUGCUAUUUCAUCACCAUGAUCUUGCUUGUGCGUAGGAAAAUUUUGAAAUUACUACGUUCCCCAACAUCUCUGCCUUCCACUGCAGCAAUUCCAGUACGGUACCGAGCUUUGUGUUGCCAUCUUCGCAAUUGGGGUACAACCCUUUUUUUUGGUCCUCUAGCAUGCGAUCGAACUUCAGCUUCUCCUUUUGACUUUUGCAUUGCGUCCUUGCAUCGACAAUGACCCGGCGGAGAUCAUCAUCAUCGGGCACAUCGUCUGGUUCCUCUUGAUCUUCAGCAGCUUCGCCUGUUGCAGCAUCAUCGUGCACAUCGUCUGGUUCCUCUUGAUCUUCAGGAGCAUCACCGUAUUCAGGGGCACAUAGUUGUCAUCGUACUCUUCUUCACCGUCUUCCAUCAUAACCCCUAUUUCUCCGUGCCUCAUCCAAACAUUAUAGUGUGGCAUGAAACCCUUGUAAAGCAGGUGGGUGUGGAGGAUUUUCCGGUCAGAGUAAGACUUCGUAUUCCCACAUAUAGGACAUGGACAACACAUAAAACCAUUCUGCUUGUUUGCCUCAGCCACUUCGAGAAAAUCAUGCACGCGCUUAAUGUACUCGGAGGUGUGUCUUGAACCGUACAUCCAUUGCCGGUUCAUCUGCGUGCAUUAUAUAAUGAAGUGACCAAAUUAAUAGAAGUUCAUCAUCACAUUAAAACCAAAGUACAUACAUAGUUCUCAUCUAACAACAUAAAGCUCUGCAGAGCAUCUAAAUUAAUUAAACCAUACACUGAAACUAUGUAAAACAUUUCAAUGCGAAAACAAAUGCAACCAUAAUCGCAACCAAUGUAACAACUGAUCCAACGGCAUAAUGAUACCAAGCCUCAGUAUGAAUGGCAUAUUUUCUAAUCUUUCUAAUCUUCAAGCGCAUUGCAUCCAUCUUGAUCUUGUGAUCAUCGACGACAUCCCCAACAUGCAACUCCAAUAUCAUCUUCUCCUCCUCAAUUUUUCUAAUUUUUUCCUUCAAGAAAUUGUUUUCUUCUUCAACUGAAUUUAACCUCUCGACAAUAGGGUCGGUUGGAAUUUCCGGUUCAACAACCUCCUAGAUAAAUAAAAUCUAUGUCACGUUGGUCGGCAUAAUUGUCAUAAACAAUAAAUGAACCAAUAGUUAUGAAAAGAUAAUAUAUACCACAUCCGAAUCAUAGACAGGACGAGGGCCGACGGGGGCGGAUACCAAAACCAUCGCACUAUAUAAGAUGCAAUAAUAAAAGUAAGAAAAUAAUACAAGUAUCUAUCUAAACAUACAAGUAAGAAUAUUUUUCCUUUCAGAAAGAAGAUAAGAACAAGAGGCUCACCACGGUGGUGCCGGCGAUGAGAUCGGCGCGGGUGAUCGACGACGAUGAAGACAAGGACGGGGCGUGACGGACCGCUAAACCUAGACAAAUAUUGAGGAAAAUGGAGCUUGGCGGUCGAGCUUGGAGGGGAGAAAGCUUAAGUAGUGUGGCUCGGGCAUUCCAUCGAACACCUCGUGUGCAUAGGAGGUGAGCUAGAGCACCACAAAGCUCUCCCCUCGCCGGCCACGAAAAACAGAGCACUGGGAGUGCUCUGCUCGCGAGCGGGGGGUAUAUAUAGGCACCACCAUUGGUCCCGGUUGGUCGCACGAACCGGGACUAAAGGUUGGCCUUUGGUCCCGGUUCGUGCCACCAACUGGGACCAAUGGUGGUGGGCCAGGAGCGAGGCCCAUUGGUCCCGGUUCGUCCCUCCAACCGGGACCAAAAGGUCCAGACAAACCGGGACCAAUGGCCCACGUGUUGGGUUUCGUAGUAAUUUCAAAAAAUUUCCUACGCACACGCAAGAUCAUGUGAUGCAUAGCAACGAGGGGAGAGUGUUGUCUACGUACCCAACGCAGACCGACUGCGGAAGCGAUGACACGACGUAGAGGAAGUAGUCGUACGUCUUCACGAUCCAACCGAUCAAGCACCGAAACUACGGCACCUCCGAGUUCGAGCACACGUUCAGCUCGAUGACGAUCCCCGGACUCCGAUCCAGCAAAGUGUCGGGGAAGAGUUCCGUCAGCACGACGGCGUGGUGACGAUCUUGAUGAACUACAGCAGCAGGGCUUCGCCUAAACUCCGCUACAGUAUUAUCGAGGUAUAUGGUGGCAGGGGCACCGCACACGGCUAAGGAAUAGAUCACGUGGAUCAACUUGUGUGUAUAGAGGUGCCCCCUGCCUCCGUAUAUAAAGGAGGAGAGGAGGGGAGGCUGGCCGGCCAAGGAGGGGAGGCGCAGGAGAGUCCUACUCCCUCUGGGAGUAGGAUUCCCCCCAAUCCUAGUCCAACUAGGAUUCCUCGGAGGGGAAGGGAGAGAGGGGGGCCGGCCACCUUCUCCUAGUCCUAAUAGGACUAGGGGAGGGGGAAGUGGCGCAGCCACCUUGGGCUGCCCCUUUCUCCUUUCCACUAAGGCCCAUGAAGGCCCAUAUGGCUCCCGGGGGGUUCCGGUAAUCCUCCCGGUACUCCGGUAAAAUCCCGAUUUCACCCGGAACACUUCCGAUGUCCAAACAUAGGCUUCCAAUAUAUCAAUCUUUAUGUCUCGACCGUUUCGAGACUCCUCGUCAUGUCCAUGAUCACAUCCGGGACUCCAAACAACCUUCGGUACAUCAAAAUGCAUAAACUCAUAAUGUAACUGUCAUCGUAACCUUAAGCGUGCGGACCCUACGGGUUCGAGAACAAUGUAGACAUGACCGAGACACGUCUCCGGUCAAUAACCAAUAGCGGGACCUGGAUGCCCAUAUUGGCUCCUACAUAUUCUACGAAGAUCUUUAUCGGUCAGACCGCAUAACAACAUACGUUGUUCCCUUUGUCAUCGGUACGUUACUUGCCCGAGAUUCGAUCGUCGGUAUCCAAUACCUAGUUCAAUCUCGUCACCGGCAAGUCUCUUUACUCGUUCUAUAAUGCAUCAUCCCGUAACCAACUCAUUGGUCACAUUGCUUGCAAGGCUUAUAAUGAUGUGCAUUACCGAGAGGGCCCAGAGAUACCUCUCCGACAAUCGGAGUGACAAAACCUAAUCUCGAAAUACGCCAACUCAACAUGUACCUUCGGAGACACCUGUAGUACUCCUUUAUAAUCACCCAGUUAAGUUGUGACGUUUGGUAGUACCCAAAGUGUUCCUCCGGUAAACGGGAGUUGCAUAAUCUCAUAGUUACAGGAACAUGUAUAAGUCAUGAAGAAAGCAAUAGCAACAUACUAAACGAUCAAGUGCUAAGCUAACGGAAUGGGUGAAGUCAAUCACAUCAUUCUCCUAAUGAUGUGACCCCGUUAAUCAAAUGACAACUCUUUUGUCCAUGGCUAGGAAACAUAACCAUCUUUGAUAAACGAGCUAGUCAAGUAGAGGCAUACUAGUGACACUAUGUUUGUCUAUGUAUUCACACAUGUAUUAUGUUUCUGGUUAAUACAAUUCUAGCAUGAAUAAUAAACAUUUAUCAUGAAAUAAGGAAAUAAAUAAUAACUUUAUUAUUGCCUCUAGGGCAUAUUUCCUUCAGUCUCCCACUUGCACUAGAGUCAAUAAUCUAGUUCACAUCGUCAUGUGAUUUAACAACAAUAUUCAUAUCUGUAUAUGAUUAACACCCAUAGUUCACAUUAUCAUGUGACCAACACCCAAAGGGUUUACUAGAGUAAAUAAUCUAGUUCACAUCUCUAUGUGAUUAACACCCAAAGAGUACUAAGGUGUGAUCAUGUUUUGCUCGUGAAAGAAGCUUAGUCAAUGGGUCUGUCACAUUCAGAGCCGUAUGCAUUUUGCAAAUAUUUUAUGUCUACAAUGCUCUGCACGGUGCUACUCUAGCAAUUGCUCCCACUUUCAAUAUGUAUCCAGAUUGAGACUUAGAGUCAUCUGGAUCGGUGUGAAAACUUGCACCGAGGUAACUUUUACGACGGGCUCUUUUAUCACCUCCAUAAUCGAGAAAUAUUUCCUUAGUCCUCACUAAGGAUAUUCUUGACCAAUGUCGAGUGAUCUACUCCUAGAUCACUAUUGUACUCCCUUGUCAAAUACUGAGCAAGGUAUACAAUAGUUCUGGUACAUAGCAUAGCAUACUUUAUAGAACCUAUGACUGAGGCAUAGGGAAUGACUUUUCAUUUUUUCUAUUUUCUGUUGUGGUCGGGAUUUGAGUCUUACUCAAUUUCAUACCUUUGCAACACAGGCAAGAACUCUUUCUUUGACUGUUCCAUUUUGAACUAUUUCAAAAUCUUGCCAAGGUAUGUACUCAUUGAAAAUCUUAUCAAGCGUCUUGAUCUAUCUCAAUAUAUCUUGAUGCUCAAUAUGUAAGUAGCUUUUACUGAGGUCUUUUCCUUUUAAAGAACUCCUUUAAAACACUCCUUUAUGCUUUGCAGAAAAAUUCUACAUCAUUUCUGAUCAACAAUAUGUCACUCGUAUAUACUAAUCAGAAAGGCUAUAGUGCUCCCACUCACUUUAUUGUAAAUACAGGCUUCUCAAAAAGUCUGUAUAAAACCAUAUGCUUUGAUCAACUCAUCAAAGCGUAUAUUCCAACUCCGAGAGGCUUGCACCAGUCCAUAGAUGGAUCGCUGGAGCUUGCACAUUUUUUUAGCACCUUUAGGAUUGACAAAACCUUCUGGUUGCAUCAUAUACAACUCUUCUUUAAUAAAUCCAUUAAGGAAUGCAGUUUUGAUAUCCAUUUGCCAGAUUUCAUAAAAUGUGGCAAUUGCUAACAUGAUUCAGACAGACUUAAGAAUCGAUACGAGUGAGAAAAUCUCAUCGUAUUCAACACCUUGAACUUGUUGAAAACCUUUCGCAACAAGUCGAGCUUGGUAGAUAGUAACACUACUAUCAGUGUCCGUCUUCCUCUUGAAGAUCCAUUCAUUUAACAUGGCUUGCUGAUCAUCGAGCAAGUCAAUCAAAGUCCAUACUUUGUUCUCAUACAUGGAUCAUAUCUCAGAUUUUAUGGCCUCGAGCCAUUUCGCGGAAUCUGGGCUCAUCAUCGCUUCUUCAUAGUUCGUAGGUUCAUCAUGAUCUAGUAUCAUGACUUCCAGAAUAGGAUUACCGUACCAUUCUGGUGCGGAUCUUACUCUGGUUGAUCUACGAGGUUCAUCAGUAUCUUGAUCUGAAGUUUCAUGAUCAUUAUCAUUGGCUUCCUCACUAACUGGUGUAGGUGUCACUGAAACAGUUUUCUGUGAUGAACUACUUUCCAGUAAGGGAGCAGGUACAGUUACCUCGUCAAGUUCUACUUUCCUCCCACUCACUUCUUUCGAGAGAAACUCCUUCUCUAGAAAGGAUCCAUUCUUAGCAACGAAUGUCUUGCCUUCGGAUCUGUGAUAGAAGGUGUACCCAAUAGUCUCCUUUGGGUAUCCUAUGAAGACACAUUUCUCCGAUUUGGGUUCGAGCUUAUCAGGUUGAAGCUUUUUCACAUAAGCAUCGCAGCCCCAAACUUUAAGAAACGACAACUUUGGUUUCUUGCCAAACCACAGUUCAUAAGGCGUCGUCUCAACGGAUUUUGAUGGUGCCCUAUUUAACGUGAAUGCGGCCGUCUCUAAAGCAUAUCCCCAAAAUGAUAGCGGUAAAUCAGUAAGAGACAUCAUAGAUCGCACCAUAUCUAGUAAAGUACGAUUACGAUGUUCGGACACACCAUUACGCUGUGGUGUUCCGGGUGGCGUGAGUUGCGAAACUAUUCCACAGUUUUUCAAAUGUACACCAAACUCGUAACUCAAAUAUUCUCCUCCACGAUCAGAUCGUAGAAACUUUAUUUUCUUGUUACGAUGAUUUUCAACUUCACUCUGAAAUUCUUUGAAAUUUUCAAAUGUUUCAGACUUAUGUUUCAUUAAGUAGAUAUACCCAUAUCUGCUUAAAUCAUCUGUGAAGGUGAGAAAAUAACGAUAUCCGCCACGAGCCUCAGUAUUCAUCGGGCCACAUACAUCGGUAUGUAUGAUUUCCAACAAAUCUGUUGCUCUCUCCAUAGUACCGGAGAACGGUGUUUUAGUCAUCUUGCCCAUGAGGCACGGUUCGCAAGUACCAAGUGAUUCAUAAUCAAGUGGUUCCAAAAGUCCAUCAGUAUGGAGUUUCUUCAUGCGCUUUAUACCGAUAUGACCUAAACGACAGUGCCACAAAUAAGUUGCACUUUCAUUAUCAACUCUGCAUCUUUUGGCUUCAACAUUAUGAAUAUGUGUAUUACUACUAUCGAGAUCCAACAAACCAUUUUCAUUGGGUGUAUGACCAUAGAAGGUUUUAUUCAUGUAAACAGAACAACAAUUAUUCUCUAACUUACAUGAAUAACCGUAUUGCAAUAAACAUGAUCAAAUCAUAUUCAUGCUCAACGCAAACACCAAAUAACACUUAUUUAGGUUUAACACUAAUCCCAAAAGUAUAGGGAGUGUGCGAUGAUGAUCAUAUCAAUCUUGGAACUAUUUCCAACACACAUCGUCACUUCACCCUUUAACUAGUCUCUGUUUAUUCUGCAACUCCCGUUUCGAGUUACUAAUCUUAGCAACUGAACUAAUAUCAAAUACUGAGGGGUUGCUAUAAACACUAGUAACGUACACAUCAAUAACAUGUAUAUCAAAUAUACUUAUGUUCACUUUGCCAUCCUUCUUAUCCGCCAAUCACUUGGGGUAGUACCUCUUCCAGUGACCAGUCUCUUUGAAGUAGAAGCACUUAGUCUCAGGCUUAGGACCAGACUUGGGUUUCUUCACUUGAGCAGCAACUUGCUUGCCGUUCUUCUUGAAGUUCCCUUUCUUUCCCUUUGCCCUUUUCUUGAAACUAGUGAUCUUGUUAACCAUCAACACUUGAUGCUCUUUCUUGAUUUCUACCUUCGUUGAUUUCAGCAUCAUGAAGAGCUUGGGAAUCGUUUUCGUCAUCCCUUGCAUACUAUAGUUCAUCACGAAGUUCUAGUAACUUAGUGAUGGUGACUAGAGAAUUCUGUCAAUCACUAUCUUACCUGGAAGAUUAACUCCCACUUGAUUCAAGCGAUUGAAAUACCCAGACAAUCUGAGCACAUGCUCACUAGUUGAGCGAUUCUCCUCCAUCUUUUAGCUAUAGAACUUGUUGGAGACUUCAUAUCUCUCAACUCGGGUAUUUGCUUGAAAUAUUAACUUCAAUUCCUGGAACAUCUCAUAUGGUCCAUGACGUUCAAAACGUCUUUGAAGUCCCGAUUCUAAGCCGUUAAGCAUGGUGCACUAAACUAUCAAGUAGUCAUCAUCUUGAGCUAGCCAGACGUUCAUAACUUCUGCAUCUGCUCCUGCAAUAGGUCUGUCACCUAGCGGUGCAUUAAGGACAUAAUUCUUCUGUGCAGCACUGAGGAUAAACCUCAGAUCACGGAUCGAAUCCGCAUCAUUGCUACUAACAUUUUUCAACACAAUAUUCUCUAGGAACAUAUCAAAAUAAACAUAUGAAAGCAACAACGCGAGCUAUUGAUCUACAACAUAAUUUGCAAAAUACUACUAGGACUAAGUUCAUGAUAAAUUAAAGUUCAAUUAAUCAUAUUACUUAAGAACUCCCACUUAGAUAGACAUCCCUCUAAUCCUCUAAGUGAUCACGUGAUCCAAAUCAACUAAACCAUGUCCGAUCAUCACGUGAGAUGGAGUAGUUUCAAUGGUGAACAUCACUAUGUUGAUCAUAUCUACUAUAUGAUUCACGCUCGACCUUUCGGUCUCUGUGUUCCGAGGCCAUAUCUGUAUAUGCUAGGCUCGUCAAGUAUAACCUGAGUAUUCCGCGCGUGCAACUGUUUUGCACCCGUUGUAUUUGAACGUAGAGCCUAUCACACCCGAUCAUCACGUGGUGUCUCAGCACGACGAACUUUGGCAACGGUGCAUACUCAGGGAGAACACUUCUUGAUAAUUUAGUGAGAGAUCAUCUUAUAAUGCUACCAUCAAUAAAAGCAAGAUAAGAUGCAUAAAAAGAUAAACAUCACAUGCAAUCAAUAUAAGUGAUAUGAUAUGGCCAUCAUCAUCGUGUGCUUGUGAUCUCCAUCUCCGAAGCACCGUCAUGAUCACCAUCGUCACCGGCGCGACACCUUGAUCUCCAUCGUAGCAUCGUUGUCGUCUCGCCAAUCUUAUGCUUCCACGACUAUCACUACUGUUUAGUAAUAAAGUAAAGCAUUACAUCGCGAUUGCAUUGCAUACAAUAAAGCGACAACCAUAUGGCUCCUGCCAGUUGCCGAUAACUCGGUUACAAAACAUGAUCAUCUCAUACAAUAAAAUUCAGCAUCAUGCCUUGACCAUAUCACAUCACAACAUGCCCUGCAAAAACAAGUUAGACGUCCUCUACUUUGUUGUUGCAUGUUUUACGUGGCUGCUACGGGCUUAAGUAAGAACCAAUCUCACCUACGCAUCAAAACCACAACGAUAGUUUGUCAAAUAGACUCCGUUUUAACCUUCUCAAGGACCGGGCGUAGCCAUACUCGGUUCAACUAAAGUUGGAGAGACAGUCGCCCGCAAGCCAUCCAUGUGCAAAGCACGUCGAGGGAACCGGUCUCGCGUAAGCGUACGCGUAAGGUUGGUCCAGGUCGUCUCGUCCAACAAUACCGCCGAACCAAAGUAUGACAUGCUGGUAGGCAGUAUGACUUGUAUCGUCCACAACUCACUUGUGUUCUACUCGUGCAUAUAACAUCAACAUAAAUAACCUAGGCUCGGAUGCCACUGUUGGGUUUCGUAGUAAUUUCAAAAAAUUUCCUACGCACACGCAAGAUCAUGUGAAGCAUAGCAACGAGGGGAGAGUGUUGUCUACGUACCCAACGCAGACCAACUGCGGAAGCGAUGACACGACGUAGAGGAAGUAGUCGUACGUCUUCACGAUCCAACCGAUCAAGCACCGAAACUACGGCACCUCCGAGUUCGAGCACACGUUCAGCUCGAUGACGAUCCCCGGACUCCGAUCCAGCAAAGUGUCGGGGAAGAGUUCCGUCAGCACGACGGCGUGGUGACGAUCUUGAUGAACUACAGCAGCAGGGCUUCGCCUAAACUCCACUACAGUAUUAUCGAGGUAUAUGGUGGCAGGGGGCACCGCACACGACUAAGGAAUAGAUCACGUGGAUCAACUUGUGUGUAUAGAGGUGCCCCCUGCCUCCGUAUAUAAAGGAGGAGAGGAGGGGAGGCUGGCCGGCCAAGGAGGGGAGGCGCAGGAGAGUCCUACUCCCUCUAGGAGUAGGAUUCCCCCCAAUCCUAGUCCAACUAGGAUUCCUCGGAGGGGAAGGGAGAGAGGGGGGCCCGCAGCCACCUUGGGCUGCCCCUUUCUCCUUUCCACUAAGGCCCAUGAAGGCCCAUAUGGCUCCCGGGGGGUUCCGGUAACCCUCCCGGUACUCCGGUAAAAUCCCGAUUUCACCCGGAACACUUCCGAUGUCCAAACAUAGGCUUCCAAUAUAUCAAUCUUUACGUCUUGACCAUUUUGAGACUCCUCGUCAUGUCCGUGAUCACAUCCGGGACUCCGAACAACCUUCGGUACAUCAAAAUGCAUAAACUCAUAAUGUAACUGUCAUCGUAACCUUAAGCGUGCGGACCCUACGGGUUCGAGAACAAUGUAGACAUGACCGAGACACGUCUCCGGUCAAUAACCAAUAGCGGGACCUGGAUGCCCAUAUUGGCUCCUACAUAUUCUACGAAGAUCUUUAUCGGUCAGACCGCAUAACAACAUACGUUGUUCCCUUUGUCAUCGGUAUGUUACUUGCCCGAGAUUCGAUCGUCGGUAUCCAAUACCUAGUUCAAUCUCGUCACCGGCAAGUCUCUUUACUCGUUCUAUAAUGCAUCAUCCCGUAACCAACUCAUUGGUCACAUUGCUUGCAAGGCUUAUAAUGAUGUGCAUUACCGAGAGGGCCCAGAGAUACCUCUCCGACAAUCGGAGUGACAAAACCUAAUCUCGAAAUACGCCAACUCAACAUGUACCUUCGGAGACACCUGUAGUACUCCUUUAUAAUCACCCAGUUACGUUGUGACGUUUGGUAGUACCCAAAGUGUUCCUCCGGUAAACGGGAGUUGCAUAAUCUCAUAGUUACAGAAACAUGUAUAAGUCAUGAAGAAAGCAAUAGCAACAUACUAAACGAUCAAGUGCUAAGCUAACGGAAUGGGUGAAGUCAAUCACAUCAUUCUCCUAAUGAUGCGACCCCGUUAAUCAAAUGACAACUCUUUUGUCCAUGGCUAGGAAACAUAACCAUCUUUGAUAAACGAGCUAGUCAAGUAGAGGCAUACUAGUGACACUAUGUUUGUCUAUGUAUUCACACAUGUAUUAUGUUUCCGGUUAAUACAAUUCUAGCAUGAAUAAUAAACAUUUAUCAUGAAAUAAGGAAAUAAAUAAUAACUUUAUUGUUGCCUCUAGGGCAUAUUUCCUUCACCACGUGGCCCGGCCGGCCCCCGGGGCUCAAGAACCAGGUCCAAUGCCCCCAUUGGUCCCGGUUUUGGAUUGAACCGGGACUAAUGGGCUGGACCGGCCUGGACCAUCGCCCCCUUUUCUACUAGUGUUAGUGCAUGGUGGUUAGUGAAGUUAGUGGAGCAUGGUGUGAGUGCGUGGGUCAUGGUUGAGUGCCAGACUUUGUAUAAAUUGUCAUUUGAGUCAAUGAGAAAAUGUAAGGCCGAGAGGGCCAGUGCAAAGAUGUAGCAUUUGUGGUAGCCAAGGGAGAUUAACUGGGCAAAGCUAUGUGUUCUUCCUUGGUCUAUGCGUGUGUGUGUUCUGUGUGUGUUCUCUCUCUGCGUCCUUGUGUUCAUGGGAGUGUUUUUGAGAGAAGCCAGAAGAGAGAGUUGUGAGAGGCAGCUCGAGGUAGAAGAAGGAGCGGUGCUGCUCCGAGAGGAGGCGGCGCCAACAAUUAUUGACGAAAGGGAUAUUAUAUUGCGCAAGGUAUAAUCAGACGCGUCGGGGAUGGAGCGACUACACACAUAUGGGAUCACAACUGGAUUAUGAGGGAAAGCUAUAAGAGGCCAAUAAAUAAGUUAGUGCAGAUCCCCCCUCAGAAACAUUUUAUGUAUACACGUUAACAUUUCCCAGAUAUAUGAUUAAUAUUUUUAGAAAACUUCUAUUUUUUAUGUGUACUUUUUAUACAUUUUGUAAUAUCAGAAAUAGUUUUUAUAGAAGGUUUAACAUUUUUCAAAUACAUGAUUACCUUUUUGUAAACUUAUAUUGUUUGACGUUUACUUUUUUCCAUAGACAUAGUGAGGGGUUAUAUCUAAGGAAUAGGCCCAAGUACAUGUAGGCACAACCAAAGGCCCAUGUUAAUCAAGGAUGUUCCACAAGACAAAUGGGAAAACACACCGGGGCUAAUGGAGCUACAAGGCCAAGGCAUCGGAUACAAGGGGAGAGUCAACUGUGUACAGUCAGAUUACACAACCCUUAACAGACAAGACUCAUCAGUUGGUCCACUAUAGGAAUCAGGUCAUUUGCCGUCAGCCGAGAACAGAUGCGAAGGCUUUGCCGUGAGCAAGUUGACGACAAACACAAUCAGCAAAGACUAUAUCAGCAAAGAGCUAAUUUGACGUCAACUUUUCAUCGCGCUGAUGACAAAGACUUUGCCGUCAAUUAAACUAUGUGUUUGUCGUCUGUAGAAAAAACACAAAUGGCAAAGAAAUUAAACAAAUGGUCAUUUUAUAAUAAUUUUUCGAAAUGUAUAUAGUGUAUUUUAAAAUGUUAAAUAUGUAUCAAGAAUUAUUUCAUAAAUAUACAGAAGAUGUACAACGUGUAUGAAAAUUAUGUAGACAUCAGAACAUAUUAUAGAAAUGUUAAUCUUGUAUUUAAAAAUGUUAAAUACACAUAAAUAAAAAUGUUUUUGAUGUACAUAAAAAAAUUGUACAUCGUGUGUGAACAAAGUAUGCAUUGAAAAAAAAAUCUUGUUGGAAAGAAAAUCUCGUGCUAUAUACGAAAAUGUAAAAGGUGUAUGAAAAUAAUUAGAUAUAUGCUUAACGAAAAAAAGGAAAGAAGGCGCAAAAAAAUCCGAUCAACACCAAGAUAGGAACAAGAAAACCUGAAGAAGACCAUUGAAAAAAAAGAAAAGAAUACAAGAAAGAGGAAAAAAAACAAAAAAAUGAAGAAGCUGAUGCAGAACAGGGAACUUGGUGAAAACGAAUAAAAAUUGAUGAAAACCGAGAAGAAAAACAAGAAAACUGAAGCAAAAAAAUAAUAAAAAUAUGUAAAAAAAUGAUGAAACAUUGCAAAACACUGAAAUACUAUGAAAACCAAAGGAAGAAAAGACUCAAAAAGAAGAACAUACAGCGAGCGAAUGAACAACAACUGAGUGAACGAGCGACCAUGCGAGAACACGUUAAUUGUCCGGCCCAUACUUGUGGACUCCAGAGGCGAGCCAGAAUAGGCGAGAUAUAGCUAUGACGAUUUGAUACCCUUCACAGCUUCACGAAUGCUAUAUCUCGCUCACAGCGAAAGUAUAUUUUGUCUGGCCUGAAGGUGCAAGAAUAGCAUCAGGUCGCUGUAAGGUUUGUGAUCCUACAAUGAGAGCUCCGAUAAGAUUAAAGUUCAUUUUUCUGACAACCUUUGGUCGUUCGUUCGCGCUCAGGUCGUCCGCUCACUCGAUUCCACGUACUAGUUUGGUUAUGUUGUUUUUUUCAUUUUGUUCUUUUUUUGUUUCUUCACUGGCUUUCUUUGGUUUUUAUAUCGGUUUUCUUUGUUUCCUUCACGUUUUAUUCCUGUUUUCCUUUUUACUGGUUUAUUUAUUCCUUUUUUUCUUUGUUUCUUUCUUGGUUUUCUUUGUUUUUCUUUCUUUUGAUGUCAAUCUUUUUACAUACGCAUUCAACAAUUUCCGUAUACAUCAGAAACAUUUUAUGUAUACACAUUAACAUUUCCCAGAUAUAUGAUUAAUAUUUUUGGAAAACCUCUAUUUUUUAUGUGUACUUUUUGAUACAUUUUGUAUAUAUCAGAAAUAUUUUUUUAGAAGGUUUAACAUUUUUUUAAAUACAUGAUUACCUUUUUGUAAACUUAUAUUGUUUGACGUUUAUUUUUUUCCAUAGACAUAGUGAGGGGUUAUAUCUAAGGAAUAGGCCCAAGUACAUAUAUGGCACAACCAAAGACCCAUGUUAAUCAAGGAUGUGGUCCACAAAACAAAUGGGGAAACACACGGGGGCCAAUGGAGCUACAAGGCCAAAGCAUCGGAUAUAAGGGGAGAAUAAGUGUGUACAGUCGGAUUACACAACACUUGACAGACAAGACUCAUUAGUUGGUCCACUAUAGGAAUCGAGUAAUUUGCCGUCAGCCGAGAACAGACUCGAAGUCUUUGCCGUCAGCAAGUUGAUGACAAACACAGUGAGCAAAGACUAUAUCGGCAAAGAGCUAAUUUGACGUUAACUUUUCAUCCGCUGAUGACAAAGACUUUGCCGUCAAUUAAACUAUGUGUUUGUCGUCUGUAGAAAAAACACAAAUGGCAAAGAAAAGCAUCUUUGCCAUCAGCAACUGAUUCACAUGUGUCGUCAGCCAGACUCGUCUUGUCACUAGCCUCAAACAUCACAGAUGGCAAAGAUUUUUUUUUAUUUUUAAAAUUCCGCGUCGACCACCCUAUCGCUCGUGCAGCCACCGCCUGGCCGCGCUCGCCUCCCUGCUCACAUGCCCUGCCAGCUUGCGCCGUUGCCAUCCGGCAGCGCUCGCCCGACCCUGCUCAUCGCCCGGCCGAGCUCGCCCGCCCUGCUCGGUCGCGUCGUCGGCAGCUGCCCUGCUUGCACACGUACCUGCCCAGCCUUGCUCAUACCGCCGGCCACCCUGCUCGCUAGAGAAAGGAAGGCGAGAGAGGAGGCUCGGGGGAGAAAGAAAAAACAAAGGAGAGAGAGAGGAUGCUACCACUGCCACAUCACCAAUACGCAUGAUCGAUCUGCAAGAUGUGCUCUCUCUUUUGCCGCCUCUGAUGGCAAAGUAUGUCUUUAUCGUCUAUAAUAAGAUUACAAACAGCAAAGUGAGCUCUUUGCCGUCUGUAAAAAAACGGACGACAAACAAACUUUGUUGUCAGCUGCCGACGGCAAAAAGUGCUCUUUACCGCAGCCUCGAUGAGAAGCUGAAGGCAAAGUGCCCCACAGACGGCAAAUUAGUUGAUUCCUGGGUGGUUAUGAGCAAGACAGGAGCAAUAACCCUAUCUACACUCGGUCAUCUGGAAGACAGGAGUAGUCGAACCAUCUAUAGUCGGCUACAUCUGAGGUUACCGUGACCCUUACGAUGCAUUCAUUAUCGCCGUUACUCAAUGGAGUAGUUAAAUACGUCAGUUAGCAAUAAUAAUAGCCACGAACAGUCAAUCAUGCAUGUGACCAUCAAUAGCAUUUAUACCAACCCAUUACGGCACUUCCUCCUAGCACACUCUAUAUAAGCCAGGAGUAGGACAUGAGAGUGAGGGAUGAACUCUCUCACAGUAUAACCUACGCCAAGAGCAGGAACACCACAUGAAUAGAGAUUACCUCCACCAACGUACUCCCAUCCGUUUUAUGUACCGAUCAAUGUAUAUAAUGGCUUCUACAUUCACAUCCCGUAGUAUUGUCAGGAUUAUAUCCACGACAGAAACUAUAUUUUGUUAUACAUCAAGAACAUUUUAUAUAUAAAUAUUUACAAUUUUUUAAAUACAUGAUUAAUAUUUUUUCAAACAUAUAUUUUGUAUGUCUCCUUUUCAUAAUCUUUGAUCCCUGGAAGUUUCAGAUUUUUUCCGAUUUGUUCUCAUUUUUUUAUGAAUUUACUGUUCAUGAGGGUGUAGGGGCACCCAGGAGCUGUUAGGCAUAAUAUUUCUGCUGUUGUUGUCAUCAUCAAGGGGAAUGAGAAGGGUUGAAGUUUUCGUUUUCUUUGAGGGGGAAAUCAGAGUUGGGGGCUGGAAGUGAGUGAUUAGGCCCAACAUAAGCGCUGUGUGUGUGUGUCUCGUCACGGGCACCAAAUUCGAACUGGGCUAUUGUUUUCUGAGAACCCAACGUCACAAGCCCAACCAACAGUCUGCCGAUCUGCAUCUUCCUCUCCUUGUCCAUCCUCCUCGUUGGCCGGACCGCCUCGAGCCACGGCCGCUCCCUGGCGCAGCGUCCUCCCCUUCCUCUCCACCCCCAAAUUCUCUUGUAUCCUCUUCUGAUCUCCUUCCUUACUUCCUCUCGCUGAUGGUCUCCACAAGAAGGUCUCCGAGCUCCUCGGAGGGUUCCGGCUGUACGUCGACGCAGCCUCUCCGACCUCCCCAUGAACAUGAGCUAUCGACCCUGAAAGCCUGUCUCUUCCAUGAUUCGAUUCACAUGAAUUCACGAGCCGCAUGAAUCAUGAAGGUCAUGGAGCAGAAUUCAGUCGUGUAGCCUGACAGUGAUGUACAUUUGUGGCUUUUCUGGCUAAAUAGCUCUGUACCCUAUGUGGAUGCCACUUCAAAUAAUCGUCAAAAUAAUUCUCCUGCACGCGUUAUACAAAUGGCGAAGAAGAAGUUCGCGUGGAACAUUUCGUUUCUUAUUGAUGUCCGAGAGAAAAGCUCCUAGGAAGUUCAUCCGCUCGGUGGAUUAUAAGUUUAAGUUUGUUACAACAUCCAAUCAUCCAUAUAAUCUCUGUGUUUCUUCUGUUUUCUACCAGUCAUAUAUCAUAUGUGCAUCAGAGGAAAAAUGCUUUCAGCAGUCAUGUUGGAGCGCGCAUACCAAGUUCCCACAUUGCAAAUAUGAUCCUAGCCAUUAAUAUGUUUCAUUCCACAUUUUCUUGAUCUAAUUUCUAAAUGAUUGGACAACCUGUUAUAGUCUUAUAGAAUUAUGAGCCGCCAAAUCCACAUUUCUCUUGGUCUAAUUUCUAAAUGAUAAUGUGCAGCAUCUAUCUCCUGGUGAACCUUUUUUUCUUGCGACUGUAUCUCCUGAUGAACCUAGUUUUCUCUAGGUAGCACAAUAAUUGUACUGGUUUGAUGUAAAGGACAUAAAUACAAGGGAAUAAAUUGGAAGCUUAUUUCAAAUUAACUAGCUAGUGGUGUUUGUGAAGUUCAAGAAAAAGCUGGUCUUUUUCUCGACAAAUAAUUUAACAUGCAAAGAAUCAAUAAAUGUAUUUGCAAGAAAGCAAACAUAAUUAACGAUAAAACUGGUUUAUUGUCACUGUAGACAACGGUAGUAGUUGGAACUAGAUACAAACCAAUAAAAAACAAGAUCUCAAAUCUCCAACCAAUAAAGAGUUCAACCCAAAUUUUACAGUAACACCAUUAUAUUCAAAUAGUGAUUAUUCCAACACAUGGAUAAUUAAUUAAGGCACCAGGUUGCCCUUGUGACUAGGAAAGACAAACUUAUGAACUUGCAAGCAUGGCAAUCAGAUCGACAUCCACACAAUGCCAAUAUGAACAUUGUCUUGAUACAACUUUAUUUUUAUUUUAUUUCAGAAUUUAAACAACUAGUAUGGGCGGGUCACACACGACAUUGUGUGACACUUUAUUUGUCACCGCUGCAUCGACAUAUCCAUCGACUAAACAACGGUGAUCCAACUAUAUAUUACUAGAGACCUUUCCUUAUUAGUAGGAACCAACUCCGGUGCCAACACCGAAUGGCACACUAGUGGUGGUUCUAUACAACGGCACAUUGACACGGCACAUCGUUGGCAGGGUACGGAGCGCAAUGGAAGUCAUCACCUCAAGCUGAGCUAUCUGGUGUGGCUGCAAAAAGGUACCUUGUGCCAAUUGUUGUUGUUGAGGUUGUUGCCCGAGUUGUUGUUGUGACUGCUGUUGGGGUUGGGAAACACAUUGGCCCAACUGUUGGGGUUGCUGCUGAGGAGUUUGGAUGGAACCCUGAACCUGUUGUUGUUCUUGCAGGAUGAUGGAGUAGAUGAUAGCACGGAUUGCCUCAUAGCGGGAUUGCUGGGGGAUUUGCGGCAACUGCUGGCAACAUUGUUGUUGCAUCACAUGGCAACUGCUCUGCUGCAACAUUUGCGACCUAGCAAGACUUUGUGGCAUUGCCACAGGGCUGCAUUGCUGCUGGAGGAAUACCUUGCAUGGGUUUAGCUGCUGCAAGAUAGAUGGAUGAACAAAUGGUAUUUGUUGUUGCGGUAGAACUAGUUGUUGUUGUUGCUGCGAAAAUGGUGGUUGUUGCGGUAGACUUGGUUGUUGUUGUUGCAAAAAUGGUGGUUGUUGCUGUAGUACUAUUUGUUGUUGUUGCGAAAACGGUGAUUGUUGCUGUGAAAAUGGUGGUAGUUGUUGCUGUGAAAAUGAUGGUUGUUGCGGUAGAACUGGUUGUUGUUGCUGCGAAAAUGGUGGUUGUUGUUGUGAAAAUGGUGGUUGUUGUUGCUGCGAAAAUGGUGGUUGUUGUUGUGAAAANNNNNNNNNNNNNNNNNNNNNNNNNNNNNNNNNNNNNNNNNNNNNNNNNNNNNNNNNNNNNNNNNNNNNNNNNNNNNNNNNNNNNNNNNNNNNNNNNNNNNNNNNNNNNNNNNNNNNNNNNNNNNNNNNNNNNNNNNNNNNNNNNNNNNNNNNNNNNNNNNNNNNNNNNNNNNNNNNNNNNNNNNNNNNNNNNNNNNNNNNNNNUGGUUGUUGUUGCUGCGAUAAUGGUUGUUGUUGUUGCUGCGAAAAUGGUGGUUGUUGUUGUGAAAAUGGUGGUUGUUGUUGCUGCGAUAAUGGUUGUUGUUGUUGUUGCUGUGAACAUGGUUGCUGUUGUGAAAAUGGUUGUGGUUGUUGUUGGAUGGGUUGUUGUUGUUGGUGGUGCGAUAAUGUUUGUUGUGGUGGUAAUGGUUGUUGCUGCGAUGGUCUCUCCAAACCAGGGAUGUGGCUAUUCUCCAUUUGUGCAAUGGCACUUGUCGCCACAAUGGCGAGGAGAGCAAAGAUGAGGAAGGUCUUCAUGGUGGAUUGGUGUUAACCAGUGUUGCUUGGUUUUGAUGCUUGUGCUUGUGAUGAUCUUUAUACUUCAUGCCUAUUUAUAGUAGCCCGGGCACCACCUCUUUUCUUCUUUGCAUUAGCUUUAAUAAUUCUGUUUGGAUGCAUCUAAAAUGAUUUUUGGUACAAUGUGUUAGGUUGCACUAGCUACACGCGUACUUUUGGAUUGAUCAUCAAAGUUGCUUUUUAGUUGUGCAUAUGAUCACACACAAAGUACAGAAACCUUGAUGUUUGGUACAUAUGACUCACCUUAUUCACUUUACAUGUCACACACUUAUCUGGAUAGUAUCACUUUUGCAACCGAGUUUGGAACCUUGUAUAGGCUGUCAUCCAUAAACAAGAAAGGCAAAACUUGUGUAGGACUAAGUUUGCAAUCGGAGGGUUCUUCUAGACUCGAUUUCUUUUCGUAAAACUAACUUUGUAUUUUUCCUCUAAGAUGAUAAGAUGAACCGACGCCUAUAGAGCAUGACAUGACUCAUCGAAUUCCCUUUACAUGUAAAGGAUGGUAAUUGCUUACAAGCUACUCCUACUAGCAUAUAUCCGGUUCCAAGCCUAGACACGUCAUCAUCAGUUUCGUCUAUUUUUUUAGAUAAAUCAUCAGUUCUAUCUAUUUGUGAAGGGUUUUUUUGGGGGGAAAUGAUAGUUUUUUUAUGCUAGGGGGGUUUUUUNNNNNNNNNNNNNNNNNNNNNNNNNNNNNNNNNNNNNNNNNNNNNNNNNNNNNNNNNNNNNNNNNNNNNNNNNNNNNNNNNNNNNNNNNNNNNNNNNNNNNNNNNNNNNNNNNNNNNNNNNNNNNNNNNNNNNNNNNNNNNNNNNNNNNNNNNNNNNNNNNNNNNNNNNNNNNNNNNNNNNNNNNNNNNNNNNNNNNNNNNNNNNNNNNNNNNNNNNNNNNNNNNNNNNNNNNNNNNNNNNNNNNNNNNNNNNNNNNNNNNNNNNNNNNNNNNNNNNNNNNNNNNNNNNNNNNNNNNNNNNNNNNNNNNNNNNNNNNNNNNNNNNNNNNNNNNNNNNNNNNNNNNNNNNNNNNNNNNNNNNNNNNNNNNNNNNNNNNNNNNNNNNNNNNNNNNNNNNNNNNNNNNNNNNNNNNNNNNNNNNNNNNNNNNNNNNNNNNNNNNNNNNNNNNNNNNNNNNNNNNNNNNNNNNNNNNNNNNNNNNNNNNNNNNNNNNNNNNNNNNNNNNNNNNNNNNNNNNNNNNNNNNNNNNNNNNNNNNNNNNNNNNNNNNNNNNNNNNNNNNNNNNNNNNNNNNNNNNNNNNNNNNNNNNNNNNNNNNNNNNNNNNNNNNNNNNNNGCCGCCACCGCUCGACAAAAAAGGUCACUUUUGUAGCUCCCCCGUCGAUUGCGGGCCGUACGUCGACGGCAGCCACUCCGACCUCCCCGUCAACACAAGGUAUCGAUCUGUUUCGUCUGUCUCUUCCAGCGAUUCAAUGCACAUAAAUCCGAGAGGCAGACCCAUCUCCAUGCUAGCUGCACGGAUCAGGAGGGUCAGGCAUCAGAAUUCAGCUGGGAAGCCUGACACUAAUGUACAUUUGUGGCUUUAGUAGCUGAAUAUAACUAUGUGUUUUCUGAGAAUUUCACUUCAAAAGUUCCAAUAAUCAUCAAAUUUCCGCCUAUGCGCGCUAAGCAGGUGGACCAUAUAUUUCUCAUGUCGACGAACGAAAAAACAAAACUCCACAACUAGAAGUCUAUGAUAUUGACACGGAACCGUGCUGUAGGGUCGCAAGUAAAAAUAUGAAAAGCAUGCCUAACACUACUAGGAAAAGGGCUAUAGAUGGAAUUGACACUAAUGACGCACCAGACAUGUGGUGCGCCAUUAGUAUAUACUAAUGGCGCACCAUCUUCUGAUGCGCCAUUAGUGUUGAAAUUACUAAUGGCGCACCCUGCCCACGGUGCGCCAUUAGUACCAAUUUUUUUUUGAACUAGUGCGCCUGUCCAAACAUACUAAUGGCGCAUCCGCUGGUGGUGCGCCAUUACUAGUUGUAACUAGUAAUGGUGCACCAGCCAGAGGGUGCGCCACUAAAGUUAUUUUUUUUAUUAUUGUUUUUAUUCCUUUUUUUGCAAAAGUACUAAUGGCGCACUCACACGCGGUGCGCCAUUACUAGUUCAAACUAGUAAUGGCGCACCGUGGCAGAGUGCGCCAUUAGUAUGUUUUUUUUUCAAAACUACUAAUGGCGCACCACCUGGUGGUGCGCCAUUAGUAACCUGGAUUACUAAUGGCGCAUUUGUUGCUGGUGCGCCAUUAGUAAGUGGGCAGCAACAAGAUAUUUUGGACAGCCUCUCCUCCCACACUCACUUUCUCCCCAUUUCAUUCUCUCCACCGCCUCCUCAUGUCUCGGGUGCCUCCUCUUUUUCACCUCAUUUCCACCAUAGAUUCAUUCAAAUUAAGUGGUUAAGUUACCUUGUUUUGCUAGGUAAGUAAGGGGGGAAGCUAUAUUUAUGUUGUUCUCCCUACAACAGUGUGCACAUGCACUUUUUAUGGCCUAGCUAGAUCUAUGUAUGUUCGUGGUGUUGCAUAUGUUUGUGGUGUUGCAUAUGUGUUUGUGUUUGAAGGUGUACCGGUAUUUGAAAUGCGAUAGUUGCCAAUAUUUUGCCGGAAUGUUGAUUCAUUUCCGUUUCGGCGAGAAUUUUGGCAUUAAGCAUUCUUUUUGGUCCUAUUUUUAGGGAAAGUCAUGCCAAAUUUUUUCUUGGUUCUAAAAUAUCGUUUUGCUCUACCCCGCAGGCGACCAUGGUCCGCACGAUGACCGAAGGCAUCGUGAAUAGGUUUUUGAGGUCCACGAAGGCCGAGAUGCUUCAAAAGAACGAGACGGAGAUAAGAUGUCCGUGUCGAAGAUGCAAGCUGAAUAGCCUUAUUGCGGACCCGGAUUCCGGGCAGGUGCGGGACCACCUGCUCUUGCGUGGUUUCAUGGAUGGCUGUCGGUGGCAAGGUGAUGAAGAUGACUACGAAGUCGUCCAUGGGGGCCGGGCAAGAAAUGAGGAAGGGCAGCAAGACAACCACCGCGGCUCGGGGGGGCGAGAAGAAGAAGAAUCCCCAGGAGAUGAUCACGACGGUGAUGUUGUACACAGUCAUCAUGUAGAAGAUGCAGGACAUGAUGAUGAUGCCGGCGGAGCAGACGACGCUGGACCAUCGAUGGGCUGGGUGCAGGACCCUCAUAUUCAAGAGCUGCUUCUCAAGCAGACGGAUAACGCAAGAGCUGCCGCCCGAGAGAAAGCCAAGAUGGAUCAACUUGAGUUAGACGCGGUUACUCCAUUGUAUGAAGGAUGCAGGCCCGAGGAUACCCGCCUGAAAGUAACACUCAUGGCUCUGGAGAUGAAGGUAAAACACAAAAUGACCGACGCAUGCUUCGACGAGAACAUGUCAUUCUGGCACGAACGUCUUCCCAAAGGGAACAAGUGCCCGACCAGUUUGGAGGAGGCGAAGAAAAUCGUGUGUCCUCUGGAUUUACCGCACGUGAAAUACCAUGUGUGCAUGAACAAUUGCAUCAUUUAUCGGGACGAGCACGCGGAGUCUACCAUAUGUCCGGUGUGCGGUGUCACUCGAUACAAGAAGGGGAAGAAAGCUCCUCGAAAAGUGGUGUGGUACUUUCCGAUCACUCCUCGUCUGCAGCGGUAUUUCGCGGACCCUAAGGUAGCAAAGCUCCUGCGUUGGCACGCGGAUAGGGAGGAGAAGAAGCGAGAAGAUGACGCAAAUGAUACGGAGAUAGAUAAAAAAGACAAGAUGCUGAGUCACCCUAAGGAUGCGAGCCAGUGGCAAGCGUUGAACUUCGAAUAACCAGAAUUUGGGAACGAUCCAAGGAACAUCGUGCUGGGCGCGAGCACCGGUGGAGUCAAUCCGUUUGGCAGCCAGAGAAGCACACAUAGCACCUGGCCUGUGUUUGUGUGGAUGUACAACCUUCCCCCCUGGUUGUGCAUGAAGAGGAAGUACAUUCACAUGAGUAUGCUAAUUGAAGGGCCGAAACAACCAGGGAACGACAUCAAUCUGUAUCUGGGGCUGCUGAAAGAGGAGCUUGACACGCUGUGGAAAACGCCCACCAAUACGUGGGACGCCGCAGAGAAAGAAUAUUUCCCUAUGAGAGCCGCACUGCUCACGACGGUGCACGACUAUCUCGGUUACGGAUAUCUUGCGGGGCAGGUAGUCCACGGAUUUUCUGGAUGCGUAAGGUGCAUGGAUGACACAACGUAUCGCCAGCUAGAUAGAGACGAUGACCCGUGGAGGAAACGCAAGGAUCUGUUCGAUGGUGAAACCAAACCCCGAAAACGCCCGUGUACGAGGAGCGGCGAGGAAAUAGACAAGCUGUUGAAAAAUCGGAAAGACUGCCCACUGCCGGGAAAGAAGCAAAAGGUGCCAGAGCCGGGAAAGAAGCGAAAGGCGCCAGAGCCGCUGCUGAAGCUAUGGAAAACGAGGUCUGUUUUCUGGGACUUGCCGUACUGGAAGAUCCACCGUGUGCCUCACAGCCUUGAUGUCAUGCAUAUCACGAAGAACGUGUGCGAGAGUCUGCUUGGUACCCUGCUCAACAUGCCAGAGAGGACCAAAGAUGGGCCGAAAGCGAGGGCAGACUUGAAAUCAAUGGGCAUCAGGCAGGAGCUUCACGCUAUAUAUGAUGAUGAUGAUGAUGAUGAUGAUGAUGAUGAGGCGAAGCAGGACACAGAAAGUCGUCGCAAAGGCAAAAAGGCCAAGAAGACCGGAAAUGACUACCCUCCCGCGUGCUUCACUCUAAGUCAGGAGGAGAUCGAGCAGUUUUUCACCUGCCUCCUAGGAGUAAAACUUCCUUACGGUUACGCGGGGAAGAUAAGCAGAUACCUAGACCCAGCGAAGCAGAAGUUCAGCGGGAUGAAGUCUCACGAUUGUCACAUGCUGAUGACGCAGAUACUUCCAGUUGCAAUCCGUGGGAUCAUGGACGCGCACGUCCGUGAAACGCUAUUUGGCCUAUGCAACUUCUUCGACGUCAUCUCUCAGAAGUCGAUUGGCAUGAGGCAACUCAGAAGGCUACAGGAAGAGAUCGUGGUGAUACUAUGCGAGCUUGAGAUGUACUUCCCGCCCGCAUUCUUCGAUGUUAUGGUGCAUCUGCUGGUCCAUAUAGUGGGGGAUAUCAUCCAACUCGGGCCGAUGUUCCUGCACAGCAUGAUGCCGUUCGAAAGGAUGAAUGGUGUCAUCAAAGGAUACGUUCGCAACAUGUCACGUCCAGAAGGAAGCAUAGCCAGGGGCUUUCUGACCGAAGAGUGCAUCUACUAGUGCGCGAAUUAUCUAGGCAUCGAGAACCCCGUUGGUCUGCCCGUCAACAGGCACCUCGGCAGGCUCGCUGGAUGGGGUCACCGUGAGGGUCGCCGCGAAAUGCAUGUCGACUUCGAGGGUCGACUCGCCGACUUUGAAAGAGCAAACCUAGUCGCGCUACAACACAUAGACGUGGUCGAUGCUUGGGUGGUAGAGCACAAAACCUUUAUUAAGAAGACGUACAAUGACCGAGGCCAACAGAGGACGGACGGAGAUAUACUCAAAGAGCACAACUCAUGUUUCACGCGUUGGUUCAAGCAGAAGCUUCUGUCGUACCCUUUACAUGAGGAUUCUUCCGCGGAAGAACAACUCAUAUUCGCCUUGUCACAGGGCGCCGAGCACAACCUGAUGACCUAUGAGGCGUACGAUAUCAACGGCUACACAUUCUACACCGAGGCCAAGGACAUGAAGAGCGAUGGUUAUCAGAACUCCGGGGUAACGAUGGAAUCCUACACCGGUAACGACAAGGACAGAUACUACGGAAGGAUCGAGGAGAUCUGGGAGCUGAGCUAUGCUGGAGAGAAGGUCCCGAUGUUCCGUGUCAGAUGGGCCAAGAACGUCAUAAAAGAAGACCGGUAUUUCACCACCAUGGUUAUACCCGGAGCCAAAUCCAAGACCGCGAGCGCAAACGUCACCGCGAAAAAUGAGCCAUGGGUACUGGCUUCCCAAGUGGACCAAUGCUUCUUCAUUACCGACCCGCCAAAGCCCAGUCGUGUUGUCGUGAGGAGAGGCAAAAGGAAGAUCAUCGGAAUGGAUGGAGUAGCCAAUGAGCAAGACUUCGACAAGUACGGCGACCCGAGGAUCGAACAUGACGACGAUGAUGAAGUAGCAGCAUACACCACAAGAAGAAGCAGGACCACCCUACCUAAAGGACGUCCGUUCCACAGAAGAACUCCAUUUGCGAAAAAGAAGGGCAAGAAGAUUGUGAACAGAUAGCUAGCUAAGAUCGAUUGUAUUUAAAUCGUAGCCUUCAUUUCUCGAUUGUAUUUCAUGGGUACUUUUUGAACUAUCAUGAAUAUUUUUAAAUUUAAUGGACACUCGAUCUCGAUCCCCCUCCAUCUCGAUCGCUAUCCCACCUCGCCAGAUCCGGUCCCCCUCGCCGCCAAGCACCCCCCCAGCCCACCGGCCGCCGCCGCCGACCCCCCGCACCCUCGAUUCCCCUACCCAACCGCCGCCGCCGACCCACCGCACCCCGCGCACCCUCCCCUGCUCCACCAGCAUUACUGUUUGAUGAUAUUUUUAAAAAAAUUAUUAUUGUCUUAUAAAAAAAUAUUACUGUUAUGAUUUAAACAAGUUUGAACAUAUUUAAACACAAAUAAGUAUCAAACAGGUUUUUAAAUGCUAAAAAAAAUUUGUGGAGCCUGGGAGUCGAACCCAGGACCUCCUGGUGUGAGAACUGGCUGCUGACCAGUCGAGCUAGUAGAGGGGACUUGAUGUGGAUCAAUUCUGGUGGUACAUAACCUGUUGGCUCGAGUUGAAAUAAAAAAAAUACUAAUGGCGCACCACGGUGAGGUGCGCCAUUAGUAUGGAUGUACUUAUGGCGCACCGAGGGGUGGUGCGCCAUUAGUAUUGUGCCCGAUCCCUUCCCUCUCCCCCUUCGCCCGAUCCCCCCUUCCCUCUCCCCCUUGCCAGUUCCCUCUCCCUCGAUCCACCGCCGCCGCCGCCGCUGCCCUGACCCACUGCGCCGCAGCCGCCCACGCGCCCCCGCCGCCUCCCUCUCCCCUUCCUCCCCCUCGAGCCCGCGCCGUCCGCCCAAACCUAACCCGACGCCGUCCGCCGCGCCCGCUCCACCGCCGCCGCCCUGCCUCUCCGCCCUCUCCCUCCCUCNNNNNNNNNNNNNNNNNNNNNNNNNNNNNNNNNNNNNNNNNNNNNNNNNNNNNNNNNNNNNNNNNNNNNNNNNNNNNNNNNNNNNNNNNNNNNNNNNNNNNNNNNNNNNNNNNNNNNNNNNNNNNNNNNNNNNNNNNNNNNNNNNNNNNNCGUCGCCCCGCCGCCCCGACACCACCGUCCGUCGCCCCGCCGCCCCGCCGCCCCUCUCGCAGCAAGGUAUGCGGCUGGUUCGUCCCCUGUCAUGGUUCUCUCUUCGUUUAUUUUCCUGAAAUCUCUGCUGUUCAUUGGCCGAUGAUGUCUUACAAGUAAAAUAUCUGGCAAACUUGUGCUGUAAACUGUACAUUGCUGAGGCUGUGGGCAACCUGUUCUUCUCUUUGCCAUACUAGUGCUUUUGUUCAUUGGCCGAUGAUGUCUCUGUUGGUUUACGUCCCCGGCAAAUUAGGUACCCGUGAACCAUUUAUAGGCCCAACUUUCUUACUCUCAAUGACCACAAUGUGCUUAUUUUGUUAGGAUUGUGCAUUUGCGCGAUUUGUGCAGUGCUUAUUUGUUGGCACCUCACCAGCUUUCAAAUUCAGCAUUUGUAACACAGUUCAAUUUGAUCUAAGGGCCUAUCUUGUCUCAUUUCCAACAUGUAAUAAACUUCCCCCGAGGCCAUAGAUGAGAAUACUUCUUUCAGUACAUUUUGCUGAUUUCUCACUGUUGAAUACUUCAUUUCUGUUUGCCUUUGGCCAAAGAUGCAUUCAGUUCUUUCUGCCCUUAGCGGUUUGAUUCAAGUUUGUCAGGUUCUGUUAACUAAAAAGGUUCAGAUUCAGAAACAUUGUUGGACUACUAGGAAGUUGGACUACUAGGAACAUGUUUAGAUUCAGGUUCUGUUAACUAAAAAAGUUCAGGUUCUGUUAACUAAAAAAGUUCAGAUUCAGAAACCUGUAAUUUCUACUUUUAUGCCUCUGUUACUCCAGUCAAAAUUUUAUGUUUGAUGCCCAUGGUAGUUGAGCUCUCACCUCACCUCACGCAACAUGCAUGAUGCCACAAUGUCUAGUAUGUACUGCCAAGCAACUGGCAAAUAAUUAUAACUUAGAAUAAAUAAAUCUGAUGUAAGAUAAGCAUGGCAUGAGCUUUAAUUAAAUAGCAUAAUACACGUUGGUAGUCCAUCUCUCUCAAAAAAAAUACAUGUUGGUAGCAGAAAAAAAUACAUGUUGGUAGCAGAAAUUUUUUUGAGCCCUUAUUAGCUACUCACACUAUUUGCCCCGCAGUUUCUCUGUCAUGGCUACCAAGUGAUUGACGGUGGGCUAGAAAAAUAAAACCACCAAACUAUCAGUAAAAGAUGUGAACCAACAUCUUUCAUUGUUAUGCAUAUCAAACACCAAGGGUUAUUUUCACUUAAAGUUUUAGAAUGGGUGCAUUACAAUUCAGUCUGAUAUCUAAUAAGACACUCUGGGCUGAUAUAAUUAUGGAACAGAACCAACCAUGAUAAAUAAAAGGUGAUGUUGUCUAUGCAUUACCAAAAAUGUAUCUUUGUGAACAAAUAAAUUGGUACCAACAGCAAUGCCAUCUUACUGUAGAAUUAGAAUACAUGGACAUGAUCAGCUCAGCUCCCAAACUGCCAUUCAUCACAUCAAUUUCCCCUUAUGUAACUCCAGUCAAAAUUUUAUGUUGGUCUACCUAGUAGAUGCCCAUGGUUUGAUUUUAUGUUUGUUCCUAUCAAUACAAAUGCUGAGCUAUGUUCCAUUUUUACUGUUCUUUGUGAUAGUUUUUGCAACUUUACUUCCCAUCUUAAGGCAAGCCCCAUUUUUACUGUUCUUUGUUAGCAGAGCUGCUUGUUUCUAAGAACUUUGAUACUAUUUGGAUCAAAGUUAAAUGAGCACAUAGAUGACAAAAAAAAGUUCAGAUUGUAAAAUGUUCAUUUUGCUGCUAGUGCCCAUUUUGAGUAAUUGCUUAGAGGGAUGAUCCUGUGUGAGCUGGUGGAGUGAUUUGUUUUCUACAUAAAGCUCUUUAGUCAGGCUGGUUUUCGUGAAAUACACAUGAAGCUUCACCAGCUCCUGUGGGUGUGGGAUCCAUGUGACAUGUGACAUUGCAUCCAUGUCCACCUGGGAUAAUGAUUUUGCAUGUACCCCGAGAGGCCCUUAAGUUUGCCGGAAUGUCGAUUAACUUCCGUUCCGGCAAAUUCGGGUACUCCAUAUGUCCUAUUUUCAGCAAAGGUCAUGCUGAAAUUUUCCGUGAAUUUUAGCAUGACUUUGCAAAAAAUAGGACAUAUGGGGUACUUGUGACUAAUGCAUGGGCCGGGGUAUCAUAGUAGUUAAUUAAGUAGGAUCAAGUGCCCCGGCGUACUUGUGACUGAUGCAUGGCUUUUAGGGUGCCUCGGUGUUGAUAAAAACCGAAAUGAUGAAAGCUUAGGCUUUUAGGGUGCCUCGGCGUCGAAAAACCCUCAAUGAUAAAAGCUUAGGUCUUAGGAUGCCUCGGUGUCGACAAACCCUAAAUGAUGAGACCAUGUCUUGUUCCUUGACAAUAACCAACUUUUUGACCAAACUUUGUUUCUAUUUAGAGAGAAACAUGGCCCACAACGAUGAGGCCGGGGGUUCGGGCGGCAAGGCAUUCUGGGAGCUGUCCCAGGAGAUGGAGGAACAACCUCACUUGUAUGAGGCCGCCGCCUUCCCCACCGAUCCUGAGACCACUGAUGGUGCCGCCGAGGAUGACCACACUGAUGCCACCACUGAUGGUGCCGCCGAGGAUGCCACCACUGAUGAUGGCAGCGCCCGCACAGAUGGCAGCCAACCGAAGAGGCAACGGAAGGACCGACGCCCGAUCGUGCUCCUCACCCUCAAGGAGGAAGUUACUGAAGUGGACUCCAACGGGUAUCCAACGGCGCCCGAACGAAUAGUCAAGGGGUACUCGCUUCAGCUCGGGUGCAUUGUCCGGAGCACCGUCUCGAUCAACACCGAGAACCUGAGGCAUCCUGACCGAGGGAAUUUGUGCCACCUCCUCUUCACGAAGCUGCACGAAUGAUACAAGUUCCCCGCUGAAUUUGCAAACAGAAGCCUCAAAGGGAAUAAAGUGAACAAUGCUGCCCUCACGAAGAUGAGCAAGGCCCUGUCUACUUGGAAAAGCAAUGUGAAGAAAAUGAUCGAUAAAGGUGAGAGUUAUCAGAAGAUCAAGGAGAAAAAUCCUUCGAUCACCAAAGAUGACUACAAUGACUUCAAGAUCAAUUGCUCGAGCACCGCAAGCUCCCAAUCAAGUGAGUGGGGGAAACAAAUGCGGGAGCUGAACAUAGGGGAACACACACUCGGUCCCGACGGUUACAGAGUGGCGGAGCCUAUAUGGGACAAGGAGGAGGCGGACCGUGCCGAGCAAGGCCUACCGCCCCUCUUCGAGAAAUACAGCGGUAACAAGCAGACCAGGAACUUUGUCAGGGCCCGGUACAAGAAGGACCCGAAAACAAAGGAGCUUACCACGGAUCCGAAGACCAGGCAGCUUGAGCUUGUUCUGGUAAGGAAUACACCCCCGCGUAAUUAGCUCCAUAUGGUUGCAUUCUAAUUAAUGAAGCCAAAUUUCUAAAUGGUUCACAUUCCUUCCGCAGGCGACUGAAAGCAGUAGCGCGGGGUCGACUAAGAGCAACCCUUGGGACACCACUCUAAAUAGGGCGAUGAAUGUAAUGAAGAAGAAGGAUAAGCUCAGUAAGCCGACGUCAGCUGGUCGUGUGGCCGGCAAAGGCUUGUCGACAAAAUGGGGGUCAUACUAUACCGCUGGUGUGCGGAAGGAGAAAAAGACCAGCUCGGAAAGCCAGGCGCGAGAGGAUCAAGAACUCAAGGAACAGGUGACGCGGAUUCCGGAGAUUGUCCAAGAGCAAGUGGAACAAUGACUCGGAGCGACGAUCACCGCCAUUGUGCCUACCUUGAUCUCGGGGUUGAGUGCGUGGAUUGCGGGCGGCCAACAGGGGCCGCCCCCGAUUCCUAGCUUCACGGCCAGCAACUCGCAUAAUGCGAUGGCGGGGCCAUUGGUGCCUCCGGCGGAGGCGGCAUUGGUGUCUCCGACGCCGGCACGGGAGCUUAAUGCACCCGGGUGUACGCCGGCCGGCACCUCUGCAGCAAGCGGCCCCUCCGUCAACUGCACGCCCGCCGUUGGCGGUGCGUCGACAUUAGCCGAGCUCGACGCCAUCAACACGGUAACUAAUUAAGCCUCUCUCGGCCGAGGACUUCAUCUCCUUGCCUUUGACUAGGCAUCCCUGACGCCCUACAUGUUUUCGCAGGGCGCCGCCGACGUUCCGUGCACUCUCCUCCACUUCGUGAACAACGAGUUGGUCGAUGUCGCCAAGGGCAAAAUCGUUCAACCGGCAACCCCUUGUUCCACGGUACCCAGAUGCCACCCAACUUGUUUAGGGUUCAACUGGUUCGGGUGUUGCCAGGCUGCGACGACUUGUUACCUCUGAUUCGACCCGUUGGGGCCGACGAUGAAGACGUGAUGACCCUCAGCGCCUGCCUGAGCUGGCCCCUAGUUUGGCCGAAGAGCCAGAUUCGUUUGGGGGCGGGGGACACCACCCCAAAGACAACACCGCCAGUCGUGCUGGUGCCAAGUCGGCCCCAUGGCAAGACCGCCGUAACGGUGCCGGACAUCCCUAUGCCACUGGAUCCAAACAUGCAUAUGGCACAGGAUCAGAAUGACGACGACAACGACGAUGAUACAUUUGGCAACGUCGAUCAGUACUUUGCCGAUCAUGGGUACGAUGGCGACUUCAUGGGGCCUCCUUCUCAAGAACCAAACCCAACAAAAGACGUGUGCGAUCUAGCUGGUACCGCAGAGAAGCCAAGUUGCAACAGGCGCCGUCUGGCGUUCAGCUCUCAGGAGACGCCUCCAGCUGCCGACUUCACCGAUCCUCAGAUAGGCGAGGUGCGAAAUAUUAUCAGCCCCAACACACUCAAGAAGGCGGUCUGUGAGCAGAACUCGGUCCCAUUACAGGAGAAGAAGAAGGCACGCAAAAGAAAGACUAAGAAGGGUGCGAGCCAGCCGGCACCGAGUACGAUCCGUGCUCAGGACGGGCCACCUUCACCGCAGGAUAUCUCGAGGAGGGUGCAUGUGGCGGGUAGGGCGAUGCUACCGACAAAUAUGCUCAAUGCUGCAACCGGUGCUAUGCGGAGUCUGCAUGACAGUGUUCUUGCUUUGGAGAAGCGGCGUCUCAGAGAGAAGGAUGUGGCAUACCCGGUUUUCGCGGCCAAGGUGCCAAAGGGCAAGGGCUUUGUGGAUAACUCCAUCGGGCGUACGAUCGUCCUGCGUUUUGAUGACAUCCACGCUAUGUUGAACCUUCAUCCGCUGCACUACACCUUCGUUCGGCUAUUUUCGCUGAGUAUGGAGAUGCGGAUCAUUCGCGACAAGACCCCGGACAUCGUGAUAGUCGACCCCUUCUACAUGCGUGCCAAGAUCUUGGGCAGCGCUGGGGACCGGCAAGUCGCGAGUUCUUACCUCGAAGGCAUCAUUCUGGCAAACCAAGAUAAGGAUAACUUCCUCGUGCCUUACUUUCCCGAGUAAGUCCUCCCCUCAACCGGCCCGUAACAUAUGAAUUCUUACAUUUCGAUCGUUUUUCUUUUAACAUUCCGUGUUUUUUGCAGUGACACACGUUGCACGCUCAUCCUCCUAAGCCCCAAAUAUUCCAUGGCCACAUAUUUCGACCCGGACUGUUAGUCGAACGUAGACUACACAAAUGUCAAGAAGGUUCUUGAUGAUGUUCUCCCCGGCUAUGCCAAAUCUGGAGGCACCUUCACCAGGCCUAAUCGUAAGUACGGCAAGCAUGUUUUCUCCCACAAUACGAUGUUCUACUGCGUCAAGCAGCCGCCUGGUGGUCAGAAGGGUGCCUACUACGCCAUCCAUCACAUGCGGGCGAUCGUACGGGACCAUCAUCAACUUCUGCUACCGAGUAAACUCAAAGAUUGGGCAAAGAGCGUGUCGGCAAUCGAGGACGCGGACCUCCGACAAGAAUUCUUUCGCAUCCAGUCGGAGUUUGCGGAAAUCAUCCAUCAAGAUGUCCUUCGUACCUCGGGGCAGUUCUACCUCAACAAUCAACCGUCCAAUAGUGACAUCGACAUAAUGCUACAAAUGCAGGCUGACAACGACCGUUAUUUCAUGACUCCCACGAUAGACGGCGGCUUCAUCCACGCUCCGGUCCCUUGAGUCGAGUCGAAAGCAGUGAUGCUGUGUCUAGUUCUGAAACAUCGAUUGGCUCAUGUUGUAAUUAAACUUUAAUGAACUUGUAGUAUGUCUCUUUGGUUUCGAGAGUCGUUCAACUUAGAUGUAAUCGAUGCUAUUAAUGUCUUGCUUUUCUCUUCCGAUUGUUCUGUUGCAUACUUAUAUAUUGCUUAUGUAUUGUCUGUGAAUUGGUACUAACGUUUCGUUUGGCUAGUGCAUAGCGAUGCCGACGUAUGUCGUGUACAAGGGUAAGGUUCCCGUAGUCUACGAUGACUGGGAGGAGUGUCGGAGACAGGUUCACCGAUUCAGCGGUAACAGUUACAAAGGGUACACCACUAGGGCCGAGGCCGAAUCUAGAUACGCCCGCUAUCUAGCGGGAGAGGGGAGGGAGCGUUGGAGGAACCGGAUGAAGACGAGUUUCAUCGUGAUGAUGCUCAUCGUGAUGACCGCAGCUCUCUUCUAUGUGAUGGUAGUUUAGAUGAUCGAUAUCGACUUGUAAUGUGAAGACAAACUCGCUACUCGCGGUCUCGAGACUUGUAAUAUAAUGUUCUAUCUUUGUUCGGUCUUUUUAAUUCGGAGACUAAUAUGAUGAAUUGUAUUCGGAGACUAAUAUGAUGAAUUGUAUUCAAAGACUAAUCUUCUAUUGUAUUCGAUGAAUCUGUUGUUGAUGUGUGCUGUCUAUAUUUUGUCAAAUUAUACAUUUUGUAACCUGUGCAAAAAACAGAAAAUAAAAAAUAAAAAAAACCUAAUAUUCAUACUAAUGACGCAUCACAUGAUAGUGCGCCAUUAGUAUGACAGUGCAUACUAAUGGCGCAUCACUGGGCAGUGCGCCAUUAGUAUGCCGCGGUUACUAAUGGCGCAUCCAGCGGUGGUGCGCCAUUAGUAUGCCAAAGCACCUGGGUAUACAUGGCCCCUGGGAGGCAUACUAAUGGCGCACCCUUGCCUAUACUAAUGGCGCACGCGCGGUGCGCCAUUAGUAUACCAGAUACUAAUGGCGCACCAGGUGGUGCGCCAUUAGUAAAAAUUACUAAUGGCGUGCUAUUAAUGGCGCACCACAGAUGCGCCAUUAAUGGCCAUUUUAGGUGCGCCAUUAGUAGGGGUUUUUCUAGUAGUGUAAUAAGCGAGAUGACGCAGUUCCUGACCGCCCCGCUACCACUACUGGUUCCAGCGUGGCGUUUGAAUUAUGCCGCGCUAGAUGCCUUUUGUCCAGCGAGGAACAAGUGGGGUCAAGCGUGCUUUGGCAAUUCCCGCCGUCAGAAGACUUCCUUGUAGUCCGGUGUAGAGGUGAGGUUGUAGGGAGAUGCAUCGACUAGGAAGGAGUGGCCACAUGAACGAGCAUAUGUAUGAUGUGAUUAAGUCUCUCGAUCGGGUAUCUGGUGCCUUACGUACGGUGUCUUAUUUUUGUCAAGCUAUGACAUCUUUCAGUUUGAGUGUCUGAUAUUAGGGUUGCAUACGUUUUGUUAUUCAGUUGCCUGUUGUCAACUCUAUGGUUAUAUCACCUCGAUGUGUGAGUCAAUGUGUUUGAACCAAUGUAGAGUUUCAUGUGAAUGUUACAAGUGUGAUUGAUAUCUUCAUGUUAUAACCGCAGUUGCCUUGGUAAGAAAUUGAAAGAGCAAACCGUUAUCGUGUUAGGAAAAAAGUCAUCGCUCAAUAUAAGUUGCUUCUCUAGAACAACCACACCUUUCCCUCAAAAAAAAGAACAACCACACCUUGUGAAAGAAGAUGGCAAACACCCAAUUAUGUCUGGUUAGAUAUGGGCAUGGCUAUGGGUAGCUUAUAGCGACACGGAAGCUAGCAUCGCCUGAAGAAACACCCGGAUGGGCCGGCCUAGAGACAAAUUUCUUCAUUUCUACCCUUAGUUUUGUUUUUCUGCCCUUUUUUCUUUAUAUUUUAUAUUUUUCCCGACAUGUUCACUACUUGAUGCUCAACUGGGAUCUCAUCUGAUGCGGAGCAUCCUAUGGACAUCACCAUGUCAAGAGUCCGUUCGGCAAGUGACACGUGUGACAUCUACUUCUCAUACAUAAAGGUGAAUCUUCUCCUUUACACGUGUUUACUUGACCCCUUCGAGGAUGGUAUACUACUUGACACUUCUCCCGUGUGCAUGCAUAGGUAUUGUCGGAGCUUCAUGGAUGUCGAGGAGGAGUGCAAGCGCCAAGGAAUGACUACACCGUCCGCGAGGGAAGCAUGGAAGAGAAGGAGGAAGAGAACCUGGCUACUCCAGAACGAGCGGUACUACUGCCCACUCCAAGCGGUACUACCGCCGAGGCCACCCAAGCGGCACUACCGCCCAGCAUCCGCCCUUCUACUGCUCAACCCGACAAACUCCAGUGAUCGAGCGGUGUAAGUCCGGUACUACUGCCCCUCCAAGCGGUACUACCGCUCAAGCGGUACUACCACCCAUGAGUCCGGUACUACCGCCCUGCCUCUGCCCAGCCGUGGGCCUUUGGCCUUGUAUCCCUCUCCCACUUACCCCUUCGUGGCUUAGACUAUAAAUAGGCCACCUCCACCUCCUUUCUAGGGUUAGCACAGAUUUAGCUCAUUUUGAGAUAGAGCUUUGCUCAUCCAUACGGAUCUACUCCUCGUGAGAGACCGCGACCUCUUCGGAGAAGAUCCAUCUUGGAUUCAAGACCCCCUCGUGGGAAGAUCCGUCUAGGAUACCAACAAGACCUCCUCUUGGAGAUGAACCUUACCUUGUAUCUUUCCCUUUGUUGUUCAUGUACCCUUGUGGAUCUUGUGUGUUUGAUUGUCUAGUGGAUGUGUGAUUGGACUUGUACUUGAGUGUUUCCCCUUGUGAUUUCUCUCCGUUCUUCCACGUGUUCUUCAUAGGGAUCCGCUCCAAACGUGAAAGAUCGGCCUCUAGGGUUCUAGCCUACAUCAUCUUGGAUCAGAGCAAGGUUGAUCACGGAUUUGGAGCCCCUACCCCUCUUUUUCUAGCCUUCUUUUGCUUGCUUUCGUCCUAAAAUCCCCACAAAAAAUAGCCCCAAUUUUUUUGUGAUUUGUUCGUUUGAUGAUUUUUUGUUGAUUUUGAUCCAUGGAUUUGCUUGGUUUUGAGUGGAUCUAGCAUCUCUCCAAGUUUCCCCACCUUCCAUCCACGAAAUCCAUCCAAUUUUGCCCCUGAAAUCAUCCUUUUCCGCCCCAAAUUCGCCCCGAUUUCGAUCUGUGAAUUUUCCCGACACGAGCGGUACUACCGCCCUCGAAGCGGUACUACCGCCCUCGAAGCGGUACUACCGCUGAGCACCACAAGCGGUACUACCACCCUCCCAAGCUAUGACGCCCGGAUAAUUAAGCUACAGUAAUCCCCUUCUAAUGGUGCCAUGUCAUCACAUUACUGUUGCUAAUCCUCGCUUGAUCCAAAUCUUAGUUCAAACUCAAAUUCAAAUUAAAGACCAAAAUUCAAAUUUCUCAAGCAUGCAAAAUAAAAUGUUCAAAGUGUGGCAAAUAAUCGCUGGAUAUUUGUCAUGUUGCAAACAACCUCUUUUGAAUUCUCAAAAUGCCCCUGGGAAUUAAUUUUUGGUCCAGUAGUAAAUUAAAUGGCAUUUGCAAAAUAAAGAAUUGUUUAUUUAACUCCAAUUGCCUCCAAACUUUAUGUGCCACUCCAAAAUAUUUGUGGCUCUGUCUAAGAUCGCCAAGGAAUUAAAAGGGCACUUCCCAUAUUUUCCCUAAGUAAAUAGUGUGCCCAAAAUAUUCUCUUAACCAUCUCUAUUUUUUUAAAUAAAAAAAGGCGAAGAAGAACUCCCCCGGGCCUCGGGCCACUCCCACUUACCAGCCCACCUAAGCCGGCCCACUCCCCCGCUCCCCUAGCCUAUAGGCCACGGCCGACCGAACCCUAACCCCGCAUGAUCCCCCCACUCCCCACUCCUCUCCCCUCUCGAUCCGAUCUGGAUCGGACCGAAACCGGCGCAAUUGGUCGAUCCAUGUAUAAAGUAAAAAUAACUAGGCCCAAUUGGUCGAUCCAUGACAGUUUUCGUGACGGUACUUCCACGUCUGUCAUGAGGGGGCUACCCUACUUGGCCCCAAAUGGAUCUUGCUAAUUGGUGACGGUUUCCGUGAUAGAUUUCUGGAACGUCACCAGAAAUCCGUCAUUGAUUAACAGAUUUCCGCACAAUCCCCCCACUCCCCACUCCUCUUCCCUCCUGAUCCGAUCUGGAUCGGACCGAAAUCGGCGCCGCGACGCCAACCGCCGUCGCUGGAGGCGUCCCCGACUCCACGCCGGGCCGCCCCGUCACUGGACCUCCUCCCCGUCGCCACUCGUCACUCGCUGGACCGCCUCGUCCCCACCAAUGCCGCCCCCACCCCAACGUCCCCGACGCCUUCGCCGUCGGCACCGCCCCAAUGUCGCCGCCACCCGACGCCGGCGCCCUCGACAUCGCCACCCCGAGCCCACUGCCACCCCUACGCUCCGCUAUGAGCCCCUCGCUGAUUCCCCCUCCUUCCCGUCGUCGUAGGUGGCUGCGCGCGUCGUUGGCCAUCGUGGCCGCGCUCCGGCCGUUCCCCAUCCGUGCGCUGGCCUCGCCUUCCUCGGAUUGCAAACAUUGAACUUUUCCCCUCGGGUUCAUCUAUCUGACAGACGUUCGGGACCAGAAAAACUUUCCCGGAUGUUUCCCCCUUCGCCAGUAUCACCUAGCACCGCGUUAGAACACUUCUAGCCCCGCUUAUUGUCUUGUUAUGCAUAUGUUUGCGUGUAUUUACUGUUUCUUCCCCCUCUUCUUCUCCGGUAGACCUCGAGACCGUUGCUGAUGCCCCUGUGGUCGACUACGUCGACGGCGACCCUCCUUGUCUGAGCAACGAGGCAAGCCCCCCCUUUGAUCAUCCCGAUAUCGCCCAUUCCAUUCUCUAAUGCUUGCACUAGAUUUUCUACUGUAUUUGAUUGCUCCUAUUCUGAUGCAUAGCAUGCUUUUCUACCUGCUGUUGUACCUUACCUGCUUAUCCUAAACUGCUUAGUAUAGGUUGGCUAGUGAUCCAUCAGUGACCCCCACCUUGUCUUUGUUGCCCCUGCUUCAUCAUUGACGACUCGAUCAACGUGAUCGACGACCGGAGCCUGACACCUCACAUCACAUCACGCCCCUUUUUGUUGCUCGACUCUGCAGAGUUACCAUCGAGUGCCGAGGGUGGAACCUCAUACAUCACUCCUUAUGAGAUCUCUGUAGUGUAGCUAUUCGGUCGUGGUCAUCGAGGGUGGUUCCUCCUUCACCAUUCCUAAUACGGCUCUGUCGUGCAACACCUCAAGUGUGAACCUCGAGGGUGGUUCCUCUUACGUUCACCUUGAUGAUUACAUCGAGUGGAAUCCACCGGGGGUGAUUCCUCGGAUUUUCCCCUUUAUGUCUGGACACACAGUUACCUUGACUUCACUUGAGACCGUUUUGAAAGCCGGGCAGGCCCGGAGAGCACCCGUGCGGUGUGACGGUGGCGGCUGGCUGUUUAGCGGUAUCACCCGGGAGGGGGUGAUAGCUCCGGACUUGUCCCGACAGCCGUCACUUCUUUUAAUAAUGCACUAACAGGUUUGGGUAUUUUUUCUAAGUUCACUAACCACGACGCUAGAAUAGUUAUGGGUCUCGAUGUUGCAGUAUCAGCCGAAGCUUUCUCAGACGUCCAGUUCAGCAUUGUGGCCGGGCCGAAUCAUGCCAUCCACUUCACGGGUGGUGCUGGUAUCCCCUUGCGCACAACGACCCAGAGUGCAACGGGCGAUGGGCCCAGACCCCGGAGUGCUUAGGAUGUAGACCGGCAGGGACCUCUCUGCUGAGCCUAGGUAGGGCAGCUACGUGUUGAUCUUCCGAGGCCGGGCAUUGACCCCAGAAAGGUGUGUCCUUCCAGAGUGAUCGAGCGUGUUGGGUAACGUGGUGCCCCCCUGCAGGGAAGAUUAUCUAUUAAUAGCCGUGUCCACGGUAACGGACGUUCAAACUUAUAUCUUGAUCUUAUACAACUACAAAUGGAUACUUGAGAUAUGUGGCUCCGGGAUUGCUUUCUCGCAGGGAGUCGAGGAAGGAUCUCUGGGCGUUGUUGUCACAACAUGCUUGUUAAUUAAACUGCUAUUCUUUACUCUUCUACAUGCUGCAAGAUGCUUGGAGCUACUUGAAGAUGCUAGUCUUCAUGAGGCUAGGCCUUCCCCUCUAUUCUGGCAUUCUGCAGUUCAGUCCACAGAUACAACCCUUCCAUUUGAUACCAAUGCAUACUUAGUAUAGAUCUGAUGCUUGCGAGUACUUUGGAUGAGUACUCACGGUUGCUUUGCUACCCCAUUUCCCCCUUCUUUCUUCUUUCCGGUUGACGCAACCAAAUGGUGGAUCCCUGGAGCCAGAUGCCAGCGCUGAUAGAUGCUACUAUGUGAAGAUCGCCGACGACCAGGAGUAGUUAGGAGGUCCCAAGCAGGAGGCCUUGCCUCUUCGAUCAUUGUUGCUUUUGUGCUAGCCUUCUUAAGGCAUCUUUGUUUAACUUAUGUCUGUACUCAGAUAUUGUUGCUUCCGCUGACUCUUGUGUAUCGAGCUAUGUAUUCAAGCCCUCGAGGCCCCUGGCUUGUAAUAUAAAGCUUGUAUUAUUUUGAUUUGUGUCUAUAGUUGUGUUGUGAUAUCUUCCCGUGAGUCCCUGAUCUUGAUCAUACACAUUUGCGUGCAUGAUUAGUGUACGAUUGAAUCGGGGACGUCACAAGUUGGUAUCAGAGCCGACUGUUUGUAGGAUCCCCCUUUCCAACUCCUUGGCUGAAGUUGAGUCUAGUCUUUGAAAAAAAUUGUUUUACUAACAUGGUUGUGUGGCUUACGGGCCCAUGUCGCCAUUGGGUGGUAUUAGGAUCUUUUACUCCUCGACCUUUACUCUGGGACUCUAAUCGCUCUUCUAUUCGGGUUAAAUGGUCUCGCAAACUAUAACUCUAGGUUCUCGUAAAUACUUUCUCCCGGAGAGCCCCUUCAUUCCAGAUGAUGGCCUGCUUCACCAGAUGAUUUCGAAGAUACCCUUCUGUAAUUUCCUGAGACUUUUGUACUCAUUGCUUUUGCAGUUCCCUACCUCUGAUAUAUCCUUACGGAUAACUUCAUACACUUGUCAUUCAUACAAUCAUUCCUAGUUGCUCUUGUUUUUACAAGAUACAUUGAAUUAUUCUCCGACUUUUAAGAAUCCCUUGCUUACUGCCCUGCAGUUCCUUGCCGCAUGAAUACCCCUACGGAUAAUUACUCGCACUUGCCGAGUAUCCGUUCGUCCAUAGUUGUUCAUGUGUUUCACAACAUUCUUUGGAAAGCUAUUUGAUCUUUUCAAAAAUCCUCAGUAGCCUAUUACUCUUGUUCCUCCUUACCUACUUACAGUAUGGUUACUUCCAUUUGUCUAGCAAUAUUCUUUAAAAUCCUUUGCGAUUGACAUCCUUACCCUAUUGUUUCAACAUGUGUGUGAAUGCACGCAAUCAUCAAUUGUUCCCUGGAAUUGUCCUUCUGGCUCAGACGUUACCCCGGACACGAGCUGGUGUUCGACAAAACAAACCUUGAUUGAUUUUGAAUCUAUGUCUAUACAACUUAAUUGUCUUUGAUCAGAGCCUCUGCUUUUGAUCCCCCAUUUUGAAAAUCAUAAUCCCCUUUGCAUUCGAGCAUAGAAUUAGUCAGUUGUUUCUAUAACCUGACCUCCUUGAAUUCUUUCUUCUUCUGGUUGAGUAUCGAUACUCACAUCAGAUCCAUUGUGGACCUCCAGGUCCUUUGUUGGUUUUUAUCCGACAGCAUCCUUCAUAUUCAGUAACCUUGUGAGCCUUUCCUCGAAUACACAAUGCCUUUGGUAAAUUGUAUCCCCCACUCUCGUCAACCAUACUCUGCUUCCGGGCUUGAGUUAUUUACUCGUGAAGUUUGUGGUAUAUGUUCCUAAUAUGUCCCUAUGGGUUGAAUCUAUGUCUUCCCUAAAUCUGUGUGAACCCUACGACUCAUACUCUACUGGUGUUAUGCCAGAUAAAAUCUCAACAGUACGGCUUCGUUGAAAAUGAGAAGUGAAUGAAAGGUUAUGCAUCGAAGAAGUGGGAGUCGACCUUGAGCCUUGUGUUCAUGCCCAUGGACACGAUGUGGAACUUAACAUGGAAGCUUCUUUUUAUAAUAAUAGCCCCCUAGCGAUAAGUACAUCUUGUAUCCAUGUGUGGUCCAUUGCAAUCGUGGUUCCGACCAUAUUGUUCUUGUUUGAUCCAUUUAUCGGACAAGUUAAAGUACUUGUCUUCUUCAAAUUGUUUCACAUGUUCAACCUCUACAUUGAUAUACCUUCGAGCAUUAUCCUCUGGUAUCUCGAGAAUAUCACGGAACUACAUAACUUCUUAUGAGUUCUUGAUCAACUAUUAUUUCUCACUGAUUCAAAUUUUUCACUAGUUGGGAGUUGUUAGACACUCGAGAAUACAGUUAACUGAUUCAAGUCUACGCUUUCCUUUCCAUUGUUCUGUUUAAUCUUUCUGGUAACCUAUCUUAUCUGAGAACUGAUAAUUCCCUGCUUAUGUAAACACCUCGGUGUACAAGCUCUGUCUGUAAGACCUUGUUACUAUUGUUGAGGACAUUCCGAUAGCUACCGAUGGACGAGAACUUUGCCUAUUGGUCCGCCUCAUCUUAACGAGCAGGAAAAUGGUUCUCUUUGUCCCUCUCCCUUGGUACCAACGUUGUUGCCAACAUAACUGACAAGUUGUCCUCUGACCUGCCUUGCUAUCAUGACCAUGCAAAAUGCUAGCGCCCUUCCUGCUUUUAACCCACAAGGUGGGCCUGAGGGAGUCCUGGACUAGGCGGUGUCCGGACAGCCGGACUAUCAUCGUCCGCCGGACUCCAAGACUACGAAGAUACAAGAUUGAAGACUCCGUCCCGUGUCUGGAUGGGACUUUCCUUGGCGUGGAAGGCAAGCUUGGAAAUACGGAUAUGUAGAUCUCCUACCAUUGUAACCGACUCUGUGUAACCCUAGCCUCCUCCGGUGUCUAUAUAAACCGGAGGGCUUUAGUCCGUAGGACACAACAUACAUUACAACAAUCAUACCAUAGGCUAGCUUUAGGGUUUAGCCUCCUUGAUCUCGUGGUAGAUCCACUCUUGUACUACCCAUAUCAUCAAUAUUAAUCAAGCAGGAUGUAGGGUUUUACCUCCAUCGAGAGGGCCCGAACCUGGGUAAAACAUCGUGUCCCUCGUCUCCGGUUACCAUCCGCCUAGACGCACAGUUCGGGACCCCCUACCUGAGAUCCGCCGAUUUUGACACCGACAUUGGUGCUUUUAUUGAGAGUUCCUCUGUGUCGUCACCAAUAGGCUCGAUGGCAUCUUCAACCAACAACGCUGUCCAGGGUGAGACUUUUCUCCCCGGACAGAUCUUUGUAUUCGGCGGCUUCGCACUGCGGGCUAAUUCGUUUGGCCAUCGGAGCAGAUCGAAAGCUACGCCCCUGGCCGUCAGGUCAGAUUCGGAAGUCUCAACUUCACGGCCGACGUCCGCGGAGACUUGAUCUUCGACGGGCUCGAGCCACAGCCAAGCGCGCCGCACUGUUACGAUGGGCAUGAUCUAGCUCUGUCGCCGAACAGUGCCUUGGUGGCCGCCCACGAAUCCGCUUCGGCCUUUAGUCCGGGGCCGAUCGCCCAGACCGAGGAACGGUGGAUGGACACCGCCUCGGGGGCUUCAACUUCCACGGCGAUGGAGCCGAACACUAAUCUUGUCCCUCGCAAAACUCGUGAUUCCGAGGUGCCGGACUCCUUGCCGGACUCCGAAGCUCCCACGCCCCUACCAACCGAAUCGGAUUGGGCGCCGGUUAUGGAAUUCACCGCCGCGGACAUCUUCCAAUACUCGCCUUUUGGCGACAUCCUGAAUUCGCUAAAGCAUCUCUCGUUAUCAGGAGAGCCCUGGCCGGACUAUGGCCAGGAUGGUUGGGAUACGGACGACGAAGAAAUUCAGAGCCCACCCACCACCCACUUUGUAGCCACUGUCGACGAUCUAACCGACAUGCUAGACUACGACUCCGAAGACAUCAACGCUAUGGACGACAAUGCCAGAGACGAACAGGAACCAGCGCCUACAGGGCACUGGAAGACCACCUCGUCAUAUGACAUAUACAUGGUGGAUACCCCAAAAGACGGGGACGGCGAAGAAACAGCGGAGGCAUAUUCUUUAAAGAAACAGCCCAAGCGCCGGCAUCAGCGGCGCUGCUCUAAAUCCCGCCACGGCAAGAAUGGAGAUUCCAGCACAGGAGAUAAUAAUACCCCAGAAAGUGCCGAAGAUAACCCCCUCCAGCAAGACUCAGCGCAGGAGGAUGCAGAAGCAAGCCCUCACGAGAAGGCGGCAGACAAAGAGGUUGAGGAUUACAACUAUAUGCCUCCCUCCGAAGACGAGGCAAGCCUCAACGAUGACGAAUUCGUCGUGCCCGAGGAUCCCGUCGAACAAGAGCGUUUUAAACGCAGGCUUAUGACCACGGCAAAUAGCCUAAAGAAAAAGCAGCAGCAGCUUCAAGCUGAUCAGGACCUGCUGGCCGAUCGAUGGACCGAGGUCCUCGCGGCCGAAGAGUAUAAACUCGAAUGCCCCUCCAAAAGCUAUCCAGGACGCAAGCUGCUCCCCCGAUUAGAGGAGGAAGCAUACAUACCUCCAUCACCAGCGCACGAUACGGCUGACCGACCACCCCGUGGUCGUGACAGAGAGGCAUCCAGGCCCCCAACCAAGACCGUACCCCGGCAUCGCUCGAAAAGUAUGAAGCCAAGAGGGAACGCGCCGGACUUGCGAGAUAUAUUGGAGGACAAAGCAAGGCAAUCCAGAUCCAUCUACGGAUCACGGGGGUGCCCCACGACCCAUGACGAAUACCGUCGCGCCGGAUACAAUAACCCCGGCCGGGCCGAACACAGCAGACAACGCUCUCUCGAGUUGCAUCGUGAUAUUGCUCAAUAUAGAGGCGCCGCACACCCGCUAUGCUUCACAGACGAAGUAAUGGAUCAUCAAAUCCCUGAAGGGUUUAAACCCGUAAACAUCGAAUCCUACGAUGGCACAACAGACCCUGCGGUUUGGAUCGAAGAUUACCUUCUCCACAUCCAUAUGGCCCGCGGCGACGAUCUACAUACCAUCAAGUACCUCCCACUCAAGCUUAAAGGACCAGCUCGGCAUUGGCUCAACAGCUUGCUCGCAGAGUCAAUUGGGUGUUGGGAAGACCUAGAAGCCGCAUUCCUUGAUAACUUCCAGGGCACGUAUGUGCGACCACCAGACGCCGAUGACCUAAGUCACAUCAUUCAGCAGCCAGACGAAUCGGCCAGACAAUUCUGGACACGGUUCUUGACAAAGAAAAAUCAAAUCGUCGACUGUCCGGAUGCAGAGGCCCUUGCAGCCUUCAAACAUAACACCCGCGACGAAUGGCUAGCCCGGCACCUGGGGCGGGAAAAGCCGAAAUCCAUGGCAGCCCUCACAUCAUUAAUGACCCGCUUUUGCGUGGGAGAGGAUAGCUGGCUAGCUCGCAGCAACAAUCUCCGUAAAAAUUCUGGCAGUCCAGACACCAAGAACAAUAAUGGCAGGUCACGUCGAAACAAAAACAAACGCCGCAUCAACGGCAAUGAUAAGGAGGAUACGGCAGUCAACGCCGGAUUCCGAGGCUCUAAACCCGGUCAACGGAAGAAGCCAUUCAAAAGAACCACUCCGGGUCCGUCUAAUUUGGACCGAAUACUCGACCGCUUAUGCCAGAUACAUGGCACCCCUGAAAAGCCAGCUAAUCACACUAAUAGAGACUGCUGGGUGUUCAAGCAGGCAGGUAAGUUAAUUGCCGAAAACAAUGACAAGGGGCUAAACAGCGAGGACGAGGAGGAGACCCGACCGCCGAACAAUAGAGGACAAAAGGGUUUUCCCCCACAAGUGCGGACGGUGAACAUGAUCUACGCGACCCAUAUACCCAAUUGGGAGAGGAAGCGUGCACUAAGGGACGUCUAUGCGAUGGAGCCAGUCGCCCCGAAGUACAAUCCAUGGUCCUCUUGUCCGAUCACUUUCGAUCGAAGAGACCAUCCGACCAGCAUACGCCAUGGCGGAUUCGCCGCAUUGGUUCUAGACACAAUCGUCGAUGGAUUUCACCUCACGAGAGUCCUGAUGGACGGCGGUAGUAGCCUGAACCUGCUUUAUCAGGACACAGUGUGCAAAAUGGGCAUAGACCCCUCAAGGAUUAAACCUACAAAGACAACCUUUAACAGUGUCAUACCAGGUGUGGAAGCCAACUGUACAGGCUCAGUCACACUGGAAGUGGUCUUCGGAUCCCCGGACAAUUUCCGGAGCGAGGAGUUAAUCUUCGACAUAGUCCCGUUUCGCAGCGGCUAUCACGCUCUGCUCGGACGAAUCGCGUUCGCAAAAUUCAACGCGGUGCCGCAUUGUGCAUACCUCAAGCUCAAGAUGCCAGGCCCUCAUGGAGUCAUCACGGUCAAUGGGAAUACGGAACGCUCCCUCCGAACGGAGGAACAUACAGCGGCUCUCACGGCAGAAGUACAGAGCAGCCUUUUAAGGCAAUUCUCGAGUCCGGCCAUUAAACGGCCGGAUACAUCAAAGCGCGCCCGAAGCAAUACCAACCAAGACCACCUGGCGUGAUCAGAGCACGCGUAGCAAUGCGGCCCCAACCCCCGCCCGCGCGUGAUUGCAAGAAUAACCCUCCGCGUACAUCAUUACGCUUUGGAGAUACCAUGGGCGCAGGGGAAGGGGCACGAUCACAACGGACCCAGAGUGCAGUUCGACCGCACCAGGGGCUCGCAAGUGUGCCCCCUUUUUUUUAUUGUUAUUUUCCCUCUUUGUGUACACAGGACUCCGUUAGCCAGAGGCCCUAUCCGGCGGUGAACCUGCCGAACUCAUGAUGCAAUAACCAGGGAAGAAAGAACGCUGCGACGAACACUCAGGUGGUCUCAAUUACAAGCAUUAAAUUCGAUUAUAUACACCAAGUCCGCAGCUUACCCUUGGAGGGGGACAUGUUUAAUUAGUCCAAAUCCCUUGCUUACCACACUAUUUGUAUCAGUCCGCACUCAUAGCAGACUUUCUUUCAUAAAUAAUGCAGCACCUUUUUGACUGCAAUUACAUUACCUUUUAUAUAUAUAUGCUCAUUACAUGACAUCUUGCACCCGUAUAUUUUGGUACGGCCUAAUACACCAGGGGCUUAUGUUCCCCACAUUAUGGUGUGAUAAGUCCGAACACUUUCGUAAGUGCAGCACCCCGAACUUAUAGCACUAUAUGAAUCGGCUCCGAAUCAUGUCUUGGGUCAAUAGUUGGGUUUGCCCGGCUCCCACGUUUUGGUGCCUUACGUUCCGUUCUGUCGGCUAAGGUGGCACUGGGAGAACCACUGCGAUUGCGCCCCGGUUGAGCCGGGCGAGCACCUCAGUGGAGAAAGCUAAAACUGACCGGCAUGAUAAGGCGAGAGACUGGUCGCUGUUCGAGAGGUUUUUUCGGGUCCUUAAAGACUCACGCCACUUCGAGCGAAGUUCCGGACCAUGUCUGACGAAGGCGUGGAUAGCGCCCCGGAUUCGGCCUUUCGGAUACCAGGGGCUUCGCCGAAAUUUAAAAUUAUAGAAUUCUAUGGCUAAGUGAGAGUGUUCAAGCAUUAUAAGUCCGGUCGCCUUGUUCGUUGUGUUGAGCACCUCCCUAGAUGGACCCAAAAAUGGGAAUAAGAGUGCUCAAGUUUAUCCCGAACACCCCAGCACUCGUGGCUCGGGGGCUGAAGCCAAUGACUUUCCAUCUCUCAGAUUUUAUAAACGGCCGCACAGAAGGUAAUAUUUUAAAUUAAAACAAGCGUUGCUCAUGGCGCAUCUGAACGAAGUUUUCAGCGCACAGGAUAAUACAUAGCGAGUUCACUCAAAGAUUACAUUUCUAGGGCACUCAUCCGCAAUAUCGCGGGCUCCCUUCAGGACAGUUUUAUAAUACAUUUCAGGCGUGCGAUACUCCUUGCCCGGCGGCGGUGGGUCUGUGAGAAGCUUCUCCGCAUCCAACCUGCCCCAAUGCACCUUUGUGCGGGCAAGGGCCCGACGAGCACCUUCAAUACAGGCGGAGCGCUUGAUGACCUCCACCCAGGGGCAUGCAUCCACCAGCCGCCGCACGAGGCCGAAGUAGCUACCAAGCAUGACCUGUUCAGGCCACAGCCGGACUAUAAGGCCCUUCAUGGCCUCUUCAGCUACCUUGUGGAGUUCGACCAGCUGCUUCAGCUGGUCGCUUGGGGGCACCGGAUGGCCUGCCUCAGCGUACUAAGACCAGAAGACCUUCUCCGUUGAGCUCCCCUCCUCGCCACGAUAGAAUGCGGCGGCAUCGGAGGCACUACACGGCAGAUCUGCAAACACCCCUGGAGAGCUCCGAAUGCGGGUAAUUGUCAGGUAGUUUACAUUAACAUGCUUGCUUUGCAUGAAAAAUGCCUUACCCGCCGCUAUCUUCUUUACAUCUUCAACCUCCUGAAGGGCCUUACGGGCCUCGGCCUUGGCGGACUUGGCACUUUCGAGAGCCGAGGCAAGCUCGGACUCUCGAGUCUUGGAGCCUCCUGCUUUUCUCGCUCCGCCCGUUCCGCGACCGCACUGCGUUCAGCCGCGGACACAGCCUCCUUCAGGGCUGCCACCUCGUUCGUGGCCCCUGCAAUACCCAUAUUAUCCUUGUUAAUUUUAUUGCAACCAAAAUCCUUUUCCGUAAGGUGACUAUUCAAAGCGGUGUUACUCACCUUCUUUGUCCUCGAGCUGCUUCUUGGCAGUGCCGAGCUCUUGCUCGGACCGCUCGAGAUCCUGCUUCAACACAUCGACCUCCGCCGUCAGUGCGGCAGAGGUCAGUAGCGCAGCCUGCAAACCCAUAUUGACAUAUUUUAAGCAACCCUGCGUAUAUCUUGUUAGAUCCUCAGUCCGGCUUUUCUUUCCGAACACCGAACUGAGCAUCAAGGGCUACUGUCUAUGCGGUAUUACAUUACAUAAUUUUAACUUCUUACCUCAAAGCCUGUUAGAAGGCUGCUGCAGGCUUCGGUCAGCCCGCUCUUGGCGAGCUAAACCUUUUGAAUCACCGCACUCAUGUUAGUGCGAUGUUUUUCCUCGAUGGAAGCGCCUUCAAGCGCCUCCAACAAGUUAUCCGGCGCCUCCGGUUGGACGGAGGUCGCCGGUGUCAAGGUCUUGCCCUUCUUUCGAAGGGGCCGCCCGCCGGACUCUAGAACCACUGCGGGUUCCGAUGUAGAGUCCGGCACAAAGUCUGGGAGGCAGCCUGACGACGCCUCCGGAGCCUCCUCCUGAUGGGUCCCUCUCUGGGAUCCCACCUCGGCGUCCCCGUCGGCGCGGGGGGUAGAGGCGGUCGGAAGUGAAUCCACAUCUAACGGGGCCAACGACCCGCUCGAUGAAGCGGGGAGAUCAUCAUCGGCCGGACUACGGACAGAACGCGGCAUUAGAAGGACACUACGCGACACGAAAGAAAUUGCAUAUCAUGGAUCCGGAUACUUACGAUCUUGUCGGACGCCUGGCCCUUGGAGGCCACUCAUCCUCGCCAACGGUGGUGUUGGCGAAACUGUCCGGGGGGAUAGUCCUCCCCCUCUUGGACCCUUCGGCCUCCCCUAUUGGGAAAGCCUUCCACUUCUUCUCUCCCUCCUCCGAGAGAGAGUCCUCUUCCUCCUCCUCGUCUUUGGGGGAGGAGUCCGCCUCGUCGUCGGACGCCUAAUUGCGGGAACUCUUUCGAGUCCCCGCGGCCACCUUCUUGGCCUUCUUCUCCGGCACCACGUGCGGUGCCGGAACCAGCAGCCCUGCUAAACGGGCGUUCUCUGGGUCUUCAGGCAUGGGAGCCGGGCUGAUGAGCUGCUUGGCCUUCUCCAUCCAUUCCUAUCAAAGGAAAAGAGAGAUUGAAACCCUCUUAGAAUCAGUUUAAUUACCACAAGUGUCCCGUAACGUGGUUGAAUCACUUACCUCGUCAGCCGGAUGCUGCGAGCGAAAUCCGUGAUCUUCCGUCGCGGAUGCGGGGGCUUCGGCGCCCUUAAACAGCACCCUCCAGGCGCCUUCGUAUGUCGUAUCGAAGAGCCCGCUCAGCGCCUGGUGCUGUUCCGGAUUGAACUCCCACAGAUUGAAUACCCGUUCUUGGCAUGGGAGAAUCCGGCGGAUGAGCAUGACUUGGACCACGUCGACGAGCCUGAGCUUAUUGCUCACCAGCUUCUGGAUGCAGGCUCGGAGUCCCGUCACCUCCUUCGGAUUUCCCCACAGCAAGCCCUUCUCUUUCCAGGAGGUGAACUGCGUGGGGACGCCAGAUCUAAACUCGGGGGCCGCCGCCCAUGUGGGCUUGCGCAGCUCGGUGAUGUAGAACCAACCCGAUUGCCACCCCUUGACGGAGUCCACGAAGGCCCCUUCGAGCCAAAGGACGUUGGGCAACUUACCCAACAUGGCGCCUCCGCAUUCCGCUUGCGUGCCCUUCACAACCUUCGGCCUCCCCUAUUGGGGAAGCCUUCCUCUUCUUCUCUCCCUCCUCCGGGAGAGAGUCCUCUUCCUCCUCCUCGUCUUCGGGGGAGGAGUCCGCCUCGUCGUCAGACGCCUGAUUGCGGGAACUCUUUCGAGUCCCCGCGGCCACCUUCUUGGACUUCUUCUCCGGCACCACGUGCGGUGCCGGAACCAGCAGCCCUGCUAAACGGGCGUUCUCUGGGUCUUCAGGCAUGGGAGCCGGGCUGAUGAGCUGCUUGGCCUUCUCCAUCCAUUCCUGUCAAAGGAAAAGAGAGAUUGAAACCCUCUUAGAAUCAGUUUAAUUACCACAAGUGUCCCAUAACGGGGUUGAAUCACUUACCUCGUCAACCGGAUGCUGCGAGCGAAAUCCGUGAUCUUCCGUCGCGGAUGCGGGUGCUUCGGCGCCCUUAAACAGCACCCUCCAGGCGCCUUCGUAUGUCGUAUCGAAGAGCCCGCUCAGCGCCUGGUGCUGUUCCGGAUUGAACUCCCACAGAUUGAAUGCCCGUUCUUGGCAUGGGAGAAUCCGGCGGAUGAGCAUGACUUGGACCACGUCGACGAGCCUGAGCUUAUUGCUCACCAGCUUCUGGAUGCAGGCUCGGAGUCCCGUCACCUCCUUCGGAUUGCCCCACAGCAAGCCCUUCUCUUUCCAGGAGGUGAACUGCGUGGGGACGCCAGAUCUAAACUCGGGGGCCGCCGCCCAUGUGGGCUUGCGCAGCUCGGUGAUGUAGAACCAACCCGAUUGCCACCCCUUGACGGAGUCCACGAAGGCCCCUUCGAGCCAAAGGACGUUGGGCAACUUACCCAACAUGGCGCCUCCGCAUUCCGCUUGCGUGCCCUUCACAACCUUCGGCUUGACGUUGAAGGUCUUGAGCCACAGGCCGAAGUGGGGCCGGAUGCAGAGGAAGGCCUUGCACACGACGAUAAACGCCGAGAUGUUGAGGAUGAAGUUCGGCGCCAGAUCGUGGAAAUCCAGGCCGUAGUAAAACAUGAUCCCCCGGACGAAUGGGUGGAGUGGAAAGCCCAGUCCGCGGAGGAAGUGGGGAAGGAAGACGACCCUCUCAUGGGGCCCAGGGGUAGGGAUGAGCUGCCCCUCGUCGGGCAGCCGAUGCGCGAUAUCGCCGGAAAGGUAUCCGGCGCUGCGAAGCUUGGUGAUAUGCUCCUCCUUAACGGUGGAGUCCAACCAUUUGCCUCCCGCUCCGGACAUAUUCGGAGAAGGUCGGGGCGAGAUGCGCGAGCUUGGGCGUUGGAGCUUGAGUGCACGGAGAUGGAUAAGCAAAGGAGGAAGAAGGCGUAGGUGAGAAGGUAAAUCCUUAUCCCUUAUAUAUAGGCGGACGAAAACUAUGCGUCCCCACCGGCCUGAUAAAACUCGCUUAUCUCCCAAGCGCCACCAUCAAUGGCGCGGUUGGGUUACCCACGUCCGUAUUGAUGGGAAUCCCGGAAUAAGGGGAACACAAUCUCUGCUUCGACAAGACGUGCCAAGGAAACCGCUUCGCUAAACGUGCUGAGGUGGUAUAGUAAAAAACGAUUCAAACAAAGGCUUGGUAGCGGUGUGAUGUCACGCCGCAUAAUACGUCAGCAGAUUGGACUGGUGUACAUUUUAUUCUCUCUACGGUGGAAUGUGGAAUUUAUUUUGCAGAGCCGGACACUAUCCUGGUGUUCAUGAUCUUCUCUGGAUUAUUCAAGGGAGGAACCCGCCUUGCAAUGCCGAACAUUAUGCGCGCCGGACUUAUCGUCAUUGAAGCCUGGUUCAGGGGCUACUGAGGGAGUCCUGGACUAGGGGGUGUCCGGACAGCCGGACUAUCAUCGUCCGCCGGACUCCAAGACUACGAAGAUACAAGAUUGAAGACUCCGUCCCGUGUCCAGAUGAGAUUUUCCUUGGCGUGGAAGGCAAGCUUGGCAAUACGGAUAUGUAGAUCUCCUACCAUUGUAACCGACUCUGUGUAACCCUAGCCUCCUCCGGUGUCUAUAUAAACCGGAGGGCUUUAGUCCGUAGGACACAACAUACAUUACAACAAUCAUACCAUAGGCUAGCUUUAGGGUUUAGCCUCCUUGAUCUCGUGGUAGAUCCACUCUUGUACUACCCAUAUCAUCAAUAUUAAUCAAGCAGGACGUAGGGUUUUACCUCCAUCGAGAGGGCCCGAACCUAGGUAAAACAUCGUGUCCCUCGUCUCCUGUUACCAUCCGCCUAGAUGCACAGUUCGGGACCCCCUACCCGAGAUCCGCCGGUUUUGACACCGACAGGGCCCAUAACCCACAGUUCCACAGGAUCGAAACCUGACUCAUGUACAUCCCUGUUUUUCAAAGUUGUUCCUCGCGCUUGGAUUCGUAUGUAAUUCACGAGCCACCUUCCUUGUGAUCUGUUCUGGUAUCAGAUGCAAUACUUAUUCCCAUUGCUCUAAACCCCUUUCACCUUCUUACCUUGCUCUCGAUGACUAUCCUGAAUUCCAACUCAAGAGAUGCCUCUAUGCCAUGUUGAGGUACCUAUCUUGUGUUGAGCUCCAUCCCUCCCGAGUCUUUCCCCCUUACUCACCCCUUAAAUCUCGAGACGAUAUUUCUUGUAGUGGAGGAGAAUUGUGACGCCCAAAUAAUUAAGCUACAGUAAUCCCCUUUUAAUGGUUCCAUGUCAUCACAUUACUAUUGCUAAUCCUCGCUUGAUCCAAAUCUUAGUUCAAACUAAUAUUCAAAUUAAAGACCAAAAUUCAAAUUUCUCAAGCAUGCAUAAUAAAAUGUUCAAAGUGUGGCAAAUAAUCCCUGGAUAUUUGUCAUGUUGGAAACAACCUCCUUAGAAUUUUCAAAAUGCCCCUGGGAGUUAAUUUUUGGUCAAGUAGUAAAUUAAAUGGCAUUUGCAAAACAAAUAAUUAUUUAUUUAACUCCAAUUGCCUCCUGUCGUGGGAAACGAACACCUAUGGGGCAGGGCCCCUUUUCGGUCUGGCAAGGGAGCGGAGGGCACACGAAGAGCAGAUCGAGGCGAAGCACGCGGGGGAAUUUUACCCAGCUUCGGAGCUCUCCGGAGAGAUAAAACUCCUACUGCUGCUUUGUGUUUCUAUUCUGUUCUUGCUCAAGAGUGUGGGUGUGUUGUAGUUUCGAAUGAGUCGAACCCCUUCUACGUGCGCAUGGGCCUCCUUUUUAUAGUCUAAAGGGGUCACCGACAGGUGGCAGCAUAGAGAGAGGGGUAAAAAAGUAAAAACGCGGGUUGGUACAACCGCUAUCAACAGUGCCCCCUACCUAACUCUGACAGCAGGGGACAAGGGCAUUUAAUGCCCAUCCGGUCGCCCAAACAGUGCAGGAAGUGACCGUUAGGGGCGCCACCAAUCGCCACGAUGGCCUCCUAGUCAUCUUCACUUGCCACCUCGCACCGCUUGGCUGCACAGCUACCCGCCACGUGCACCGGGAGCGAUCCUGCGGCGACACGUCAUCGGAUGCGCUGGAGCAUGGGCGCAGAGUUGUGGCUUUGCCGCGGCAAGCGCCUUGCCGCGGUCACUAUCUUGUUGCACCCGCAAGCUUGCCGCUCGCCGGGUCUUGGUUGGCCUUCCCGGCAAGAUCCUCCUGCCGGGGUCUUGUCCUUCCCGGCAAGCUUCUCUUGCCGGGGCUUCGUCUUCACAGUUAACACUUUGUUCUUGAAUGGCAGUAAAUAGGAAUGACGAAGGAUCUUGGCGGACGCCCGGCAAGCCUUGCCGCAGGACGCUGCGCCUGCCCGUGCACAAGUUCGGGGUACUAAGGUACCCCUACUUUAGUACACCGACUGGAGCCCCCGGGCCUGGGCCAUACACGGUGCUGAGCGCUGUUGGGCCAGGCCCAAAACAGGACACGGGCACGCGCGGCCUGGGUCCUAACUAAAUCCACUCCGUAUCCACCGCGUCCUCCCGUAACGGCACGCGUCAAUCGCGGCGUCGUGGGAGAGAUCGUGGGUGGAAGACGUUCGCGCGUAUCCACAGCCUGAUGGAGGGGUUUACCCUCCAUUUUAAGUUAAUGGAGGGCGAUCUCCUCUCCGUCAAGGUCUUCGGGUGCUUCGACACUCGGGCGAAGUGCUGCGUGGACAGCUCCUCCGAUAGCAAAGGCUCCCCCUCGAGCGAGAGCGACAAGGAGGAGAGCAACAGCGAUGAUGAGGGUAGCGGGCGGCGGGAUGGCGGGCCCGACUAGGUGUCGGGCGCCGCUUCGUGCGUCACCGGUGACCCCAUCAUCCGUGUCGCCGGCUCCUUGAACUCCCCGGGGUCGUCUCCUUGGGCGGCUGGCGUAGGGAGGCUGCGGAAGGGGAAGAGGGCUGGCGACAAGGCCGUCAAAUCGGAGUACGAGGGCGUAGUGCCCUCGACAGCGUGCUGACGUCCUGCCGCCCCAUCUUCGAGCCCCGCUUCCAGCGCCGCCAUCACCGUCCGGCCUUCGGACGGCCCCCGGGAUGUUCUCUUGGUGUCUUCGCCUAGGCGCCUCUUUUGCCCUUUUCGCCUCCUUGACCUACAUCCUGAAGAGAGGGACAGGAAAGGGAUUACGGGCAUCUUAUCUUUUUAAUUUGUAAGCCUUCGGGCCCUAGUCGCAUCUAAAACUUGUAACCCUCUCUUUCAUGUUUUUCAUCCUCUAUGGACUGUACCUGAGUGUGAUGUUUUUUUAAUGAAAAAGGGAUGCUUGCCGGGUUAUUUGUCUCAUGGGUUGAACCCACGCCAAGGAGCAAAUCCUUGGUAUCCCUCGGACAGGCAUUUCAUCUCCCGCCAACAGGCCCUGCCGCCUUCCCACGUCGCUCGACCUUUCUCACGCCUUUGACGGAGGCGGGAACGAGGUGGGUGCGGCCUCCUCAUUUCAUCCCUUUGCUGCUGUGACUACGACCAAACUUGGCCCCGGGAACGAGCCCCAGGGCCUAGAGUUGAGGGAGCACGGCAGUUUUCGGGAAGAAACGCGGUUUCGCAUUCCCCAGUCCAUAAGAGGAUGCAUGAUGAGGGACGAAAGACUUAUCUGAUAUCGCAGCCCCCGGCAACUCUGGCUUGCCGUGGAUGAAUCUUGGUACUCGCAGCCCCCAGCAACACUGGCUUGCCGGGGCCCAGGUGCCGGCGCGCCCUUCUUCUCCUUUCCUUGUCGCUGUUAUUUCAGUUAUGAGAACAAUUUAGUCAGUGCCGCAAUAAGUUACUCUUGUAAUAUAACUUUAUUCUGGGCAAUGCUUGUUAUGUUACAUCCUUUAUUUGAUUCCAUUCCUUGUAUGUUUGUACCCUUACGCUUUUACGGAACUUGCCGGUGCAAACACGCUUGCCACGAGCGCUGAGUGCAAAACAUCAGCAGCCUUCUAGCGGUGUUGCCUCCGGCAAGAAACCUUGUCGGGGCUAGUCGCAGCACACUUUCAUUGUUGAGCGGACUCAAAACAAAGUAAGGGUGCAACUUAACCACGAGCCGGUUCCUCUGCGCACAGGUUUUCCAUACAAGGCAUGGUCGUUCAAGGAAUAUAACUUAAAAAUUUAAAACUGACUGUGCUUAAACUUCGGCAACUUAGCUUUUUUGUUGUUUGUGUCCNNNNNNNNNNNNNNNNNNNNNNNNNNNNNNNNNNNNNNNNNNNNNNNNNNNNNNNNNNNNNNNNNNNNNNNNNNNNNNNNNNNNNNNNNNNNNNNNNNNNNNNNNNNNNNNNNNNNNNNNNNNNNNNNNNNNNNNNNNNNNNNNNNNNNNNNNNNNNNNNNNNNNNNNNNNNNNNNNNNNNNNNNNNNNNNNNNNNNNNNNNNNNNNNNNNNNNNNNNNNNNNNNNNNNNNNNNNNNNNNNNNNNNNNNNNNNNNNNNNNNNNNNNNNNNNNNNNNNNNNNNNNNNNNNNNNNNNNNNNUGUGGGCGCAGGAAUCUUCUCUUUGAGAAAAAGGAAGAAGAGAAAAUAAAGUUAUGGAGCCUUAAGGCUUGUUAUUGCUUACCGGGGGCAAGUUCUGCACAAAGUGUCAGUGUAUACAUGCUAAAAAGAAAAAGGCAUGAAUUUUGACAAUAUGUACUAAACAUAUGAUCUUUAUUUAUGCACGGGAUCUGCGCCCGGCUUUGUACAAAGGGUUACAUGCAACAACGGCAAGGCUUGUACAAAAGGUGGUUGCCAGGACAGCAGGUUCCGGCAACCGCGCCUUAUGGGUAAAACUUACGAAGAUGAUCUAUGUUCUAGGAGUUGCUCACCGGAAUGCCAUCUUCGGUCUCAAGGCGGACAGCGCCAGGCCUAGUGACUCGCUUUACCCGAUAAGGGCCUUCCCACUUCGGCGUCAACUUGUUGGAAUUCUUGGCAGAUUGAACGCGCCGAAGAACAAGGUCACCUUCCUCGAAGCUUCUGGCAUUAACUUCGCGGCUAUGGUAGCGGCGCAAAGCUUGCUGGUAGCGAGCAGCUCGUACAGCAGCCUGAAGACGAUCCUCCUCGAGGAGCAGCGCGUCAUCUUGCCGCAGCUGCUCUUGCUCAAGCUCAUCAUAAGCGAGCACUCGAGGCGAUCCGUAUACGAGUUCUGUGGGGAGAACUGCCUCUGCUCCAUAGACAAGAGCAAAAGGUGUCUGGCCAGUGGCUCGAUUUGGCGUCGUCCUGAUCGACCAAAGAACCACCUGUAGCUCCUCGAUCCAAUUUCUUCCGCACUUGUGCAGCCUGUCGAAAGUUCUGGUCUUGAGCCCACGCAGCACUUCAGCGUUUGCCCUCUCCGCUUGACCGUUGCUUCUCGGGUGAGCAACAGAAGCGAAGCAGAUCUUGGCGCCAAGAUCUUGGACGUACUGCAUGAAGGUGCAGCUCGUGAAUUGUGUGUUGUUGUCGGUGAUGAUCCUAUUAGGGACUCCGGAACGGCAAACAAUUGACCUGAAGAACUUGACUGUUGACUGUGCUGUCACCUUCCUCACUGGCUCCACCUCCGGCCACUUCGUGAACUUGUCGAUGGCCACGUACAAGUACUCGAAGCCCCCGACAGCUCGGGGAAAAGGGCCAAGGAUAUCAAGCCCCCAGACUGAAAAUGGCCAGGAUAAAGGGAUUGUUUGGAGAGCUUGAGCUGGUUGAUGAAUCUGUUUGGAGUGGAACUGGCACGCUUCACACUUGGUUACUUGUGCAGUCGCAUCCUGGAGGGCUGUUGGCCAAAAGCAACCUUGCCGGAAGGCUUUACUGGCAAGUGCUCUUGCGCCAAUGUGGUGGCCACAUAUGCCUCCAUGUAUCUCCGCCAACAGCUCUUGUCCUUCUUCCCGGGAAAUGCACUUCAAUUUCACUCCGUUGAAUCUUCUUCUGUACAGUAUGUCAUCGACAAACUGAUACAUACUUGAUUGUCGGGCUACUUUCUCUGCUUCUUCUUGCUCUUCGGGAAGUUCUCCUGUUUGAAGGAAAUGGACGAUCUGCUGUGCCCAUGCCGGAGCUUGUGGCUCGACGACAAGGACUAAAGGCGCAAAUGCUGCUGCGGGAACAUCCGCUUCUACGGCAAGAAUAUGAGAUCCUGCCGGAGCGUGAUGCUCCCCGGCAAGCGUGCCGGGGCACAGCUUGUCGGGAGCGUCUGCUUCAACGAAACAAACCCUAGGGCUUGUCGGAGCAGACUGCUCCUCAGCACUUUCUAUGUUGAUCCUGGGGACCUUCUUGGCGGCGGCUUCGGGGAGCUCUGCCGGAAAGUAGUCGCCAGUAACCAACUUUCUCUUCUUGCUCUGUCCAGUUGAUGGUGUUACAGAUGGCUGAGUCAGCUUGAGCACAAAAAUACCUGGUUCCACAGGUAACUUGAGUGCGGUGCACUUUGACAGGCCGUCUGCAAUGUCAUUCUGAGCUCUUGGAACAUGUUCCAUCUGCAGGCCGUCAAAAUGCUCUUCCAGCUUCCUCACUUCAUCAAUGUAGGCCUCCAUCAGCGGACUCUGAUAAUCUGUGUUAACUUGGCGGACGACAAGCUGUGAGUCACCCCUGACAAUAAGCUUCUUGAUCCCAAGUUCUGUCGUGAUCCUGAGUCCGGCAAGCAGGCCCUCAUAUUCUGCAGUAUUGUUUGUUGCUUGCUCCUUGGGAAAGUGCAUUUGGAUCAUGUACUUGAGGUGCUCUCCGGUGGGUGCGACAAGUAACACACCCGCACCGGCGCCUUGCAGCGAGAAAGCACCAUCAAAGUACAUGAUCCAUUCCCUGUUUGCUUCCUUGACGGGGAUCCUCGUCUCCGGAGUUUCUUCAUCUGGUGUUGGCGUCCACUCCACUAUGAAUUCUGCCAAUGCUCGGCUCUGGAUAGUUGAAGUACUUUCAAACUUGAGGCCAAAGCUUGACAGUUCCAGUGCCCACUCGACAAUCCUGCCUGUUGCUUCUGGAUUUUGCAAUAUCCUCUUCAACGGAAAGCGAGUGACAACUGUGAUCUGAUGUGCUUGAAAAUAAUGGCGCAGCUUCCUCGAGGCCAUGAGAAGGCCGAAAAGCAACUUUUGCACUCCAGAGUAUCUUGAUCUAGCCACCUGCAGAAGGGAGCUGACAAAAUAAACUGGGUGCUGCACCAUCUUCUUUUGUUUCUCUGCCUGCGGCUGCACAGACUCAUCCUUGUCGGGACCAGAGCUUGACGGAGAAGCCCCCUGCUUGUCGCUGGACUCGCUUGCCGCGGCCGCUGGCUCAUCAUCUGCCUCCCUCUCUGCUACUAACGCAGCACUAACCACUUGAUUGGUUGCUGCUAGAUACAGCAGCAACUUCUCUUGCGGCUUAGGUGCGACAAGUACUGGAGUGGAGGAUAGGUAUCUCUUCAAGUCCUGUAGCGCAGCCUCCGCUUCUGGAGUCCAUUUCAUUGGACCUGCCUUUUUCAAAAUUUUGAAAAACGGCAGGGCGCGCUCAGCAGACUUAGAGAUGAACCUACUGAGAGCAGCAACGCAGCCGGCAAGCCUUCGCACAUCCUUGAGGCGCUUCGGGGCUUCAAUCUGCUCGAUGGCCUUGAUCUUGUCGGGGUUGGCUUCGAUCCCCCUCUGGGACACGAAGAACCCGAGAAGCUUGCCGGAAGGAACUCCAAACACGCACUUCUCAGGGUUCAACUUGAGAUUGAUCUUGCGCAGAUUUGCAAAAGUCUCAUCCAAAUCUUGGAUCAAAGUUUCUCUAUCUUUGCUCUUGACCACUAUAUCAUCCAUGUAUGCUUCUACAUUCCUGUGCAGCUGUGGCUCAAAAGCAUGACUGACUAGUCUUGCAAACGUUGAACCAGCAUUCUUUAGUCUGAAAGGCAUUCAUACAAAGCAGUACGUGCCACAUGGAGUAAUGAAUGCGGUGUUCUCUUCAUCCUCUUUUGCCAUGAAAAUCUGAUGGUAUCCUGAGUAUGCAUCAAGAAAUGAAAGCAGAUCACAUCCUGCCGUGGAGUCGACAAUCCGGUCAAUGCGCGGCAAGGGAAAUGGAUCUUUGGGACAAGCUUUAUUAACAUCCGUGAAGUCAAUACAAAGCCUCCACUUCCCAUUCACCUUGCGCACAAUUACUGGAUUGGCUAACCACGUUGGAUGGAGUACUCCUCGGACGAGGCCUGUUGCUUCCAACUUCUUGAUCUCUUCUGCUAUGAACUCUUGGCGUUCCGCCGCUUGCUUCUUGACUCUCUACUUGACGGGCCGCGCGUGAGGACAGACGGCAAGGUGGUGCUCAAUUACUUUCCUGGGAACACCGGGGAUGUCAGAUGGUUGCCAUGCAAACACAUUGACAUUCGCCCGCAGGAAAGCAACGAGCGCGCUUUCCUAUUUAGGGUCAAGCGUGGCACUGAUGGUGAAGGUACCACUAGUGCCGUCCUCCUUGGCGGCCACUUUCUUGGUAUCAGGUGUCGCUAUCUUUGCCCUCUUGCACUUGCCGGUGGAGCUCGAUGGUGCGUCCUCGACGGUAGCACAGCACUCCGAAGAGGUGCGCUUGCCGGAGUGGGCAUCAGAGCUACUCUUGCCGGACUUGGUCUUCUUCUUCUUCCCCCCGGGAGCUUCAGCGGCAAGUGGUUUGUGCUCUGCUGCGGCUGCUGCUUCCUGGUAGAUCUUGUCGGUGCAGAUAAGCGCAUCCUUCUUGUCGCCUUGGACAGAAAUGACGCUUAUCGGACCGGGCAUCUUGACCACGUUGUAAGCAUAAUGAGAGGCUGCCAUGAACUUGGAAAGCGCUGGACGGCCGAGUAUCCCAUUGUAGGGCAACGGGAAAUCAGCAACAUCAAAUGUGACUCUCUCUGUCCUGAAGUUCAGUUUGCUGCCAAAUGUCACUGGUAGUGUAAUCUUCCCCUUGGGCUUGCUCCUUCCCGGGUUGAUUCCUUGAAAGGUACCAGUUUCUUCGAGCUCGCUGUCGGGGAUCUGGAGCUUGUUGAGCACCGCGGAAGAGAUCAGAUUUAGGCCGGCCCCACCGUCAACCAACAUCUUCGUGACCUUGAGGUUGCGGAUGGUUGGCGAAACCAACAUCGGCAAGCACCCGACCGCAGUGAUGCGAUCAGGGUGAUCCUCAACAUCAAAGACGAUGGGCGUACUGGACCACUUCAGGGGCUUGCGCGAUUCGACUGAUGGUUCAGCUGCAUUUACCUCCCGCACCCACUGCUUGAGUUGGCGGUGCGAGGUGUGCAGAGAAGCACCGCCGUCAACGCACAAAACCUCUGUUGCCUUCUGAAACUCUUGCUCGUCGGUCUCAUCCUCGUCCAUCUCAUCAUCCUCAUCUUCAUCUUCGUCCUUGUCACGGCCACGGGGAGGUCUGUCUCCUUGCCGCUGCUUGGCCUUGCCGCGGCGCCCUCCCCGGGCGGGACGCUUCUUGCCGGAUCCUCCGCCACCUUCCUGGGCCUUCUCCUUGUCGCGACGCUCGUAUUCAGCUUUCUGUAGUUCUGCCAUUUGCUCAACCUUCUUGCAUGCUUGGAGGUCAUGGCCCUUGGUGCGAUGGAUCUUGCAGUACUGCUUGCCGGAACAAUCCUGCUUGUCGGCGGCCACCACAGCCUCGCCGGAGUCACCAGCUUUGGCCUUGUCGGCGCCGCCUCCGUUGCCGGACUGCUCAACAACUAGCACAUCCUUAGCCUUUCUCUUUCUAUUAUUCCGCCUCCGGUUCUUCUUUGCCGGAGGGACGUCCUCAUUGUCCGAUCCUUCUGCUCCUGCAUUCUCUCCGGGAAGUUUCCUCCCCUCUUCAGCUCGUGCACACUUGUCAGCCAGAGCAUAUAGCUCGCUGACAUCUCUAAUCUUGCACAUCGCCAUCUCCUCCCUCAUCCUGCGGUUACGCACGUUCUGAUGGAAUGCGCUGAUAACCGCGGCAGGGUGGACGUCUGGGAUGUUGCGCUGCACCUGGCUGAAUCUCUGUAUGUACUUGCGCAGGGGUUCUCCUUCUUUCUGGGCGAGCAGAUGAAGAUUGCUCUCCUGACCAUGGGGUUUGUGGCCGCCUGUGAAGGCGCCGACAAACUGAUGGCACAGGUCCGCCCACGAAGAGAUGGAGUUGUCCGGCAAGUGCAUGAGCCAAGAUCUGACGUUGGGCUUGAGCACCAGCGGGAAGUAGUUGGCGAGGAUCUUCUCGUCGCGCCCCCCGGCAGCCUGCACCGCGAUGGUGUAGACGCUGAGGAACUCUGAUGGAUGUAUCCUGCCAUCGUACUUCUCGGGUAUGUCCGGCUUGAAGUUCUUGGUACUGGGCCACUGGACUUGCCGCAGCUCACGGGUGAACGCAGGGUAACCUGCCGCGUACGGCAAGUCGCCUGGUUCCCCUGGCGCAUGCAUAUCGACAGUGGGCCCAGCGCACUGGUCAGAUUAAUGUCGCGCUUCUCUUCUGCGCUCGAUGCGAGUACGAGCGUCUCUGUGUCGUCGUUCUUGGAGAACUUGGCGUUGAUCGCGGCGAGCUCGCGGGUCCGACGACGCGGUGGAGUCGGUGUCGAGGUUGGAACGGCGAGUUGGCGAUCAUGGCCUUCGGGGCGGGGAGUGCACGGUGGUGGCACCCCCAGCGGUCUUGUCGGUGUCGGCUUGCGCCCGGGCGUCUUGCCGGGGCUUUCGAUGUGCUCGGUUGCCGGGGCUUGUCGCCGUUGGCGAAGCCGAUGAGGCUUUGGAUGGUGAUCCUCCAGUCGUCGAUCUUGUCUGGCGCUGGAGGGUAAUCUAGAAGCAGCUGGGCUCGGGCCAGCGCUUCCUCUGGAGUCUUGGGCGGCGGUGGCGAGCGACGCGAGGUGCGGGAUAUGCUCAAACUUCUAACAGUGUUAGAAGGAGCAACAUCUCGCCCAGGCGACCGUACUUCGCUCGUGCCAGCGUGUUGACGUGUAUGUUGGCCUUGAGCGUCCCGCGAUCCGCCGGCUUGGCCUUGUUCCAACACGAGCACGGUGCUAGGAGUACCGUGGCAUUGCCGAUCUUGCACCUCCUGGGAGGGGUACGGUGGAUGUACAGACGCUGAAGCUUGCGGGGCCUUGUCCUCGGACCUGGUGACGAUGUGAGUCCCCCCGUCGGCGCCCGCUCCUCCGCCGGCGUCCACCCCACCACCCGUUUGCUCCGGUGGCGGUAGGAUAGUCGCAAACGGAGUGGCCACCUCCGAAGCCUUCUUCUUCGGUGGCAUGUCGAUGAAGAUGUUGAUGUAGCGCGCAGAUGCCGGAUCAGGUACGCACAACCUCGACGCCCACCUACCUGGCGCGCCAAAGAUGUCGUGGGAAACGAACACCUAUGGGGCAGGGCCCCUUUUCGGUCCAGCAAGGGAGCGGAGGGCGCACGAAGAGCAGAUCGAGGCGGAGCACGCGGGGGAAUUUUACCCAGCUUCGGAGCUCUCCGGAGAGAUAAAACUCCUACUGCUGCUUUGUGUUUCUAUUCUGUUCUUGCUCAAGAGCGUGGGUGUGUUGUAGUUUUGAAUGUGUCGAACCCCUUCUACGUGUGCAUGGGCCUCCUUUUUAUAGUCUAAAGGGGUCAGCGACAGGUGGCAGCGUAGAGAGAGGGGUAAAAAAGUAAAAACGCGGGUUGGUACAACCGCUAUCAACAGUGGCCCCUACCUAACUCUGACGGCAGGGGACAAGGGCAUUUAAUGCCCGUCCGGUCGCCCAAACAGUGCAGGAAGCGACCGUUAGGGGCGCCACCGAUCGCCAUGAUGGCCUCCUAGUCAUCUUCACUUGCCACCUCGCACCGCUUGGCUGCACAGCUACCCGCCACGUGCACCGGGAGCGAUCCUGCGGCGACACGUCGUCGGAUGCGCUGGAGCGUGGGCGCAGAGUUGUGGCUUCGCUGUAGCAAGCGCCUUGCCGCGGUCACUAUCUUGUCGCACCCGCAAGCUUGCCGCUCGCCGGGUCUUGGUUGGCCUUCCCGGCAAGCUCCUCUUGCCGGGGUCUUGUCCUUCCCGGCAAGCUUCUCUUGUCGGGGCUUCGUCUUCACAGUUAACACUUUGUUCUUGAAUGGCAGUAAAUAGGAAUGACGAAGGAUCUUGGCGGACGCCCGGCAAGCCUUGCCGCAGGACGCUGCGACUGCCCGUGCACAAGUUCGGGGUACUAAGGUACCCCUACUUUAGUACACCGACACCUCCAAACUUUAUGUGGCACUGCAAAAUAUUUGUGGCUCUGUCUAAGAUUGCCAAGGAAUUAAAAGGGGAACUUAACAUAUUUUUCCUAAGUAAAUAGUGUGCCCAAAAUAUUCUCUUAACCAUCUCUGUUUUUUUUAAUAAAAAAAGGCGAAUAAGAACUCGCCCGGGCCUCGGCCUACUCCCACUUACCAGCCCACCUAAGCCGGCCCACUCCCCCGCUCCCAUGGCCUAUAGGCCAUGCUCAACCGAACCCUAACCCCGCACGAUCCCCCCACUCCCCACUUCUCUCCCCUCCCGAUCCAAUCUGGAUCGGACCGAAACUGGCGCCCCGACGCCAACCGCCGUCGCUGGAGGCAUCCCCGACUCCACGCUGGGCCACCCCAUCACCUGACCUCCUCCCCGUCGUCGCUCGUCACUCGCUGGACCGCCUCGUCCCCACCAACGCCGCCCCGAGCCCAACGUCCCUGUCGUCGUCGCCGUCGGCAUCGCCCCGAUGUCGCCACCACCCGACGCCGGCGCCCUCGACAUCGCCACCCCGAGCCCACUGCCACCCCUACGCUCCACUGUGAGCCCCUCGCCGAUUCCCCCUCCUUCCUGUCAUCGUAGGUGGCCGCAUGCGCUGUUGGCCACCGUGGCCGCGCUCCGGCCGUUCCCCAUCCGUGUGCUAGCCUCGCCUUCCCCGGCUGCGGCCACCAGCCUCCUCGUCGCGCUCCCGCCUUCGCCCACACCUGCCCCUGUACGCCCAGCCGCUGCUGCUCGCCGGAUCCGCAUGUUCGCCCCCUAGCUUCGUCUCCGGCCGUCGAGUCCGCACCCGAUGCCGGCGCCCCAGCGCGUCCAUGCGCCCGUACGGGCGGGCGCCCACGCCCAUGCCCCUCCGCCCGUUAGCCCGCCCCGCUAAGGCCUGGGCACCUAACCAAGGGGCCCCACGCCCCUGUGUAAUAAAAAAGAUUUAAAAAAAAUAAAUAUAAAUAUAAUUAGUUAAUUAGUUAAUUAAUUGUAUAGUUAAUUAACUAACUUAAUUAACCUUGCUUAGUUAGCCUAAUGAACUAGUUUAGUUAAUUUAAAUCUGUUAGAUAGGUCUAUGAGAGAACGACCCCACAUGUCAGUUUAACCAGUCAACACUCUUUUGACUGCUGACAUCAUGAUGACGUCAGGCUGACAUCAUAAUUCCAAUUUUGAAUUAAUAAUAAUUUCAGAAUAUUAUUAAAACUUUGAAAAAUCAUAGAAAAUAAACCGUAUCUCGGAUGGAAGUUGCUUGGAACGACGAGACAAAUCCGAAUGCGCAGUUCGUUCAUCUGUCACGCGUCCCUAGCAUAGCAAACGUUGAACUUUUCCCCUCCGGUUCAUCUGUCUGAUAGACGUCCGGAACCGGGAAAACUUUCCCGGAUGUUUCCCCCUUCGCCAGUAUCACCUAGCACCUCGUUAGAACACUUCUAGCCCCGCUUAUUGUCUUGUUAUGCAUAUGUUUGCGUGUAUUUACUGUUUCUUCCCCCUCUUCUUCUCCGGUAGACCUCGAGACCGCUGAUGAUGCCCCUGUGAUCGACUACGUCGACGACGACCCUCCUUGUUUGAGCAACCAGGCAAGCCCACCCUUUGAUCAUCCCGAUAUCGCCCAUUCCAUUCUCUCAUGCUUGCACUAGAUUUUGCUACUGUAUUUGACUGCUCCUAUUCUGAUGCAUAGCCUGCUUUUGUACCUGCUAUUGUAACUUACCUGCUUAUCCUAAAUUUCUUAGUACAGGUUGGCUAGUGAUCCAUCAGUGACCCCCACCUUGUCUUUGUUGCCCCUGCUUCAUCAUCGACGACUCGAUCAACGUGAUCGACGACCGGAGCCUGACACCUCACAUCACAUCACGCCCCUUUUUCUUGCUCGACUCUGCAGAGUUACCAUCGAGUGCCGAGGGUGGAACCUCAUACAUCGCUCCUGAUGAGAUCUCUGUAGUGUAGCUAUUCGGUCGUGGUCAUCGAGGGUGGUUCCUCCUUCACCAUUCCUAAUACGGCUCUGUCGUGCAACACCUCAAGUGUGAACCUCGAGGGUGGUUCCUCUUACGUUCACCUUGAUGAUUACAUCAACUGGAAUCCACCGGGGGUGAUUCCUCGGAUUUUCCCCUUGAUGUCUGGACACAUAGUUACCUUGAUACUUGAGACCGUUGUGAAAGCCGGGCGAGCCCGGAGAGCACCCGUGCGAUGUGACGGUGGCGGCUGGCUGUUUAGCGGUAUCACCCGGGAGGGGUGAUAGCUCCGGACUUGUCCCGACAUCCGUCACUUCUUUUAAUAAUGCACUAACACGUUUGUGUAUUUGUUCUGAGUUGGCCUCUGGCCUUUACGCACUAACCACCACGCGAGAAUAGUUAUGGGCCUCGACGUUGCAGUAUCUUUCGAAGCUUUGUCAGACGUCCAGUUCAGCAUUGUGGCCGGGCCGGAUCGUGCCAUCCACUUCACCGGUGGUGCUGGUAUCCCCUUGUGCACAACGACCCGGAGUGCAAUGGGCGAUGGGCCCAGACCCCGGAGUGCUUAGGAUGUAGACCGGCGGGGACCUCUCUACUGAGCCUAGGUAGGGCUGCGACGUGUUGAUCUUCCGAGGCUGGGCAUUGACCCCAGAAAGGUGUGUCCGGCCAGAGUGAUCGAGCGUGUUGGGUAACGUGGUGCGCCCCUGCAGGGAAGAUUAUCUAUUAAUAGCCGUGUCCAUGGUAACGUACCUUCAGACUUAUAUCUUGAUCUUAUACAACUACAAAUGGAUACUUGAGAUAUGUGGCUCCGGGAUUGCUUUCUCGCAGGGAGUCGAGGAAGGAUCUCUGGGCGUUGUUGUUAAAACAUGCUUGUUAAUUAAACUGCUAUUCUUUACUCUUCUACAUGCUGCAAGAUGCUUGGAGCUGCUUGAAGAUGCUAGUCUUUGUUUGGCUAGGCCUUCCCCUCUAUUCUGGCAUUCUGCAAUUCAGUCCACAGAUACAACCCUUCCAUUUGAUACCAAUGCAUACUUAGUAUAGAUCUGAUGCUUGCGAGUACUUUGGAUGUGUACUCGCGGUUGCUUUGCUACCCCUUUUCCCCCUUCUUUCUUCUUUCCGGUUGACGCAACCAUAUGGUGGAUCCUUGGAGCCAGAUGCCACCGCCGAUGGAUGCUAGUACGUGAAGAUCGCCGACGACCAGGAGUAGUUAGGAGGUCCUAGGCAGGAGGCCUUGCCUCUUCGAUCGUUGUUGCUUUUGUGCUAGCCUUCUUAAGGCAUCCUUAUUUAACUUAUGUCUGUACUCAGCUAUUGUUGCUUCCGCUAACUCUUGUGUAUCGAGCUAUGUAUUCGAGCUCUCGAGGCCCCUGGCUUGUAAUAUAAAGCUUGUAUUAUUUUGAUUUGUGUCUAGAGUUGUGUUGUGAUAUCUUCCCGUGAGUCCCUGAUCUUGAUCGUACAUAUUGGCGUGCAUGAUUAGUGUACGAUUGAAUCAGGGGCGUCACACAAGCGGUACUACUGCCCCACCCAGUUUCAGCAUUUCGAGUUUCACCGUUUUGCCCAUAACUUCCACAUCCGGAGUCCGAUUUUUGCAUUUUUUAGCUCGUUGAGUAGCUAUUGACAUCCCCCAUCCAUCUAUAUAGGUUCCAACACCAUUUGACUCCAUCAAAUUUUCCAAAAUUUGGAAAGUUUGCCUAGGCCGUCCACCAUAUCAUCUGCAUAGCCACCACCGACCACCGCAACCUAACCCAUUUUGUUCCCCUUAGCAUUUGAGGUUGUUUGAGUUGUGGCUUGUGUCUCCUAAGGUGUUUCGGCUACUUAGGGAUGGUAACUUCAACUCCAACACGUGUAUAGCCCAUCAUUCCACUUCCGCAUUGCCGAGUGCAAACCACCACCUCUUUCCACUACCACCAUUUGACAUUUACCUUUGUAGAUUUUGAGUUUGCGAUUUUUCCGUUUCCUAGGGUGUUUUGGCUAACUAGGAAUGGGUCGACAUCAGCAACAUCGCCUCUCAUCAUCGCCAAGGACGGUAACCUCGAUGACACCAUUGUAUAUUCCCUUGCCAUUGCAUUGAUAACCCCUAGCCCAUUUUGCGUCACUUGCCUAUCGAGACUAGCCGUUUGAGUAUUGCCGGCAACGUGACUUGUGCACAUUAGUGAUCAUACUUCCCAUAGCAUCAUACCAUAUCAUCGUGGUGCAUAUAUUGGUAGCAUAUCUUGCGUCACAAGUUUGUUGCCGCAUAUACACAAUUGCUAUCUUGGUUUGUGCAUUAUGCAGAAGUGGCCAUACAAAAAAGAGAAAUAAAGCUUUUAAGCAAAAGAAAGAGAGAAAAGAAGCUUGUAAGCAAGUGCCAUAGCAUCAUACCAUAUUGCACAUAAGAUUGUCAUAUCCGAUCAUCUUGGAUCAUCUUGAGAGAACAUCGGGAACCAUACAUACAUAGCAUACUUGGGAUAGAAAGUAUAUCCAUUUGGCAUCUUGUAGGUUGUGCACAAGUGUCCUAUCCGCCUAUUGAGCAAUCGUGCUAGCGUCUCUCUUGAGUUGUGCAACACGAGCGUUUUCUGUGGAUUCCACAUUUUGUGCUCAUUGCUUGGUUGCACGACCCCAUUUAUCUAUCCGUGUGUGUGUUUCCGUGUGUCAUUCUUUGCUAUUGGUCUACUUGUUUCACUUGCAAAUUUGUGAAUCUCUUUCAACAUUAUUGACUCUUGCUAACAUUUUGCAUCAAAUUUUUGUGCCACUAUCCUCACCGAGCUCCACCAUAAGCUUUACUUGAUAGGUGUGAGUGAACAAGUCCGGUACCAAUUCCACUAUUCUUUCAUUUCACAUUGAGUUAAACGGGAUACAUCCUCAACUUUGGGAAAGGUAACUUCCUAUUGUUUAUCUCAUUUCCUACUGGCAUUUCACCUUCGGUCUACAACAACAACGACGAGUUCGAUGCCACGAACAACUCCAACGACGCCAAGAUGCAAGCUCAAAUGGAGGAGAUCAAAGCCCUCAUCAAGUCCUACAAGCAAUCUUCCUCAUCUUCGAGAAGACACUCACGUGCACAUGUUUCCGAGCUACCAUCUCCGGUAAGAUCACAUCAGCAUCGACACCAUCACCAACAAGAACGUGAAGGUCAAGAGCUCAACACCAACUACCGCUCAACGACUUCACCAUCUCCCUUGGCAUCUUCGCCAAGCGACUUCAAGGCAUCUUUGAGUACGGAUAUACGGCAUCUUCGCCAACAAGAACCUCAAGGCUACGCUCAAGAGAAGCUCCCCAAGCUCAAGUCCACGACUUCCAUGAGCUACUACGACCUCGACACCGACCACAAGAUUCCUUUCUAUGGAACUCAAGAACCCGAGGAGUACCUCGAGUGGGAGCGUUUGAUGGACGACUACCUCAAGCUACAUCAAGUCCCUUCCGAAGAUCAAGUGAAGUGCGCCACAAGAAACUUCCACGACUACGCCUCGACAUGGUGGCUUCACACACCUUCGGAGAGCUACGAGAUGAGUUAGCCCAAGACGAAGAGAGCUUUGCAGCGAGAGCUCGUGCCUCCAACCUACAUGGAACAACUUCGACGCCAAUUGGAGAACACCAUCCAAGGAUCCAAGUCCAUCGACGCGUACUUCAAGGAGAUGAAGAAUGCCUUGCGACGAGACGGCGUGGAUGACCCCAUUUCGAUGAAGUUCCACUUCAUGAUGCGAUUGAACAACGACAUCUCCAAGACUAUCUUCCUCGAGAACUACAAGUCCCUGGACAACUACUACAUUGGUGCUCUCAAGGCGGAACAAGAACUCAUGAAAGCCAAGGCUUCUCCACCCCAAGCACACUUCGCGGCGACCAAGCUGUACGACAAGCAUGAGGCUAGUACCACCAUGAUGUCCAAGCCCGACGAGCUCCAAGACAAUGCUCCCAAGUUCGACUUCACCGCCAUCCCUCUUUGUGGCAUUGAUGACGCCGAGUCUACCUUGACUCUUUUUCAAGACGGUGCGGCGACGAGUACGACUACGGAGACCUUCAAGGACCAAGCUUUGGAGGCGAGCGACAAGGUGGCGAGCAAGGAUGGUGUUUCCAUCUUUGGAGGCGAGAGUGAUGAUGUGCCAUCUUCGUCCUUCAUCCACGGCGACGAUGACGAGAUGAUCGAGCAUGGGAUUUUCCCUUCGGUCAUGGAGGAGAGUGAUGAUGUGCCAUCUUCGGCCUUCAUCCACGGAGACGACGACGAGAUGGUUGAGCAUGGGAUUCUCCCUUCGACCACGGUGACGUAUGAUGACUUGAGUGACUUUUGCCACCAUAUUGAGAGUGAGAGUGACUUCACCACUAGCCCCAUAUAUGACGAGUUGCCCCAAUUCCUAUGUGAGGAGAGCCACAACCCCCACCACUUGAGUGAGAUGAGUGACUCCACCAUAUGCGACUUUGAGUGCACCUAUUUUGAGGGAGUGAGUGAACCACCACAUAGAGAGAGUGUGAUAGUUGAUAGGUCUCGUGAGGCCAUUUGCAUUUCUAACAACUUGACCUCUACCUCUAUUGUGUCUUCUCAUUUGGUGCUAGGUCCCAUUUAUGAUGACGCGCCGAUCCUCGACGACUUCGUCCUCCCUUUGGACAAGACGAUGGCCAUGGUGGAAUAUGAUGCACCCCCCACAUGGUUCCAUCAAGAUGAAGAUGACCACCAUUUGGUCUUUCCCACCUCACCUACACCACUUGAGUGGAAUGAAAAAGGUAACAUAGGUGAAGGUGAUGCUCUAGUCCCACUAGUGGACAUUCUUGACAUUGAUUGCUUGCAUGAUGUUGAUCCACCUAGUACCAUGCUUCAUGCUAGUAUGAUUUCCCCAUGUGAUGAUUUGGCCAUUUAUGAUGAGUAUGAUGAUUCUCAUGUGGAGUCUCUUAGUUGUGAUGUCAUGUUACAUAGGAUUUCUUGUGACAAUUCUUUAGGUCACAUCAUGUUUGAUAAUCCGCUUGACUUGUCGUAUGCUAUGCAUGACAUUCACCAUAUGUCAUAUUUGCAAUCUCAUUGUAGUGACUAUGCAUAUGCCAUUCAAAUUAACCCAAUUUGCACUUAUGGCAUAGAUGACAAGCCCAUGGUUAUUGGGAUUUGUUUUUCUUGUGAUGAUAUUGAUAUGGUCCCUUUGCAUCAUUUAUCUCAUAUGCCAUGUCAUGCCCACCUAGCUUCGGAUAUGCAUUGUUUUGGAUGUUGUCCAUUUUCUCCAUAUGAUGUUUCCAAUCUUGCUCAUGAGGAGACCCCCAUAGUUCCCUCAUACAUGUUAGGAGAUUUUGAUCCAUCCCAUCCAUUGCAUGAUCCCAACAAUUGUGUGCACCAUAUGCUCCCCAUGAAUAAACAUGCUAUUGAUGUGCCAUAUACUUGCAUUCUCAAUUUGUGUCCCCAUCGUGUCAUACAUAAUAACUAUUCUUUCAUGAUGGAUGACAUGUUCUUAUACCAUGCAUCAAAUUUCGUUGAGCGAUGCUUAUCUUGUGCUAACUCACACGUGCACAUACACAUCAUGAUGGAUGAUGUGUACAUUUACCACACACACAAUUUAUUUGGUUUGUGUCUCUUUUGUGUAGGUACCCAGGAAUACUUGUCAACCUCGCAAUCCCACGAGUUGACAAAACGAGCUCUAGAGAGCAACGAUGAUUUGGGAUCCCAUGGAUUGUCUUUCCCACCGCUCUCUUCGCGCAAAGACUUAGCGCAUUUCUUCUACAUGGCCCUCACUUGGCUAUGGGUUGUUUUCCAUUACAUAUUAUAUGCCCAUCUUGCCAUGUUCACUUUGCAUGAUAUGCCCAUUCCCAUGCAUUUGUGACCCAUACUUUGCUUUACACAUGAUGAUUGACUCUCAUACUUUUAUGUGUAUUUGCAAGCUUGGUGGAGAUAUUGCUUGUUGUUUCCCUAUUCCAUUUUUGACCCACCCCUAUGAUGAUACUAUGAUCUUGCUUUGUGUUCGUGCUUGUGAUAUGUCAUGUGCAUUGUCUAUCCCUAUUAUUUGCUCACAUGACAUGAUUGCCAUGAUUUACUCUGGUGUGUUGCAUCUUCGCUCCACUAGUUUGCACCACAUGAUUGAUAUGCUUGCUUGUAUUGCAUCCCCCAUGAUUCAUACUUGCUCAUUUCAUGCGAUUGAUGACAACCAUUUCCAUACUUUGCACGUGAUUGCUAUAGCUUCUUGUCACAUAUCUACAUAUGUUGCCUCUCUCAUGCUAGAUCACUUGCCAUGUAUUUAGUGCAACAAUGCUCUUAUUCUUGCUCAUGAGAUUGCCCCCAUAGCAUUCUCACAUAUGAUUGGAGUUGACAUAAUUCUUGUGAAGCAUGCUUGCCUUCCUUCUUUGCACCAUAUGCCUAGUGCCAUGAAUAUUGCCAUUGUUGCAUCAUAUUGUUCAUGCACUUGUGCUACUAAAGGUUAUGUGCAAGAGAUGAGAACCAUCAUGAUGGAUGAUGUGUUUCUCUACCAUGCGCAUAUACUCUUUGUUUUGUUGUGUGCAUGUGUAGGAUACUUGGACUUCGUCUCGACUUCCACUUCAUGUGAGUUGACCAUUCAAGCUCUUAAGAGCGAGCCUCACACAUUCUACCACUACUCGCUUCUACACCGCAUUUGCUUGCGCUUCGGCAUUGUGAAGAAUGCACAAGGACAUGCCUUCAAGGUGACAUCUUUCUUGAGCAUGGAUAUUGCGGAUCAUACUACUUGUGUAGCUUGCACUGUGAGACUUAUUGGUCAUCUUGGACCACUUGAUUGCGCACUUGCUAGAGAUCUUGCUUUGACUUGCCAUUUUCACAUUCCCAUGCAUCAUGAUAUAUAUGCCUUGUGUGUUGCAUCCAAUUCUUGGAUUACUAUCACAACCUAGCUAGUCCAUGCAUUAGAGUGUUGCAUCAUGUCUACCUUUUAUCAGAAACUUGAAUUGGGGAAGACAGAACCCCCCAGAACCCCUCUGAAUUCAACUAGUGCUUACUAAAAAUAUUUUCAAUGAACCUGAAAUGCCCUUCUAAAAAGUUCACCCUCUUUGUCUUGGGUUAGAACCUCUGGCAAAAUUGGUGCACAAUUUUCUAGGUCAACAAAAGGCCAUUGAAUUAAAUCAUAUCUACUUUGAGUUUGGGCAUUUAAACUAUAUAAAAUAUUUCAAAUGCUCAAAUAACUCCAAACUAAAAUGUUCCAUACUGGAUAUAUUCCAACUAGGGACCAUGUGCAGUUUGGUGAUUUUUGGAGUUGCCUAAGUAUUUUUAGAAAUGCAACAAACUUACAGAAACAAUUAAAAACAGAAACAAAUGGGAAAAACCCUUACCUGGCCGAACCAAGCCCCAGCCCAGCUGGCCGGCCCAGCACUGUGCUGGCCCAUGCCAGCCAGCUGCUUCGCCGUCGCCACGCAGGCACAGAGCUGACGCCGGCAAGCGUGAGCUCGCAACGGCGCCAGCUGCUUGCCGCCCGCGCCCCCGAGCACCUGGGUGAGCUCCACGUCGCCGCCCCGACCCCGUGGACACCUCAUUCGCCCCCUGCCUCUCUCCCUCGCUCUCCCGCACCAUGGCCGACGCACCCGCCGCCGCACCCCCGACGUAGUCGCGCCCUCCGUCGUCCUCGUGCUGCACCACCGUGUCCCUUCGCUCCGCCGUCAUCGACUACAUCGAGUAGGCCGAGCCCCGAGCGCUCGCUGGCCCUGUUUCAUCUUCUUCGAGCUCGUCUUCACCGAGCACCGCCACAGAUCCCCUUCGCCGUCGCCGCCGUACCAGCUCGUCCCCGACCUUGCCGACCACUCCGUUGUGACCGCCGUGAGCUCAGCCACCUCCCCAUCCUCCCCGUUUGCCUUCUCGUGCACCGUAGCAACCGCAUGGAGCUUCAUCGCACGCACCACCGACGAGCUCGUCGCCGACGUGCCUCCGGCCAUCCACCGUCCACACCACGGUGUCUAACAUGCUCACCGCAUCGUGUAGAGUCUAACGCCCCACUCCACGCGCCUCGCCGUGCCCCGUAGCCAUGGGUCCAUUUUCAUCCGACUCCGGCGACCGCCGUGGUCGUCGCCGGCGACGUUCCUGGCCACCUCGACCUCAACCACCACCACCAAACGCCGCGACUUGUUCCCGGCUACACGUAGAUGGUCUCCGUCGUCCAUUUGGUCGCCAGAACAUGCUAACCCACUUCCUCCGCCGCGUCUGGCCUCGCCGGCGGCUAGACACCGGCAUGUUUGACCCGUUGACAUUCACUGGGUGGGCCAGGUUGACUCCCCUGAGUCUAUGACAAGUGCCCCCCCCUCUGCUAAUUAACCUAGUUUAGCUCUUACUAAAAUCAGUUAGUUUAAAUAAGUGCUGACAUGCGGGACCCACUGGUCAGUUUGACCUGAACGACCCCUUUGACCACUGACGUCACCCUGAUGCACUGCUGACGCAAUAACCAAUUUCUGGAUUUAUUGUUAUAUAGGAAAUUCCAGAAAUUGUUGCAAACUUCAAAAAUUCAUAGAAAUUAAUCUGUAACUCCAAAUGCAAAGAUUUAUAUAUGAAUUUUGAUCAGAAAAAUUCAAUCUAUCCAUUGGUAAUGGUUUCAUGCAUGUCAGAACAAGUUAACCUUGCUGUUUAAUCAAAACAAGUUAAUGCACUAAUAUGACUAUGUUAAAUGAACUACCAUUUGCAUCUUUGAUUCAAAUGAGUUCAUACCUUUCUGUUCUAGCUUGCAUUAGGCCAGGACACAUUCAUGUUGCCAUGUCAUAGCAUGCAUCAUAUUGUUGUAUAUCGUCAUGUGUUGUUCAUGUUCGGUGUGUUUUCGUGAUAGGUUCUGCCUCCGAGGAUAACCCCGAAUAUCCGUCUGAAGGGCUGUAUCCUACUACCACUACAUCAGGCAAGCAACCCAUUGAUCAUUCCGAUACAAACCCAUGUUCUUGCCUCUGCUCUUGUUUACUGCAUUAAGACAAUGCGAUUCAAACUUUUGUGUGUUGUGGUAGUUGAACCCACUUCCUUUGCAUGACCUGUCAUUGCCACAGUAACUAGAUGAAACUCAGUAGCAUGUGUAGGAGUUGAUUGAGCCAUAUCUGUGUUACCUACCAUGCUAUGCUUGCUAUGCUUAGAGUUGUGUCAGGUCUGGCUCAUUGGGAUGAUGAACUAGAGUGAAAGGUUGUGUCGGUAAUGAAGUGUUGAACACGAUUUGGUAAAGGUAUCGAUGAGAGGCCAUGUAGGAGUACAUGGUGGGUUGUUUCAUUGAGGCCGUCCUUAAGCACUGAGAUCUGUGUGUGUGAUUUAAGAUUCAGCUACUACCACGCAUUGGGCCCGAAACCAAUGGACCCUCUCGACUUAUUAACCACUCUUGUCCUCUGUCCGGGAGUUGCAAGUAGUUUUUGGUGUUUGUAGCAUGAUGGGGGCCGCACGCAGUGCUGACCUUAGGGGUGGGUUGGGUUGCGGUAGGCAUGUGGCACGGUGUAUCGAUUCGCCCGUUUGGUGUCUCGGGAACCAUGUUCACAUCAUUCGGGGCCGUUAGUGGAAACCUCGGCCGGACUCCCUGCGGAUGGAACCCGAAUAGGCGAUAAACCUGGACUAGGGACUCGUGUGUUUAGUCAGGCCGUGGCCGACACCCUCGCUGGGCUUCCGCUUGAGGCUUGCCGAGUACACGUCAUGUAGCGGUGAUAAGUGGUGAGAGCGUGUGUGAAGAAGUACACCCCUGCAGGGUAUAAAACUAUUCGAAUAGCCGCGUCCGCGGUAAAGGACUACUUGGUCACCUAUGCAGUUCAUAGACAAGUAAAUGGAUACUUCUAAAAGCCUCAAGUUAAGUGUGAGUACCGAGGAUGGCCCUCUCGUAGGUUGACAAGAGAGGAUCCUCGGUGGAGUAUUGUGUUGGUGAGUAGUGGACUCGUGUGCGACAAAUGUUUUGCAAGUUGUGUCUAUCGUAGAAUAGCUUAGCCAAGAGUCAAAGCUGGCUUGCUGCAAUAACUCCACUACCUUCUUGAGAAUGUGCAUGUAUGAUAGGAUUCUGUUGUAAGACUUGCUGAGUACCUCUGUACUCAUGUUUGCUUAAAUGUUUUCAGACGACAACACCAACCCCUCCGAUGGGUUCUACGUAGACCUCGACGUUGACGAGUGACUAACCACCCAAGUGGUGAUCCGAGACUUGUGAAGGGCCGAUGUAGAUAGAAAGGCUUCGUCAAGCCCUCUUUCUUUCUAGUGUCUGUACUCAGACUAGUUGCUUCCGCAUGUGCUUGUAUGCUUGUAUGACUUGAGUCUCAGGUCAUGUGACCCCUAUCUGUAUGAACAUGUUAUGUAUGGCUCCUUGGAGCCACUUAAAUAAAGUACUUUGAGUUGUAGAGUUUUGUUGUGAUGCCAUGUUGUAUGUACUCAUAUCGGGCAUAUUGUGUGUAUGUUUGAAAUGCUUGGUAUGAGUGGGAUCCGACAAUCUAGUUGUUUAUCCUUGGCAGCCUCUCAUAUGGGGAAAUGUAGUCUAGUGCUUCCUGAGCGAUAGUAGUCCGCUACAGCCCGGUUCACCGGAGUCCUGCUAGCCCAGUACUACAGCUCUGGACACUUGACUGGACAGCAUGUGUUUCACUUCGUUCCUGUGUCUGUCCCUUUGCGGAAAUGUCACGCGGUGGCAUUCGGAGUCCUGCCUAGCCUGCUACAGCCCGGGUUACUGUUGGGAAACGUAGUAAUUUCAAAAUUUUCCUACGCACACACAAGAUCAUGGUGAUGGCAUAGCAACGAGAGGGGAGAGUGUUCGUCCACGUACCCUCGUAGACCGUAAGCGGAAGCGUUAGCACAACGCGGUUGAUGUAGUCGUACGUCUUCACGAUCCGACUAAUCCAAGCACUGAACGUACGUGGCCUCCGAGUUCAGCACACGUUCAGCUCGAUGAUGAUCUCCGGCCUCCAAUCCAGCGAAGCUCCGGAGAUGAGUUCCGUCAGCACGACAGCAUGGUGACGAUGAUGAUGUUCUACCUGCGCAGGGCUUCGCCUAAAAUCCGCGACGAUAUGACUGAGGUGGAAUAUGGUGGAGGGGGGCACCGCACACGGCUAAGGAACGAUCCAUAGAUCAACUUGUGUGUCUAUGGGGUGCCCCCCCCCCCCCGCCCCUGUAUAUAAAGGAGAAAGGGGGAGGCCGGCCGGCCCCUUGGGCGCGCCAAGGGAGGAGGAAUNNNNNNNNNNNNNNNNNNNNNNNNNNNNNNNNNNNNNNNNNNNNNNNNNNNNNNNNNNNNNNNNNNNNNNNNNNNNNNNNNNNNNNNNNNNNNNNNNNNNNNNNNNNNNNNNNNNNNNNNNNNNNNNNNNNNNNNNNNNNNNNNNNNNNNNNNNNNNNNNNNNNNNNNNNNNNNNNNNNNNNNNNNNNNNNNNNNNNNNNNNNNNNNNNNNNNNNNNNNNNNNNNNNNNNNNNNNNNNNNNNNNNNNNNNNNNNNNNNNNNNNNNNNNNNNNNNNNNNNNNNNNNNNNNNNNNNNNNNNNNNNNNNNNNNNNNNNNNNNNNNNNNNNNNNNNNNNNNNNNNNNNNNNNNNNNNNNNNNUCCGGUUUUCUCCGAAAUCACCCGGAACAAUUUCGGUGUCCGAAUAUAGUCGUCCAAUAUAUCAAUCUUUAUGACUCGACCAUUUCGAGAUUCCUCGUCAUGUCCGUGAUGACAUCCGGGACUCCGAACAAACUUCGGUACAUCAAAACUUAUAAACUCAUAAUAAAACUGUCAUCGUAACGUUAAGCGUGCGGACCCUACGGGUUCGAGAACUAUGUAGACAUGACCUAGAACCAUUCUUGGUCAAUAACCAAUAGCGGGACCUAGAUGCCCAUAUUGGUUCCUACAUAUUCUACGAAGAUCUUUAUCGGUCAAACCGCAUAACAACAUACGUUGUUCCCUUUGUCAUCGAUAUGUUACUUGCCCGAGAUUUGAUCGUCGGUAUCCAAUACCUAGUGCAAUCUCGUUACUGGCAAGUCUCUUUACUCGUUCCGUAAUACAUCAUCUCAUAACUAACUUAUUAGUUACAAUGCUUGCAAGGCUUAGGUGAUGAGUAUUACCAAGAGGACCCAGAGAUACCUCUCCGACAAUCGGAGUGACAAAACCUAAUCCCGAAUUAUGCCAACUCAACAUGUACCUUCGGAAACACCUAUAGAGCACCUUUAUAAUCACCCAGUUACGUUGUGACGUUUGGUAGCACACAAAGUGUUCUUCCGGUAAACGGGAGUUGCACAAUCUCAUAGUUGCAGGAACUUGUAUAAGUCAUGAAGAAAGCAAUAGCAGUAUACUAAACGAUCAAGUGCUAGGCUAACGGAAUGGGUCAUGUCAAUCACAUCAUUCUCCUAAUGAUGUGAUCCCGUCAAUCAAAUGACAACUCUUUUGUCCAUGGUUAGGAAACAUAACCAUCUUUGAUAAACGAGCUAGUCAAGUAGAGGCAUACUAGUGACACUAUGUUUGUCUAUGUAUUCACACAUGUAUCAUGUUUCCGGUUAAUAUAAUUCUAGCAUGAAUAAUAAACAUUUAUCAUGAUAUGAGGAAAUAAAUAAUAACUUUAUUAUUGCCUCUAUGGCAUAUUUCCUUCAGUCUCCCACUUGCACUAGAGUCAAUAAUCUAGAUUACAUGGUAAUGAUUUUGACACCCAUGGAGUCUUGGUGCUGAUCAUGUUUUGCUCGUGAGAGAGGCUUAGUCAACGGGUCUGCAACAUUCAGAUCCGUAUGUAUCUUGCAAAUCUCUAUGUCUCCCACUUGGACUUGGUCCCGAAUGGAAUUGAAGCGUCUCUUGAUGUGUUUGGUCCUCUUGUGAAAUUUGGAUUCCUUUGCCAAGGCAAUUGCACCAGUAUUGUCACAGAAGAUGUUCAUUGGUCCCGAUGCACUAGGUAUGACACCUAGAUCGGAAAUGAGAUCCUUCAUCCAGACUCCUUCAUUUGCUGCUUCUGAAGCAGCUAUGUACUCCGCUUCACAUGUAGAUCCCGCCACGAUGCUUUGUUUAGAACUGCACCAACUUACAGCUCCACCGUUUAAUAAAAACACGUAUCUGGUUUGCGAUUUAGAAUCGUCCGGAUCAGUGUCAAAGCUUGCAUCGACGUAACCGUUUACGACUAGCUCUUUGUCACCUCCAUAUAUGAGAAACAUAUCCUUAGUCCUUUUCAGGUAUUUCAGGAUGUUCUUGACCGCUGUCCAGUGAUCCACUCCUGGAUUACUUUGGUACCUUCCUGCCAAGCUUAUUGCUAAGCAUACGUCAGGCCUGGUACACAGCAUUGCAUACAUGAUAGAGCCUAUGGCUGAAGCAUAGGGAACAUUUUUCAUUUUCUCUCUAUCUUCUGCUGUGGUCGGGCAUUGAGUUUGACUCAACUUCACACCUUGUAGCACAGGUAAGAAUCCUUUCUUUGCCUGAUCCAUUUUGAACUUUUUCAAAAAAAAUUCAAGGUAUGUGCUUUGUGAAAGUCCUAUUAAGCGUCUUGAUCUAUCUCUAUAGAUCUUGAUGAGUAAUAUGUAAGCAGCUUCACCGAGGUCUUUCAUUGAAAAACUUUUAUUCAAGUAUCCCUUUAUGCUAUGCAGAAAUUCUAUAUCAUUUCCAAUUAAUAAUAUGGCAUCUACAUAUAAAAUUAGAAAUGCUACAGAGCUCCCACUCACUUUCUUGUAAAUACAGGCUUCUCCAAAUGUCUGUAUAAAACCAUAUGCUUUGAUCACACUAUCAAAGCGUUUAUUCCAACUCCGAAAUGCUUGCACCAGUCCAUAAAUGGAACGCUGGAGCUUGCAUACUUUGUCAGCACCUUUUGGAUCAACAAAACCUUCCGGCUGCAUCAUAUACAACUCUUCUUCUAGAAAUCCAUUCAAGAAUGCAGUCUUGACAUCCAUAUGCCAAAUUUCAUAAUCAUGAAAUGCAGCAAUAGCUAACAUGAUUCGGACAGACUUAAGCAUCGCUACGGGUGAGAAAGUCUCAUCGUAGUCAACCCCUUGAACUUGUCGAAAACCUUUUGCAACAAGUCGAGCUUUAUAGACAGUUACAUUACCAUCAGCGUCAGUCUUCUUCUUAAAGAUCCAUUUAUUCUCAAUGGCUUGCCAAUCAUCGGGCAAGUCAACCAAAGUCCAUACUUUGUUUUCAUACAUGGAUCCCAUCUCAGAUUUCAUGGCUUCUAGCCAUUUUGCGGAAUCUGGGCUCAUCAUCGCUUCCUCAUAGUUCGUAGGUUCACCAUGGUCAAGUAACAUGACUUCCAGAAUAGGAUUACCAUACAACUCUAGUGCGGAUCUUACUCUGGUAGACCUACGAGGUUCAGUAGAAACUUGAACUCCUCACUAAUUGGUGUAGUUGUCACAGGAACCGGUUCUCGUGAUGAACUACUUUCCAAUAAGGGAGUAGAUACAGUUAUCUCAUCAAGUUCUACUUUCCUCCCACUCACUUCUUUCGAGAGAAACUCCUUCUCUAGAAAGGAUCCAUUCUUAGCAACGAAUGUCUUGCCUUCAGAUCUGUGAUAGAAGGUGUACCCAACAGUCUCUUUUGGGUAUCCUAUGAAAACACAUUUCUCCGAUUUGGGUUCGAGCUUAUCUGGUUGAAGUUUCUUCACAUAAGCAUCGCAGCCCCAAACUUUAAGAAACGACAACUUUGGUUUCUUGCCAAACCACAGUUCAUAAGGCGUCGUCUCAACGGAUUUUGAUGGUGCCCUAUUUAACGUGAAUGCGGCCGUCUCUAAAGCAUAACCCCAAAACGAUAGCAGUAAAUCAGUAAGAGACAUCAUAGAUCGCACCAUAUCAAGUAAAGUACGAUUAUGACGUUCGGACACACCAUUUCGUUGUGGUGUUCCGGGUGGCGUGAGUUGCGAAACUAUUCCACAUUGUUUCAAGUGUAGGCCAAACUCGUAACUCAAAUAUUCUCCUCCACGAUCAGAUCGUAGAAACUUUAUUUUCUUGUUACGAUGAUUUUCCACUUCACUCUGAAAUUCUUUGAACUUUUCAAAUGUUUCAGACUUGUGUUUCAUCAAGUAGAUAUACCCAUAUCUGCUCAAAUCAUCUGUGAAGGUGAGAAAAUAACGAUACCCGCCGCGAGCCUCAACAUUCAUUGGGCCACAAACAUCAGUAUGUAUGAUUUCCAACAAAUUAGUUGCUCGCUCCAUAGUUCCGGAGAAUGGCGUUUUAGUCAUCUUGCCCAUAAGGCACAGUUCGCAAGUACCAAGUGAUUCAUAAUCAAGUGAUUCCAAAAGUCCAUCAGUAUGGAGUUUCUUCAUGCGUUUUACACCGAUAUGACCCAAAAGGCAGUGCCACAAGUAAGUUGCACUAUCGUUAUCAACUCUGCAUCUUUUGGUUUCAACACUAUGAACAUGUGUAUCACUACUAUCGAGAUUUAAUAAAAAUAAACCACUCUUCAAGGGUGCAUGACCAUAAAAGAUAUUACUCAUAUAAAUAGAACAACCAUUAUUCUUUGAUUUAAAUGAAUAACCGUCUCGCAUCAAACAAGAUCCAGAUAUAAUGUUCAUGCUUAACGCUGGCACCAAAUAACAAUUAUUCAGGUCUAAAACUAAUCCCGAAGGUAGAUGUAGAGGUAGCGUGCCGACCGCGAUCACAUCGACUUUGGAACCGUUUCCCACGCGCAUCGUCACCUCGUCCUUGGCCAGUGCUCGCUUAUUCCGUAGUCCCUAUUUCGAGUUGCAAAUAUUAGCAACAGAACCAGUAUCAAAUUCCCAGGUGCUACUACGAGCUCUAGUUAGGUACACAUCAAUAACAUGUAUAUCACAUGUAGCUUUGUUUACUUUGCCAUCCUUCUUAUCCGCCAAAUACUUGGGGCAGUUCCGCUUCCAGUGACCAGUCUGCUUGCAGUAGAAGCACUCAGUUUCAGGCUUAGGUCCAGACUUGGGUUUCUUCUCUUGAGCAGCAACUUGCUUGCUGUUCUUCUUGAAGUUCCCCUUCUUCUUCCCUUUGCCCUUUUUCUUGAAACUAGUGGUCUUGUUGACCAUCAACACUUGAUGCUCCUUCUUGAUUUCUACCUCCGCAGCUUUUAGCAUUGCGAAGAGCUCGGGAAUAGUCUUGUUCAUCCCUUGCAUAUUAUAGUUCAUCACAAAGCUCUUGUAUCUUGGUGGCAGUGAUUGGAGAACUCUGUCAAUGACGCUAUCAUCCGGAAGAUUAACUCCCAGUUGAAUCAAGUGAUUAUUAUACCCAGACAUUUUGAGUAUAUGCUCACUGACAGAACUAUUCUCCUCCAUCUUGCAGCUGUAGAACUUAUUGGAGACUUCAUAUCUCUCAAUCCGGGCAUUUGCUUGAAAUAUUAACUUCAACUCCUGGAACAUCUCAUAUGCUCCAUGACGUUCAAAACGUCGUUGAAGGCCCGGUUCUAAGCCGUAAAGCAUGGCACACUGAACUAUAGAGUAGUCAUCAGCUUUGCUCUGCCAGACGUUCUUAACGUCGUCAGUUGCAUCAGCAGCAAGCCUGGCACCCAGCGGUGCUUCCAGGACGUAACUUUUCUGUGCAGCAAUGAGGAUAAUCCUCAGGUUACGGACCCAGUCCGUGUAAUUGCUACCAUCAUCUUUCAACUUUUCUUUCUCAAGGAACGCAUUAAAAUUCAACGGAACAACAGCACGAGCCAUCUAUCUACAAACAAACAUAGACAAGCAAAAUACUAUCAGGUACUAAGUUCAUGAUAAAUUUUAAGUUCAAUUAAUCAUAUUACUUAAGAACUCCCACUUAGACAGACAUCUCUCUAGUCAUCUAAGUGAUUACGUGAUCCAAAUCAACUAAACCAUAACCGAUCAUCAUGUGAGAUGGAGUAGUUUUCACUGGUGAACAUCACUAUGUUGAUCAUAUCUACUAUAUGAUUCAUGCUCGACCUUUCGGUCUCCGUGUUCCGAGGCCAUAUCUGCAUAUGCUAGGCUCGUCAAGUUUAACCUGAGUAUUCUGCGUGUGCAAAACUGGCUUGUACCCGUUGUAGAUGGACGUAGAGCUUAUCACACCCUAUCAUCACGUGGUGUCUGGGCACGACAAACUUUGGCAAUGGUGCAUACUCAGGGAGAACACUUCUUGAUAAUUUUUGUGAGAGAUCAUCUUAAAAUGCUACCGUCAAUCAAAGCAAGAUAAGAUGCAUAAAGGAUAAACAUCACAUGCAAUCAAUAUAAGUGAUAUGAUAUGGCCCUCAUCAUCUUGUGCUUGUGAUCUCCAUCUUUGAAGCACCAUCGUGAUCACCAUCGUCACCGGCGCGACACCUUGAUCUCCAUCGUAGCAUCGUUGUCGUUACGCCAUCUAUUGCUUCUACGACUAUCUAUACCGCUUAGUGAUAAAGUAAAGCAAUUACAGGGUGUUUGCAUUUCAUACAAUAAAGCGACAACCAUAUGGCUCCUGCCAGUUGCCGAUAACUUCGGUUACAAAACAUGAUCAUCUCAUACAAUAAAAUAUAUCAUCACGUCUUGACCAUAUCACAUCACAACAUGCCCUGAAAAACAAGUUAGACGUCCUCUACUUUGUUGUUGCAAGUUUUACGUGGCUGCUAUGGGCUUAGCAAGAACUGUUCUUACCUACGCAUCAAAACCACAACGAUAGUUCGUCAAGUUGGUGCUGUUUUAACCUUCGCAAGGACCGGGCGUAGCCACACUCGAUUCAGCUAAAGUGAGAGAGACAGACACCCGCCAGCCACCUUUAAGCACGAGUGCUCGUAACGGUGAAACCAGUCUCACGUAAGCGUACGCGUAAUGUCGGUCCGGGCCGCUUCAUCUCACAAUACCGCCGAACCAAAGUAUGAAAUGCUGGUAAGCAGUAUGACUUGUAUCGCCCACAACUCACUUGUGUUCUACUCGUGCAUAUAACAUCAACGCAUAAAACCUAGGCUCGGAUGCCACUGUUGGGAAACGUAGUAAUUUCAAAAUUUUCCUACGCACACGCAAGAUCAUGGUGAUGGCAUAGCAACGAGAGAGGAGAGUGUUCGUCCAUGUACCCUCGUAGACCGUAAGCGGAAGCGUUAGCACAACGCGGUUGAUGUAGUUGUACGUCUUCACGAUCCGACCGAUCCAAGCACCGAACGUACGGGGCCUCCGAGUUCAGCACACGUUCAGCUCGAUGACGAUCUCCGGCCUCCGAUCCAGUGAAGCUCCGGAGAUGAGUUCCGUCAGCACGACGGCGUGGUGACGAUGAUGAUGUUCUACCGGCACAGGGCUUCGCCUAAACUCCGCGACAAUAUGACCGAGGUGGAAUAUGGUGGAGGGGGGGCACCGCACACGGCUAAGGAACGAUCCGUAGAUCAACUUGUGUGUCUAUGGGGUGCCCCCCGCCCCUGUAUAUAAAGGAGCAAGGGGGAGAGGCCGGCCGGCCCCUUGGGCGCGCCAAGGGAGGAGGAAUCCUCCUCCUAGUAGGAGUAGGACUCCUCCUUUCCUACUCCUACUAGGAGGGGGAAGGAAGGAGGAGAGGGGGAAGGAAAGGGGGGGCGCCGCCCCCCUCGUAGUCCAAUUCGGACCAGAGGGGGGGAGGGGGCGUGCGGCCCAUGCUGGCCGCCCCUCUCUCCUUUCCCCUAAGGCCCAUAAGGCCCAAUACUCUCCCGGGGGGUUCCGGUAACCCCCGGCACUCCGGUUUUCUCCGAAAUCACCCGGAACAAUUCCGGUGUCCGAAUAUAGUCGUCCAAUAUAUCAAUCUUUAUGUCUCGACCAUUUCGAGAUUCCUCGUCAUGUCCGUGAUGACAUCCGGGACUCCGAACAAACUUCGGUACAUCAAAAGAUAUAAACUCAUAAUAAAACUGUCAUCGUAACGUUAAGCGUGCGGACCCUACAGGUUCGAGAACUAUGUAGACAUGACCUAGAACCAUUCUCGGUCAAUAACCAAUAGCGGGACCUGGAUGCCCAUAUUGGUUCCUACAUAUUCUACGAAGAUCUUUAUCGGUCAAACCGCAUAACAACAUACGUUGUUCCCUUUGUCAUGGGUACGUUACUUGCCCGAGAUUUGAUCGUCGGUAUCCAAUACCUAGUUCAAUCUCGUUACUGGCAAGUCUCUUUACUCGUUCCGUAAUAUAUCAUCUCAUAACUAACUUAUUAGUUACAAUGCUUGCAAGGCUUAGGUGAUGAGUAUUACCGAGAGGGCCCAGAGAUACCUCUCCGACAAUCGGAGUGACAAAACCUAAUCUCGAAUUAUGCCAACUCAACAUGUACCUUCGGAAACACCUGUAGAGCACCUUUAUAAUCACCCAGUUACGUUGUGACGUUUGGUAGCACACAAAGUGUUCUUCCGGUAAACGGGAGUUGCACAAUCUCAUAGUUGCAGGAACUUGUAUAAGUCAUGAAGAAAGCAAUAGCAGUAUACUAAACGAUCAAGUGCUAGGCUAACGGAAUGGGUCAUGUCAAUCACAUCAUUCUCCUAAUGAUGUGAUCCCGUCAAUCAAAUGACAACUCUUUUGUCCAUGGUUAGGAAACAUAACCAUCUUUGAUAAACGAGCUAGUCAAGUAGAGGCAUACUACUGACACUAUGUUUGUCUAUGUAUUCACACAUGUAUCAUGUUUCCGGUUAAUAUAAUUCUAGCAUGAAUAAUAAACAUUUAUCAUGAUAUGAGGAAAUAAAUAAUAACUUUAUUAUUGCCUCUAGGGCAUAUUUCCUUCAGUUACCGGAGUCCUGUUAGCCCAGUGUUACAGCCCGGAUGUAUACGUUGAUGACCGACAUGCUCGAUGUGACUCAUGUAUGCCUGUCCCCAUAGGUUAGCGCCGCUUUGGGUUCAUGACUAGCCAUGUCAGCCCGGGUUCUCUGUCAUAUGGAUGCUAGCGACACUAUCAUAUACGUGAGCCAAAAGGCGCAAACAGUCCCGGCCAUGGUAAGGCGACACCCGUGGGAUUACCGUGCGUGAGGCCGCAAAGUGAUAUGAGGUGUUACCGGCUAGAUCAAUGUGACUUGGAAUCAUGGUCCAGACAGCAUUGGCAUCAGAGCCGGACUGCCUGUAGGUUCCUAAGCCAAACUGGUCGAUGUCGAGUCUAGAAAUGCUUUAGUUAUAUGUAGGGGAAUUUAUUGUGGGAGGAAACGUAAGGCUCUUUUUACCCCUUUACCUUAUGCCCUCUGAUCUGUGUCAUCCUCUUCUCAUUCUACGUGGGUUAAGGACUAGGCUCUCUUCUCUCUAUCAGGUUCACGUGUUACUAAUCCGUAGUAACUUAUAGGAUUGUUGGUUACCAGUCUCAGUACAGUUCCUACUACUUUAGUAUGUUAUCAGUUGAACCUGAACCUUGAUAUGAUGUUGUUGAGUGGUUUUGCAAUCCGUUGUGAAUGUCUCAAAUCUGCUCCUGAGCAUUUACAGCUGUUAUGUUGUCCAAUUUUCCCUAGGAAUUCUAAUGUCUUUGCAUUGUGGUUGUGCUUUCAGAUGGCCACUCGCGCUCAGAACCAAGUGGUUCGCCUGACGCGGUGCCUCAAUGUGCCCGGUCAUACUGCUAUGUUAGUCCGGGUCAUGAUCGAGACAGGUUACCGUUGGUAUCCCGAAUACAUUGCCGAAGAGCAAUUCCAAGACUUUAAUCAAAGCCAAUACUUCUGCACUGUCAGGAUAUUUCCUUCAUAUCCUGGAUCCACCGAGCCCCUUCACUGCUCCUAUGGACUCGGGGUCACCAUUGAGAUGGCUGUACAGGAUGCGGCCUAUUCUAUGAUGACCAUCAUGCGAGUCAGGACUGGUCUGCUUCGGAACACCGACUUCCGUUAUAUGCCAGCAUCGCUCCCAGGAGCGCAAGGGUAUCUCCAGGCUAUCUAUGCUGAUUCCACCCAUGAGGACUCACUAACUCGCACCAUUGCGGAGAUGCUCGAGGAUAAGGACCGAGAGAAUCAGGCCUUGAGGUUGGAGCUUUUCAACACCUGCGCCGAUCAUUGGGCCACUUUGACUCGGUUUGCACCGGCUGUGCAAGCUGGAUGUAUGGAUAUGAGGGAUCUGUUUCCUGUGAGAUCUGCUCUGCCAGACAUGGUGGAUUGGCGUGAUGUGGGAGGCAUCAUCCCACCCCGUGGUCCCCGUAGGCCAUCGUUUGUUGGUCCAAGACCUCAUCCUAGCCCCUAUGGUCCACAGGCUCCUCAGGACCGUCUGUUCCCGGAUGAUCACGUUGAGCUUCCAAGCUAUGGAGGGGACUUCUAUGAGGACUACUACGGAGCUGUCUGAGUUAGUAGUAGUAUCUUUAGUAUUGUAAUAGUUGUAAUUCCAUCGUCCUGCGUGACCUGUGGAAUAUGACUUAGUGUGUAUCAGUUCCGGAGGUGUAGAAAAAUAAUGUAUCGGAGCUUGGAAUGCCUCCGAUGAGAUGUAACUUCUUCCACCGUAGUUGUACUAUAGUCGGGCUUGUACUAAACUAUGUAUGGUGUGUAUGACUGUUGGUGCAUAUAUGGCAGUUUCUGUAUUACCAUGUCAUACAGAUGAACAUCUCUGCAUUCCUUGUUAUCCAUUACAUUCUGCACUUCCUUGUCCAGAUUUGCCAUCCUUGUCUAAAGCGAUGUCUUGUUUUCCUAGGAUGGUCAACACCCGUAACAACCCUGCUACUCCGGAGCAGGGUGAAGCCAGUGCAGCUAGGAAUGAAAAUCUGCCUCAACCACCUUCUCUGGUCGAAGUUAUGCUGGAGGCAGAGCGAAAUAAGCGUGAGACCAAUCGCUUGCUGGAGCGGAUUGAGCAGAAUACCGCACGCCAGCCGAGGAACGACCUGGUGUCACUUAAUGACUUUGUCAAGCUGUAUCCACCGAAGUUUAAACAUUCCGUCGAGCCCCUUGAUGCGGAUGAAUGGCUUCGCAGCAUUACCCACAAGCUACGUUCUGUCAAUGUGGCCGAAGCUGAUAAGGUUAACUUUGCUACCUAUCACCUCGAAGGCCCUGCUAGCCUUUGGUGGGAAAACUUUGAGGCUAUGCGCCCGGUCGGCCAAAUUACUACUUGGGCUGAAUUCAGUAUGGAGCAUCACAUUCCGGAAGGUCUUAUGGAUCGCAAGCGUGAAGAGUUCUGCAACUUCACCCAGGGUAGACUGACUGUGGAUGCAUACAGUCGCGAGUUUGGAUAUCUAGCACGAUAUGCUCCUAAAGAGGUAUCCACCGACGCCAAGAAGCAGGCAAGGUUCCGCAAGGGACUUAGCCCCGAGCUUCGUCGUGAUCUUCGUCUGCACGAGUGCACCUCCUUCCAGAAGUUAGUCAACAAGGCCAUCAGUGCUGAGACAGGGCAGUCGGACUUUGAAGCUUCACGCAAGCACUCCCGUGACUUUGGACUUCAUCCGGCUGUGCAUCUCAGAAGCGCCGGGUCUGGAUUCCAAGCACUGCUCUGCCACCCAGGUUCACCCCGAGGCCAUCCUUUGACGCGCCUCGCCCCAACCAAUAGUAUACACCGCCCAAGGCCUAUGGUGGCCCCACUGCUAAUGCUACUCCAUGCCCCAAUGUGAUAACUUGUUUCAAGUGUGGGGAGACGGGUCACUACAUUCGUGAGUGUCCCCAAAACAACCCCAACCAGAUUGGAAAGUCUGUUGGCCGUGGCAAGCCAGCAGGAAAGGUGCUCUACGCCAAGCCAGCCACCACUGCCCGUGGCCAUGUCAACUAUGUCUCAGCAGAGGAGACUCAUGAGGAUCCCAACGUCGUUCUCGGUACGCUUCUUGUUAAUUGCCACCCGGCAACCAUUCUCUUUGAUACUGGAGCAUCUCAUUCAUUUAUAUCUGAAAGCUAUGCUCGAUUGCACAACACCACAUUUUGUGACAUGCCCACCUCCAUGGUAAUUCAAACCCCUGGUUCUAAGUGGCAAACCUCUAAAAUCAGCCAUGGAAAUGAAAUCCUUGUCGACAGAUUAGUCUUCCUUGCAUCACUAAUAGCUCUCAAGUCCUCGGACAUAAACAUCAUCUUGGGUAUGGACUGGAUGUCAGCCCAUUACGCUAAGAUCGAUUGCUCCACUAGAACUGUUCAACUCACCCACCCUUCGGGCAAGACAGCCAAUGUUUUGACCCGAGUGUCUAAGCGUCAGCUUUACUCUUUAAAUGCCAACCCCCUUCCAGACCUUGAAGAUAUUCCGGUAGUCCGUGACUUCCCGGAUGUCUUUCCAGAGGAACUGUCAGGUGUUCCACCUAACAGAGAUGUCAAGUUCGUGAUAGACCUUGUUCCAGGAACCAUGCCAACAUCUAGGAGACCUUAUAAGAUGGCACCCCUAGAACUAGCUGAGCUUAAGAAACAACUCGAUGAGUCCUUGCAAAAGGGUUUCAUCCAUCCUAGCUCUUCUCCAUGGGCUUGCCCCGUCCUUUUCGUCAAGAAGAAGGAUGGAACGGAUCGGAUGGUUGUAGAUUACCGGCCAGUCAACUUGGUCACUAUCAAGAACAAGUAUCCGCUCCCCAAGAUCAACGACCUGUAUGAUCAGCUCGCUGGAUCCUCAGUCUUUUCUAAAAUGGAUUUGAGGUUGGGCUACCAUCAAAUCAAAAUUAAGAACGGGGACAUUCCUAAAACGGCCUUUGUUACUCGAUAUGGCCAAUACGAGUACACCGUCAUGUCCUUCGGUCUAACCAAUGCCCCAGCCACCUUCUCUCGGUUAUUGAACUCGAUCUUCAUGGAGUAUUUUGAUAAAUUCGUCGUGGUUUACCUUGAUGAUAUACUCAUCUACUCCAAGAAUGAAGAAGAACAUGCCGAACAUCUAAGGCUAGUGUUGAUGAAACUUUGAGAGCAUUGUCUUUAUGCCAAAUUCUCUAGGUGUGAGUUUUGGUUGCCAGAAGUAACCUAUCUAGGACAUGUAAUCUCUGGUAAGGGCAUUGCUGUCAAUCCCAAGCGAGUUCAAGCCAUCCUUGACUGGACUCCACCUGAAACGGUCAAGCAAGUUCAGAGUUUUGUUGGUUUAGCGAGCUAUUGCCGCUGCUUCAUCGAGAAUUUCUCCAAGGUUGCUAAGCCUCUAACCGAACUCCUCAAGAAAGAUAAAAAGUUCGAAUGGACGCCAUAGUGCGAGUUCAGUUUUCAGGAACUGAAAAGACGCCUGACAUCUGCUCCUGUACUUGUUCCACCAGAUUUCUCUAAGGACUUCGUUAUCUACUGCGACGCCUCGCGACAAGGACUAGGUUGCAUACUCAUGCAAGAUCGUCAUGUGAUUGCCUACGCUUCUCGACAGCUGCGUCCACAUGAGGAUAACUAUCCCACACAUGAUCUACAGCUUGCAGCAGUGGUCCAUGCACUCAAAACCUGGCGACAUUACCUUCUCGGUAAUCGUUGCGAGAUUUACACCGAUCACCAAAGUCUGAAAUACAUCUUCACCAAACCGGAUUUGAAUCUCAGACAAAGACGUUGGGUCGAGUUGAUUACGGAUUACGAUCUAGGAAUAACCUACACCCCAGGAAAAGCCAAUGUCAUGGCUGAUGCAUUAAGCCGUAAAUCUUAUUGUAACAACCUGAUGUUACAACAAAGCCAACCAUUUCUCCACGAGGAAUUUCGUAAGCUUAACCUUCACAUCGUUCCUCGAGGUUUUCUUUCCACCCUGGUGGCGAAACCUACCCUUACGGAUCAGAUCAUCAAGGCACAGAAGGUAGAUCCGGGAAUAUCCCGUAUCAAGAGAAACAUCAAAAGGGAGUUGGACUGUUUCUCCAUAGAUGAUCAAGGUGUUGUGUUCUUUGGAGGCCAUCUAGUGGUUCCCAAGGUAUGCAACCUGAGGCGAUUGAUCCUUAAGGAAGCUCAUGAAUCCCCUCUCACUAUUCAUCCCAGUAGUACUAAAAUGUAUCAAGACCUACGCCAGAGGUUUUGGUGGACUAGGAUGAAGAGAGAAAUCGCUCAAUACAUUACCAAUUGCGACGUCUGUCGUCGAGUUAAAGAAGAGCAUCAACGACCUGCUGGCACCCUGCAACCUUUGGAAAUUCCCGAAUGGAAAUGGGAUAAAAUCGGUAUGGAUUUCAUUACCGGGUUUCCCAGGACCAAGAGGGGGAAUAAUGCUAUCUUCGUUGUUGUCGAUCGUCUUUCCAAAGUAGCCCACUUCCUACACGUUCGUGAGAGUUUAACCGCUAGCCAGCUAGCUGACUUAUACAUCUCCCGAAUAGUGUCUCUUCAUGGUGUUCCAUUGGAGACUAACUCAGACCGUGGAAGUCUCUUCACCUCUCGAUUUCGGGAAAGUUUCCAAAAUGCGAUGGGAACUCGUCUUUCUUUUAGCACCGCUUUCCAUCCUCAAUCAAGUGGUCAAGUAGAACGAGUCAAUCAAAUUCUAGAGGAUAUGCUUCGAGCUUCUGUCAUCUCUUUUGGUAUGAAUUGGGAGAAGUGCCUUCCAUUCGCUGAGUUCGCUUAUAACAAUAGUUAUCAAGCUAGCUUGGACAAAGCUCCUUUCAAAGUUCUCUAUGGAUGAAAAUGUCGAACACCUCUUAACUGGUCAGAAACCGGGUAAAGACAACUCUUUGGCCCGGAUAUGAUCCAGGAAGCAGAGGAGCAGGUUCACGUUAUUCGUGAGAAAUUGAAAACAGCCCAAUCUCAUCAAAAGAGCCAAUAUGACCGCAAACAUACACUAGUAGAAAAGGGGCCAAUGGUCCAGGCCGGUCCAGCCCAUUAGUCCCGGUUCAAUCCAGAACCGGGACCAAUGGGGGCAUUGGACCCGGUUCGUGAGCCCUGGGGGCCGGCCGGGCCACGUGGGCCAUUGGUCCCGGUUCGUCCUGACCUUUCGGUCCCGGUUGGUGGGACGAACCGGGACCAAUGGGCCUCGCUCCUGGCCCACCAACAUUGGUCCCGGUUGGUGGCUUGAACCGGGACCAAAGGCGUCCCUUUAGUCCCGGUUCAAGUCACCAACCGGGACCAAUUAGUUGCCUAUAUAUACCCCUCGCCUGCGAGCAGAGCACUCCCAGUGCUCUGUUUUUCGUGGCUGGCGAGGGGAGAGCUUUGUGGUGCUCUAGCUCACGUCCUAUGCACACAAGGUGUUCGAUGGAAUGCCCGAGCCACACUACUUAAGCUUUCUCCUCUCCAAGCUCGACCUCCAAGCUCCAUUUUCCUUCAUAUUUGUCUAGGUUUAGCGGUUCGUCACGUCCCGUCCCCAUCUUCACCACCGUUGAUCGCCCGCGCCGAUCUCGUCGCCGGCACCACCGUGGUGAGCCUCUUGUUCUUAUCUUCUUUCUGAAAGGAAAAAAAAUUCUUACUUGUAUGUUUAUAUAGAUACUUGUAUAAUUUUCUUACUUUUAUUAUUGCAUCUUAUAUAGUGCGAUGGUUUUGGUAUCCGCCCCCGUCGGCCCUCGUCCUGUCUAUGAUUCAGAUGUGGUAUAUAUAUAUUAUCUUUUCAUAACUAGUGGUUCAUUUAUUGUUUAUGACAAUUAUGCCGACCAACGUGACAUAGAUUUUAUUUAUCUAGGAGGUUGUUGAACCGGAAAUUCCAACCGACCCUAUUGUCGAGAGGUUAAAUUUAGUUGAAGAAAACAAUUUGUUGAAGGGAAAAAUUAGAAAAAUUGAGGAGGAGAAGAUGAUAUUGGAGUUGCAUGUUGCGGAUGUCAUCGAUGAUCACAAGAUCAAGAUGGAUGCAAUGCGCUUGAAGAUUAGAAAGAUUAGAAAAUAUGCCAUUCAUACCGAGGCUUGGUAUCAUUAUGUCGUUGGAUCAGUUGUUACAUUGGUUGCGAUUAUGAUCGUAUUUGUUUUCGCAUUGAAAUGUUUUACAUAGUUUCAGUGUAUGGUUUAAUUAAUUUAGAUGCCCUGCAGAGCUUUAUGUUGUUAGAUGAGAACUAUGUAUGUACUUUGGUUUUAAUGUGAUGAUGAACUUCUAUUAAUUUCGUCACUUAAUUAUCUAUUCAUGAUGUUCUGUAAUGAUUUUUGACACACUUAAUUAUAUAUAAUGCACGCAGAUGAACCGGCAAUGGAUGUACGGUUCAAGACACACCUCCGAGUACAUUAAGGGCGUGCAUGAUUUUCUCGAAGUGCCUGAGGCAACAAGAAGAAUGGUUUUAUGUGUUGUCCAUGCCCUAUAUGUGGGAAUACGAAGUCUUACUCUGACUGGAAAAUCCUCCACACCCACCUUCUUUACAAGGGUUUCAUGCCACACUAUAAUGUUUGGACGAGGCACGGAGAAAUAGGGGUUAUGAUGGAAGACGGCGAAGAAGAAGAGUACGAUGACAACUAUGUGCCCCCUGAAUACGGUGAUGCUACUGAAGAUCAAGAGGAACCAGACGAUGUGCCCGAUGAUGAUGAUCUCCGCCGGGUCAUUGUCGAUGCAAGGACGCAAUGCGAAAGUCAAAAGGAGAAGCUGAAGUUCGAUCGCAUGUUAGAGGACCACAAAAAAGGGUUGUACCCCAAUUGUGAAGAUGGCAACACAAAGCUCGGUACCGUACUGGAAUUGCUGCAGUGGAAGGCAGAGAAUGUUGUGCCUGACAAAGGAUUUGAGAAGCUACUGAAAAUAUUGAAGAAGAAGCUUCCAAAGGAUAACGAAUUGCCCGACAGUACAUACACAGCAAAGAAGUUCGUAUGCCCUCUAGGAUUGGAGGUGCAGAAGAUACAUGCAUGCCCUAAUGACUGCAUCCUCUACCGCGGUGCGUACAAGGAUCUGAACGCAUGCCCGGUAUGCGGUGCAUUACGGUAUAAGAUCAGACGAGAUGACCCUGGUGAUGUUGACGGCGAGCCCCCCAGGAAGAGGGUUCCUGCGAAGGUGAUGUGGUAUGCUCCCAUAAUACCACGGUUGAAACGUCUGUUCAGAAACGGAGAGCAUGCCAAGUUGAUGCGAUGGCACAGUGAGGACCGUAAGAAAGACGGGAAGUUGAGAGCACCCGCUGACGGGUCGCAGUGGAGAAAAAUCGAGGGAAAGUACUGGGAUGAGUUUGCAAGUGAGCCAAGGAACGUAUGGUUUGCUUUAAGCGCGGAUGGCAUUAAUCCUUUCGGGGAGCAGAGCAGCAAUCACAGCACCUGGCCCGUGACUCUAUGUAUGUAUAACCUUCCUCCUUUGAUGUGCAUGAAGCAGAAGUUCAUUAUGAUGCCAGUUCUCAUCCAAGGCCCUAAGCAACCCGGCGACGACAUUGAUGUGUACCUAAGGCCAUUAGUUGAAGAACUUUUAUAGCUGUGGAAUGGAAAUAGUGUACGUACGUGGGAUGAGCACAAACAGGAGGAAUUUAACCUAAAGGCGUUGCUGUUCGUGACCAUCAACAAUUGGCCCGCUCUCAGUAACCUUUCAGGACAGACAAACAAGGGAUACCACGCAUGCACGCACUGUUUACUUGACACCGAUAGUAUAUACCUAGCAAGUUGUAGGAAGAAUGUGUACCUGGGCCAUCAUCGAUUUCUUUCGACCAACCAUCAAUGUUGAAAGAAAGGCAAGCAUUUCAAAGGCGAGGCAGAUCACCGGAAGAAGCCCUCCAUGCGUACUGGUAUCACGUACUUGCUAUGGUAGUGAUUUACACGUAAUCUUUGGAAAGUGUCCCGGCGGACUAGCUGUUCCGAAUGACGCUGAGAAUCACGCACCCAUGUGGAAGAAGAAAUCUAUAUUUUGGGACCUACCCUACUAGAAAGACCUAGAGGUCCGCUCUUCGAUCGACGUGAUGCACGUGACGAAGAACCUUUGCGUGAACCUGCUAGGCUUCUUGGGCAUGUAUGGGAAGACAAAAGAUACAACUGAGGCACGGGAGGACCUGCAACGCUUGCACGAAAAAGUGGGCAUGCCUCCGAAGCAGUAUGAAGGUCCUGCCAGCUACGCUCUUACGAAAGAAGAGAAAUAAAUCUUCUUUGAAUGCCUGCUCAGUAUGAAGGUCCCGACUGGCUUCUCUUCGAAUAUAAAGGGAAUAAUAAAUAUGCCAGACAAAAAGUUCUAGAACCUAAAGUCUCAUGACUGCCACGUGAUUAUGACGCAACUGCUUCCGGUUGCAUUGAGGGGGCUUCUACCGGAAAACGUCCGAUUAGCCAUUGUGAACCUAUGUGCAUUCCUCAAUGCAAUCUCUCAGAAGGUGAUCGAUCCAGAAAUCAUACCAAGGCUAAGGACUGAUGUGGUGCAAUGUCUUGUCAGUUUCGAGCUGGUGUUCCCACCAUCCUUCUUCAAUAUCAUGACGCACGUCCUAGUUCAUCUAGUUGACGAGAUUGUCAUUCUGGGCCCCGUAUUUCUACACAAUAUGUACUUCUUUGAGAGGUUCAUGGGAGUCCUAAAGAAAUAUGUCUGUAACCGCGCUAGGCCAAAAGGAAGCAUCUCCAUGGGCUAUCAAACAGAGGAUGUCAUCGGGUUUUGUGUUGACUUCAUUCCUGGCCUUAAGAAUAUAGGUCUCCCUAAAUCGCGGUAUGAGGGGAGACUGACUGGAAAAGGCACGCUUGGAAGGGACUCAAUUAUAUGCAGGGACGGAUAUUCUUGGUCUCAAGCACACUACACAGUUCUACAGAACUCUACCUUGGUGACCCCGUAUGUCGAUGAACACAAGAACAGUCUGCGCUCCAAACACCCGGAGCAGUGCGACGACUAGAUUACAUGUGAACACAUCAGGACUUUCAGUAGUUGGUUGGAAGCACAUAUCAGAGGUGACAACACUGUUUGUGAUGAGUUGUACUUGUUGUCCAGGGGACCAUCUUUGACUGUAUUGAUUUGGAAAGGAUACGAGAUAAAUGGGAAUACAUUUUACACGAUUGACCAAGAUCAAAAGAGCACCAACCAAAACAGCGGUGUCCGCUUUGAUGAAACAACCGAGAGGGGAAAGGACACAUAUUGUGGUUACAUAGUGGACAUAUGGGAACUUGACUACGGACACGAUUUUAAGGUCCCUUUGUUUAAGUGCAAAUGGGUCAAUCUGUCAGGUGGCAGGGUACAGGUAGACCCACAGUACGGAAUGACAAUAGUGGAUCUGGAAAAUCUUGGAUACACUGACGAACUGUUCGUCCUAGCCAAUGAUGUGGCACAGGUUAUCUAUGUGAAGGACAUGUCUACCAGACCAAGAAAGAGAAAAGAUAAGGAAGCGAAUACAUCAUACGAUGAGCCAAAGUGCCACAUAGUUCUUUCAGGAAAAAGGGACAUCGUGGGAGUGGAGGACAAGACAGACAUGUCUGAAGAUUAUGAAAAGUUUCAUGAAAUUCCUCCCUUUAAUGUCAAGGCUGACCCCAGCAUCCUGAUAGACGAUGAAGAUUAUCCAUGGUUACGGCGCAAUAAGCAAAUGACACAAGCGAAGAAAAAGUGAAGACUUUCUCCCGCAACUAUUAUGAUGAUACCAUGCCAAAUUUGUAACUGACGAGUAUGAUACCAUUGUCCGUUUUGUACAUGCACAUGCUAUGUGGGUCAAUUUAUGAUACCAUGCCAACUUUCAACUUUUUCAGAGUUCAUUUGAAAUGCUUUAAUGUCUUAUGGUUCGGCCCUCGUAAUGAUUAAAAAUAGCAACAAUAAGUAUUUUGUUGUAAGUAGAAACAAAAUAAAAUAAAUAAAGCAAGAAAGAAAACAAAAAAAACAAAAAAAGUGUUUUCAAAUUUGAAAACUAAUGGUACUAACAGAAAGUUUAUAAUUUUCCUAAAACUAAAAGCAAAAAGAAUUGAAAAAUAAAGCAAAAAACAAAAGACAAUAAAUAAUGCAGAAAUCAAAACAAAAAACAACAAUAAGUAUUUUGUUGUAUGUAGAAACAAAACAAAAUAAAUAAAGCAAGAAAGAAAACAAAAAAACAAAAAAAGUGUUUUCAAAUUUGAAAACUAGGGCACUAACAGAAAGUUUAUAAUUUUCCUAAAACUAAAAGCAAAAAGAAUUAAAAAAUAAAGCAAAAAACAAAAGAAAAUAAAUAAUGCGGAAAACAAAACAAAAAAACUGGAAAAAAAAUAAAAUAGCAAAAAUAAGUAAAGAAAACAAAAAAAUGCCUCCUACUGGGCCCCCACGGCCUGAAUACGACUAGAAACCCUACUAUGGGCCAGGAUUCAGGCCCGCAGUAGGCCCAGAAGGCCCAUCAGGCAAAGCAAUAGCAAGUAGGCCCGAAAGCCUGCGGUGGAGAGGAGCUCGAGAGGGGUGCGGCAGUGGGGCUUAUAAACCACUGCACGCCCCUCUCAACUAGCGAGGUGGGACUAAACUUUGGCCCCGACGCGGGAAGCACAGGGGCCUUUGGUCCCGGUUGGUGGCACCAACCGGGACUAAAGGGGGGGGCAUUGGUACCGGUUCGUGGCACCAACCGGUACCAAAGGCCGCCGCUUCCCGCCCUUUGGGCUGCCGAAAAGGAGGCCUUUGGUCCUAGUUGGUGGCACUAACCGGGACUAAAGGGUGCAUUAGUCCCGGUUGAUUUCACGAACCGGGACCAAUGCCUUUGCUAUAUAAGCAAACACUUUGCAAAAUUUCAGAAUCCCAUCGCCAGUUGCCCCCGACGACGCCGACCCUCCUCGACGCUGCCAGGCUGCUCCACCUCGCCGUCGUCGCCGCCACCGCCAAGCCGUCGCCUCCCCGAGCCCGCGCCAUCCUCGUCGCCGGCCUCCCUGAGCCCGCGCCGUCCUCGUCGCCGGUCUCCUCGAGCCCGCUCCCCGUCCCGCCCCCGCGCGCCGCCGCCCCGAGCCCCUGCCCCGUCCUGCCCCCAUGCGCNNNNNNNNNNNNNNNNNNNNNNNNNNNNNNNNNNNNNNNNNNNNNNNNNNNNNNNNNNNNNNNNNNNNNNNNNNNNNNNNNNNNNNNNNNNNNNNNNNNNNNNNNNNNNNNNNNNNNNNNNNNNNNNNNNNNNNNNNNNNNNNNNNNNNNNNNNNNNNNNNNNNNNNNNNNNNNNNNNNNNNNNNNNNNNNNNNNNNNNNNNNNNNNNNNNNNNNNNNNNNNNNNNNNNNNNNNNNNNNNNNNNNNNNNNNNNNNNNNNNNNNNNNNNNNNNNNNNNNNNNNNNNNNNNNNNNNNNNNNNNNNNNNNNNNNNNNNNNNNNNNNNNNNNNNNNNNNNNNNNNNNNNNNNNNNNNNNNNNNNNNNNNNNNNNNNNNNNNNNNNNNNNNNNNNNNNNNNNNNNNNNNNNNNNNNNNNNNNNNNNNNNNNNNNNNNNNNNNNNNNNNNNNNNNNNNNNNNNNNNNNNNNNNNNNNNNNNNNNNNNNNNNNNNNNNNNNNNNNNNNNNNNNNNNNNNNNNNNNNNNNNNNNNNNNNNNNNNNNNNNNNNNNNNNNNNNNNNNNNNNNNNNNNNNNNNNNNNNNNNNNNNNNNNNNNNNNNNNNNNNNNNNNNNNNNNNNNNNNNNNNNNNNNNNNNNNNNNNNNNNNNNNNNNNNNNNNNNNNNNNNNNNNNNNNNNNNNNNNNNNNNNNNNNNNNNNNNNNNNNNNNNNNNNNNCGCUGCAUUGGCUCUGUUUUUUUUUCAUUUUUAUUAGUUUAAUUAUUUUUUUGUUCAUAUAUAUAUAUAUAUAUAUAAUGUAUAUGUGUAUGUAUGUGGCUAUAUAUGUGUAUGUAGAUGUUCAAAAAUUAUUCAGAGCACGUUUUUAUUCAUAUAUGUAUUUUUUGUUCAUAUGUGUAUUAAUGUUUUCAUAUAUGCAAAAGAUAGAUUUUUAGAAAAGUUAGGGUUUUUUUUUCUAUUCAUAGAUUUUUUUGGUGAUAUUAAUUAUUGUAGAAUAUGCAAAUGUUUGUAUAUUCAUAUGAACAAUGCAUUAGGCAAAACCUUUGUUUUUUUUGAAAUUUUUUAUUUGAACAUUUUUUAAAAACAAGCAAUACUAAAAGAAUGAGAGGAAAAAGGAAAAUAAGAAGAGGAAGAAAGGAGAAGAAGAGGAGAGGAAGAAGAGGAGAAAUAAAUAAGAAGAGGAAAAAAGAAGAGGGGAAGAAGAAAGGAAUAGAGGAGAAGAAGAAAAAUAGAAAUUUUCUAUUUUUCUUCUUCUCCUCUAUUCCUUUCUUCUUCUCCUCUUUAUUUUCUUCUUUUUUUUCUUCUUCCUUCUUCCUCUUUUCUUCCUUUUCCUUAUUUUCCUUUCUCGAGGGAGAAGAAGAAAAAGAAGAGUAAAAGAAGAAGAAAGGAAUAGAGGAGAAAGAAGAAACUUCAACACAAGGGGGGGUUACCGAUACCCCCUCCCCGAUAACAUUAUUUUCCCAUGUAUAUGUAUGUCGCGUCAUUGUCGAUAUAACCCCCUCGAGAUAACUUCGACAUGAGGGGCGGUCGAUAUAUAUACCCCCUCUCGACCGUGAUAACUUAUACAACGGCAGCACCCCCCUCGGCCCUCUCGCUCGACCAAAACUCUUGAGGACACCCAAACCCUAGAGAGAAAACGAUGUUGGUCUCCUACCCCCUCCCGCCGCGCCCCUACCCGACAUAUUAACUCUCUCGAGGCCACCCAAAUUUACCAAGUUAAAAGAGCGUUGUCGUCGAGGCCACCCCAAACCCUUGAAGCGUUGUGUCGAGGAGACCCCAAACCCUAGAGAAGCAGCGUCGAGGCCACUAACAUGGAUCGAUCCAUCUGUAAUAAUAAUUGACAUGGUGUAAAUAUUUGCAGAAACUAUGGAGCACUCCCGAGACGAAGAAACAGAAGCGAUGUUGGGGGACAUUAUCGCACAAGGAAGUGAUGAAGUUGCGUCAUUUCUCAACGACACCGAUGGUCAGGAACGACUGGGUGAAGAAGAGGGCUAUGUUCAUGAUGGCUUCGACCCAUUAAUGCCGGUACAAGAAGAGGACUAUGUUCAUGAUGGCUCUGGUGACACAAUGGAGGUACAAGAAGGAGACCGUGCUGACUGCUCCGGUGACCGAACCGAGUCCGGCCAGGUAUAUAUAUAUAUAUUAGUUAAGCCCGUGCUGACUAGUUAAUUGAUGCAUCCAUUGUUUUGGUAUAUGUACACAUAUUAAUUACUCUCGUCUUUCUUCCUUAUAAUUUCUAGCCCUCCGGAUCGAGCACAACUUCGGUAAGAAGACGAAGCCCGAAGAAAAAGUUGAGCUCGGAUGAAAAGUUUGAGAUCAUAGAAAUCGCGCCCGACGGCGAACCGAUUGAACCCAUCCGGACAAGGAAGGCAUUUUCUGCUCAGUGCGGGGUUCUUGUUAGGGACAAGAUCCCGAUCAGCAUCCAUCAAUGGUAUAAGCCUAAGGAGGAAGACCCCGAGGUGUCUUAUGUCAAUGAUAUGCAGAAAGAAGAUCUUUGGACUGAGCUAAAGGCAAAUUUCACCCUACCGCUAGAGGAGGAUCCGGAGAAGCCAGUUAUAGAGCAAUUAAUCAAUUCUUGUGCUCUUAAGAAGAUGGCAACCCUAAUGAGGAGGUGGAGGAAAGAGGUGAACCAGUUUGUCGAGAAAGAUAAGACACCAGAAUUCAUCGGCAAAUAUGAGAAGAUCAAAGAUCACUGGCCCGCAUUUGUGGCCCACAAGACAUCGGAAAAGAGUAAGAAGAUGUCGGCAACAAACAAGAAAAAUUCUGCAAAGAAGAAGCUUCACCAUCGCACGGGGUCAGGUGGCUACCUCAAAGCCCGGCCUAAGUGGUCCAAGGCUGAGCAUGAUCUGCUUGAAAAAGGGAUCGAACCAGAGACAAUGUACUGGCCAGACCGUUGUCGGACUUGGUUCUUCGGGGCUGGCGGAACCUUGGACCCUGUAACAGGGAAGUGCCAGUGGACGGAUGAGCAACUACAAAUACCAGUCAAGAAACUUCGACACUAUAUCGAUGCAGCGUAGCGAGGGACGCUCCUUCCAAACAGGGAGAAGGACGAGCUCACAAUGGCCCUUGGGAAUCCUGAGCACCCUGGAUGGACACGAGGCACGCCAGGCUCCAUUCCAUGGAAGGUUGGUCUUCCGCACACAGGGGGUUACAAAACCCACGAGAGGAGGAAGAAACUGGAGCAGGACCAAAUGCAGGCGCUGCACGAAAGGGUAAUGGGGCUAGAGGAACGAGAAGCAGCAGAUCGCAGCAAACGACAUGCCGAAGCUUCCCCCGAAGCUACCUCGCCAUCUCAGCGGAGAAGCAGCGUGGCUUCCACCGAGCUGCUUCAGCCGGAGCAUGUCUUGACGUCUCCUGCCAGCUAUCCCGUGGAUGGUAUCACGGAGUCUCAAAGUUGCCACAUUAUGACGCAAUGUAUGAAUUUGAAGGUCAAGGCGGCUGUUGGCCAAGUUUAUCCUAGUGGACCCGGCACAACUUAUCACUGCCAGCCGAUUCCAGAAGGAUUUGCUAAGGUGAUGGUGGAUGAAAUAACGGAGGGAUUUGAGGACCUCCUGCUUGAGCACCCUACCGGUGAAGGGGAGACUAGGCUGGGUUCUGCUCUGAAGACUCCAUGCCUAUGGCGGAAGGAGCUCAUCAACCUUCCGAACUGGACGCCUCCGCCUCCUCCUCCUCCUCCGGCGAGUCAGGGCACUCCGCCUCCUCCACCGCCUCCUCCUCCGGCGAGUGAUGAUCAGGGCACACGUGGCAGCACUCCGCCUCCUUCUCCGCCUGCGCCGGCGCGCCCGAGCAGCCAGCCUCCUCCUUCUCCGCCUCGUCAGCAAGGGCGAAAGAGACCCGCCGCUGCUCCGGCUGCUCCGGCGCGUCGUAAUCCUUCUCCUCCGCCUCACAAAAAGCAAGCAAAGAAGACAUCCACUCCGUCUGCUCUGUCGGUGUCUAGCAGUACAGCCAAAGGCGGGAAGAAAUACAGAUUUGGUCCUUCUCCGAAGACUCCAGAGAAGUUACCGUACGAGAGGACCGAGGAGGAAAACGCGGAGAUCACGCAGAACGAACUGGAUGGCUGGUUUGCAGGGUUGAAAGCAAAGAGACAUCCACCUCCGGAGGAGAAGGUAGAUCCGGUGAAAGUGAAGCGCACUCUGGCUGCCCUGAGGAAACCGGCAAAGUCUCCGCCGAGAACCAACUAUGAGCGCAUUACUGAACAGACAUAUCUCCAAGCGGAGCAGUCGGGAAGUACUGUCAGACAUCAAAGAGCAAAAGAACGAGCAGCUGCGAAAAAAGUUGACCAGCUCGGCGAACAACCAAACCAAUCGUGCCCCCCGCUCAAUGUGUCUAGCGGCAACAUCGUCGCUAAUGUUCCGGGGAUCAUGGACGGUUAUGGCAAUCCACAAUAUUACCUGCCUGACGAUGCACUUCCUGAAUUCAUGAUGGUGGAAGAACGCAGAUACGAGUACGGGAAGCCUCUCAUCAAAGAUGUAAAAUCUCUAACAACGAUGAUGCGAAGAUUCCAUACUUGGUACAUGAAAACCUGCAGAGAGUCUGGGGGGACGAAUAGUUUGUAUCUACACAUUAAAGAGGAGCACGACCUCGUUGGAACUGAUCUGUUGUGUGUUCCAUUUGAGGAGUUCUUCGCGUUCUUCAAUCAAAUAGCCCUCGAUAAAUUAACGGUCUUUUGCUACUGCCUGUAAGUACUAUUUCUGUCAUUAAGUCUCUAUAUAUAGCUUGGCUUUCAUUACAUGUAUUUAUAAUUAAUUAUCCUCAAUAUAUUAUGCAGAUUGAAGAUCGUCGAGUGCAAAAAAAUGAAAUCUAUGAUAUUGGGUUCAUUAACACAAAUAUCAUAGAUGUAUUUCUGGUUGAAAAGCACAUCGAAGAGGCCGAGGACAACUUGCUACGAUCAUUGAUCAAAAAUCAAAACAAAGAUACCAUACUCUUUCCUUACAACACCAAGUGAGUGUUACUGAUCAUUUGCAUAUUCGGUUUCCCUUAUUACUCGAGCGAGGUUAUAGUAAUGUAAUUGAUGAGUUAUGCAUGUGUGCGCAGGUACCACUAUAUUCUUCUGGAGAUUAAGCUUGAGCGUGGACUAGUAACCGUCUUAGACUCGAGACGGAAAGAUCCCAGCACCUAUGCGGACAUGACUGAAAUGCUCAGCAAGUAAGUUCAAUCGAUCAUUAUCGCACCAUAGCGGCAACUUUUUGUUCAUUUCCUGAUAUCUCAAGUAAUAAUAAUUAUUUUCUUUGUCUUGCAGGGUUUGGAAACAGUUCACCACAGUAGCUCGGGGACUGCCGAAGGAGCUGCGAUAUAUAUACCCGAAAGUAAGUACUACUGGCUAGCUAGUUGUGUGCAUCUCCUGUUGAUUCUAUAGCUAUACUUUCAUCACAUUUAUAAUGCUUCAUUAUCAGUUUGAUAGACCUCUAUUUCUCGUAAAGUGCUUGUGGUAGGAACAAGGGAAUGAUUUCUAUAGAUACUACGUGUGCGAGUUCAUCUACAACGCGACUUUGAAAAAUAAGCGGGGCUACUCUCAAAGACAAUAUGAAGUGCGUAAGCAAUUAAUAAUAUUCACAAUUUCUGUUGAGUUUCAUUCAUAUAUAUAUAUAUAUAUAUAUAUAUAUAUAUAUAUGUAUUAAUUAACCCCCUUCUUCAAAUUAGACGUGGCAGAUGCGGAAUGAACUCCUAGAACCAGAUCGCAUGAAAGGAAUUCAAGAGGAAUUGGCGGGAUUCUUUCUUGACCACGUCAUCAAUAAAGCCGGAGAAUACCAUGUGGAACUUGAUUUCAAAUGCUAGGGGACUGUAAUUGAGAGAUCUUAUAUAUUGUACAUGUUGUAUGUAGCCAGUAGCGUCGGACAUACAUGAUACAAAAACUUGUUGUUUGACCAAUCUCUCGGAGAAGGAGACGUCGAUCGAUCACUUCUCUCGGUAUGCAUGACGAACUUCUGUACUUAAUGGUUUCCUUCAUUUUCUUACUAGCUAGCGUGUCGAGAGCCUCUCUAUGUAUAGUACGUAGCGUCGACCAAGCACGGACAUAAGAGAGGACACUUCUCUCUAUUAAUUAGCUAGCUAACACAAUAUAUGAAACACCUAAAUUAACCCCCAAAACCNNNNNNNNNNNNNNNNNNNNNNNNNNNNNNNNNNNNNNNNNNNNNNNNNNNNNNNNNNNNNNNNNNNNNNNNNNNNNNNNNNNNNNNNNNNNNNNNNNNNNNNNNNNNNNNNNNNNNNNNNNNNNNNNNNNNNNNNNNNNNNNNNNNNNNNNNNNNNNNNNNNNNNNNNNNNNNNNNNNNNNNNNNNNNNNNNNNNNNNNNNNNNNNNNNNNNNNNNNNNNNNNNNNNNNNNNNNNNNNNNNNNNNNNNNNNNNNNNNNNNNNNNNNNNNNNNNNNNNNNNNNNNNNNNNNNNNNNNNNNNNNNNNNNNNNNNNNNNNNNNNNNNNNNNNNNNNNNNNNNNNNNNNNNNNNNNNNNNNNNNNNNNNNNNNNNNNNNNNNNNNNNNNNNNNNNNNNNNNNNNNNNCCCCCUGCCUGGGCUCGGCGCGUGGAUGCCUUUUGGUCCCGGUUGGUGCCACCAACCGGGACCAAAGGCCCCCCUGCCUGGGCUCGGCGCACAGGCCACGUGGAGGACCAUCUAUCCCGGUUCGUGUUACAACCGGGACUAAAGGGGGGAGGUAUUAGUAACGACCCAUUAGUCCCGGUUCAUGAACCGGGAGUAAAGGCCCUCACGAACCGGGACUAAUAGGUGUUUGUCUACUAGUGAUAAGCCUAUGACUUAUGAAGUUGGUGAGAAGGCUUACCUUCGGGUUACACCUUUAAAGGGAACCCAUCGAUUCGGUAUCAAGGGCAAGUUGGCCCCUUGUUACAUUGGACCCUUUUGCAUUCUUGCCAAACGAGGGGAAGUUGCCUACCAGUUGGAACUACCUCCACAUCUUUCUAGAGUUCAUGAUGUCUUCCACGUCUCUCAACUCAGGCAUUGCUUCUCGAAUCAUAUCCGCGAAGUAGACCAUGAAACGCGUGAUCUCCAAGAAAAUCUCACUUAUCGAGAAUAUCCAAUUCGCAUCCUUGAUCAAGCCGAGCGUACCACUCGACGCCAGAAUAUCAAGUUUCUCAAGGUUCAAUGGUCACACCACUCCGAUCAAGAAGCAACUUGGGAAAGGGAGGAUCAUCUACGACUUGAGUAUCCCACCUUCUUCCCGAUAGACCCUAAAUCUCGGGAUGAGAUUCUUUUGAGUGGGGGUGAGUUGUCACAACCUAGCUAGUCCAUGCAUUAGAGUGUUGCAUCAUGUCUACCUUUUAUCAGAAACUUGAAUUGGGGAAGACAGAACCCCCCCAGAACCCCUCUAAAUUCAACUAGUGCUUACUAAAAAUAUUUUCAAUGAACCUGAAAUGCCCUUCUAAAAAGUUCACCCUCUUUGUCUUGGGUUAGAACCUCUGGCAAAAUUGGUGCACAAUUUUCUAGGUCAACAGAAGGCCAUUGAAUUAAAUCAUAUCUACUUUGAGUUUGGGCAUUUAAACUAUAUAAAAUAUUUCAAAUGCUCAAAUAACUCCAAACUAAAAUGUUCCAUACUGGAUAUAUUCCAACUAGCGACCAUGUGCAGUUUGGUGAUUUUUGGAGUUGCCUAAGUAUUUUUAGAAAUGCAACAAACUUACAGAAACAAUUAAAAACAGAAACAAAUGGGGAAAAAACCCUUACCUGGCCGAACCAAGCCCCAGCCCAGCUGGCCGGCCCAGCACUGUGCUGGCCCAUGCCAGCCAGCUGCUUUGCCAUCGCCACGCAGGCACAGAGCUGACGCCAGCGAGUGUGAGCUCGCCACGGCGCCAACUGCUUGCCGCCCGCGCCACCGAGCACCUGGGUGAGCUCCACGUCGCCACCCCGACCCCGUGGACACCUCAUUCGCCCCCCUGCCUCUUCCCUCGCUCUCCCGCACCAUGGCCGACGCACCCGUCGCCGCACCGCCGACGUAGUCGCGCCCUCCAUCGUCCCCGUGCUGCACCACCGUGUCCCUUCGCUCCGUCGUCAUCAACUACAUCGAGCAGGCCGAGCCCCGAGCGCUCGUGGGCCUUGCUUCGUCUUCUUUGACCUCAUCUUCACCGAGCACCACCGCAGAUCCCCUUCGCCGUCGCCGCUGCACCAGCUCGUCCCCGACCUCGCCGACCACUCCGUUGUGACCGCCGUGAGCUCAGCCACCUCCCCAUCCUCCCCGUUUGCCUUCUCGUGCACCGUAGCAGCCGCAUGGAGCUUCAUCGCACGCACCACCGCCGAGCUCGUCGCCGACGUGCCUCCGGCCAUCCACCGUCCACACCACGGUAUCUAACAUGCUCAUUGCAUCGCGUAGAGUCUAACGCCCCACUCCACGCGCCUCGCCGUGCCCCGUAGCCACGGGUCAAUUUUCACCCGACUCCGGCGACCGUCGCGGUCGUCGCUGCCGACGUUCCUGGCCACCUCGACCUCAACCACCACCACCAAACGCCGCGGCUUGUUCCUGGCUACACGUAGAUGGUCUUCGCCGUCCAUUUGGUCGCCGGAACGUGCUAACCCACUUCCUCUGCCGCAUCUGGCCUCGCCAGCGGCUAGACGCCGGCGUGUUUGACCCGUUGACGUUGACUGGGUGGGCCAGGUUGACUCCCCUGAGUCUAUGACAAGUGGGCCCCCCCCUCUGCUAAUUAACCUAGUUUAGUUCUUACUAAAAUCAGUUAGUUUAAAUAAGUGCUGACAUGCGGGACCCACUGGUCAGUUUGACCUGAACGACCCCUUUGACCAUUGACGUCACCCUGAUGCACUGCUGACGCAAUAACCAAUUUCUGGAUUUAUUGUUAUAUAGGAAAUUCCAGAAAUUGUUGCAAACUUCAAAAAUUCAUAGAAAUUAAUCUGUAACUCCAAAUGCAAAGAUUUAUAUAUGAAUUUCGAUCAAAAAAAUUCAAUAUAUCCAUUGGUAAUGGUUUCAUGCAUGUCAGAACAAGUUAACCUUGUUGUUUAAUCAAAACAAGUUAAUGCACUAAUAUGACUAUGUUAAAUGAACUACCAUUUGCAUCUUUGAUUCAAAUGAGUUCAUACCUUUCUGUUCUAGCUUGCAUUAGGCCAGGACACAUUCAUGUUGCCAUGUCAUAGCAUGCAUCAUAUUGUUGCAUAUCGUCAUGUGUGGUUCAUGUUCGGUGUGUUUUCGUGAUAGGUUCUGCCUCCGAGGAUAACCCCGAAUAUCCGUCUGAAGGGCAGUAUCCUACUACCACUACAUCAGGCAAGCAACCCAUUGAUCAUUCUGAUACAAACCCAUGUUCUCGCCUCUGCUCUUGUUUACUGCAUUAAGAUAACGCGAUUCAAACUGUUGUGUGUUGUGGUAGUUGAACCCACUUCCUUUGCAUGACCUGUCAUUGCCACGGUAACUAGAUGAAACCCACUAGCAUGUGUAGGAGUUGAUUGAGCCAUAUCUGUGUUACCUACCAUGCUAUGCUUGCUAUGCUUAGAGUUGUGUCAGGUCUGGCUCAUCAGGAUGAUGAACUAGAGUGAAAGGUUGUGUCGGUAACGAGAGUGAAGUGUUGAACACGAUUUGGUAAAGGUAUCGAUGAGAGGCCAUGUAGGAGUACAUGGUGGGUUGUUUCAUUGAGGCCGUCCUUAAGCACUGAGAUCUGUGUGUGUGAUUUAAGAUUCAGCUACUACCACGCAUUGGGCCCAAAACCAAUGGACCCUCUCGACUUAUUAACCACUCUUGUCCUCAGUCCGGGAGUUGCAAGUAGUUUCUGGUGUUUGUAGCAUGCUGGGGGCCGCACGCAGCGCUGACCUUAGGGGUGGGUUGUGUUGCGGUAGGCACGUGGCACGGUGUAUCGAUUCGCCCGUUUGGUGUCUCGGGAACCCUGUUCACAUCGUUCGGGGCCGUUAGUGGAAACCUCGGCCGGACUCCCUGCGGAUGGAACCCAAAUAGGCGAUAAACCUGGACUAGGGACUCGUGUGUUUAGUCAGGCCAUGGCCGACACCCUUGCUGGGCUUCCGCUUGAAGGUUGCCGAGUACACGUCAUGUAGUGGCGAUAAGUGGUGAGAGCGUGUGUGAAGAAGUACACCCCUGCAGGGUACAAAACUAUUCGAAUAGCCGCGUCCACGGUAAAGGACUACUUGGUCACCUAUACAGUUCAUAGACAAGUAAAUGGAUACUUCUAAAAGCCUCAAGAUAAGUGUGAGUGCCGCGGAUGGCCCUGUCGUAGGUUGACGAGAGAGGAUCCACGGUGGAGUAUUGUGUUGGUGAGUAGUGGACUCGUGUGCGACAAAUGUUUUGCAAGUUGUGUCUAUCGUUGGAUAGCUUAGCCAAGAGUCAAAGCUGGCUUGCUGCAAUAACUCCACUACCUUCUUGAGAAUGUGCAUGUAUGAUAGGAUUCUGUUGUAAGACUUGCUGAGUACCUCUGUACUCAUGUUUGCUUAAUUAAUGUUUUCAGACGACAACACCAACCCCUCCGAUGGGUUCUACGUAGACCUCGACGUUGACGAGUGACUAGCCACCCAAGUGGUGAUCCAAGACUUGUGAAGGGCCGAUGUAGAUAGAAAGGCUUCAUCAAGCCCUCUUUCUUUCUAGUGUCUGUACUCAGACUAGUUGCUUCCGCAUGUGCUUGUAUGCUUGUAUGACUUGAGUGUCAGGUCAUGUGACCCCUAUCUGUAUGAACAUGUUAUGUAUGGCUCCUCGGAGCCACUUAAAUAAAGUACUUUGAGUUGUAGAGUUUUGUUGUGAUGCCAUGUUGUAUGUACUCAUAUCGGGCAUAUUGUGUGUAUGUUUGAAAUGCUUGGUAUGAGUGGGAUCCGACAAUCUAGUUGUUUAUCCUUGGCAGCCUCUCAUAUGGGGAAAUGUAGUCUAGUGCUUCUUGAGCGAUAGUAGUCCGCUACAGCCCGGUUCACCGGAGUCCUGCUAGCCCAGUACUACUGCUCUGGACACUUGACUGGCCGGCAUGUGUUUCACUUUGUUCCUGUGUCUGUCCCUUCGGGGAAAUGUCAAGCGGUGGCAUCCGGAGUCCUGCCUAGCCUGCUACAGCCCGGGUUACCGGAGUCCUGUUAGCCCAGCGUUACAUCCCGGAUGUAUACGUUGAUGACCAACAUGCUCGAUGUGAUUCAUGUAUGCAUGUCCCCAUAGGUUAGCGCCGCUUGGGUUCACGACUAGCCAUGUCGGCCCGGGUUCUCAGUCAUGUGGAUGCUAGCGACACUAUCAUAUACGUGAGCCAAAAGGCGCAAACGGUCUCGGGCCAUGGUAAGGCGCCACCCGUGGGAUUACCGUGCGUGAGGCCGCAAAGUGAUAUGAGGUGUUACCGGCUGGAUCAAUGUGACUUGGAAUCGGGGUCCUGACAAUUACUUGCUCCUAUCAUAUGUUUGGUUGCAACAAUGUCACUUCUUCACAUAUGCCAUGUCCCAUUGCUUGUCUCAUGCUUGACUUCAUUGCCUCACACAUGAUGAACAAUUGCUCUUUAUAUUGUGUUGAGUGUUACACUAUAUUCACUACAUCCUAUGCACGUUAUGUUUGGAUUGUCUUGCACUUGACCCAUGUGUUUAGACACUUCAUUUUAUUUGGUGUUGUGAAUCCUUCCUAUGCCUACCAUAGACCUUUCAUUGAGCAAUUUGUGAAUGCUUGCUAUGACCUCGAGGUAGAUGCUUAUGCUCUUGUCACACAUAUUUGCAUCUCUACCUCACAUUUACAUGCUUGUUCCCAUGAUAUUUUUGCUUGUGCUCGAUUGAUAUGCUUACAUGCCAUGUCACAAUCCUUUGUCACACCCUAUGCUAUGCUUGAUGACAACACUUGUUUGGUGAAUCACCUCUUGAAUGCUUGGUUUUGCACGAACGCAAACCACAUUUGUUUUUCCACGGGUUUGUUCUAUUUGCUCCUUUUGAAGGAAUCACAAGAUGGUGCGACACUGGAGAGUGCCCACUUCGAGCUACUAGACGAUGAGUGCUUGGUGAUCGACCACUUCGAUAUGGCACCGCCAUCUCUUUCCUAUGGUGAUUUGGUUUUCGAUCCGAGGUCGAAUCCUUCUCAAGGGGGAGGGGAUGAUGCGGAGCAUCCUAUGGACAUCACCAUGUCAAGAGUCCAUUCGGCAAGUGACACGUGCGACAUCUACUUCUCAUACAUAAAGGUGAAUCUUCUCCUUUACACGUGUUCACUUGACCCCUUCGAGGAUGGUAUACUACUUGACACUUCUCCCGUGUGCAUGCAUAGGUAUUGUCAGAGCUUUACGGAUGUCGAGGAGUGCAAGCGCCAAGGAACGACUACACCGUCCGCGAGGGAAGCAUGGAAGAGAAGGAGGAAGAGAACCUGGUGUUGGGGAACGUAGUAAUUUCAAAAUUUUCCUACGCACAUGCAAGAUCAUGGUGAUGAUAUAGCAACGAGGGGAGAGUGUUGUCUACGUACCCUCGUAGACCGAAGCGGAAGCGUUGACGCAGCGUAGAGGAAGUAGUCCUACGUCCUCCCGGUCCGACCGAUCCAAGCACCGUUACUCCGGCACCUCUGAGUUCUUGACACACGUACAGCUCGAUGACGCACCCUCGAUCUCCAAUCCAGUAGAGGCUCCAAGGGGGAGUUCCGUCAGCACGACGGCGUGGUGACUAUCUUGAUGUUCUCCUGUCGCAGGGCUUCGCCUAAGCACCGCUACAAUAUGACCGAGGUGUAAUAUCGUGGAGGGGGGCACCGCACACGGCUAAGGAACGAUCAAUGAUCAACUUGUGUGUUCUAGGGUGCCCCCUACCCCCGUAUAUAAAGGAGGGAGGGAGGAGGUGGCCGACCCAAGGAGGGGGCGCGCCAUGGGAGGAGGAAACCUACUCCAAGUAGGUUUCCCCUCUUUUUCCUUAUCUUAUUUGGAGGGGGAAGGAAGGAGUACUAGUAGUAGGAAGGAGUACUAGUAGUAGGAAAGGAAGAGGGGGAAGGAGAAAGGAAAGGGGGGGCCGGCCCCCCUCCCCAAUUCGGAUUGGGCUUGGGGGGGCGCGCCCCCCUCCCUUGCUCCUUCUCCCUUCCUCCUACAUGGGCCCAAUAAGGCCCAUAUACCUCCCGGGGGGGUUUCGGUAACCUCCCGGAGCUCCAAACUCUUCCGGAACCUUUCCGGUGUCCAAAUAUAUCCGUCCAAUAUAUCGAUCUUUAUGUAUCGACCAUUUCGAGACUCCUCGUCAUGUCCGUGAUCAUAUCCGGGACUCCGAACAAACUUCGGUACAUCAAAAUACAUAAACUCAUAAUAUAACUGUCAUCGAAACCUUAAGCGUGCGGACCCUACGGUUCGAGAACGAUGUAGACAUGACCGAGACAUGUCUCUGGUCAAUAACCAAUAGCGGGACCUGGAUGCCCAUAUUGGUUCCUACAUAUUCUACGAAGAUCUUUAUCGGUCAAACCGCAUAACAGCAUACGUUGUUCCCUUUGUCAUUGGUAUGUUACUUGUCCGAGAUUUGAUCGUCGGUAUCCAAUACCUAGUUCAAUCUCGUUACCGACAAGUCUCUUUACUCGUUCUGUAAUACUUCAUCUCAUAACUAACUCAUUAGUUAUAUGCUUGCAAGGCUUAUGUGAUGAGCAUUACCGAGAGGGCCCAGAGAUACCUCUCCGACAAUCGGAGUGACAAAACCUAAUCUCGAAUUAUGCUAACUCAACAUGUACCUUCGGAGACACCUGUAGUACUCCUUUAUAAUCACCCAGUUACGUUGUGACGUUUGGUAGUACCCAAAGUGUUCCUCCGAUAAACGGGAGUUACACAAUUCUCAUAGUUACAGGAACAUGUAUAAGUCAUGAAGGAAGCAAUAGCAGAAUACUAAACGAUCAAGUGCUAAGCUAACGGGAUGGGUCAUGUCAAUCACAUCAUUCUCCUAAUGAUGUGAUCCCAUUAAUCAAAUGACAACACAUGUCUAUGGUUAGGAAACAUAACCAUCUUUGACUAAUGAGCUAGUCAAGUAGAGGCAUACUAGUGACUAUAUGUUUGUCUAUGUAUUCACACAUGUAUCAUGUUUCCGGUUAAUACAAUUCUAGCAUGAAUAAUAAACAUUUAUCAUGAUAUGAGGAAAUAAAUAAUAACUUUAUUAUUGCCUCUAGGGCAUAUUUCCUUCAGUCUCCCACUUGCACUAGAGUCAAUAAUCUAGUUCACAUCGCCAUGUGAUUUAACACCAAUAUUCAUAUCUGUAUAUGAUUAACACCCAUAGUUCACAUCAUCAUGUGACCAACAUCCAAAGUGUUUACUAGAGUCAAUAAUCUAGUUCACAUCGCUAUGUGAUUAACACCCAAAGAGUACUAAGGUGUGAUCAUGUUUUGCUCGUGAGAGAAGCUCAGUCAACGGGUCUGUCACAUUCAGAGCCAUAUGUAUUUUGCAAAUAUUCUAUGUCUACAAUGCUCUGCACGGAGCUACUCUAGCUAAUCGCUCCCACUUUCAAUAUGUAUCCAGAUUGAGACUUAGAGUCAUCUGGAUCGGUGUGAAAACUUGCACCGAGAUAACUUUUACGACGGGCUCUUUUAUCACCUCCAUAAUCGAGAAAUAUUUCCUUAGUCCUCACUAAGGAUAUUCUUGACCAAUGUCCAGUGAUCUACUCCUAGAUCACUAUUGUACUCCCUUGUCAAAUACAGAGCAAGGUAUACAAUAGGUCUGGUACAUAGCAUGGCAUACUUUAUAGAACCUAUGACUGAGGCAUAGGGAAUGACUUUUCAUUCUCUUUCUAUUUUCUGCUGUGGUCGGGAUUUGAGUCUUACUCAAUUUCAUACCUUUGCAACACAGGCAAGAACUCUUUCUUUGACUGUUCCAUUUUGAACUACUUCAAAAUCUUGUCAAGGUAUGUACUCAUUGAAAAUCUUAUCAAGCGUCUUGAUCUAUCUCAAUAGAUCUUGAUGCUCAAUAUGUAUGUAGUUUUACUGAGGUCUUUCUUUGAAAAAACUCUUAUUCAAGUAUCCUUUAAUGCUUUGCAGAAUAAUUCUACAUUAUUUCCGAUCAGCAAUAUGUCAUUCACAUAUACUUAUCAGAAAUGCUGUAGUGCUCCCACUCACUUUCUUGUAAAUACAGGCUUCACCGCAAGUCUGUAUAAUACUAUAUGCUUUGAUCAACUUAUCAAAGCGUAUAUUCCAACUCUGAGAUGCUUGCACCAGUCCAUAGAUGGAUUGCUGGAGCUUGCACAUUUUGUUAGCACCUUUAGGAUUGACAAAACCUUCUGGUUGUAUCAUAUACAACUCUUCUUUAAUAAAUUCAUUAAGGAAUGUAGUUUUGACAUCCAUUUGCCAAAUUUCAUAAAAUGUGGCAAUUGCUAACAUGAUUCGGACAAACUUUUAAGCAUCGAUACGAGUAAGAAAAUCUCAUCGUAUUCAACACCUUGAACUUUGUCAAAAACCUUUUUUCGACAAGUCUAGCUUUGUAGAUAGUAACACUACUAUCAACGUCCGUCUUCCUCUUGAAGAUCCAUUUAUUCUUAAUGACUCACUGAUCAUCGGGCAAGUCAAUCAAAGUCUACACUUUGUUCUCAUACAUGGAUCAUAUCUCAGAUUUCAUGGCCCCAAGCCAUUUCGUGGAAUCUGGGCUCAUCAUCGCUUCCUCAUAGUUCGUAGGUUCAUCAUGGUCUAGUAACAUGACUUCCAGAACAUGAUUACCGUACCACUCUGGUGCGGAUCUUACUCUGGAAGACCUACGAGGUUUGGUAGCAACUUGAUCUGAAGUUUGAUGAUCAUCAUCAUUAACUUCCUCACUAAUUGGUGUAGGAAUCACUGGAACUGAUUUCUGUGAUGAACUACUUUCCAAUAAGGGAGAAGGUACAAUUACCUCAUCAAGUUUUACUCUCCUCCCACUCACUUCUUUCGAGAGAAACUCCUUCUCUGGAAAGGAUCCAUUUUAGCAACGAAUGUCUUGCCUUCGGAUCUGUGAUAGAAGGUGUACCCAACAAUUUCCUUUGGGUAUUCUAUGAAGACGCACUUCUCCGAUUUGGGUUCGAGCUUAUCAGGAUGAAACUUUUUCACAUAAGCAUCGCAGCCCCAAACUUUAAGAAACAACAGCUUAGGUUUACUGCUAAACCAUAGUUCAUACGGUGUCGUCUCAACGGAUUUAAAUGGUGCCCUAUUUUAAAACGUGAAUGCAGCUGUCUCUAAUGCAUAACCCCAAAACGAUAGUGGUAAAGAGACAUCAUAGAUCGCACCAUAUCAAAUAAAGUGCGGUUACGACGUUCGGACACACCAUAACGAUGUGGUGUUCCAGGUGGUGUGAGCUGUGAAACUAUUCCACAUUGUUUUAAUUGAAGACCAAACUCGUAACUCAAAUAUUUGUCUCCGCUAUCAGAUCGCAGAAACUUUAUUUUCUUGUUACGAUGAUUUUUCCACUUCACUCUGAAAUUCUUUGAACCUUUCAACUAUUUCAGACUUAUGUUUCAUCAAGUAGAUAUACCCAUAUCUGCUCAAAUCAUCUUGUGAAGGUCAGAAAAUAACGAUACUUGCCACGAGCCUCAACACUCAUUGGAUCGCAUACAUCGGUAUGUAUUAUUUCCAAUAAGUCAGUAGCUUGUUCCAUUAUUCCGGAGAACGGAGUUUUAGUCAUCUUGCCCAAAAGGCACGGUCCGCAAGCAUCAAAUGAUUCAUAACCAAGUGAUUCCGAAAAUCCAUCUUUAUGGAGUUUCUUCAUGCGCUUUACACCGAUAUGACCCAAACGGCAGUGCCACAAAUAAGUUGCACUAUCAUUAUUAACUUUGCAUCUUUUGGCUUCAAUAUUAUGAAUGUGUGUAUCACACGAUCGAGAUCCAACAAACCAUUUUCAUUGGGUGUAUAACCAUAGAAAGUUUUAUUCAUGAAAACAGAACAACAAUUAUUCUCUAACUUACAUGAAUAACCGUAUUGCAAUAAACAUGAUCAAAUCAUAUUCAUUCUCAACGCAAACACCAAAUAACACUUAUUUAGGUUUAACACUAAUCCCGGAAGUAUAGGGAGUGUGCGAUGAUGAUCAUAUCAAUCUUGGAACUAUUUCCAACACACAUCGUCACUACACUCUUAACUAGUCUCUGUUUAUUCUGCAACUCCCGUUUCGAGUUACUAAUCUUAGCAACCGAACAAGUAUCAAAUACUUAGGGGCUACUAUAAACACUAGUAUGGAACACAUCAAUAAUCUGUAUAUCAAAUAUACCCUUGUUCACUUUGCCAUCCUUCUUAUCAACCAAAUAUUCAGGGCAUUUCCGCUUCCAGUGACCAUUUCCUUUGCAGUGUAAACACUCAGUUUCAGGCUAUGGUCCAGCUUUGGGCUUGUCUUUCCACUUGAAGUUCCCUUUCUUUCCCUUUGCCCUUCUCUUGAAACUAGUGGUCUUGUCAAUCAUCAACACUUGAUGCUCUUUCUUGAUUUCUACCUUCGUCGAUUUCAACAUCACGAAGAGCUCGGGAAUCAUUUUUUCGUCAUCCCUUGCAUACUAUAGUUCAUCACGAAGUUCUAGUAACUUAGUGAUGGUGACUAGAGAAUUCUGUCAAUCACUAUCUUAUCUGGAAGAUUAACUCCCACUUGAUUCAAGCGAUUGAAGUACCCAGACAAUCUGAGCACAUGCUCACUAGUUGAGCGAUUCUCCUCCAUCUUUUAGCUAUAGAACUUGUUGGAGACUUCAUAUCUCUCAACUCGGGUAUUUGCUUGAAAUAUUAACUUCAAUUCCUGGAACAUCUCAUAUGGUCCAUGAUGUUCAAAACAUCUUUGAAGUCCCGAUUCUAAGCCGUUAAGCAUGGUGCACAAAACUAUCAAGUAGUCAUCAUAUUGAGCUAGCCAAACGUUCAUAACGUCUACAUUUGCUCCUGCAUUAGGUCUUUCACCUAGCGGUGCAUUAAGGACAUAAUUCUUCUGUGCAGCAAUGAGGAUAAACCUCAGAUCACGGAUCCAAUCCGCAUCAUUGCUACUAACAUCUUUCAACACAGUUUUCUCUAGGAACAUAUCAAAAUAAACAUAUGAAAGCAACAACGCGAGCUAUUGAUCUAUAACACAAUUUGCAAAAUACUACCAGGACUAAGUUCAUGAUAAAUUAAAGUUCAAUUAAUCAUAUUACUAAAGAACUCCCACUUAGACAGACAUCUCUCUAGUCAUCUAAGUGAUCACGUGAUCCAAAUCAACUAAACCAUGUCCGAUCAUCACGUGAGAUGGAGUAGUUUCAAUGGUGAACAUCGCUAUGUUGAUCAUAUCUACUAUAUGAUUCACGCUCGACCUUUCGGUCUCCGUGUUCCGAGGCCAUAUCUGUAUAUGCUAGGCUCGUCAAGUAUAACCUGAGUAUUCCGCAUGUGCAACUGUUUUGCACCCGUUGUAUUUGAACGUAGAGCCUAUCACACCCGAUCAUCACGUGGUGUCUCAGCACGAAGAACUUUCGCAACGGUGCAUACUCAGGGAGAACACUUCUUGAUAAUUAGUGAUAGAUCAUCUUAAAAUGCUACCGUCAAUCAAAGCAAGAUAAGAUGCAUAAAGGAUAAACAUCACAUGCAAUCAAUAUAAGUGAUAUGAUAUGGCCAUCAUCAUCUUGUGCUUGUGAUCUCCAUCUCCGAAGCACCGUCGUGAUCACCAUCGUCACCGGCGCGACACCUUGAUCUCCAUCGUAGCAUCGUUGUCGAUUACGCCAUCUAUUGCUUCUACGACUAUCGCUACCGCUUAGUGAUAAAGUAAAGCAAUUACAGGGCGUUUCCAUUUCAUACAAUAAAGUGACAACCAUAUGGCUCCUGCCAGUUGCCGAUAACUUCGGUUACAAAACAUGAUCAUCUCAUACAAUAAAAUAUAGCAUCACGUCUUGGCCAUAUCACAUCACAACAUGCCCUGCAAAAACAAGUUAGACGUCCUCUACUUUGUUGUUGCAAAUUUUACGUGGCUGCUACGGGCUUAGCAAGAACCGUUCUUACCUACGCAUCAAAACCACAACGAUAGUUUGUCAAAUAGACUCCGUUUUAACCUUCACAAGGACCGGGCGUAGCCACACUCGGUUCAACUAAAGUUGGAGAAACAGACACCCGCCAGUCACCUGUGUGCAAAGCAUGGCGGUAAAACCAGUCUCGCGUAAGCGUACGCGUAAUGUCGGUCCGGGCCGCUUCAUCCAACAAUACCGCUGAACCAAAGUAUAACAUGCUGGUAGGCAGUAUGACUUAUAUCGUCCACAACUCACUUGUGGUCUACUCGUGCAUAUAACAUCAACGAAUAAAACCUAGGCUCUGAUGCCACUGUUGGGGAACGUAGUAAUUUCAAAAUUUUCCUACGCACAUGCAAGAUCAUGGUGAUGAUAUAGCAACGAGGGGAGAGUGUUGUCUACGUACCCUCGUAGACCGAAGCGGAAGCGUUGACGCAACGUAGAGGAAGUAGUCGUACGUCCUCCCGGUUCGACCGAUCCAAGCACCGUUACUCCGGCACCUCCGAGUUCUUGACACACGUACAGCUCGAUGACGCACCCUCGAUCUCCAAUCCAGUAGAGGCUCCGAGGGGGAGUUCCGUCAGCACAACAGCGUGGUGACUAUAUUGAUGUUCUCCUGUCGCAGGGCUUCGCCUAAGCACCGCUACAAUAUGACCGAGGUGUAAUAUCGUGGAGGGGGGCACCGCACACGGCUAAGGAACGAUCAAUGAUCAACUUGUGUGUUCUAGGGUGCCCCCCUACCCCCGUAUAUAAAGGAGGGAGGGAGGAGGUGGCCGGCCCAAGGAGGGGGCGCGCCAUGGGAGGAGGAAACCUACUCCAAGUAGGUUUCCCCUCUUUUUCCUUAUCUUAUUUGGAGGGGGAAGGAAGGAGUACUAGUAGUAGGAAGGAGUACUAGUAGUAGGAAAGGAAGAGGGGGAAGGAGAAAGGAAAGGGGGGGCCGGCCCCCUCCCCAAUUCGGAUUGGGCUUGGGGGGGCGCGCCCCCCUCCCUUGCUCCUUCUCCCUUCCUCCUACAUGGGCCCAAUAAGGCCCAUAUACCUCCCGGGGGGUUCCGGUAACCUCCCGAAGCUCCAAACUCUUCCGGAACCUUUCCGGUGUCCAAAUAUAUCCGUCCAAUAUAUCAAUCUUUAUGUCUCGACCAUUUCGAGACUCCUCGUCAUGUCCGUGAUCACAUCCGGGACUCCGAACAAACUUUGGUACAUCAAAAUACAUAAACUCAUAAUAUAACUAUCAUCGAAAACUUAAGCGUGCGGACCCUACGGUUCGAGAACGAUGUAGACAUGACCGAGACAUGUCUCUGGUCAAUAACCAAUAGUGGGACCUGGAUGCCCAUAUUGGUUCCUACAUAUUCUACGAAGAUCUUUAUCGGUCAAACCGCAUAACAGCAUACGUUGUUCCCUUUGUCAUCGGUAUGUUACUUGUCCGAGAUUUGAUCGUCGGUAUCCAAUACCUAGUUCAAUCUCGUUACCGACAAGUCUCUUUACUCAUUCUGUAAUACUUCAUCUCAUAACUAACUCAUUAGUUAUAUGCUUGCAAGGCUUAUGUGAUGAGCAUUACCGAGAGGGCCCAGAGAUACCCCUCCGACAAUCGGAGUGACAAAACCUAAUCUCGAAUUAUGCUAACUCAACAUGUACCUUCGGAGACACCUGUAGUACUCCUUGAUAAUCACCCAGUUACGUUGUGACGUUUGGUAGUACCCAAAGUGUUCCUCCGGUAAACGGGAGUUACACAAUUCUCAUAGUUACAGGAACAUGUAUAAGUCAUGAAGGAAGCAAUAGCAGAAUACUAAACGAUCAAGUGCUAAGCUAACGGGAUGGGUCAUGUCAAUCACAUCAUUCUCCUAAUGAUGUGAUCCCAUUAAUCAAAUGACAACACAUGUCUAUGGUUAGGAAACAUAAUCAUCUUUGACUAAUGAGCUAGUCAAGUAGAGGCAUACUAGUGACUAUAUGUUUGUCUAUGUAUUCACACAUGUAUCAUGUUUCCGGUUAAUACAAUUCUAGCAUGAAUAAUAAACAUUUAUCAUGAUAUGAGGAAAUAAAUAAUAACUUUAUUAUUGCCUCUAGGGCAUAUUUCCUUCACCUGGCCGCUCCAGAACGAGCGGUACUACCGCCCACUCCAAGCGGUACUACCGCUGAGGCCACCCAAGAGGCACUACCGCCCAGCAUCCGCCCUACUACCGCUCAACCCGACAAACUCCAGUGAUCGAGCGGUAUAAGCCCGGUACUACCGCCCCUCCAAGCGGUACUACCGCUCAAGCGGUACUACCACCCAUGAGUCCGGUACUACCGCCCUGCUUGUGAGCAGCCGCGGGCCUUUGGCCUUGUAUCCCUCUCCCACUUACCCCUUCGUGGCUUAGACUAUAAAUAGACCACCUCCACCUCCUUUCUAGGGUUAGAACAGAUUGAGCUUAUUUUGAGAUAGAGCUUUACUCAUCCAUACGGAUCUACUCCUCGUGAGAGACUGCGGCCUCUUCGGAGAAGAUCGAUCUUGGAUUCAAGACCCCUCGUGGGAAGAUCCGUCUAGGAUCAUCAAGACCUCCUCUUGGAGAUGAACCUUACCUUGUAUCUUUCCCUUUGUUGUUCAUGUACCCUUGUGGAUCUUGUGUGUUUGAUUGUCUAGUGGAUGUGUGAUUGGACUUGUUCUUGAGUGUUUCCCCUUGUGAUUUCUCUCCGUUCUUCCCUGUGUUCUUCGUGUUCUUCGUGGGGAUCCACUCCAAACGUGAAAAAUCGGCCUCUAGGGUUCUACCCUACAUCAUCAUCCUUCAAAAAUAUGGAGGGCCAUUAUUGACGGAAGGGAUAUUAUAUGGCGCAAGGUAUAAUCAGACGCAUCGGGGAUGGAGCGACUACACACAUAUGGGAUCACAACUGGAUUAUGAUGGAAAGCUAUAAGAGGCCAAUAACUAAGUUAGUGCAGAACCCCCCUCAGAAACAUUUUAUGUAUACACGUUAACAUUUCCCAGAUAUAUGAUUAAUAUUUUUGGAAAACUUCUAUUUUUUAUGUGUACUUUUUUAUACAUUUUGUAAUAUCAGAAAUAGUUUUUAUAGAAGGUUUAACAUUUUUCAAAUACAUGAUUACCUUUUUGUAAACUUAUAUUGUUUGACGUUUACUUUUUUUCAUAGACAUAGUGAGGGGUUAUAUCUAAGGAAUAGGCCCAAGUACAUGUAUGGCACAACCAAAUGCCCAUGUUAAUCAAGGAUGUUCCACAAGACAAAUGGGGAAACACACCAAGGCCAAUGGAGCUACAAGGCCAAGGCAUCGGAUACAAGGGGAGAGUCAACUAUGUACAGUCGGAUUACACAGCCCUUAACAGACAAGACUCAUCAGUUGGUCCACUAUUGGAAUCAGGUCAUUUGCCGUCAGCCCAGAAUAGACGCGAAGACUUUGCCGUGAGCAAGUUGACGACAAACACAAUCAGCAAAGACUAUAUCGGCAGAGAGCUAAUUUGACGUCAACUUUUCAUCGCGCUGAUGACAAAGACUUUGCCGUCAAUUAAACUAUGUGUUUGUAGUCUGUAGAGAAAACACAAACGGCAAAGAAAUUAAAAAAAUGGUCAUUUUAAAAUAAUUUUUAGAAAUCUAUAUACUGUUUUUUAAAAUGUUUAAUAUGUACCAAGAAUUAUUUCGUAAGUAUACAAAAGAUGUAUAACGUGUAUGAAAAUUACGUAGACAUCAGAACAUAUUAUAGAAAUGUUAAUCUUGUAUUUAAAAAUUUUAAAUACACAUGCAUAAAAAUGUUUUUGAUGUACAUAAAAAAAUUGUACAUAGUGUGUGAACAAAGUAUGCAUUGAAAAAACAAAAAUCUUGUUGGAAAAAAAUCUCGUGUUGUAUACGAAAAUGUAAAAGGUGUAUGAAAAUAAUUAGAUAUAUGUUUAAUGAAAAAAGGAAAGAAGGCGCAAAAAAUCCGAUUAACACCAAGAUAGGAACAAGAAAACCUGAAGAAGACCAUUGAAAAAAAGAAAUGAAUACAAGAAAGAGGAAGAAAAACAAAAAAAAUGAAGAAGCUGAUGCAGAACAGGGAACUUAGUGAAAACGAAUAAAAAUUGAUGAAAACCGAGAAGAAAAACAAGAAAACUGAAGCAAAAAUUAAGAAAAAUAUGUAAAAAAAAUGAUGAAACAUUGCGAAACAGUGAAAUACUAUGAAAACCAAAGGAAAAAAAGACUCAAAAAUAAGAACGUACAGCAAGCGAAUGAACAACAACUGAGUGAACGAGCGAACAUGCGAGAAUACGUUAAUUGUCUGGCCCAUACUUGUGGAUUCCAGAGGCGAGCCAGAAUAGGCGAGAUAUAGCUAUGACGAUUUGAUACCCUUCAUAGCUUCACGAAUGCUAUAUCUCGCUCACAGCGAAAGUAUUUUUUGUCUGGCCUGAAGGUGAAAGAAUAGCAUCAGGUCGCUGUAAGUUUUGUGAUCCUACAAUCAGAGCUCGAUAAGAUUAAAAUUCAUGUUUCUGACAACCAGUCAUUCGCUCACUCAAUUCCACGUACUAGUUUGGUUAGGUUUUUUUUUCAUUUUUUUCUGUUUUUUAUUUCUUCACUGGCUUUCUUUGGUUUUUUUAUCGGUUUUCUUUGUUUCCUUCACGUUUUACUCUUUCUUUUCCUUUUUACUGGUUUAUCUAUUCCUUUUUUCUUUGUUUCUUUCUUGGUUUUCUUUGUUUUUUCUUUCUUUUGAUGUCAACCUUUUUACAUACACAUUCAACAAUUUUCGUAUACAUCAGAAACAUUUUAUGUAUACACGUUAACAAUUCCCAGGUACAUGAUUAAUAUUUUUGGAAAACUUCUAUUUUUUAUGUGUACUUUUUGAUACAUUUUGUAUAUAUCAGAAAUAUUUUUUAUAGAAGGUUUAACAUUUUUUAAAUACAUGAUUACCUUUUUGUAAACUUAUAUUGUUUGACGUUUACUUUUUUUCAUAGACAUAGUGAGGGGUUAUAUCUAAGGAAUAGGCCCAAGUACAUAUAUGGCCCAAGUACAUUUAAUCAAGGAUGUAGUCCACAAGACAAAUGGGGAAACAGACGGGGGCCAAUGGAGCUACAAGGCCAAAGCAUCGGAUACAAGGGGAGAAUCUACAGUCGGAUUACACAACCCUUGACAGACAAGACUCAUUAGUUGGUCCGCUAUAGGAAUCGGGUAAUUUGCCGUCAGCCGAGAACAUACUCAAAGACUUUGCCGUCAGCAAGUUGAUGACAACUUUUCAUCACGUUGAUGACAAAGACUUUGCCGUCAAUUAAACUAUGUGUUUAUCGUCUAUAGAAAAAACACAAACGGCAAAGGAAAGCACCUUUGCCAUCAGCGGCUAAUCUGCAUGUGUCUUCAACAAGACUCGUCUUGUCACUAGCCUCAAACAUCACAGAUGGAAAAGAAAUUUUUUAUUUUAAAAAAUCUGCGUCGACCACCCUACUUCGCACAUGUAGCCACCGCCUGGCCGCGCUCGCUGAUCACCCACAAGUGUAGGGGAUCUAUCGUAGUCCUUUCGAUAAGUAAGAGUGUCGAACCGAACGAGGAGUAGAAGGAAAUGACAAGCGGUUUUUAGUAAGGUAUUCUCUGCAAGCACUGAAAUUAUCGGUAACAGAUAGUUUUGUGAUAAGGUAAUUCGUAACGGGUAACAAGUAACAACAGUAAAUAAAGUGCAGCAAGGUGGCACAAUCCUUUUUGUAGCAAACGACAAGCCUGGACAAAUUCUUAUAUGAAGGAAAACGCUCCCGAGGACACAUGGGAAUUAUCGUCAAGCUAGUUUUCAUCACGCUCAUAUGAUUCACGUUCAUUACUUUGAUAAUUUAAUAUGUGGAUGGACCGGUGCUUGGAUACUGCUCUUUCUUGGAUAAGCAUCCCACUUAUGAUUAACCCCUAUUGCAAGCAUCCGCAACUCAAAAGAAAUAUUAAGGUAAACCUAAUCAUAGCAUGAAACAUUGACACGGCACAUUAUAAAGAGUUCAACCCAAAUUUUGUAGUAACACUAUUAUAUUUAAAUAGUGAUUAUUCCAACACAUGGAUAAUUAAUUAAGGCACCAGGUUGCGCUUGUGACCAGGAAAGACAAACUUAUGAACUUGCAAGCAUGACAAUCAGAUCGACAUCCACACAAUGUCAAUAUGAACAUUGUCUUGAUACAACUUUAUUUGUAUUUUAUUUCAGAAUUUAAACAACUAGUUUGGGCGGGUCACACACGACGUUGUGUGACACUUUAUUUGUCACCGCUGCAUCGACAUAUCCAUCGACUAAACAACGGUGAUCCAACUAUAUAUUACUAGAGACCUUUCCUUAUCAGUAGGCACCAACUCCAGUGCCAACGCCAAAUGGCACACUAGUGGUGGUCCUAUACAACGGCACAUUGACACGGCACAUCAUUGGCAGGGUACGGAGCGCAAUGGAAGUCAUCACCUCAAGCUGAGCUAUCUGGUGUGGCUGCAAAAAGGUACCCUGUGCCAAUUGUUGUUGUUGAGGUUGUUGCCCGAGUUGCUGCUGUGACUGCUGUUGGGGUUGGGAAACGCAUUGGCCCAACUGUUGCGGUUGCUGCUGCUGAGUUUGGAUGGAACCCCGAACCUGUUGUUGUUCUUGCAGGACGAUGGAGUAGAUGAUAGCACGGAUUGCCUCAUAGCGGGAUUGCUGGGGGAUUUGCGGCAACUGCUGGCAACAUUGUUGUUGCAUCACAUGGCAACUACUCUGCUGCAACAUUUGCGACCUAGCAAGACUUUGUGGCAUUGCCACAGGGCUGCAUUGCUGCUGGAGGAAUACCUUGCAUGGGUUCAGCUGCUGCAAGAUAGAUGGAUGAACAAAUGGUAUUUGUUGUUGCGGUAGAACUAGUUGUUGUUGUUGUUGCGAAAAUGAUGGUUGUUGUGGUAGAAUUGGUUGUUGUUGUUGUUGUUGCGAAAAUGGUGGUUGUUGCGGUAGUACUGGUUGUUGUUGUUGUGAAAACGGUGGUUGUUGUUGUGAAAAUGGUGGUAGUUGUUGCUGCGAAAAUGAUGGCUGUUGCGGUAGAACUGGUUGUUGUUGCUGCGAAAAUGGUGGUUGUUGCUGUGAAAAUGGUGGUUGUUGUUGCUGUGAAAAUGGUGGUUGUUGUUGCUGCGAUAAUGGUUGUUGUUGUUGUUGUUGUUGUUGUUGUUGUUGUUGUUGUUGUUGUUGUUGUUGUUGUUGUUGUUGUUGUUGUGAACAUGGUUGCUGUUGUGGAAAUUGUUGUGGUUGUUGUUGGAUGGGUUGUUGUGGUUGUUGGUGCGAUAAUGUUUGUUGUGGUGGUAAUGGUUGUUGCUGCGAUGGUCUCUCCAAACCAGGGAUGUGGCUAUUCUCCAUUUGUGCAAUGGCACUUGUCGCCGCAACGGCGAGGAGGGCAAAGAUGAGGAAGGUCUUCAUGGUGGACUAGUGUUAACUAGUAUUUCCUGGUUUUGAUGCUUGUGUUUGUGAUGAUCUUUAUACUUCAUGCCUAUUUAUAGUAGCCAGGGCACCACCUCUUUUCUUCUUUGCAUUAGCUUUAAUAAUUCUGUUUGGAUGCAUCUAAAAUGAUUUUUGAUACAGUGUGUUAGGUUGCACUAGCUACACGCAUACUUUUGGAUUGAUCAUCAAAGUUUCUUUUUAGUUGUGCAUAUGAUCAUACACAAAGUAUAGAAAUCCUGAUGCUUGCUAAAGAUGACUUGCCUUAUUCACUUUACAUGUCACACACUUAUCUGUAUAGUAUCACUUUUGCAACCGAGUUUGGAACCUUGUAUAGGUUGUCAGCCAUAAACAAGAAAGGCAAAACUUGUGUAGGACUAAGUUGCAAUCGUGUGUGGGCUGUUAAGAUAUGCUCGAUUGUUAAAGCCUUGCGUCUGGAGGGUUCUUCUAGACUCGGUUGCUUUUCAUAAAACUAACUUUGUAUUUUCCUCUAAGAUGAUAAGAUGAAAUGACGCCUGUAGAGCAUGACAUGACUCAUUGAAUUCCCUUUACACGUAAAGGAUGGUAAUUGCUUACAAGCUACUCCUACUAGCAUAUAUCCGGUCCUAACUCUAGACACGUCAUCACCAGUUCCAUCUUUUUUUUUUAGAUAAAUCAUCAGUUCCGUGUUUUUUUUUUUUGAGACAAUCAGUUCCAUCUAUGUUUUUUUUUGAGAGAAAUAGUUCCAUCUAUGGGUGAAGGAUUUUUUUGGGGGCAAAUGAUAGAUGGGGCUGGAACAGAGGCCCCAGCCUGGAACGAGAGAUUAGGCCCAACGUAAGCGAUGUGUGUGUUAGGGCACCAAAUUCGAACUGGGCUAUAGUUUUCGGAGGCCCCAACGUCAGAAGCCCAGCCCACACUCCGCCGAUCUGCGUCGUCUUCGUCUCCCCUUCCCCGUCCUCCUCGCCGGCCGGAUCGCUCGCCGGCGCACGACGUCUCCCGGACCCCACCGCCCGCGGCCGCUCCACGUACGCGCGCGGCGGCGGAGGCGUCGGCCUCCCUCCCACCCUCCGCAUCCGGCCCCCCACCACCACCGCCACCGCCACCGCUCGAGGUACCCACUCGUUCCCCUUCCCAUUCCUCCCUACCCUCAACCUCUCUCGUAUCCUCUUCUAACAGCUCUUUUUACUUCCGUUGCAGAUGGUCUCUGAGCUCCCCCGUCGGCUGCGCGCCGUAGGCCUCCCCUCCCGGUCGACACAAGGUAUCGAUCCUGUCCGUCCGUCUCUUCCAGCGAUUCGAUUCACAUGAAUUCGAGAGGCGUGCCCAUCUCCAUGCUAGCUGCGUGGAUCAGGAGGGUCAGGAAGCAGAAUUCAGAUGCCUGACAGUGACAUACUACUACAUUUGUGGCUUUGGAAGCUGAGCAACUCCGUGCUUUAUGUGGAUGUCACUUCAAGUAAUCAUCAAAUUUCCGCCUACGCGCGCUACCCAGGUGGAGUGGAGGAGAAGCAGUUGGCAUGGGCAUUCCGUUUCUCUCCCAUGUCUGAGAAGAAAGUUCGUCUCCGGUGCAGCGAUAUCCAAGUUAGUUACAGCAUCCAGUCAUCUAUAUAAUCUCAGUGUUUAUUCUGUUUUGUACUGUCGUAUUUCAUAUGUGCAUCAGAGCAAAUGUGCUUUCUAGAGGCAUGUUGCAGCUGGCCGAGUCCCAGAUCUCGUUUCAUGUAUAUGGCCAUAGGCAGCGAUCAAUAAAAGGGUACUGGAAUUGAUCUUCUAACGUCACUGUUGUUUCUAGCUCCCUGUCUUUGUUUUUGUUGCUUCCGUCGUAUGGUUGCAAAGUUAGGCUUCAUCUGAUUUUAGUUAGUUAAUCUGAUCUCGUUAACCUGAUAAAGAGAAUUCCACCCUGCCCUUUAUUCCGCUCUUCACUGUCUCACAAUAAGGGAACAUAUUAAGCUCACCAAAUUGUGUCCCUCAAAAAUAAAAAAUAAACUCACCAAAUUGUAUCACAGGAGAUUGUCAAGUUGUGUUUUAUCAUAUCAGUAUAGUAAGUGUAUCAUUUGUCCAUAUCAACAAGGGAUAGUCAUCUGCCAGCUUAUUAUGCUCAUCUCUGAGCUCGAUCAUGCCCUUCAAUGUUAGUUAGAGGUGUCAUUAAAACAGGACAAGAAAUUAACCACUUUCCACCGGGUCUUCUCUCUUGAGCAGGAAGCAUGUGAUGCAUUCAAGAUUCGAUGAAUUCACGAAAACCAAUAUCGUGGUCCUCCCUGUGCAGCAGGUACCUGAGAUGAAUUGUAUUUUGUAAGUGCUCUGUAUGCGUGCUGUCAGCCGGCAGUGGAGGUAAUUGUUUAAUUUGCAUUCCUGCAACUUCUUGUAUUUGUAAAGAAAAUUCUUACUAUUUGCUGAGUGCACAGCCAUUGCAUUGUCACUUUUGAAAAACCGCAUUGGAUGUACUGAGAUAAAUAAUAGUAUAAUCUCUACUUGCAUACUACGAACGAGAAAUCUUCAUUCUGACUUGCAAUAAGGGAGUUUGUUUAGCUGUGCCUUAUUAGGAAAUGAAGAUACCCCCAGCUGUUAACGUGGUAUCCAAGCUAUCCUUAUUAUAUGUCAGCUCAAAAGGAAUGCCAAGUGCCGAGCUGUUGUGAGAGUUGAUGGUUGUGAUUGGUUACCAAAAAUCAAAGUCACCCACUCAAGAGAGAAAGUCAAUGCUCACGUUGGCUUCCAUUUUUCUCACACGCAAACCAAACACAUCUUGCUCACACCAUUAUCUUCUCCAUUUUGCACUGUGCUUGUGCUAAUCUGUGUAGUAUUGUUGGCAAUUUGGGAUAUGUUGGUCUCGCCAGGAGGCCUGUGCUAAUCUGUGCUAUUUCUGAAAAUAUGCUCCCCUAAUCUCCAAUUAUAUUAUGCGUAAAACCAAAAAGGUCAGACUUCUUGAGAACAUGCCAGUGCUGAUUUGUGUUUUUCCUGCUGAUAUGCACUUUAGUAUAUCAAAAUGUACACUUAAUUAGAUGUUUUAAUUUUAAAGUCACAGUUAGAGAGAGGGACAGUGCACCAACCAGCUGGUGCAAACGAAUGACCUGUGUGACGACCUGAGCGUAUUCUUGAAAAAGAAACCCGAAAUACCACCUAGAUCCAUCCACCAUUAUUGCCAGUGUUAAAAAAAAAUACAGGCGUCUUCUGGGCUCUAAAAGCCAUUUCUGGGUCUUAUCUCUUGAAGAAGCAUUUGAUGCAUUUAAGAUUCAACCAAUUAAGAAAACCAAUGUUCUGGCCUUCCAUCCGUGGCAGGAACUCAGAGAUGAAUUGUCUUUUGCACAAGUAUGCUGACACACGUCUAGUCAGUCGAGGUAAUUUUUGGAUUUGCAUUCCUGUGACCUCUGGUAUUUGGAAAAAGUAAAUCAUAUUUGCUAAGUUCACAGCCAAUGGAGCGAAAAUUUUGAAAAACUGCUUUGGAUUUACUGGCAUAAAUAUCUAGAGAGAAUUCCUUAUUAGACACUCCCUUAAAAUCAUGUUCCUUAUUUGACACUAGAAAAAAUUUCUUCCCUAUAUGACCUAUAGUCUUAAUUUCUUUCCCUAUAUGACACUCUAGUGCAUUUUGUUCACGUGAAAAGACCAUUUUACCCAUAUGUAUAAUGUGACCGCAAAUAUGUACAAGAUAAUAGUUGUUCCAAAAAAAUCAGUCGAGUUAUCCAUAUGUGACAUCAUAUAUGCUGGUAUUGUCAUGUCAGUCGAUUUACUAUUGUGCUAAGAAAUCAUGACCGAGGCCUUCGAUGGUUCAUGUGCUAAUUGACCUCAGCUAGUUGUCUAUACGUAUUUGUGUACAUAUACGUGGCCAGCUUGCCGGCCGGAGCGUAGAUAUUUAAAUACGUACGCGCACCCUGACGAUCAAGCGAAUACAUGUAUUCUAGCUUCGUAUGACCCGGUUCAUAUACAUACGUAUGUUGGCUGCACCGAACCGGGCCUACAUUCGUGCUAGCACGCAACUUCCUUCCAUACUUGCAAAUACGUGCACAUGCACUAAUGGCAUGCACGUAGGCGAUCACGGAAGCACACACAAAAAUGCUUAAAAAAUUCAUUCAUUUUUAAGAAUGCAUUUUAGUGUUAAAGCACACGUACAAAAGUACGUCAAACAAUCACACUCACAAACCAUACCGCAUGAACUAGACCCACAGCUGAAUACGUUCUAAAUACAUUGGAUGCAUGCGCUCAGGUAUACAGAAUACACAUGCAUCCCAAAAAAGACCAACGGAGGAGAUAACAUGUUCAGCUGUGCUCACUCUUAGAAACGAUUUUUUCCUAAUUAGGCUCAAUGCUACAUAUUUCUGGUCACAUUAUGUACAGGGGCAAAAAGGUCUUUUCACGUGUACAAAAUGAACUAGAGUGUCAUAUAGGGAAAGAAAUUAAGACUAUAAGUCAUAUAGGGAAGAAAUUUUUUCCCGUGUCAAAUAAGGAACACAAUUUUAAGAGAAUGUCAAAUAAGGAAUUCUCUCAAAUAUCUAAUACAAUGACCCACUUGCAGAAUUCAGCUGCGUAGCCUGACAGUGAUGUACGUACAUUUGUGGCUUUGCUAGCUGAGUAACUCUGUGCUUUAUGUGGAUGCCACUUCAAAUAAGCAUCAAAUUUGUGCCUAUGCGUGCUAUGCAGGUGGACGAGAAGCAGUUGGCAUGGACAUUCCUUUUCUCUCUGAUGUCUGGCAAGAAAGUCCGUCUUCUGUGCAGCGAUAUCCAUGUUAGUUACAAUAUCCAAUCAUCUCUAUAAUUAUAAUCUCAGUGUUUAUUCUGUUUUGUAUUGUCGUAUUUCAUAUGUGCAUCAGAGGAAAUGUGCUUUCUAGCUAGAGGCAUGUUGCAGCUGGCCGAGUCGCAGAUCUCAUUUAUAUGGCCAUAGGCGGUGACCAAUACAAGGGCACUGGAAUUUAUCUUCGAAUGCCACUGUUGUUCUAGCUCUUUGUCUUUACUUUUGUUGCUUCUGUUGUAUGGCUGCAAAGUUAGGCUUCAUCUGAUUUUAGUUAGUCAAGCGAUCUCGUUAAGAUGAUAAAAAGAAUUCCACACGAUGACACGACCCUUUAUUCCGCUCUUCACCGUCUCACAAUAACGGAACAUAUUAAGCUCAACAAAUCGUAUCCCUCAAAAAUAAAAAAGCUCACCAAAUUGUAUCGCAUACUCAUACAUAUCUUUCAUCGUCAAAUAACAGGAGAUUGUCAAGUUGUGUUUUAUCAUAUCAGUAUAUUAAGUGUAUCUUUUGUCCAUAUGAGCAAGGGAUAAUCAUCUGCCAGCUUAUUAUAUGCUCAUCUCUGAGAUCGAUCAUACCUCUUCAAUCUUAUUAGAGGUGUCAUUAAGAAAUGACAAGAAAUUAACUACUUGCCACCGGGUCUUCUCUCUUCAGCAGGAAGCAUGUGAUGCAUUCAAGAUUCACGAAAACCAAUAUUGUGGUCCUCCCUAUGCAGCAGGUACUUGUGAUGAAUUGUAUUUUGUAAGUGCACUGUAUGUGUGCUGUCAGCCAGCAGUGGAGGUAAUUGUUUAGCUUGCAUUCCUGCAACUUCUUGUAUCUGGAAAGGACACUCUUACUAUUUGCUGAGUUCACCGCCAAUGUAUCUUCACUUUGGAAAAACUGCAUUCGAUGUACCCACAUAAAUAUAUAAUAUAAUGAUGAUCUAAUAGCAAAUUAUAUGGCCAUAGGCAGUGAUGAUCAAUAAAAGGGCACUGGAAUUUAUCUUCUAAUGUAUACGUCACUAUUUUUUUAGCUCUCUGUCUUCAUUUUUGCUUCCUCUGUUGUAUGGUUAAAAAGUUAGGUUUCAGCUGAUUUUAGUUAGUUAUAAGCGGAUCUCGUUAAGCUCUUUAUCUUUAUUUUUGCUGCCUCCGUUGUAUGGUUAAAAAUUUAGGUUACAUCUGAUUUUAGUUUGUUAGGCGGAUCGCGUUAAACUGAUAAGAACUCCGUAUAGUCCUUUAUUCUGGUCUUCACUGCCUCAAAAUAACAGAACCUAUUAAGUGUCGAAAUUGUAUCUCACAAUCAUACAUAUCUUUCAUCGUUGAAUAACACAAAUUAUCAUAUCAGUACAAAAGUAUAUAUCGUUUGUCCAUAUGCACAAGAGAUAAUCAUCUGCCAGCUGAUUAUUCUUAUCUUUGAGAUCCGAUCCUGUACUCAAUGUUAAUUAGGGGUGUCAUUAAAAAAGACAAGAAAAUAACCACUUGCCCUCGGGUCUUCUCUUGUCAGCAGAAAGCAUGUGAUGCAUUCAAGUUUCAAUGAAUUCACGAAAACCAAUAUUGUGGUCCUCGAGAUGAAUUGUAUUUUGUAGGUGUACUGUAUGUGUGCUGUCACCCGUCAGUUGAGGUAAUUGUUUAAUUUGCAUUCCUGCAACCUCUUGUAUGUAUUCGGAAAGAAAAUUCUUACUAUUUUCCGAGUUCACAGCCAAUCCAUUAUCACUUCCGAAAAACUGCAUUGGAUCUACUGACGUAAAUAUAUAAUAGAGUGAUCUACUUGCAAUAUUAAGAACGAGAAAUCUUCAUUCUGACUUGCAAUAAGAGGGGUUAGUCUAGCUUUUUCCUGCUAAUAAAUGAAGGUACCCAUUACUGUCACCAGUUAAUGUGGUAUGCUAGUUGUCCUUAUUAUAUAUCAGCCCCAAAAAAGAAUGCCCAGUGCUGAGCUAUUGCAAGAUCGGAUAGUUUGUGAUUGGUUCCCAGAAAUCAAGCUCAUGCACUUGGCUCCCAGAAAGUCAACACUCACGUUCGCUUCCAGUUUCCUGACCAGCAAGACGUGCUUCUGCUAAUGUAGGCUUGUGCUCCAAAAUUCCCCAUCAAGCUGGCUCCUGCUCCCCCGAAUCCUACCCCCACCCAUCCAAAAGCUUCAAGAUCUCACAGAAAUCUCACAACUUCCGUUCGUCGGAGUAGAGCCUUCAAACAGCCCCGCCCACACAUCCACGCGGCGGCUGCUGCCAUAACUUCACCGGAGUCGCCUUCUCCUUCCGCGCCACGUCACCGGUGCCGGCCAGGCUCUGAAUCUUCUGCUGCUGCCGCCGAUACGAUGCUGGAGCUGGCAUCGACAUGCUUGUGAGGGCCACUUCUUCCGUGCUGUUACUGUGCUGCUGGUUCUGGGUGCUGCUGAUCAGGGGCAAGCUCGUGAAGGUAACUAUGCCUGCAAGAUUGGGAUUUUACUUGUAAUUCGUUCAAGAUCUACCUAUGAACGUCUUGCUCACACCAUUCUCUUCAUUAAUUUCUGCAGUGCACCUGUGUUGGAGGAGUUUCCUCCGAGAGUUCCAAUGGCAGAGCUGGUGGUCACCAUGGCGCUCCGGCCACUGGUCGCCAUGCUCAGGGACAAGGCGUCCAGCUAUCUCCUUGACCAGUACAAUGUGAUGGAGGGAAUGGAGAAGCAGCACAUGAUUCUGAAACGCAGACUUCCUAUCGUCCUGGACGUCAUCACUGACGCCGAGGAGCAGGCGACAGCCAACAGAGAAGGGGCGAAAGCCUGGCUCCAGGAGCUCAAGAGAGUAGCCUAUGAGGCAAAUGAAGUCUUCGAUGAAUUCAAAUAUGAAGCACUUCGCCGUGAAGCCAAGAAGAAUGGACACUACAAAAAGCUUGGAUUUGAUGUGAUAAAACUCUUCCCCACUCACAACCGUGUUGUCUUCGUUCAGAGAAUGGGUAGCAAGCUUUGCAGGAUUCUGGAGGAUAUCAAUGUCCUCAUUGCAGAGAUGCAUGACUUUGGGCUGAGGCAGACAUUUUUGGUGUCUAAUCAGUUGAGGCAGACACCAGUGUCCAAGGAGUGGAGACAGACAGAUUACGUCAUCAUCGACCCACAAAAGAUUGCCAGCAGAUCCAGACAUGAAGAUAAGAAUAAUAUUGUUGGUAAACUACUUGGUGAAGCUAGCAAUGCAGAUCUCACAGUAGUUCCCAUCGUUGGAAUGGGGGGCCUUGGCAAGACCACAUUAGCGCAACUCAUAUACAAUGAACCUGAAAUUCAGAAGCAUUUUCCGUUGAAGCUCUGGGUCUGCGUCUCUGAUACCUUCGAUGUGAAUUCGGUGGCUAAGAGUAUAGUUGAAGCAUCCCCCAAGAAAAAUGAUGAUACAGACAAACCACCACUGGAUAGACUUCAGAAACUGGUCAGCGGGCAAAGGUAUCUCCUUGUAUUGGAUGAUGUCUGGAAUAGAGAGGUUCAUAAGUGGGAAAGGCUGAAGGUCUGUCUUCAGCAUGGCAGCGUGGGUAGUGCUGUGUUGACAACAACCCGUGAUAAACAAGUUGCUGAAAUUAUGGGUGCAACUAGAACCUACAAUCUCAAUGUUUUGAAGGAUGACUUCAUAAAGGAGAUUAUUUUGGAUAGAGCAUUCAGUUCAGAGAAUGAAAAGCCUCCCGAGCUACUCGAGAUGGUUGGUGAGAUUGUGAAGAGAUGCCGUGGCUCUCCUUUAGCUGCAACUGCACUGGAUCUGUACUUCGUACCAAGAUCAGCGUGGAAGAAUGGAAGGCUAUAUCAUCUAGAAGCAGUAUUUGCACUGAGGAAACUGGAAUUUUGCCAAUACUCAAGCUUAGCUACAACGAUUUGCCAGCACACAUGAAGCAGUGCUUUGCUUUCUGUGCCAUAUUCCCCAAGGAUUACAAGAUUAAUGUGCAGAGGCUUAUCCAACUAUGGAUCGCAAAUGGCUUUAUCCCUGAACACAAGGAAGAUAGUCUUGAAACCAUUGGACAACUUAUUUUUGAUGAGCUUGCUUCAAGGUCAUUCUUUCUGGAUAUAGAGAAGAGUAAAGAAGACUGGGAGUAUUAUUCCAGAAAUACAUGUAAAAUCCACGAUCUUAUGCAUGAUAUUGCAAUGUCUGUUAUGGAAAAGGAAUGUGUUGCUGUGACUAUGGAUACAAGUGAAAUUGAGUGGCUUGGAGAUACUGCUCGGCAUUUGUUUUUAUCAUGUAAAGGAACAGAAGGUAGUUUGAAUGAUUCUUUGGAGAAAAGAUCUCCUGCCAUUCAAACACUGAUAUGCCAAAGUCAUAUGCGAAGCUCAUUGAAGCAUCUGUCAAAAUAUAGCUCUUUGCACGCCUUGAAGCUCUGUAUUAGAGGCAAAGAAUCAUUUCUUCUGAAAUCAAUGUAUCUGCAUCACCUGAGGUACCUUGAUCUCUCAAACAGUUCUAUCAAAUCACUUCCUGAAGAUAUAAGUAUUCUAUAUAACCUUCAAAUGUUGGACCUUUCCUACUGUUGUUAUCUUUAUCGACUUCCAAUGCAAAUGAAGCAUAUGACUUUCCUCCGUCACCUCUACACUCAUGGAUGUCAGAAGUUGAAGAGCAUGCCUCCAGAACUAGGAAAACUCACUAACCUGCAGACGUUGACAUGGUUUGUGGCAGGAGUUCCUGGCCCUGAUUGCAGUGAUGUUGCAGAGCUGCAGCAUUUAAACCUUGGUGGUUAUCUAGAGCUACGUCAGAUAGAGAAUGUUAAAGAAGCAGAGGCAAAAGUGGCAAACCUUGGAAACAAGAAGGAUCUCAGAGAACUGUCAUUAAGAUGGACUGAGGUUGGCGACAGCAAGGUGCUCGACAAGUUCAAACCUCAUGGUGGGCUGCAGGUUCUGAAGAUAUAUUCCUAUGGAGGAGAGUGCAUGGGUAUGCUGCAAAACAUGGUUGAGAUCCAUCUUUUUCAUUGUGAAAGAUUGCAAAUUUUGUUCAGAUGCAGUGCAAUCUUCACUUUUCCAAAACUGAAGGUGCUUAUGCUAAUACAUCUGUUGGAUUUUGAGAGAUGGUGGGAAAUAGAUGAGAGGCAAGAAGAACAGACAAUAUUUCCUGUGCUUGAGAAGUUGUUUAUUAGUAAUUGUGGAAAGUUGGUAGCAUUACCUGAAGCACCAUUGCUGCAAGGACCUUGUGGUCAAGGUGGUUAUACAUUGGUUUGCUCAGCAUUUCCUGCCCUAAAGGUGCUCAAAAUGAAAAACUUGGAGAGCUUUCAGAGAUGGGCUGCAGUGGAAGAGACUCAAGGAGAACACAUACUGUUUCCUUGUCUGGAGGAACUAUCAAUUGAGAAAUGCCCAAAGUUGACGGCGUUACCUGAAGCACCAUUGCUUCAAGAACCAUGUAUUGAAGGUGGUUACAGAUUGGUACGCUCAGCGUUUCCUGCCUUAAAGGUGCUCAAAAUGGAAAACUUGGAGCGGUUUCAAAGAUGGGGUGUGGUCGAAGGGACAUUGUUUCCUCAGCUUGAGAAACUAUCAGUUCAGAAGUGCCCCAAGAUGAUAGAUUUACCAGAGGCACCAAAACUCAGUGUCUUAAAAAUUAAAGAUGGUAGGCAAGAGAUCUCCGAUUUUGCAGAUAGAUAUUUUUCUUCAUUGACCAAACUGAUAUUGAAUCUAGAAAACACAGAAACAACAUCAGAGGUUGAGUGCACUUCAAUUGUAUCUGUGGACAGCAAGGAGAAAUGGAACGAGAAAUCCCCUCUUACAGUGAUGGAGCUAAGAUGCUGCAACUCAUUCUUUGGACCAGGUGCACUAGAGCCGUGGGACUAUUUUGUACACCUUGAAAAGUUGGAAAUUGAUAGAUGUGAUGUGCUUGUCCACUGGCCAGAGAAAGUGUUCCAAAGCUUGGUAUCCUUGAGGACAUUAGUGAUUACAAGCUGCGAAAAUCUGACUGGAUAUGCACAAGCUCCUCUUGAGCCAUUGGCAUCCGAAAGGAGUCAGCACCUGAGAGUUCUGGAGUCUCUUUGCUUAGAAAACUGCCCAAGUUUAGUAGAGAUGUUCAACGUCCCGACAUCUCUCAAGAAAAUGUAUAUUAAUGGGUGCAUUAAGCUUGAGUCCAUAUUCGGCAAGCAGCAGGGCAUGGCUGAGUUAGUCCAAGGAUCUUCUAGCAGUGAGGCAAUCAUGCCUGCAGCUGUAUCAGAGUUGUCAUCCUCACCCAUGAAUCACUUUUGUCCAUGCCUAGAAUAUCUACAGUUAUCUGAUUGUGGAAGCUUACCAGCGGUUCUACAUCUGCCUCUGUCCUUAAAGACCUUAGAAAUUUAUAACUGCAGUAGUAUUCAAGUCCUAUCAUGCCAGCUGGGUGGGCUCCAGAAACCAAAAGUCACUACCUCCAUAAGCAGAAGUCCUGUCAUGCCAGAGCCACCACCACCAGCAGCAGCUGCUGCAAGAGAGCAUUUACUUCCUCCCCAUCUCGAAUCUCUAGUAAUACUGAACUGUGCUGGCAUGUUGGGUGGGACUCUCCGUCUGCGUGCACCCCUCAAGAGACUGCGCAUUAUUGGCAACAGUGGGUUGACAUCGCUGGAGUGUCUGUCAGGAGAGCACCCCCCAUUGCUGGAAGUCCUUGAUCUUCAAAAGUGCAGUACCCUAGCUUCCCUGCCGAAUGAGCCGCAAGUAUACAUGUCUCUCUGGAAUCUUGAAAUUAGAGGCUGCCCUGCUAUAAAGAAGCUCCCUAGAUGCCUGCAGCAGCAACUGGGCAGCAUUGAUGACGAGUACAAAGAACUAGAUGCCCAUUAUGAAGGUAUGCUUGGAGCACGUCCUUCUAUCUUUGCCACAUUUAAUAAACAGAUGCAGUCAUCCAUUCCAUUAAAUCUACCACGCCAGCAUGUCUGUACAAGUUUGUUCUCCAUUAUUUUACUUUCGAAUGUUACAUUAGUUUGUAUGUGUUUGUUCUGACGCCAUUUGCAAUAUGUGCAGUGAUGGCACUUAAACCGAAGACAUGGAAGGAGAUGCCAAGGCUAGUCCGUGAGCGGAGGAAGGCCGCUCGAGAAGCCAAGGAGCGCCAGCAAUCCGCCAUGCAGGAGUAAACAGGUUGGAAACCAUGUAGAAAGGGCAUGGAUUCCAAUUGCUCUGAACAAUGUACAAGAUUAUGUCGUGACUGUAAUCAAUCGGCUUUGUUGAGCUUUGGCCUCUACCUAGUUCAGAUAUUUGUAAUGCGAAUCAAAUGAAUCUGCCCGGUUCAGUAGAAGUUAGGAUAAUAUACUCACAUGUGUGUCUGUGAGCUAUCUAUCGUAUCUAUCUGUUUUUGCUUUGCUUAGUUAACUGCGAAGACACUAGCCUUUAAUUGUUCAAUAAAGUUUUUCAACUGUGGCUUUUAUCUGUCGAUUUUCGUGGUUGACAGGCCUAAUCCCUGAUUGUUGCUCUUCUCUGCUCUGCUCUGCUAGGGGAAUGAGCUGUUAUUGCUUCUGCAACUUAACUGUGCCGCAGUCCGCUCUCCGUCGAGAACUGUCAGGGCCUGCGGUGUAGGGCGGCUGCUGCUUGGCGUCGAGUGGAGCAUAUCUGAAUCAACAUCCUAGGCUGAGACCAUCUCAUCUUGAUCUGGUUUGCUGUUGUCCAGUCAAGCGAGGAAACACAGGGAAGAAACAACAUAGAAAGGGCAUGGUAGUUUAUUUUAUUUUGCUUCAGAAACUGUACCAAUUUAUGUCAUGAUUGUUACCUGCUCCGUUAAACUCUGACCUUGAUCUUGUUAUUAAAGAUUCAGACACUUGCCUCGUUUAGUAGAAGCUGGGGUACUUGUAAUGUGUGCCAUAUAUAUUUCUAGUUUCAGCCAUUUCCAUAUCAAGUACAAGCUCGGAAAGGCUUAGGUGGUCUGUGAACUUUCUGGCCCUGCUUGCUUGACGCAAGUUUUACAGACAUAUAAAACAUAAGUUUAUAUAUAUAUAAUAUACAGUUAAGCAGCAGUUUCCUCGCAUGUAAGAUGGUUAAGUAGCAGCCGCAGGUAUCAGUCAGUCCGGUACUUGUUGAAUGGGAUCGACAGUUGAAUUGCUCUGCUCUGCUGCAAAACUCUGUGUUUGCCUGUGGAGGAAUGAAUAUUUCAGUUUCAGAAUUUGUGAGCUACUCCUAUUUAGUUUCUAGUCUGGUUGUGGUACUAUCUAGUUUCAGCACUGUUUAUUUAGUUUAGAAGAAAUUUACUGUUGACCUUUUUAACGUGUUUACAACACGUGCUAUUUGAAAUAUAAUUCUUUUUUUACCUGUUUCGAUACUUGUACAGAUCAAGUAGUACAAGUUGGGAGGAAAAAACCUCAGGUCCGUGAACUGUUUGGUCCUGUCUGUCUGUACAAAAUCAAGUUUGUUCGCUGUAGCCAGUAUAGUGUUGUAGAUAUCUGAAUAACUUGGUGUCUGCUUACGAGAGCAGAGGACGUGGAUGGAUGUUUGCUGCCGGCUGAUGCUGCAGGAACCGAAAGAGCCUUCUCAGUAUGCACUUCAAUGAAGAAGCAACGGACAGAUGUUCAGAUACAUCCGUUUGAGCUGACCGCUAUUUCUGGACGGAGGGAGUAUUAUGUAAGAUUUUGUGUACUUUCCCUUUAUUACUUUUGGUGCAGCUUCAGUUGAUGGUUUGCAUGCUCUUCUUAAGGAUUUACAUUCUCUUAGUGUCUUUGUUUCGUAUGUUUCUUUAGAGCCUCCUGUAGUUAAUCAGGCACUUCUCUGCUUUUAUAGACUAGUGUUAUUAUUGGUUUAUUAUUCAUGUUACUUAGGAAUUAGGGUCAAACAAGCACCUCCUGCUCUGCUGGUAGCUAGCUUAAUUCCCAGGUUUGGUAUAUAUCUAUGUUGUGAUGCAUACUCAUGUUUGUGAGCUAGUAUAUAUCUAUUUUCAGUGUCGUUUAAUGGUUCAGAGAGUGGGCUGUAACUUGUUCAGAUACUUUGUGUUAAACUGUAGAAUUGACCUGCUGCAGUAAUUUUGACAGCUGAGGUGGGAUGAGCUGCAUAUCAUUCUCUGAUUGGGAGUAACAGGUUGUUGUUGUUUGGUUCUGAUGUUGCUAAGCUGUGGUGGUGGUCACAAUUAUCUUCCUAAUCCGGCAA